GAGCAGUUGGUUGACAAUGGAGGCCCACAAAGUCCCAAGUUCGCCUCAUAAAUGGAUGGAUCGUUGAAUGUCGAGAACUGGUUGGUUUUUGGAAUUGGUCCUGACAGGCGGUUAUGCGAUAGGUUCAAAUGGUUCAAUGAGGUUAUAGAAGACAUGCUCGGAGGAAUUGGGCCUGAAAGGCAGUUGCAUGAGAGGUCAAGAGUUUCUAGCCCUUGCAUGGCUCCAAUCUUCUCAGGUAUCUUUCCAGUCAACUGGUUUCGGGACAAAUUCAAGGUACCCAGGGUCGAGAGAUUUGUGAUCUCUUUUGGGAUCUCUCCCCAAAUGUUAUUGCUAGAAAGAUCUAUCAAAUUCACAAUUGGCAAUAUGCUAUCAAAUUCCAUAUUUUGUCCCUUUACAACUAGCUCCAUGCGCUCCGAAUAGACGACAUGACCAUUGGGGUCGUCAAAAUUUCUGUCUAAUAAGGUCACAAAACUUAAAGCAGUUAAAUUGCCUAAGCAUUGUGGGAUGGAUCCUGAUAAAUUGUUCACUGCAAGAUCCAAAAUGUGGAGAUGAGAAAGCCAACACAAUUUCUCAGGAAUAUCUCCUGUCAACAUGUUACCCCGUAGACGCAGCUGCUCCAGUGAUGGCAUUCUUUCUCCAAUCCAUUUGGGUAUCUCCCCCGAAAACCUGUUAUUUCCAAGAUCAAGGGAGUACAACCCUGUGCAGUUUCGUAAGCUUGGAAAGGGUUCCCCAGAAAGAUUGUUGUCACCCAAUAUCAACUGAGUAAGUGAAGAUUUUGAACACAUCCAACUCGGAAUCCCACCAGACAUUUUGUUCUUGGAUAGAUCUACAGUGUCAAGCCAUGGCAAAUCAUUCCAAUUCUUUGGAAUCUUUCCAGAUAAAUGAUUGUUUGAGAGAUUAAUUACUCCCAAAUACUUCAGUUUACUAAUUGAUGAAGGAAUGCUGCCAUUUAACAAGUUACAAGAAACAUCAAGGAUUUCCAAGCUUGAUAAUUCCCCGAUGUUCAAGGGAAUUGGACCAGAAAAUGAAUUGUUUCCCAGAUACAAAGAUCCCACAUUAAGUCGAAGUGGGAGUGGGCCCCCCAAGUGGUUGAAACUUAAAUCCACCAAUGCGUCUUGGCUAAAGGAUGAUGAGUUGGGAAGCGUUCCAUACAAUUGGUUUCUAGAAAGAUCUAACCACGAAAAAUCUUGUUUCCAAAGCCAUUCGGGUAUUGCAUCUGAAAUCCCCACAUUUUUUAGAAUCAUAAAUCCAAGUCUCUUUUGAGUUCUAAGCCAGUUGGGGAACUUGAGAGAUACAUGGCAGUUGUAAACCUCGAUAGAUUCGAGACUGAAGGGAGGAAUCCAUUCAGGUCUCAAAUGAAAACGGAGAGACUGGUUUUUGGGUGAUACGAGUAAUGAGAAUUCUGUCAGUUUAGUAAGAUUACUGAAAUGAAUUUCAGAUAUUACCCCUUCCCAAGAAUUCCAAUCAAGAUACAACUCAGUUAGCUCUCUAAGUUGUCCGAUACUUUCUGGAAUAGUCCCAUUCAUUAGAUUGUUUGACAAGUGAAGUCUCUUCAUCCGCAGCAAGUUUCCAAUCCAUGUUGGAAUUGGACCUGAGAUGAAGUUUUCAAUCAGAUAAAGAAUCUCUAAGUUGGUAAGGUGUUGAAUUGAAUUGGGGAAGGGACCAACAAAACUAUUGUUCAUCAAGUUCAGGUACUUUAAAUUCUUAAAGAGCCCUAAUGAAUCUGGCAACUGACCACCGAAUUGAUUAUAACCCAAGUUUAACCAUUCCAAGGAAUUAUUAGUGUAUGUUGAUAAACCAUUCACCAAUUCAAUUGCUUCACUUCCAAUAUAAUUGAAUGAGAGAUCUAAGGUCACCAAGUUGCGAAGGCUUCCCAAGUUAACACGGGGAAUCGGACCUUUAAUUGUAGCACCAUUUAAAUAAAGAUCCAUAAGGGUACUGAUAUUAAACAACCAGCCAGGCAAAGUAGUGUUGAAAUUGUUGUUGGAGAGAUCAAUAAGCGAAACAGAAGUCAAAUUAACAAACGGAUUGGAGUACUGAGGGAAGUGACUAAGAUGACAACCGGACAAAUGUAAUUCUAACAAAAAUGGAAGCAUGUUUACAGCUUGCAUCCAAUUUGUGGUUGCUUUACUAAGGUCCACAUACGCCAGAUCAAGGUAUUUUAAAGAAGAAAGACCAGAAAGCCAAUUUAAAUUAGAAACCCUCAUUGGAUAAUCUCCUCCCAAAAGAUCAAGAUAACGUAACUGUGAUAAAUUUCCAAGAUGAGGAGGAAUCAUCCCACCAAAUCGUGCAUUAGAGAGAUUAAGGUAUCUCAACCUUUCAAAUGAGCCCAAGAAAUUUGGAAUUGGAAUUCCUUGAAAAUCAUUAAGACUUAGGUCCAGGUAAGUUAAAUGUUUCAAGUCAAGUAAGGAACUACUUAUCUCACCACCCAAACGUGAGAAGCCACCACCCAAACGUGAGAAGUCACCACCAGAUUUGAGGUCAACCUUGACAACAUGCCCUGUUUGGUUGUUGCAAUCCACACCUUUCCACUUGCAGCAAUCUGCACCAACCCAGGAAGAAAGCCUACCUGAAGGAUCUUUCAGUCCAUUUUUGAAUUCAAGAAGCGCUUUCCGCUCUACCUCAAUGCAGCCCUUGUUCAUACCACCAUCAAUGGAAUUGAUAAUGGUAGCUUGAGCUAGGAGAAGCUCGAGAAACAGAGAAAGGAGAAAAAGAGUAAGAAGUAGAAGGGUGGUUUUCCAACUUGCCAUUUGAUGAAUGCAAAGUUGCAAAGUUAUUAGUGGGUGUUAUAUAAAUAAUAAGAUUGGAGUCUUUGGUCUAAUUUAGUCAACUAUUUUAAGUCUUUUGGCCGCCAUAAAUAUAGAAGAAAUUAUCAAGUUCAAUCACAAUCGGAUCACAUAUCUCUUCUAUCCCUGAGUAAAUUAAUUCAAGACAUUAAUUACCAAGUUUUUGGUCCAAAGAAAAAAAGAAUUUUUUUUAUUCCUAAUUUACACUCAUCUAAUUAUUAACUGGAAUAAAAAAUUUCAAUUAAUUAAAAAAAUAAAAUUUAGAUUUUAAUAUUUUUCCCAAAUUCAAAAUUCAAAAAUUAAUAAAUUAAUCUCAACUAUGUUAUUCAUAAAUCCCAAGAUAGGUUACAUAAAAAUAAGUUUUAACUAAGAAAAUUUCUAACAUUUUAUUAACUACCAAGUAUAAUUAGAAAUCCUAAUUAUUAUGUAAUUAUCAAUUUUCUACUAAUUAUAUAAUUAAUUAUUAUGCAAUUUUAUUAUGCUAAUAAAUUAUGAUAUUUUGGUAUAUUUUAAAAUAUAUUAAAUUACCAUUUUUAUAUUAUUAAUUUUAAAAUCAAAAUAAAAAAUAUAAUAACUAAUUUUUAGAUAUUUUAACAUGUAAACAUAAAUAAGUAUAACAUUUCAAACAUUAAUAAAAACACAAGCAAUUUAACACUUAACAAUAUUUAUAUAAUAAUAAGAAAUAAACAACUUAAACACUUAAUCAGUCUACUAUAUUUAAGUCAAAGUUAUGCCUAUUCAAAUUUCAAACAAAAAAUAAUUAAAUACCACCUUACACUUAUUAUGCAUUACUCAAGCCAUUUAUUUUCAAUAAAUAUAUUUUUUCAAAUAAUUUUCAUAAUAUUUUAUUUUCGUUUAUAGGCUACAAUCAACAUGGAGGAGGAAGCUUCAAGUAGCUUUCUUCAAUUAUUUAAAGUUAGUGACUAUCCAUAGAAGAAAAUUUUGACACGAAUGUAAAAAGAAAAACAAUUUUCACACAAGUCUAAAAAUGUCUUUUAGAGAAACUAUUAAAACAUUAUUUGAAUUUCUCCUCUUGAUUGUUGACUUCAAGGACUUUUGUGACAUGUUGACUGUUGACUGAAACAAAAUCCUUGUUUAUUUGGUGUGAGUUAGGAAAAAAAAAAAGGAAGUUAUAUUUUUUUUAAUGAAAAAAUUUAUUUUUUCUAAAUAAAAAAAUUCUUUUUUUUUUUUAAAUAAAAAAUUUCCUUAUUUAACCAAACCGAUUUUAACCAAUUCAUUGUAGCCUGAUUAGUUCAGUUUUUCAUUUAAAGACGUUUGGUUUAGCUUGAAAAAAAAAAAAAAAAAAAACAAACAAAAACAAAAACAAGGUUAAAUAUUAAGUAUUUAGGUCAUUGUUUUUUUUAUUAAUGCUAAAUAUUUUUAAGUGUUAAAUUGCUUGUUUUUAGUAAUGUAUAAAGGCUUAAACUUAUUUAUUUUUACACAUUAAAAAUAACUAUAAAAUUAGUUGUUGUUAUUAUUAUUAUUUUAAAAUUAAUAAUUUAAGAAAUAGUAAUUUAAUAUAUUUACAACUAUCUCAAAACAUUAUAAUUCAUUACCAUAACAAAAAUUAUAUAAUAAUUAAUUAUGUAAUUUAUAGAAAAUUAAUAAUUAGAUCAUUAUUAGGAUUUUUAGUUAUGCUUGGUUGUUAAGAAAAUGUUAAAAAAUUUCUAAGUUAAAAUUUAUUUUUAUAUAAUAUAUAUUCUGAUUUAAGAAUAUUGUUGAGAUUAAUUUUUUUUUUCUUUUAAAUUUGGGAAAAAUAAGAAAGACUAAAAUUUUAGUUUUCAAAAUUAAUUGGAAUUUUUUUUAUUCUAAUUAAUAAUGACAUGAACGAACCCCAAUUUUUUUAUAAUGACUAAUUAUGCAAAGUGUAGAAAAAUAAUAAUUAGAUAAUUAUUAGGAUUUCUAAUUAUGCUUGGUUGUUAAAAAAUGUUAAAAAAUUUAUAUGUUAAAACUUAUUUUUAUAUAACUAUCUUCAAAUUUAUGAAUAUUGUUGAAAUUAAUGUAUUAAUUUUUAUUUUUAAUUUGGGAAAAAUGUAAAAAUCUAAAUUUUAUUUUUUAAAUUAAUUAGAUUUUUUUUAUUCUAGUUAAUUAUUAAAUGAGGGUAAAUUAGAAAUCUAAGUUCAAGGACAUUAGUCAACCAAACUGACUUCAAACCUAACCAAUCCAAUCUUAUUACUUUUUAUUUCCAUUUAAAGAUGUUUGUUUCUAUUAAAAAAAAAUGAUUACAUUGGUUUAGUGUUCAUGAAGCAAUCAAAGCUAAACCAACCGAAUUUAUCUAUUAUUUAUAAAUAAAAAUAAAAAUAAAAACGAUUACAUUGGUUCGGUAUUCAUUUCAAAACAACGAAUCAAUAGAAAUCGAUCUAAUCGAACCUAUCUAUUAUAUAUUCGACUUAAAAGGUGCAAAAUUUGAAGUUAUUUUUCGACUUCAUAUUUUGCUUCUCAUAAUUUAUUAUAAAUUUAUGAAGUUAUUUUUUAGUUGUCAUAUUUUUUUAAAAUAUUUUAUUUUUUCAAAAUAAAUUCACUAAAUAUUAUAUCACAUGUAUUUGUGGUUCACUAAAUUUUUAAUAAUCAAAUUAAUAAAUUUGUAAAAGAAAAAUAUUAUAUUUUCUCCAUUUUGUUCACUUGAUAAACAUAUCUACCAAAAUGUCAAGCGGAUGUUUGAAAUUUACCUCUAUUUUUUUUGUUGUGUAAUAUUUGGUUGAUUAUAUUUAUAAAGCAUUAUAAAUCCCAAGAAAGUACACAUAGUCCUAAAUUAUUAUGAAUGAAAUAAAAUUAUUAAUUUAAAUUUAGUCUUUAUAUUAAAAAGUUAAAAUAAGUGAAAUGAGUUUAAAAUAGUCUAUAAAAAUAAUUUAUUGAUUUUAAAUCUAUGUUAUAUUUUCCUUCAUUUUUUAUUUUUAUUUUUAUUUUUUGUAUUUUUUCCCUUGUAUUUCCCCCAAAAUUUUGUCCAAACCAAACAUAAACUUGGAAAAUAUGUCAAAUCAAUACUAGUGUUUGAGACUUAAGAAAUUUUUUUAAAAGGAUUGGAUCAAGGUUUAAUCACGAGUACACCACACAUAGCCCUUUUGUCCAUAAGUAAAUUAAUUUAAGAUAUUUUAUUUAUUAAUAUAAUUAUCAAGCUUUUGAAACAUGAAGUUGUUGUUCAUGGAAAGAAAAAGAAAAAGUAUUUUAUUUAUUUAUUUUGCCUAACACACAUAGACUAAGAACUUUUCUUCGAUUAAAAGUCAAGGAAGUCAUUGUGAACAAUUACCAAGAAAAGAAAUUCAAAUAAUGCUUUAAUGAAUGGUGUAUAUAUUUUCUCUAAAAUGCAUUUUUAGACUCCUACUACAAGUUUUUCUCGCAAAAACAAAAAAUAAAAAAUAAAGCUUCAUUUUUUUGCCUAACUCACACGCAAUAGACUAAGGACUUUGUUUCAGUCAAGAGUCAACAUGUCACAAAAGUCGGUGAAUUUAUUGUCUAAAGAAAAUAAUAAAUAAUACUUUAACGUAUGAUGUACAUAUUUUCUCCAAAAGGCAUUUAUAGACUCAUACAAUUUUCUCCUAUCGACCAUUUACCAACUUCAAUUAAUUGAAGAAAGUUAUGUGAAUGAUGGAACUUCCUACUCCAUGUUAAGUGAUAUGGCCUAUCAUGAAAAUUAUUUAAAAUUUUAUAUAUAUUCAAUUAUUUAUUAUUAUUAUUAUUAUUAUUAUUAUACAUGAAAACUGCAUUACAAGUCCAUGCCUUUUGGAAAAAUGUUUAUUAUUAUUACAAAAUAAACAUUUUGUGACGAUUGAUUAUGUAAUAGGUUAACAUUUAUUUUUAUGUAAUGUAUCUUUUGAUUUAUGAAUUUGUAAUUGAAAUUUAAUUUUCAUAUCUGGUGGGAGUGCCAGUCACAAAACAAAAAAGUGAUGAAGACCUUUCGGCCCUUCAUGGGCCAUGUAUCACAAGCAUAUGAGCCAAUCAUGGACCCCAUCCUGUCCUCAACCUCAACUGUUGCUAUAAAUCUAAAUACUGAUGUAGAACCCUAUCCGAAAAUGGUCCAUUCGAUAGGCAUUAGGCACCUACCACAAGAAAAUUAAGGAAAACAAAAAAUAAAAAAUAAAAAAUGAAGCUUCAUUUUUUUGCCUAACUCACACGCAAUAGACUAGUGACUUUGUUUCAGUCAAGAGUCAACAUGUCCCAAAAGUCUUUAAAGUCAUUGUCUAAGGAAAAUAAUCACAAAAAUAAUAAAUAGUAUUAAUAUAAGAUGUUAAUAUCAUAUGUAUAUAUUUUCUUCAAAAGGCAUUUCUAGACUUCUACAAUUUUCUCGGACCACUUAACAACUUCAAUUAAUUGAAGAAAGUAUUAUUAUUAUUAUUAAGGGUUGAAAAAAUGCAUAGCAAGUCUAUGUGGUAUUUAUUUAUUUUUGUCUAAAGUAUGAAUAAACCUAAAUUAUUAUUUUUUAUUUUAAUUCUAAAAUUAAUAAUUUAAGAAAUAGUAAUUUAAUAUAUUAACAAAUAUAUCAAAAUUCUUAAUUUAUUACCAUAAUAAAAAAUUUCUAAAAAUUAAUUAUGUAAUUGGUAGAAAAUUUAUAAUUAGAUAAUGAUUAGGAUUUUUAUUUAUGUUUGGUUGUUAAGAAACUAUUAGAAGUUUUCUAAGCUAAAACUUAUUUUUAUGUAAUGUAUUUUAUGAUUUAAUGAAUGGUGUUGAGAUUAAUUUGUUAACUUUUUAUUUUUAAUUUGGGAAAAAAUUAAAUAUUAAUUUUGGAAAUUAAACAAUGGAUAAUAUAAUGAUAGAAUAAUAUUAUUUUUCAAAUAGUUUUCUUUCAAAUAGAAUAAUAUAAAAUUAAUUUAAUAUAUGAUAGAAUAAUAUAAAAUUAAUUUAAUUUUCGAGAUUUCAAUUUUCAAAUAAAUUUCAAAACUUUAGUUUUCUUUCAAAUAGUUUUAAUUCUACUCCAGUUUUUAUUUUUAUUUUUAUUUUUAAUUCUACCACUUUUCAUCAUUUAUUAGGGUUUUAGGUCACAAAAAAUCCUGAUUUUAAUAAUUUUGCUGUCAUUUUCAUUUUGGCAUGCACUUGUACAAAUUUUCUUCGAUUUUCAAAUAAUUUUCUGUUUCUCUUAAUUUUAAGUAAACAAGAAUGAUUUUUUCAUAAUUCCAAAAUAAUGGAAUUUGUAAGACUAAUUUAUGCAAGAUAAAUUAGGCUUUGGUGGGGGCCCAACAUUCUUAACAUUUCUUUCGAAAAUAAUUCAAGUGAAUUUUAUGAUUAAUAUUAUUUGAUUUUGAUUGGUUUUGUGUGAGAUAUUUUACACUUAUCAUUACGCACUAACCUUGUUUCAUAAUAGUGCUUUAUUACCGGUUGCCAAGGUACGAUCUCACCCCUACUUUGCUUAUUUUUAUACAUGAUUUGUUUUAUUAUUUGAUCAUUUCAUUGAUAUCCAUUGAUUUCUUUAUCAAUUGUCACAUUUCUCACCUUAUUUAGUAGAUGCCUGUUUUUAGGGACUUAGAGGGGUGCUACGGUUUUUUACCGUACCUUCCCAAUAAGUAACUUGACCCCCGAACCCGACUCGGUUUUUCAUAGACUUGUUUUUCCUUCAGGAGUCACACUUAGAGUUUUUCUUUUUUAGUUUAUUUUUCCCUUUAAAAAAAAUUAAAAUAAGUGGCGACUCCAAUUAUUUAAAAAAAAAAAAAUCAAAUUUUUACCAAAUAAAAUAAAAAAAUGAGUUUCACCAUGGAGUGGGAACGCAUCAUGUGAAAUACGGGAUCCACAUAUAGGUUUUUAAACUAUUUCAAAUCUCGGUACCAGUUAUGAAUGUAGGAGAAAUGAAGACCUGUAUGGGCCAUCUUCUCGUGUAAAUAAAAAUAAAACCAGGAUAAUGAAAAAUAAAUCAUUCAUAUAGAAUAAACUUCAAUUCACCAAAUUAAUAAUUAAUAAAUGAUUAAAAUGGGAAAAAAAUAUCUAAUCUAAAUCAGUAGGAUGGGUGUUUAAGACACUAAUUUUCUUUCUAUUAGAUUCAGUUCCAAUCUAACUCAAGGUUAAUAUAUUUUUAAUUUUGAAAAAGUAUAUGAUGCACAAUAAUCUAAAGAAAUAAUUAUAUUUUCUCCAUUUUUUUUUUUUUGUUUUUGGGUCCUAAUGAAACCUCACGAGAGAAAACUUUAUAGGGUUGUAAAAGCAAAAUAAAUCAAAGCUCACAUGUUCAAAGUCAUUUCAUUUCAUACCUUAGUUGUUGCAAUAAAUGGUGUAUAAAUACGUCGUAAUACUUAACAUGAAGUAGGAAGUUUCAUGGACAAUGACUUCAAGGACUUUUGUGACAUCUUGACUCCUAACCAAAACAAAGUUCUUAGUCUAUUCCGUGUAUGUUAGGCAAAAUAAAUAAAUAAAAUAACUUUUUCUUCUUCUUUGGAUGGACAGUAACUUCAUGUUUCAAACACUAGAUAAUUAAUAUCUUGAAUUAACUUUCUUAUGAAUACAAGGGGUGAUCAUGAUUGAACCUUGAUCCAAUCCUUUAUAAAGAAUUUCUAAAUCUCAAACACUAGUAUUGGUCUAACAUAUUUUUUAAGAUUAUAUUUGGUUCCAAAAAAAUUUGAGGGAAAUACAAGGGAAAGAAAAUAAAGAAAAAAUAAAAUAAAAUGAAAAAAAAGUGAAAGAAAAUACAAUAUAGAUUUAAAGUCAAUAAAUUAUUUUUUUAUACUACUUCAAACUCAUUUAGCUUAUUUUAACUUUUUAAAAUUAAGAUUAAAUAAUUUUAAAAUACAUAAAAUUUUAAUUAAUUUUAAUUUAUUAUAUUUUCUUUGAUAUUUUCUAUAAUACACAAUUAAAUAUAUAAAAAUUAUUUUCUGUGUAUGAAUAAAAUGGAGAAAAUAUGAUUCUUUGUUUAGAUUAUUGUGCAUCAUAUGUUUUCUAAAAUUAAAAAAUAUAUGAACCUGAGGAUUGGAACUGAAUCCAAUGGAAAUGAUACCAUUAUUUGAUUGAUCAUAUCUAAUAUAAAGGAAAGUUAAAUAUCAUGAAAAUUAUUUAAAAAUUUAUACAUAUUCAAAUUCUUCCUAAUGGCUAGAAAAAUACAUAACAAAUAUAAGGCGGUGUUUUUUCUUUUUCUUUUUUGUUUAUAAUCUAAAUAAUUAUGUAUUUAACUUAAUCUAAUAAAGUCGAACGUUAUUGGCAUUUUAGCUUGUUUAGUUUUUAUUAUAAAUGUUGUUAAGUGUCAAAUUUUUUGUUUUUAUUAAUGUCUACAGUGUUAAACUUAUUCUUAUGUGUUAAAAAAUCUACAAAAUUAAUUAUCAUAUUUUUAUUUUUAUUUUAAAAUUAAUAAUUUUGAAAAAUAGUAAUUUAAUAUAUUUUCAAAUAUAUCAAAAUAUCACAAUAAUAAACAUUUUGUAAUGAUUGAUUAUGUAAUAGGUUAACAUUUAUUUUUGUGUAAUGUAUCUUUUGAUUUAUGAGUUUUUAAUUGAAAUUUAUUUUUGUAAUGUAUCUUUUGAUUUAUGAAUUUGUAAUUGAAAUUUAAUUUUCAUAUAUGGUGGGAGUGCCAGUCACAAAACAAAAAAGUGAUGAAGACCUUUCGGCCCUUCAUGGGCCAUGUAUCACAAGCAUAUGAGCCAAUCAUGUACCCCAUCCUGUCCUCAACUUUAAGUUUAACCGUGGCUAUAAAUCUAAAUACUGUUGUAGAACCCUAUCUGAAAAAGUCCAUUCGAUAGGCAUUAGGCACCUACCACAAGAAAAUUAAUGAAAACAAAAAAUAAAAAAUAAAAAAUGAAGCUUCAUUUUUUUUGCUUAACUCACACGCAAUAAACUAGUGACUUUGUUUCAGUCAAGAAUCAACAUGUCACAAAAGUCUUUAAAGUCAUUGUCUAAGGAAAAUAAUUACAAAAUAAUAAAUAAUACUUUAAUAUAAGAUGUUAAUAUCAUAUGUAUAUAUUUUCUUCAAAAGGCAUUUCUAGACUUCUACAAUUUUCUCGGACCACUUAACAACUUCAAUUAAUUGAAGAAAGUAUUAUUAUUAUUAUAAAGGAUUAAAAAAAAUGUAUAACAAGUCUAUGUGGUAUUUAUUUAUUUUUGUCUAAAAUCUGAAUAAACCUAAAUUAUUAUUUUUUUAAUUUUAAUUCUAAAAUUAAUAAUUUAAGAAAUAGUAAUUUAAUAUUUUUAAAAAUAUAUCAAAAUUCUUAAUUUAUUACCAUAAUAAACAUUUUUCUAACAAUUAAUUAUGAAAUUAGUAGAAAAUUUAUAAUUAGAUAAUGAUUAUAAUUUUUAUUUAUGUUUGGUUGUUAAGAAACUAUUAGAAUUUUUCUAAGCUAAAACUUAUUUUUAUGUAAUGUAUUUUUCUGAUUUAUGAACAUUGUUGAGAUUAAUUUGUUAACUUUUUAUUUUUAAUUUGGGAAAAAAAUAAAUAUUAAUUUUGGAAAUUAAACAAUGGAUAAUAUAAUGAUAGAAUAAUAUUUUCUCCAUUGUGUUUAUUUAAUAGGUAGUUUCACAAAAUAUAUUGGACUUGUAUUUGAUAUUUAUCAAUUUUUUCAAAUGAUUGGAUUGAUUUGAUGAUAUAUAUUACAUACUCUUCUAUUCAUGAGUAAAUCAAAAGAAUGAUAAAAAUUACCAAGUUUUUCAAACAUCAAGCCAUUGCCGAAAGGGGCAAAAAAAAAAAAAAAAAUCAUUUUUUAUUUUUUGUCUACCUUAGACGACAUAGACUAAGCACUUUGUAUAAGUCAAUAAUUAAGAUGUCAUCAAAGUCCUUCAAGAAAUGUCCAAGGAAAUUUAAAAAAUCAUGAAAAAAAAGUUAUAAAUGAUGUUUUAAUGUAUUAUAUACAUAUUCUCUUUAAAAGGCAAUUUUAAACUCCUCUUAGAAUUUGCUAUUAUGGAAUUCUUUUUCCUUUUUCGUAUCUCAAUUUCAAUACAUUUUAAUUUAACUUAAAUUUAAAUAGUAUGAAAUAUUAAGUGAUUUGUUUUCAUUUUUUUUUCUUUGACUUAAUUCUUAAAAAAUAUUGUUUUAAUAUUAAAGUCAUUUUAAAGAUCGUUUAUUUGUUUAAUUUAUUAUUUUUUAAGACAAUUUGAUCUUAAUAAAAAAAAACUAAUUUAUUGUUUUUCUUUUAUCUUAAAUUUUAAAUUAACUUGUUUUAAGACUUAAGACUUAAGUUAAAAUUAAAAUUAAAAAAAAAAAUAAACCGUUAUAUUUAGUUAUAAAAACAAAUUAAGAAAAAUGAUUUUCUAUUGAUUAGUUUCAUUAUGGAAAUACAAAUAUAUAUAUAUAAUAAAAAUUAAUUAAAAUUUUAUACAUUUUAAAAUUAUUUAAUAAAAAAUAAAUAAAAUGGUUCCAAAAAACAUAUUAAAAUAAUUUAUUUACUUUAAUUUUUUUUUCCUUCAUUUUUUUUUAUCUUUCAUCUAUUUUUCUUCAUUUCUUUCCCUCACUUAUUUCCUCAAAAUUUUAAAUUUAUUUAACCAUUUUAAGUCUUCGUGCCAAUGCUAGUCAUAAACAAACAAUUGAUGAAGACCUUUCAGCCCUUCGGCCCAUGUAUGAUGUAUCACAAGAAUAUAUGAGUUAAUCAUGGACCCCAUCCUGUCCUCAACUUCAACUGUUGCUAUAAAUCUAAAUACUGAUGUAGAACCCUAUCUCAAAAUGGUCCGUUCGAUAGGCACCUACCACAAGACAAUUAAUCAAAACUACAAUAAUGAAAAAAAAUAGAAAAUAAAGCUUGAUUUUUUUGCCUAACUCACACGCAAUAGAUUAAGAACUUUGUUUAAGUCAAGAGUCAACAUGUAACAAAAGUCCUUGAAGUCAUUGUCUAAGGAAAAUAAUCACAAAAUAAUAAAUAAUACUUUAAGAUAUGAUGUAUAUAUUUUCUUCAAAAUGCAUUUCUAGACUAUUACAAUUUUCUUCCAUGAAUCACUUACUAACCUCAAUUAAUUGAAGAAAGCUACAUGAAUGAUGGAACUCCAUGUUAAGUGAUACAUAAAGUAAAAUAUAAUGACAAAUAAAUAAAAAAACGAAUAAAAUAAAGUAAAAUAAUAAAAUAAAUAAAUAAAUAAUCAUAUGAAAGAUGAAUAAAUAAAAUAAUAAAAUUAGGUUAAUAAACAAAUUAAACAAAGCGCAAAAUCCAAUAAUAUGACACGAAUUUUGAUGCUUUCAGCUUUACAAACAUGCUGCUAAAGACUCUGUUCUCCACAUGAUCAGUCUCAUCUCUCUUUCUCCCACUCGAAGCCGUCGGACCCGUACUGUGCCUAGGUCGCUUCGGAUCCGUGAUGGGGUUCAGAGUUUCUUGCCGAAAACCUCCCCUGCCACCGUUAGUGAAGCCUAAGAAAGGCUUUCUUGUGAGAUGAAACUCGGUUCUUCUGUUGAACAAGGACUUAGCUGAAGACGUGUGCGACGAAGCUAAGAGACCAUUUUCCUAAGCAUUGGCUUAUGGGAAGACCAUUCAGAUGAGUGUAUGAGUUUAAUGGAUGUGAGGAAUGGGAAUAUGAGUGAUAGAGCAGGCACCUAGGGCAAGUUAUUAAUGGCGGGUAUGAGGGAUGGGGAUGUGUGUGGUGGAGCAAAUAAGGAGUGGAGGAUGAAACCUGGUAGUGUUGAGGAACUGAACCUGAGUAGUGUCGGGUGGAAAAUAUGGAGCUGGGUUGGGUAAAAUUGAUGAGUAUUUUGGCUUGGGAUUUGGGUCUGAUAGAGAGGCUUUGUAAAAGUGGCCAUGCAGGAGUUAUUCACAUGCUUAUGAAUGGUGGGGGAGGGGGAGGAAACUCAAACCAGAUUUGAAAAUAAGAACAAAUUAUUCCCAAGCCAAAAGCCAAAGUAAAAAUAAAUAAAUAAACCAACAACAGCACACCUAUGAAUGGCUCAGAAAUCCAAUAUAUUCAAACACAUAAUAUGAUGUUCAUGCUUAGCAAACAAUCCACAAAAAGAAAUAGCUAUCAAAAUACUAAAAAAAACUCCACAGAAACCGAGAACUCUGAUCAGUUUAUUGUCCUCCCAUCCAUCUAUAUAUAUAUAUGUAUAUAUCCUAUACACGGAGUCUAAAUUCCUAAAUUGUAUAUGGUAACAUUAACAUUUCCUAUAUGUACAACCAAUUUCAUUCCUAAUUUGUAUAUGGUAACAUUAACAUCCCCCCUCAAAUUGAUGUUGGUAAGUCAACUAGCAACAAUUUGCCAACAAGAAUUGAUGUCGCCGUCGAGUCAAAGCUUUAGUGAAGAUAUUAGCCACUUGGAGAUCAGAAGAGAUGUGAGGAAGAGAUAUCACCCGACUUUCCAAGGUGUCUCGAAUAGAAUGACAAUCAACCUCAAUGUGCUUGGUACGUACAUGAAAAAUGGGAUUGGUGCCAAUCUGAAUAGCACUAGUGUUAUCAGCAUGAAGAGGUGUAGAAGUAGUCUGAGGAAACCCAAGCUCCUUAAGAAGACCGCAUAGCCAUACAAUUUCAGAACAAGUAGUAGACAUGGCAUGAUACUCGGCCUCAAUAGAGGAUUUAGAAACACAAUCUUGUUUCUUACAUCUCCAAGAAAUUAAGGCAUCACCUAAAAACAUACACCAACCCAUAGUAGAUCGACGUGUAUUUGGACACCCACCCCAAUUAGCAUCACUAUAGGCAACAAGUUGAAGAAAUGAGCCGGUAGGAAAGAACAACCCACGAGUAGGUGAACCUUGAAGAUAGCGGAUGAUGCUUUGAACUGCAGCAAGAUGGAGAUGCCGAGGAGAAGUCAUAAAUUGACUGACCUGAUGAACAGCAUAGGAGAUAUCAGGUCGAGUAGUGAUCAAGUAGAUAAGAUUCCCAACUAGGCGCUGAUAGAGAGUAAGACCAUCCAGAAGGUCCCCUUUAUCUUUCCUAUAUUUGACAUUUACCUCCAUAGGAGUAUCAACAGAAGAAGUGUCUUCCAAACCAGCCAAAGUGAUAAGAUCUUGAAUAUACUUAUGCUGGUUCACGAAAAUACCAUUGGCCUGAUGAUGAACUUCCAAUCCUAAGAAGUAUGUGAGUUGUCCAAGAUCUUUCAUAUGGAAAGUUGUAUGUAACAACUGCUGAAGCUUAGUAAUCAAACUACAGUCAGUGCUAGUAAUGAUAAUAUCAUCCACAUAAACCAAGAGAAUGACUAUACUCGACGCAGACUUGUGGAAGAAGAAGGAAUAAUCAUAUUGACUUUAGGUAAAGCUGAAGGAAAGAAUUGUAUUGCGAAACUUCUCAAACCAAGCUCGGGGCGCCUACUUGAGCCCAUACAAAGAAUGAUUUAGCUUACAAACAUCAUGAGGAGAAGAAUUAGUCAUACUAGAGGAAAGCUUCAUGUAAAUCUCUUUUUAGAGAUCACCAUGAAGAAAAGCAUUCUUCACAUCCAUCUGAUGUAGUUGCCAUGACUGUGAAGCGACAAUAGCUAAGAUGGUUUGAACCGUGGUCAUUUUGGCAACAGGAGCAAAUGUCUCCUCAUAAUCAACCCCAUAUUCCUGCUUGUUACUCAAAGCUACGAGACGAGCUUUAUACCGGUCCAAAGAACCAUCAGAACGAAGUUUUACAGAGAAAACCCAUUUACUCCCAAUAGGUUUGACUGUAGGAGGACAAGGAACAAUAUCCCAAGUAUGAUUCUCCUUAAGUUCUUGAAGUUUUGCUUGCAUUGCAUUUUGCCAACACUCAUGUUCCAUGGCCUGUUUGUAGCAAGAGGGAAUAGAAAUAGUGGAUAAAGUAGCAACAAGAGAGACAGGAGAGAAGAAUCCAUACCAAUCAGGGGGUCGAGAAAGACGAGUAGACCGACGAAGAGUGGUGGAAGCAGAAUUAGGAUUAGGCGUCGGGUCAAGAUUGGAAGGGGGCACAAAGGAAGUGGAAUUGGACUCAUGUCGACUACGUCUUUCAUACCUAAAACCAGGUUUGAGCCCUUCCACAAUUGUUGGGGAUUCAGAAAAACUAGGCAGAAGGGAUAUUGAUGCAGAUGGCAGCUCAACAUGAGAUGGAAAGAAAUAUUGAUUUUCAAAGAAAAUUACAUUUCGGGAAACUCGUAUACGACGAGCAUGUGGAUCAUAACAAACAUAACCCUUGUGAAGGAUAGCAUAACCAAGAAAAACACACUUAAUAGACUGAACAGUAAGUUUAUGUCGUUCAUGAGUAGGUAGAUGCACAAAACAAACACAACCAAAUGUACGAAGAUCAGAAUAUAAAGAAGAAUGACCAAACAACUUAGAGAAAGGAGAAACAUGAUUUAACAUAGGAGAGGGUAAGCAAUUGAUCAAAUGAACUGCAGUAGAAAGUGCUUCACACCAAAAACGAGGAGGAAUCGAUGAAUCAAGUAAAAGAGUUUUUACCACAUCAAGAAGGUGGUGAUUUUUCCUCUCAGCAACAACGUUUUGUUGUGGUGUCGAAGGACAAGAACGCUGAGAGAUGAUCCCUUUGCUUUGAAGAAAGUCCUGAAGCUCAUUAGACAUGUAUUCUCCGCCAGAAUCAGAGCACAAGACCUUGAUGUUGGCAGAGAAUUGAGUCUCAAUAAGUGCAAGAAAUCGCUUAAAGACUGAAAAAACUUUAGCCUUAGCUCGGAGAAAGUAAACCCAAGUAAAGCGACUAAAGUCAUCAAUGAAAAUAACAAAGUACUUGUCAUGUGCAUGAGAAACAAUAGGUGCAAUCCCCCAAACAUCACUAUGUAUAAUAUUAAAACAUUGUGAGGCAUGAGAUGUAGAAUGAGGAAAAGGUAGAACUUUACUUUUGCUAAGUUUGCAUGAUGUACAAUCGAAAGAAAGAUCAAGAGAAGAACAUACUUUAAUUCCCAAUAAUCCAUAAUUAAACAAAGUACGAAGUACAUUAGAGUUUGGGUGGCCAAGAUGUCUAUGCCACAUCUUAUGUCCAGAACCAACAACAUUACAUGCAAAGGAAAGUAAAAGAAAACUAGGAAUAAUAGUGGAAGUAGAAACAUGAAGAGGAAAGAGUCGUCCCACUUUAGGCCCCUUUGCGAUUAUCUUCCCGGACACUUGAUCCUGCAUAACACAACCAGAACGGGAGAAAUUGACAUUACAAUUAUUAUCAACCAAUUGACGAACAGAAAGAAGAUUUGUGGAGAGGUUAGGAGACACAAAAACAUCAGUUAAGGAAGAGGAAAAAUCACCAACAACACUGAUAGGCAGAGAACUACCAUCAGUAGUGUUAAUUUUCAAAUUUCCAUCAUAAUUUCUGACAUUGGAAAGAUAAAGAACAAUAUUCGUCAUAUGGUUAGAAGCUCUAGAGUCAAAAUACCAUGGCUUAGAAGAAAUCGUAUGAUUACCUGAGAGCCUAAAACAGAAAAGCAGAAAUGAUCAUUUGUUGUACCAUUUCAGGAGUGAGUGUGUUCGGGUUUGCUAAGGCUGUAGGAGCAAGAAUAGGAACAACCAAAGAGGCAGUUGGCAAUGCAGUAGAACUAGAGGCACCGAUGGAGACAUGAUAAGCAGUACCCUGCUUUCUUUCAGGCCGAAUGGGAUAAGCAGAGAUGAUAUGACCUUGUUUCUUGCAGUAGUUACAAAACUUCUUGGGACAAUCCCGAGCAAUGUGACCAAAAUCUUUACAACUAAAGCACUGGACAGCCCGCAUAUCUCAACCCUUAUUUUGCCCUUGUGCUGCAUAAGCUACAGAAACGGGUGCACUAACAUUAGCCCGAUGUUCCAUGGUAGCUUGAGUUACAAUACGCUGCUCCUCACGCAAAAGUUCACUCAAGCAGACAUCUAGAGAUGGUACAGGAUGACGAUUCAUCAGAUUAGACUGUGCAAUUUCAAAGUCGGGUCGUAGCUUUAUCAAGAAUUGAUAUCUCUUGCUGGUUGUAUGCAUUGCUUGGACAGCAGAGAGAGCUGUAGCGGGAACAUUAGCAUAAACAAUGUCGGAAUAAUCAGUCCAAAGAGUUUGAAAACCAGAAAAAUAUUCCUCAAUUGAGAGACUUCCUUGUGUGAAAUUAGCCAUCUCAUACUAUAAUUGAAAACUCCUAGCAGAGUUGUCUUGAUUGUAAACCGUGUGGAGAUAAUUCCACAUAGCAGCAGCAGUUUUAUAAGGCCUCAGGUUGAGAACAAGGUGAAGUUCAACUGAGCUAAGGAUCUAGGUCAUAACCCGAGCAUCCUUAAUUUCCUACUUGGACAAAGCCUCGGUAUCACGAGGUGCAGGAUUACUCCCAUCAGUAUGACCCCAUAAUUCUUUUCCUUUGACAAAUAAUUUAAAUUGAAACUACCAAGCACAAUAAUUUUUGCCAGUAAAUCUAAUAGGAAACGAUUCCAACUUAUCUGAUGACAUGAUGCAACUGAGAAACAAAGGAAAUAGCCCACCAGAAAAUUGGAAUAGAAACGGCCAAGAUCUAGGUUGCGAUGAACUCGAUCAACACUAUUUUUUAUGCCAAGCAUUUGAUUGGUAGAAGAUCACGAACUCCACUCAGAAGGUGUCGAAACCUUGCUCUGAUACCAUGUCAAAAUACUAAAAAAAACUCCACAGAAACUGAGAACUCUGAGAACUCUGAUCAGUUUAUUGUCCUCCCAUCCAUCUAUAUAUAUAUAUAUAUAUAUAUAUAUAUCCUAUACACGGAGUCUAAAUUCCUUAAUUGUAUAUGGUAACAUUAACAAAUACAUGGUAAGCCAAUUUGUAAAUCUUUUCCUAUAUGUACAGCCAAUUUCAUUCCUAAUUUGUAUAUGGUAACAUUAACAAUAGCAAGAAAGAAGAACGUAUUAUGAAGAAACAUAAUCGAGAAUCGACAACAAUCAUACCUGAGCAAGUUUUCUCGAUUGAAGCUCACCCCAUUUCCAAGCUUUUUUCUUCUUUUCUUUUCAAAACAAAAUGGAUCUCACCUUAGCUUCUUCCUCAUACCUUUCGGUUUCUUCUUCCUAUUCCCUUUUGAUACCCAUUCUUCCCGUUUUUCUUUUCUCCCAAAACCUCACCUACUCCAAACUCUCUCACAUGUCUCUCUCCCGUCCCAUCUUCAGACUUCUUCUCUGCAUCCCCCUCUUCACCGUCCUCCCAUGUUCUUUAUUUUCAUGCAAGUUUCUACCGACUCUUUGCUUCAACCAUCAUUUCAUCUAUUUCGUUCUAGCCAUCCCCCUAUCCAGCUACUCCUCUAUAUGAAAUGCCUAGUUUACCCGGUCUCAAUGAGGGGUGGUAAAAAAAAAAAAAAAAAAAAACCUUUGGUUUAUAAUAGGGUCUACAAAUAUGCCCCUCUUCAGCAGAGUUCGCGAGUGUAAGGAAUAUGAAUACUAGAGUGAAAAGAAAGUGUGAAUAGUGAGUGGAAUGAAGUGAACUCUACAGAAGAAAAAGAAAGACUCUUAAAGGUACACAAGUAUAACACAAACUCGCUCAAACUAACAAAGGACCAAAAGGGGUUCUAAAAUCCUAAGAGAAUGAUAGCUCUCAGAGUGCCUCUAAAGCUGCGCUAUGGAUCCAGGCUCCCUCUAAGAUGCCUACCAAAGUGACUCGAAGAUCAAUGUCAAAGAUGAGUAAUGGUCAAACCACCUAGGAGUAUAGAAAAGAAUGCACCUAAAGGGGACUGCCCUACAUGAACUACAUGAGAACGCUAAGUGUAGGGUGUCGAACAACAUGACCGAAAUAUGUGUCGUGAACUCAAAGGACUAGGUCAUGUGCAGUGGAAAGGGGAGUAUAGAAGAGCAUGAUGAACAAGCGAUAAGCACAAGGUAAUGAGGUGAGGAAAAUGAGGAUGAAUGUAAAAUCGCGAAGACAAAAUGUACGAUGCUAGUGAAUAUGAAUGCCAAGAGCUAUGACUGUGAAUGAAAAGUUGGGGGAAAAAAUGAGUCUGAAUGCCAAAAAAGAGAAAAUGUGGUGACUCAAAAUGUCAGAAUGAGUACGCACAAUGGCUCUCAACAUCAAAACUAAAGAAAGAUGUUGACACCGAAUACCAUGCUGAACAAUGGCUCUAAAUGCCAAAAUGAAGAUGCGGCUUUGAACGCCAAACUGAAAGAGAUAUGGUGGAUCUGAACGCCUAACUGAAGAAAGACAUGAUGACUCUGAAUCCCGAACCGAAGACAUGACUCUAAAUGCCGAACCAAAAAAAUGAUAACACUAAAUACUAAAGACGAAGCUUUGAAUGCCCAAACUAAAUUGACAGAUCUUAACGCUAGGAAUGUAGCUCUGAAGGCCGAAAAAGUGGCAGUGAAUGCUCGAUUAUGAUAGAAUGGUGGCUCUACAUGCCUAACUAAAUAAAGACAUGAUGACUCUGAAUGUCGAACCAAAAAACUGAUAACACUGAAUACUAAAGACGAAGCUCUGAAUGCCCAAACUAAAUUGACAGCUCUGAACGCUAGGGAUGUAGCUCUGAACGUCGAAAAGGUGGCAGUGAAUGCCCAAUCGUAAUAGGAUGGUGGCUUUGAACGCCAAACUAAAGAAAGACAUGACGACUCUGAAUGCUAAACUGGAGAUGCGGCUCUAAAUGCCAAACUGAAAACAUGGCUCUGAAAGCUAAACUGAAAAGGUAUGGCGGUUUUGAACUCCAAACUGAAAAAGAUAAAGGCUUUGAACACCAUAACUGAGAAUUAACAUCUCUGAAUGUCAAACUGAGAAAGACGAAUUUGAACGUCGUAACUAAGAAACAAUGAUGACUCUGAACGUCGAGCUACAAUGAGAUGGUGGCUCUGAAUGCCAAACUGAAAAGAGAUGGUGGUUCUGAACGCCCAAACUGAGAAAAGAUGGUGGGCUUUAAACGCUGAGUUGUAAAGAGACGAUGACUCUGAAUGCCAUAACUAAAAAGAGAUGGUGGCUUUGAAUGCCAAACUGAAAAGAGAUGGUGGCUCUGAACACCCAAAUUGAGAAGGGAUGGUGGCUCUGAACGCCAAACUGAAGAAGAUGAAGGCUCUGAACGCCAUAAUUGAGAACCGACAUCUCUGAAUAUCAAACUGAGAAGGACGACUUUGAAUGUCGUAACUAAAAAGAUAUGACGACUUUGAAUGUCGAGCUAUAAAGAGAUGGUGGCCCCGAACGCCAUAACCAAGAAUGGAUGGUGGCUCCGAAUGCCAAACUGAAAAGAUAUGGUGGCUCUGAACACUCAAACUGAGAAGAGAUGGUGACUCUAAAUGCCGAAACUGAGAAGGAAUGGUGGCUCUAAACGUCGAAACUGAGAAGAGAUAAUGGCUCUGAAUGCAAAACUGAGAAGGAUGGUUCUGAAUGUCGUAACUAAGAAAAUAUGGUGGCUCUGAAUGUCGAUCUACGAGGAAAUGAUGAGGACGGAAAUAUACCCUAGUGUAGCAUGCCGCCACAACUCUCAAUCCACUGGAAGAGUUUGAAAGAAGCUCCCUGAGUCUCAAAAGAUGCUCUACUAGCUAGUCGGAAUGGUCAAAUCAACUAUAAAUAUGGCCUCAUAACCCAUCUGACUAAAUCGUGAGGCCUGACGAAAUGCCACAAUAAGUCAAACAUCUCUAACUCAAAAUGCUCUAUUGGAAGAAUCCAUCAUCAUCUCAAAUGAAUGAUCCAAUAGGGAGUCUCAAGAGAAUAGUCCGUCAGGGUAACUACCGCGACCUCAACACAAAAAUCUAUUGAAAAGUCAUGGAUAGCUGGGCAGCCAAAACCCAGAAGGUCGUGCUCAUUCGAAGGCUCAUCUCGGCCAAAAUCACCAAAACUGUGACCAAUAAUGCAAAGAAAUAUCUCUUGUUCAAGUAAUGAAGAUUGUAAAAGGUCUGUGAGAAAACAAUCAUCUCCAUAGCUAAAAGAGAUAAACAUGCCCCAGUAUAGCAAUUAGGGCAUUUUGUCUGUCCUGAUAACUCGAGAAUAACUCAAUGGGGAUGUGUAAGAGAUUUGACAUGUACUCCAUUGAAAUGAUGACAUGGGAGUCUAUGCGCCUGAGAUAACACUAUCACAGAAUCACGACAAUAUCAGAAAGUAUGAACCUGACUGAAUGACUCAAGAAAAGCUCCACUAGGGAAUCAUCGUAAAAUAAAAACAGAUCAUCAACUCGACAUGUAUCUCGUAAAUGAGGAUGAUCAUGCAAAUCAAUGGAUAUCUACAAAUCUCAACCAAAACAUAAAUAUGCCCCAAUAUGGCAUCAGAUGUGUGGUAGGUCGAAAAAUCAGAUGACACCAAAUCAUCCAUCACCAAGUGUGUAAUCCUAGUCAUCCACGUCCAUAACUAAAUCGGAUUAACAGCUCAAAGAAGUGUCUCCCAAAAGAAGAAACAUGAUGAUAUCUAAAUGCCAAAAAGUGUGAGCUUGAUUGGAUGGCCCAAGAGAGACUCCACUGGGGGAUUGUGAUAAGAUAACAAUAGGCUAUCAACUUAACAUGCAUCUCGUGAGUGAUAAGGAUCAUGUGACUCCAUGAAGAUCUACAAAUCUCAAACGAAAAGGAAAUAUGCCCUAGUAUGGUGUCAAAUGUAUGGUAGAUCAAAAAAUCAAACAACAUUGGAUCAUCCAUCAUCAAAUGUGCAAUCUCGGUCAUCUAUAACCACAACUGAAUCGGGUCCAAAUGUCAAAGAGGCAUCUCCUAGAAGAAAAAGCAUGAUGAUAUCUAAAUAUCAACCAAAUCUCAAAUACCUGUCCAAGUAUGGGCUAUCAAAGACGACAUCUAAUCUUAUGGCCUCAAGGUGGUCUUAAGACACUGUAUGUAAUGUAGGCUAGGGUGAUAAGAUAAUAGAAACAAAGGAAAACUAGGCCUAAAUACCCAAUGAUCACAAUAUGUAUAGAAAAUCUCACGAGCCAUGGACUUAAGGAUCCCCAAUGUGAAUAUGGUAACAAUAAUGAGGUAGUGAAGAAAAUCGAACUGAUAAUGAGAUGCGUAAGGAUGACGCAAGGGAAAUAUCAAACCUGAAAUAGGUUAGUGUAAGAAAAAAACAAGAGGGUGAAACAAAUGGGAUGAAUCAUAAGCAAUGACAAGGAUGAUAGCAAAACAAUGAAUAUACGAAGAAAAGUGAUGAUCAACUCAAAUCAAACAUGGAGUGAAGUCACAUUAACAAUGAAUGUAAUGAUGGAAAGGACAAUGACCUAGAGCUCCUAGGAGAAGGCCACUCAUCUCACUCUCAAAGAAAUAUGACAAAGUGAAUACAAAGAAAAGAGAAUCUUAGAAAGCUCACAUACAAAGUCUCAACAACAAACAUACUCGAUAAAAUGACCAUCAAAUAUCAAUAUACAAGCUCAAUGAUGGAGAAUACUAUGCACAUACACACAUGUGCUUAUUUUUCUUUUCUUUUCAUGUUUUUUUUUUUUUACAUAUAUACAAAUACACAUACCUUGAACAUAAACAAAUGAACCCCAAAUAUGAUAUCAAUAAUGGAUAGACACACUCUCAAGUGCUAAGGAAACAAAAACUUUCUCUAAGGAGAUGAACUUCUCAAACUAAAGAUCUUUAAAUUAGUGUCCGUGGGAUAGAUAGUGAAAAUGAUGUGACUAUCCUCCAUGUAAUGAAUUAAGGAGGAUCACCACUCAGGGUGGAGAGAAAAUGAAGCAAAAUAAGCAUUAGUAGAAUAAAGAAAAAGAGAUGAAGAACACAACCAAUGAGAUAUGAAGGAAUGUAGUAGUACGAUGGUAGGAAAAAUAAUGAGAGAAUGAUGUGCCCGUAGGCCUAAGGCUCAUGAAACUCCUGAAUGAAGCAUGCAUACACUAAAGGGCCCCUAUCCCAGUUGAUUACUACCCAAAAAGUGCUAUUUUGCACCUUUAAUUCAUUAUGUUUUAAGCACUUUUGUAUAGUAGUUCUCCAUUUUUAUUCCAAUUGGCAUGUUAAGGACUUAGCAAUGACUUCUAAUCAUAUUUGUGGCUAGUUUUAGUGUUUUGACAGCUUUUUGGAUCAUUAAGACAAGCCAAGUAAAGGAGAGAAGCAAAGAGGAAAAACAGAGCAAAGAAGCAGUUUUUGUAGCUGUGCACUAUCACUUUGGGAGGCUCUAUUUUGUUCAUCGUGCAAAAUCACCUUUCAAGAAUCCCAUAUUCGGAACCGGCUCGGAAUUGCUGACAAAUCAAGUACCUAUAGUGGUAUAUUUCCAUUCGUAUAAGGAGCUCAAAAUGGCAAAUUUCGCACUUUGUACUAUUCAUGCAAGUGCGAAUUUCGCACCAGCCCAUGCGAGUGCGAAUUUUGCACCUUGUAUUGUUCAUGCGACUUUGGUGCGAAAUCUCCUCUGUUCUGACGACUCCACAUGAGAUCUUUUCUUUUGUAUUUUUUGAUGUAAAUUCCUUUCUUAUCCCUGUAAUUAGCCAAUCACAGGCUUUGCUUUGUAAAGACUAUAAGAGGGGUGGAAAUCAUCUCUCGGAGGGGACUUUUUUAUAUUUUACACUGAGUGAAAUUUUCCUCUUGGGGAGAAAUACAGAGCUCUCUUUGCUUUCCUUUUCUCUCUUCUAUUUUCUUUUUCUUGGAAGCCAAACAACCUCUGAGGAUGUUUUCCCAGAGGAUGAGAGGCUAAACCUUUGGUUUCUUGGAGUGAAGGAAGCUAGGUGAAAAGUCCAGAUGCAAAAGUGGAAAACUCUAGUGCCUUAAAUACAGGUAGUUGGAGUUCAUAAAUGGCUUUUAAAUCUAAAGUUUUGCUUUAAAUCCCUUAGAAUCACUUUGAAUGACCAAUACAUGAUAAGCUUUUAGGUCUCUGUGGAUACUUAUUGCUAGAUCCACAAAAGACCAUUAGUUAUCAUGUACGAGCCAUUGGAAAGUGGCUCAAGGUGAAGACCCAUAGUGUCUAAAGCCAUUAAUGGAACUUGACUACCAUUUCUAUUGACUUUUUAUGGAUUAAAUCUUCAUUGUUAAACCUAUACUGGUUCGGGAAACAACCAUCCUUUAUGUUGUUGUCCCCAAUACGAGGAGAAAAAUCCGGAAUUUCCCACUUUGCAUUCUGAACUUGAUCCUAGCAACUUUUAGCUCCGGGAGACUUUCUUUCUUCCAUUUUUACCUAGUUCUAUGUUAGUUUAGUUCCAAACACCACUUUCAAAACAAAUUUUGUUUUCUUUUAAACUUUAAGUUUCUGACAAAGGAAAUCAUCAGAUUCAAUUUCUAAUCUUGAGUCUAUCACUGGUAGAGUGAAAACCCAUCCCAGAGUUUGACCCUAGAGCUGCUAUACUAUAGUAGCUUUGCUACGCUAGUAUAAGGUCAUAGGAUUUAUAAACAUUUUUUAUUAAAAUACCCAACUGGGCACGAAUCACCAGUGCAGAAAUGUAAGCAAGGCAAUAAGAAAGAAAGACUCUGAUGCAUAUGCGAGACUCAAUGGGCUAGCAACGGUCUGUAUGUCAAAAAGGAAUAACAAGGUAUAUUGCUAACCGAAAUGAUGGCCGCCCAUCCUACGACCAUGGUCUCAAACAUAAUAUUUCUUUAGCUGAUCUACAUUAGUUGACUCCAAGAAUCGGUUUCCAUCUAGAUCCAUCAACCAUGUAACGCCAUCUGGGGUCAGCUCCCUAAUGAAAUAAGGUCUGCUCCAAUUAGGUCUAAACUUCCCUCCGGGAUCUCUGAUCAAUCCCUUGAUGACCUUUAGAACCAAGUCACCUCUCUAUAGCGAUCUAGGCUUGACCCGCUUUUUGAAUGCAUGGGCCAUCUUCCUCUGAUAAGCACGAACAUGGUCUGCUGCCCUCAAUCUCCUCUCAUCUAGGAGAUUGAGCUGGUCUAAUCAAGCCUAGGCCUAAUCUACCUCCGAAAUUUGCUGCUCCAAUGCUACCCUCAACGAACCCAUCUCUAUCUCAACUGGUAGCACUGCCUCCAUACCAUAUACUAAGGAGUAAGGUGUAGCUCCUAUAGAGCUGCGAAAAGAAGUCCGAUAAGCCCAUAAUGCAAACGAAAGCUUCUUUGACCAAUCCCGAUAAAUCUCAAUCAUUCUCCGUAAGAUCCUCUUAAUAUUCUUAUUCACAGCCUCUACCAUUCCGUUUGUCUGCGGCCUGUACGCCAAUGAUCUAUGAUGCUGGAUCUUGUAUCCCUGUAGUAAAGUGUCAACAUCUGCUCUGAAAUGCACUCCUCUAUUUGAAAUCAGCUCAUGAAGGACUCCAUAGUGACAGAUAAUGUGUGAUCUGAUGAAACUAGCAACCCUAGAUGAUGUCAAUCUUGCAUAUGAAGCAGCCUCCACCCACUUGGUGAAGUAAUCAAUGGCGACCAAGAUGACCUCAUGACCACUGGAAGACUUCGGUGAAAUCUUCCCAAUAAUAUUUAUACCCUAUACUGAAAAUGGUGAUGGCGAAGUCAAUGCAUGUAACUGAUUACUACUCAAAAAGGGCUAUUUGAUAGCUUGUAAUUAACUCUUUUAAACACUUUUGAGUAGUAAUUAUUGCCCUUUAACCCAAUUAACAUAUUAAGGACCUUUGCAAUCACUUCUAAUCACUUUGUGUAAGUUUUGGUGUUUUUGUUAGUAAUUUGAUCACCAAAGCAAUCCAAGAUGGAGGAGAGUUAUUUGGAAUCCAUGGUAAAGCAAUAGAAAGCUCAGGAACAUGAAGAAUCAGAGAUUUGAAGCCUUAAAGUCCUUUGCCAUAACCAAUCUGGAUUGCAAGGAGGAGAAGUAAAGAGAGAAUCCACCUUGAAGCAUUCUUGAUGACAGUCAUUUCAGCCACUUUUGGAGUACUUCCUGAAGUCCAAUUUAUGCAUACUUUAUGUCGUUUCGAAGAUCGGGAAGUCAACAAUCCAAUGCUUCAAACGGUUCGCAAAUCAGAGUUGAAAUGAAGAAGUUAGAGCCAAUGGAAGCAGAUCACUCCAAGCUGAAGGCCAAUUUCGCAGGGCUGCGAAAUCAGCCUUUGGCUGCGAAAUCAGCCUUUGGCUGCGAAAUCAGCCUUCGGCUGCGAAAUGAUUUCGCAGCCAUCUUGUUCAUCUGCGAAAUUUCGCAGCCAUUUUGUGCGCCUGCGAAAUUCUCCCGAGUGCUUCCAGAUAUUUGCGACCAUCGUUUUUUGUUAUUUUGCCUCAGAUAUUUGUUGUCUAAAUGCCAAUUCUCUCCUUGUAAUCCACCAAUUAGAUGAUUCCUUAGUUGUUGAGCAAGGAUGCAGGGGUAAACAACCUGAUAUGUAUUGUUUUGUAAUUUUCACUUUAAAAGGUCGGGGAACUUUCCCCAGGAGACGAACUUAUGUAAAUUUUACACUUAGUGAAAUACGAAAUAUCUUUUGCUUUCUUUUUCUCUCUACUACUUUCUAUUUUCUUAGUAGCCAAACAUCCUUGGAGGAUGAAAUCCCCAAGGAUGAGAGGCUAAGACCUUUUGGUUUCUUGAAGUAAUGGAUGCCAUGUGAAGCUCCCGUGUCAGGAUGGAGAUUUCCAAGCCAUGAAUGUAAGUAGUUGAGCAUCAUAAAUGUUUUCAUCCAAAGUAAAACUUUUAAUCCCUCUGACUUGCUUUGAAUGGCCAAUACUUGAUAACCUUUUGGUCUCAGUGGAUUCUUAUUGUUAGAUCCACUGACGUUCAUUAGUUAUCUCCUACGAGCCAUUGUAUUGCAAGUCGAGGAGAUGACCUAUUUCAUUAAAAGAGCAUUUAUGAGGUUCAGCUACCCUUUUUGUAAGUUUUGAAGGACUAAAACUCAGUUGUUAAACACAUACCGGUUCGGGAAGUAAGCAUCACCUGAGUUGCUUCCCCAACUCGAGGUGAAAAGUUCCAAAAUCUCCAUUUUUACACCGUGAGUUAAGCAUGGCUAUCCAAAGCUUUGAGAAACUUAUUUUUCUAUCUUUUAACCUAUUUGCAUGUUAGUUUAGUUUACAACACUUUCAUCUUUUUAUGUUUUCAUCUUAACCUAAUUUUUAUUAAGAAAAGUUCACUCCAUCCUCCGAACUUCAUCAGUUAAAGUAAAAACCCUUCCCAGUGUUCGAUCCUAGAGCCACUAUGCUAUAGUAGCUUUGCUACUUUAGUGUAAGGACGUUAGGUAUAAAUUUUGUUGAUACCCUUACAUGCCAAGCUACCAAGAGUCGGGUUAUCAGGCAUAUCUGCAAAUCCAAUGUUAGCGUACCCAAAACCUCUCUACUUGUACUGUCAUAGGCCCGAACUGUCUGAGAAGAUGGCUUAAAGUUUGAAGGUCCGAAGCCAAGAGCGACUACUGUGGCUAGCGAGCAAAUGUUCAAGGCAUAGCCAUUGUCUAAGAGGACAAAUGGAACUCGAUGCCUAGAACAACCAACAAAAAUGUAGAGAGCGAGGUAGAGUAUGGUUAAAACCUCUAGGGGGUAGAUCAUCAGCAGAGAAGACAAUGCAUGUGGCCCUAUCAGCUGUCAACAUGUGGAUCAAUUCCUCACGAGAGGUAGAUGUCUUAACUCGUAUUUGACUCAAUGCCCUGACUAGUGCCUCCCGAUGGGAUGUAAAUGAUGCAAAAAGACUCUAAAUGGAGAUGCGGGCCCGAGUGCUCUAGAGCUGCCUUAAAAUCUCAUCAUCCUCUUGUCUAGUCUCAUCUCAAGUAGCGUCACUCUCUAAAGGUCUAGUAACUGUGGGAGGCUGCUAUUGUACCACUCUCUCCCCAUAGAUGACAUACUGAACAUACUGAGCAACCGUCUCAUCAGGAUCUCUAUUCAAUAUAAACAGAGACUGAAUGUUAUAGCAUAGGUAAAUCAAUGGCCCAAUCGUGGUCAACUGCAAUGGUGGCAUGCCAGGGACCAAUCUAAAUGGUGCAGAUGCCUGUAAGUUUGAGAUCACUCCAUCAACCUCAUAGUUCUCAUCCACUACUAUGGGCUCCGGCUCAUAAUCAUCCCAACUCAACAUGUGAAUGCGAUCAUUAGGCUUAGUGAAAUCCAUGAAGUGUAUACUACUAGCUGGUGGAGGGACUGCAUGUGUAGUAUGGAUCGGUAAUGGGUUAGGGUUACACUCAGCUGACCCAAGUGAACCAAACCCUAAUCAAUCGAGUCCCAAAUGACAUGUCUUAGAGCAGGACAACGAUCAGUCUCAUGCCCUGGCCCCUAAUAAUAUGCGCAAUAUAAAUCCAUCCUAAACUGUGGCGGGAUGGGUUGAGGCAAUGACCUAGAAGUAAGAUUUGUCAACAAUCCAGCCUCAGUGAGCUUCUAAAGAGCCUGGAUCAACGACAUACCCAACUGUGAAAACUGUCUCUACGUCCUCAAAGCAAAAUGAGUGGAAGUUUGUGGAGCUCUAGGUCUGAGAUAGGAAGCUGGGGGUCUCGCGGCAAUUUGUGCUGCGUAGCAUGGCUAUAUGGGGUAGAAUAGGAAGCUGGAGGUCUCUCUGUGCCUUGUGCGGCGUAAUAAGGCAGUGCUAGUGUGGAAGGCAAGUAGGCCUCAUCAUAUGACCGUGGAGGUGCUUAUGACCUAUACUGUUGAGGUGGUGGUGAGUAUUAGGGUCCAGAAGUCUACCCAAUUGUUUGAUAGCGUCUAGGAGGUCUCAACCCUACUGAACUAACAACACAAACAUCUCAUGAUCUCUGUCAUCCUAAAGACUUCUUCCCUUUAGAGUCAGUAGGGAAAGACUCGGACCAUAAUCCUUUAGCUAUGCUCUCCUCUAUACCAUACAAUGCCUGCACCAAAAAGCCAAAGUCAAUAUGAGGAAAUCCCAUCAAGUGCCUAGCAAAUCGAGGCUGGGAGCUUCUCACGAUCAUACUAAUCUGAUCCCUCUCAGAUAGCCUAUCAAUAACCUAUGUGAUUACUACUCAAAAAGUGCUAUUUUGUAGCUUGUAAUUAACUCUUUUAAACACUCUUGAGUAGCAAUUAUUACAUUUUAACUCAAUUUACAUGUUAAGGACCCUUGCAAUCGCUUCUAAUCAAUUUGUGUUAAGUUUUGGUGUUUUGAUAGCUUUUUGAUCACCAAAGCAAUCCGAGAUUGAGGAGAGUUGUUUGGAAUCUAUGGAAAAGCAAUGGAAAGCUCAGAAACAUGAAGAACCGAAGCUUUGAAGUCCUUUGUCAUAAGCAAAUCCGGAAUGCAAGGAGAGGAAGCAAAGAGAAAUCUGCCAUGAAGCAUUCUUGAUGACAGUCAUGUCAGCCACUUUUGGAGCACUUCCUGGAGUCCAAUUUAUACAUUCUAUAUACCAUUUCAAAUCUCAGGAAGUCAAGAAUCCAAUGCUUCAAACGGUGCGCAAUUCGGAGUUGAAAUGAAGGAGUUACAGCCAUUGCAAGCCGAUCACUCCAAGCUGAAGGAAGAAUUUUGCACAGCGUUGCGAAAUCACCCUUUUGUUGCGAAAUGAUUUCGCAGCCAUUUUGCACAGUGCUGUGGAAUUCCUCCUGAAGUUUCCCGAUAUAUGCGACACGUUGGAAGCUGAGCACCGCAAGCUGAAAGCCAACUUCGCAGCGCUGCAAAAUCAGCCUUUUUCUGCGAAGUGAUUUCGCAGCCCUUUUUGUGCAUCUGCGAAAUCUCGCAGACCUCGUUUUCACCUGCGAAAUGGUCCUUAGUGCUUCCCGAUAUUUGUGCACCGACUCUUUUAGAUCUUUUCUUCAGAUAUUUUUGUAUAAAUUUCCAUUUUCUCCUUGUAUUCAACCACUCAUAUAAUUCCUUAGCUAGGAAGUAUCCAAGGAAGGGUAAAUUACCUUCCUAUAUAAACUCUCUUGUAAACACUAAAAAGAGGACUCUCGGGGAGUUUUAACCAGGAGAUCCAUAUAUAGAAGUAUGUAAUAUAGAUAGAUAUAUAAAUAUAUAGAAUAUACAGAGCCUUGCUCUGUUUUUCCUUCUCUUUCAUUUUCUUUUUCUUUUUCUUUCUAGCCAACCAAACUCUGAGGAUUUUUCCUCAGAGGAUGAGAGGCUAGGCUCUUUGUCUCUUGGAGUGAAGAAAGCCGGGUAAGUUUCCGAAUGAAAAAUUGGAAGUUUUGUUGUUUUAGUUUUUAAUGAAGAGAAAGUGUGACCCGUUAAUGGUUUUUAUCUUUUUAGUUAAUGGUUUUUAUCUUUUUAGUUAACUUAAAACGCCUUUAAAUCACCUGGGCCAAUACUUGGUAAGGCAAGUGAUCUCCAUCCAUGGAGAUUCACUAGUUUAUCUUUUGCGAGCCUUUGGGAGGUGGUUUGAAGGUAGGAUUUUCUAGAAUAGCCAACACUUGGUAAGCUUUUGGACUCCAAGGAGACAUCCAUUAGUUAUCUCUUGCGAGCUUUUGACGGGUAAUCCAAGGUUAAAGAUCACCUUGAAUGGCAAGUGCUAGGUGAGAGGUAUGAGCCAUUGCAAGAUGCAUCAGUGAGAGGGAUUUAGUGUUUGAACCCAUUAAUGGGAGGCAUCUGUACAGCACCGGUUAGAGAAUUAACUAUAUGUUAAUUCUCUAAUGCGAGGAAAAGAAACAAGUGACCAGAACUCUCCUUUUUGUAUGAGGAACCUGAGCCUAGUGAUCUGAACUCCAAGAAACAUUUUUCUUUGUAAGUAAAAUCAGUUACUAUUUUUGGUUAGUUUAAAUUUAAACCUUUUUCAUUCAAACAUCUUUAUGUUUUCUUUUAAAGCUAACCUUGAAAUGAAAAGACACCAAUUCAACUUUGAAUUAAUAUCAUUUGCAAAGUGAAAACCCAUCCCAGUGAACGAUCCUAGAGCCACUAUGCUAUAGUAGCUUUGUCUUUGCUACCCUAGUAUAUGGUGUAAUAGGUUAUAAAUUUUGUUGAUUAAUCCCUCAAUCAAGGAGCACCAGCUGGACACGAAUCAGCUGAGACACCAAUUGGGCACGAAUCACUAUGAAAUCUUUUCCCUCCAACGGGAGAUAAAUGAGGUGAUUGACUCCUCUGGCCUCUGCCUUAAAGCCUCCAACUCUUUCCUCGAAACAUCAAUGACAGUGUUAAAUGCAAACUGUCUCAAAAACUCCUAGGCCAAAUCAUCCCAAGUCCGACGGCGUGAUACAUCUAAUGAAGCAAACUAGCGCUGUGUCGCACCACUCAAGGACAUAGGGAAAAACAUAACCAUCUAGGUCUCAUCCAGUCCAUAGACCCUCAUAAUCAUACUGUAAAGCCUCAAAUGGAUGUGAGGACAGCCAAUGCCCGUGUAUCUCUCGAUCUUAGGCAUCCUAAACUUGGCCGAUAAAUUGGCCACCGGUGCUCCAUCAAAAUCCUCCCAAAUAAUAGCUCCAUCUGAAGCCCUCAUCUGCCUCAACCUCUACUCAAAUUUAUUCAUACGUGCAUGUGGGUCCUCUGAGGUCGGGAUAGGUAAUGCGAUAGGAGGCGGGGCAACCUCGGUCUAACUAUGUAGAGUGAAAGGUAUAGCUGUGGUGUUGAUUCACUGGGUGGAGGGGGUGGGGGUACUAUAGGGUCGUAUUGUGUGCCAUCCUGAGGUGAGAGCUAUUGGGUCUGCUGCCCAUCUAUUAUUUGGCAGAGGCUAGCUAUAGUCUCUUGAAUCGAAGCCAUGGCCGAAGCAAAUUGAUCAACUGUAACCACCUACGAAUCCAUAUCCCUCUUAUCUGAUCUCUGGUCUGAAUGGUCUGAUGCUCUGAUCAAUCUACCCCUAACUUUGAUCCAAGAAGCUGAACCCAGAUCGAAUGUAUCAAUACUCCUACAAUAGUGGAAAUACUAAAUAAGAUACGGUGUAAGAGAAACUCCAUAAGGAAUGUCUAUCAAAUAUGCUGAAAGGUAACCCGAAAGUAAUCAAACCGAUAUCCAAUUCUGAGCAAAUAUAUAAGAGAGUACUACAAAGGUAACUAAACCUAUCACUACUGACCCGGCUCUAAAGGCCCACAGAUGCACCCACAUGCAGGAAAGGAAAUCCUGAUCGAAGAAUCUAAGGCUCAACCUACAAGGUCAAGGCGGCUCUAAAAAGAAAAGAGGUGUUCUUUAAAGGAUCCCUAAUAGAACUGAUCAUACCCUCCGAUGGUACGCAACCCUCUGCACACCUCUGAAGAGACAGGACGCUUCCAUGCAAGGUGGUCAUCAUUUCCACACAUGUACUACCUUGACAUCCUAGGGGGUUUCCUAUGGUGAAAACUGUCAUAACUCUUAGCACUCAGUAGUUGACUAAAGUGCACAGUGAGUGGUGUAGGUGCAUUCGAAAAUCGUAUGAAGCUAAAGUAGAAAAAAAAAAAAAAACAGACUGAUCACAUAAAUAUCCCUAAAAUCUAGCUCUAGGCUAUACAAGUCUUCAAAGGUCGGACUUCAAUCAGCAUCAAUGUGUCAGCCACCUCCAAAAUGCUCCCAAACAUAGAUAUAACCCAUCUUUAGACUCUACUCCUAAUCACUAGCUCAAUCGAAGAGCAAAUAAAGCAACAAGUCUCAUAUCAAAUACGAGAUCAAGGAAAACUAGUUUGAUUGAGACUAGGAACUUGGAGAUAAGAGGAUAGGUGUGUGUCCCACACAGAUAAGCAACUCAUGUAAUCACACGAAAUAAGAGAAGUCAUGCAACAGACAGUCAUGCAAAGCAUAUGUAUAUCACUCAAAUCUACACACAAGCUAGGCAUGAAUAUGAUAAUCGAGAUGAAUAUCUAGCAAGGAUAGCAUGUUCCAUGAUAAUCAAGAUAAUAUACACCAAGAGAAUCAAUCAUGCCAAGAUGAAUGAGAUAAGAAACAAGAAUAAUGUACAUGUCAAGGUGAGCAGAAUAAUCAUGGCAAUAGCAUAAUCGAUCAAUAUCAUUAGCAUGGAUAUAGCGGACAAGCAUGAAAAAUUGUCAUAUCAAAAUCCUCAAUGUGCUAUGAUCACUUAAGUAUAAAAAAGCAUAGAGGGAAUGUAUCCGUUAAUUGCCUAAUCAAACGCCACAUUUGCCUCAUCUUAAGUUCAAGUUUGACCUUCUAAACAUUCCCCAACGGAGUCGCCAUUUGUGGACCCCGAAUUUUGCUCGAUGCGUUCCCAUUUGAUGACGAAACUCGGUUUUUUAUUUAUUUAGUGAAAAUAUGAUUUUUAGAAAAGACUUGGAGUCGUCACUUAUUUUUGUUUUAUUUUUAAGGGAAAACAAAAUAAGAAAGAAAGCCCUAAGUAUGACUCUUUAUUUGGAAAAGACAAUCUGUGGAAAACCGAGUCUGGGUUCGAGGGUUAGAUUACUUGUUGGGAAGGUACGGUAAAGACCGUAGCACCCCUCUAAGCCCCUAAAAAUGGGUUUCUACUAAAUAAGGUGAAGCAAACGUGGCGAUUGAUAAGGAAAUCAAUGGAUAUCAAUAAAAUGAUCAAAUAAUAAAAUGAAUCAUGCGUAAGAAUAAGCAAAAUAAGAGUAGGAUCGUACCUUAGCAGCAAGUAAUAGUGCGCUAUCAUGGAAACAAGGUUAGCUCAAGUAUAAAAUCAUCACAUGCAUAUCAAAGAGCAAGACAAAGAUAAAGCAAUAUUCAUUAAGCAUGACAAUUGGCAAUCAAAAAAGAAAACUCAUAUGUAGGGCCCCCACCAAAGCCCAAUUUAUUUUGCAUGUGUUGGAAAUCAAGCCAGCAUCCUCUAUUUACUUCCCUAAUUAGUGUAAUGUACAGCCUUUAUUAUAAUUGAUUUAGGAGUAAUUCUAGCAAGGUAGUUUAUUCACUUUCCAUGUAAGAGUAGUUUAUUCACUUUCCAUGUAAGAGUAGUUUAUUUACUUUCUAUGUAAGAGUAGUUUAUUUAAUUCCCAUGUAAGAGUUUAUUCACUUUCCAUGUAAGGGAAAUUCCAUUCCAGAAUUGUCUCAUAUCCAUAGGCUAUUUAUUUAUGCUUUCAUUCAUUGUAAAGGGAGGUAUCACAGAAUGAAUUGAGGUGUUCCUCCAUAUUUUGUCUUCAAAUUCCUUCAUAUUUUUCUUCAAAUUCUUCAUGGUAUCAGAGCAGUUUAAUCCUGUCUCAUCGUCUCAUCUUUAGUCAGUUUUUUUACUCNNNNNNNNNNNNNNNNNNNNNNNNNNNNNNNNNNNNNNNNNNNNNNNNNNNNNNNNNNNNNNNNNNNNNNNNNNNNNNNNNNNNNNNNNNNNNNNNNNNNAAAUGACAGUUGGUAGUAAUUCUUUUUCGGUUUCAUGUCAAAAUAACGAUAAUGCAAUUAGGUUGUGGCACUAUCGCUUAGGUCAUCCAAAUGUUAUGUAUCUCAAGCAUUUAUUUCCUUCAUUAUUUAAUAAAAAUCCACAAUCCUUUGAGUGUGAAAUCUGUCAAUUAUCAAAGCAAGUCCGGUCUCAUUUUCCCAUUCAACCCUAUAAAGAGUCUAGUCCAUUCUCAAUGAUUCAUAGCGAUAUCUGGGGUCCAUCAAGAAUAAAAAAUGUAACUGGUACUAGGUGGUUUGUCUCAUUCAUAGAUGAUCACACUAGAUUAACUUGGGUAUUCCUCAUGAAAGAAAAAUCUGAAACGAGUCAAAUUUCAAAAAUUUUAAAAAUAUGAUUCAAACCCAAUUCCAGUCAAAAAUAUAAAUUCUAAAGUCUGAUAAUGCUAGGGAUUAUUUCAACUCCAUUCUAGGAGAAUUUCUAGCACAAGAAGGGAUAGUUCACUUAAGUUCAUGUGUUGAUACCCCACAACAAAACGGAAUCGCUGAAAGGAAAAAUAGGCAUUUGUUAGAGGUGGCUAGAUCACUAAUGUUCUCCAUGAAUGUUCCAAAAUUAUUCUGGGGGCAAGCUGUCCUUACGGCAACCUACCUCAUCAAUAGGAUGCCGUCUAGGGUACUAAAAUUCCAAACACCUUGUCAAACACUCUUAAAAUCCUUUCCGACUACUCGUCUCAUCUCCACCAUCCCACCCAAAAUUUUCGGGUGCUCUGUCUUUGUUCAUAUCAAUCAACAACAUAGAAGUAAACUUGAUCCUAGGUCACUCAAGUGCAUCUUUCUUGGGUAUUCUUCAAAUCAAAAAGGGUAUAAGUGGUACUCUCCGGUCACAAGAAAAUUCUACAAUUCAAUGGAUGUCACCUUUUUUGAAACCCAGCCUUACUAUCCCAAAAACGAUAUUCAGGGAGAGAAUUCAACUCAGGAAUAUCAAUUUUGGGAUCUUGAGUCAUUCAGUGAGUCACCCAUCACCACUGAAAAUCACAUUCCUCCAGAGUCAUUUAAUCAACCCGAGUCCAUUGUUGACUUGUGGGAUAAGGAGCACAUCCAAGAGGAAACGAAGGAAAGAGCACUUUCUCAACAAACCCAUGAGGCAGAACCGGGUCCUAAUCCAAGCAAACUUCCAGGUAACAACGCUCCUGAUGGUACUGUUGAUUCCGAGUUAGAAAAUGAUAUUCUUAAUAUGCCCAUAGCUUGGAGGAAAGGAGUUAGAUCAUGCACUCAGCAUCCCAUUGGAAAUUUUAUUUCUUAUGAUAAGCUAUCACCUACGUUUCGUGCAUUCACUUCUAGCAUCACAGAGAUACAAGUUCCUCAGAAUAUUCAAGAAGCUUUCAAGUAUCCUAAGUGGAAGGCGGCAGUCGAUGAGGAAGUUCGGGCGUUGGAAAAGAAUGGUACGUGGGAAAUUACUGACCUCCCAAGAGGUAAGAAACCAGUUGGGUGUAAGUGGAUUUUCACAGUAAAGUACAAGGCAGAUGGUAAUGUGGACAGGAAUAAGGCUCGGUUGGUCGCCAAAGGAUUCACCCAAUCCUAUGGCAUUGACUAUCAAGAAACUUUUGCUCCAGUUGCCAAGCUCAAUACUGUUCGUGUACUUUUAUCCUUGGCAGCUAAUCUCGAUUGGUCGCUUCACCAACUUGAUGUGAAGAAUGCCUUCCUCAAUGGUGACUUAGAGGAAGAAGUUUACAUGGACAUUCCUGUUGGACUUGAGGCGACAUCAAAUUUCAACAAGGUUUGCAGACUUCGAAAAUCCUUGUAUGGUCUUAAACAAUCUCCCAGGGCCUGGUUUGAACGGUUCACUAAGGUAGUGAAAGGGUACGGAUUCGUUCAAUGUCAAUCCGAUCACACAUUAUUUGUGAAACACUUCCCAGAAGGAAAACUGGCAAUUAUCAUUGUAUAUGUGGACGACAUAAUUUUGACAGGUGAUCAUGAAGAGAAAAUUGACUUACUUAAAAAAUUACUGACAAAGGAAUUUGAGAUCAAGGAUCUUGGAAACCUCAAGUACUUUCUCGGAAUGGAGAUUGCUAGGUCAAAGAAAGGUAUAGCAGUCUCACAACGCAAAUACGUUCUGGACUUAUUGAAUGAAACAGGAAUGCUAGGAUGCAAGCCGGCAGAAACACCUAUGGAUACAACUGUCAAACUGGAAGAAAGUGAUGGAAGUGCGCCAGUUGAUAAAGGAAGAUAUCAACGUCUUGUGGGGAAACUCAUCUAUCUUUCUCAUACAAGGCCAGACAUCGGCUUCUCCGUUAGUGUGGUAAGUCAAUUCAUGAAUAAUCCAACCGAAAAACACAUGACUGCUGUGAUCAGAAUAUUGAGAUACCUCAAGAUGACACCGGGAAAGGGUCUCUUCUUUCAAAGAACAACAAAGAAAGAGAAUGAAAUUUUUUCAGACGCAGAUUGGGCAGGUUCAGUGACUGAUCGGAGAUCAACUUCAGGCUAUUGUUCAUUUGUCUGGGGGAACUUGGUUACAUGGCGAAGCAAGAAACAGUCAGUGGUAGCCUGUAGCAGUACUGAGGCAGAAUUUCGUGCUAUGGCACAAGGUAUCUGCGAGGGAAUCUGGUUGAAUAGGCUGUUAGAAGAAUUACGGGUUCCAUUGAAGCAUCCCAUGGUGUUAUAUUGCAACAAUCAAGCUGCCAUCAGUAUCGCUAAGAAUCCGGUUCAUCAUGAUCGAACUAAGCACGUGGAGAUAGAUCGACACUUUAUCAAGGAAAAGAUUGAAGAAGGAGUUUUCAAAGUCAGCUACACUCCGACAAACUGUCAAACGACUGACAUUCUCACAAAAGCUCUUGCUCGAGUUAACUUCGAAGAUCUGACAGAAAAACUUGGAAUGAUCAACAUCUACAACGCGGCUUGAGGGGGAGUGUUGGAAAUCAAGCCAGCAUCCUCUAUUUACUUCCCUAAUUAGUGUAAUGUACAGCCUUUAUUAUAAUUGAUUUAGGAGUAAUUCUAGUAAGGUAGUUUAUUCACUUUCCAUGUAAGAGUAGUUUAUUCACUUUCCAUGUAAGAGUAGUUUAUUUACUUUCUAUGUAAGAGUAGUUUAUUUAAUUCCCAUGUAAGAGUUUAUUCACUUUCCAUGUAAGGGAAAUUCCAUUCCGGAAUUGUCUCAUAUCCAUAGGCUAUUUAUUUAUGCUUUCAUUCAUUGUAAAGGGAGGUAUCACAGAAUGAAUUGAGGUGUUCCUCCAUAUUUUGUCUUCAAAUUCCUUCAUAUUUUUCUUCAAAUUCUUCAGCAUGAAUUAAUAUCACAAAUUCCAUUAUUUUGGAAUUAUGAAAAAUUCAUUCAUGCUUAUUAAAAAUAUUGAAAAAUGAGAAAAUUAUUAAAAACCAAAUAAAAUCACAACAUGCAUGCCUGAAUAAAAAAAAUGGUGGCAAGUUUAUUAAAAAUUAGGUUUUGGUGAAUCAGGAUUUUAAUGAAGAAAAGAAAAAAAAGAAGAAAAUAACAAUCAUAAUAAUAAUAAUAAUAAUGACAAACAAAUAAAUAAAUGAAUAAAAGAAAGUAAAAUAAUAAAAUAAAUAAAUAAAUAAUUAUAUGAAAUAUGAAUAAAUAAAAUAAUUAAAUUAGGUGAAUAAACAAAUUAAAUAAAUAAAUUUAAAAGAUUUGAAACCAUUUGAAAGACAAAUUUUUGAAAAUCAAGUUUUGAAACUUAUUUGAAAAUUGAAGUUUUAAGAACUAAAUCAUAAAUUUGGAAUUUUAGAAAAAUAAUUUGAAAUUGGAAGUCAUGAAAAUUGGAACUUGGAAAAAUUAUUUGGGAAUGAGAUUUCUUAAAAAUUAAAUCUGAAAAUUAGAAUUUUAGAAAAUUAUUUGAGAAUGGAAAUUUCUAAAAGAAUAAAUUUGAAAAUUGGAAUUUUGAAAAAUUAUUUGAAAAUUAAAGUUUGGAAAAUUAAAUUUGAAAUUUGGAGUUUUAAAAAUUAUUUGAAAGAAAUUGGAGUUCUGAAAAUGAAAUUUGGAAUUUUAGAAUUUUUGGAAAAUUAAAUUUAAAAAUUUGAAUCUUGGAAAACUAAAUUCAAAAUUAGAGUCUUAGAAAAUUAUUUUGAGAAUUGAAUUUUCAAGAAUUAAAUUUUAAAAUUGGAGUUUUGGAAAAUUGAAUUUCGAGAAUUAAAGUUUUGAAAAUUAUUUAAAAAUUGGAAUUUUAAAAAUUAAAUUUAAGAAUUGGAGCUUCAAAAGUUAAAGUUUUGAAGAUCAUUCAAAAGUUAUAGUUUUGAAAAUUAUUUAUGCAAGUGGAAAACACGUGUAUGUGGGCUUGGGACUAAACGAUUAAAUGGCAAGUUGUCUUUGAAUUACAUAAUCGAAAUUUUCAUCGUAACUUCUGGAGGCUGCCAAUUAUGGAGAGUAUCAAAGCUGGGAAUAAAUAAAAGCUGGCCACGUGCACAUUGAAAUGGUUAUACAUAUGGAUUGCAAGCAUAUAGGAGAGAAUAGCAAGGAGCUGGUAGUUAGGUGGGUUAGGUGAUUGAAAAGUGAAGAAAUGAUCUGGAAUGGUUGGAGCUAGGGACCAAAGAUGCCCAACUUUUGCAUGACCCCAUUGAUCACGUUCACAUGUCAUUGCCCAUGCAAGAGUGUUCCCAGUCGUUGGUCAUAUACUCAUGUGUAUCCUCCUGUCUCGCAUUCUGAAGUUCCAAGAUAUGCACCAUGAGUUAGAGAUAAGAUCCUUGGGUGCUAAUAUUCUUCCAGUUGACUGAAGAGCACGACUGACAUGCUUCUGGAUAGCACACAAAGUGCAAAAUCCAACAAUAUGACACGAAUUUUGAUGCUUUCAGUUUUGCAAACAUGUUGCUAAAGACUCUGUUCUCCAUAUGAUCAGUCUCAUAUCUCUUCCUCCCACUCGAAGCCGCCAGACCUAUACUGUGCCUAGGUCACUUCGGAUCCGUGAUGGGGUUCGGAGUCUCUUGUCGAAAACCUCCUCUGUUGUCGUUAGUGAAGCCUAAGAAAGGCUUUCUUGUGAGAUGAAACUCGGUUCUUCUGUAGAACAAGGACCCAACUAAAGACGGGUGCGGCGAAGCUAAGGGACCAUUUUCCUGAGCAUUGGCUUAUGAGAAGACCAUUCAGAUGGGUGUAUGAGUUUAAUGGAUGUGAGGAAUGAGAAUAUGAGUGAUAGAGCAGACACGUAGGGCAAGUUAUUAAUGAAGGUAUGAGGGAUGAGGAUGUGUGUGGUGGAACAAAUAAGGAGUGGAGGAUGAAACCUGGAAGUGUUGAGGAACGGAACCUAAGUAGUGUCGGGUGGGUAAAACUGAUGAAUAUUUGGCUUGGGAUUUGGGUCUGAUAGAGAGGCUUUGAUUGAGGCUUUGCAAAUGUGGCCAUGCAUGAGUUAUUUACAUGCUUAUGAAUGGUGGGGGGUGGGGGGAGGAAACUCAAACCAGAUUUGAAAAUAAGAACAAAUUAUCCCCAAGCCAAAAGCCAAAGUAAAAAUAAAUAAAUAAACCAACAACAACACACCUAUGAAUGACUCAAAAAUCUAAUAAAUUCAAACACAUAACCUGAUGUUCACGCUUAGCAAACAAUCCACAAAAAGAAAUAGCAAGAAAUAAGAAGAAAUUAUUAUGAAGAAGCAGAAUCGAGAAUUGACAACAAUCAUAUCUGAGCAAGUCUUCUCGAUUGAAGCUCACCCCACUUCCAAGCUUUUCUCUUUUUUUCUUUUCAAAACAAAAUGGAUCUCACCUUAGCUUUCUCUUCCUACCUUUCGGUUUCUUCUCCCUGUUCCCUUUUGAUACCCGUUCUCCCCAUUUUUUCCUUCUCCCAAAACCUCACCUGCUCCAAACUCUCUCACACGUCUCUUUCCCGUCCCAUUUUUAGACUUCUUUUCUACAUCCAUUUUUUCACCUUUCUCCCAUGUUCUUUCUUUUCAUGCAAGCUCUAAUCGGCUCCCUGCUUCAACCAUCAUUUCAUCUAUUUUGUUCCAGCCAUCCCCUUCCCCAACAACUCCUUCAAAUGAAAUGCCUAGUUUACUCGGUCUCAAUGAGGGGUGGUAAAAAAUAAAAAUAAAAAAAACCUUUGGUUUAUAAUGGGGUCUAUAGUGGUAUUUAUUUUUUACUUUUCUCUAAAAUUUGAAUAAACCUAAAUUAUUAUUAUUUUUUAUCUUAAUUUUAAAAUGUCAAAAAUCGUUAAUCUAUUUUCUAUUUGUAGUAUGAAGAUUCGAAAAAUUCUUACUUCCCAUAAUGUUUGAACUUAUAUUUACCAUUUUUUUCUUCUUGAUCUAACAACAAGCUUGACUGCACAAACUUAGUCAGCAAUGAGAAUAAAAGUGACGAGGGUGAUAAAGUUCUCCCUAUACUGUAAUCCUGAUGGACUAAAAGGCCCAAAAUUCAUCUUAAUGGGUCAAAGUGAAGCCAUGAGCCUCUUUACAAUAGAUUAAAUUGAUUAUGGCCCAAAAUAAUACCCAUGCACAACCAAACAUAGUUUACAAUAUAUGUAGUCCAAUAACAUAAUUUCAACAUAUGAUUACAUUUUACUCUCCCUUUAAUGUUAAAUGACUUGAAAUAGUAAAAAGUUUUAUUUGAAAAUUUUUAUAUUUUCAAACUCUUGAUUCCUCUUUAUAAAUGUGGAUAAAGUUAAAGUUAGAGAAAUAAUGAAAAGAAUUAUUAAAAUUUAUUAAUCUUGAAGAGAAGUAUAAAAAAUGAAAAAUUAAUGAAAAAUUUUAUUAAAAUUUGCUAAGGUUAAUAUUUUUUUGUUAAUUUAUUUAUUACUUUAUUUUUCUUCAAUGUUAUUUUUCCUAGUAAUAUAAAUGUGGAUUUGGGAAGUACAUAUGCCAUUAUAUGACCCAAAAAUUAUUGGUUAUAGAAUAUUAGAAAUUCCGUAAUAACAUAAUUCACAUACAUUUUAUCUCAAAGUUAAAAUAGUCUUACCAGUUGUUAUAUAUCUAUUAGUGUAGUAGAUUUUGAGCUUGUCUUAAAAGUUCUUGCCUAUUGAUGCCUUUAUCAACUACUUUGCAAACCAAUUAUCCAAACUUGAAACACAAGAUGGUUGGGUGGUCAUCCAUCACAUCGCUUAUGGUUAAGUCAAUGGAUAACAAAAAAAGAAAGUGUUGAGAGUAGAUGCAAAAAUAAAUAUGGGAAUACGAGUGAGAGGAUAUGAUAGAUGAAGCUUAUUCUCUCUACUAGAACUUGAUCGGACCUUUAUAGUUCAUUACGUUAACCUAACCGCUAGGAGGUAAGUAGUUACCAUGUUAAAAAAAUUGGAAAAUAUUAAGGAAUGGAAUUGGUUACUAUUGACUUCCACCUUGAUUGUUGACUUUUGAAAAAUUAAUUUAGAUUGUUGGAUAAAGAUACAAAGAAAUAAGAAAAAAGCAUAAAAGUUCAAAUAAAUUAAACAUGAGAUCUAAAGGUACCAACUAGUGACCAAGACACCGAUUGGUGAUGUCUUUUCAAUAUCUAUAGGAAAAAAAGUACAUUUCGGUAUUAUGGUAAGAUCUUAAAACCCUUCUGUAUGUCUAGUGAUUGUUCAUUUUCUGGGGCGUUGAAAAGAAUUGUUUCUCCAACUAUAUUACUACCAUCACCGAUGUCCUCAUCAGUCAUGAGGCCUAGAUCAAUGACCAGCUUCGAUUCUAUCUUUUCUUCUCCAAAAUACUCUUGUGCAUUUCAAAUUAGGAGCCAAAAUCUGGUCAAAGAGAAACAAUAACCCAAAUUCAAUUCGGUUAACCAGCCAUUGAUGAAAGGUCUCUACAGAUUGUUGUAUUCUUCGCUUCACGGUGAUGAAAUGUAUAUCCGGGGACUGAAUCACUAGCUAUUUAAUUCGGCUUUCAGAUCUCUAGUUUCGGUUCUUAUGCUAGCCAUGUUCGCCACCAUGGCAUUGAUUUAUGUUGUCGACCGGUGAGUUCUCGCACUGUUUUGUAUUGUGAAAUGUUUUUUCGUUUCUUAGUUGUAAUAGUGCUCAUGGUGUGGUUAAUUUCAUUAAUUUAGGUUUUUUUUUUAAUUAUAAUUGGUCUAUUUUUUUUUAAAAAAAAAAAAAUUGUUUUUAUCAAAAUUUGCUAUUGGUAGGCUAUGGUUGGAUUCUAAGAAUAAGGUUUAUUUGAUUAAAGAGCUUGAUAUUGUUAUUCAAUUGUAGCUUCAAAUUUUCUUCCCCAUAGUUUGUUAAUGCAUUUUUUGGGACUAUUUUGUUAUCGUGAUUAAAUUAUAGAAUUAUAAUGAUACAAAUGGGGUUUUGACAUUGUAUAUAUGGAAUCGGAAUCAGUCCAUCAUGAUUUAAAUUAAUUAUAUGUUCUAUAACAUUACAUUGCAAUGCCAAAUAAACUGGUGAUUUGCAUGAGCUCAUUUUUUUUUCUUUUCUUUCAUUAUGUUUUUGUCUUUUUUUUUUUCUUUUAUUGAAAUGCAUUACAUUUCCUAUUUUCAUUUUUCGAAAUUAAUCAUUUAGAGUAAUUGACUAGAUAAUGGGUUUUUCUAUUUUAAUAGUUUUUAGGUACAAUGAGCCAAUGACACAUUGCAAAUUAUAGCAUGCAAGUAAAUAAAUUAUAGCUAUCCUUCCUUCAUGUGGGGUUCUUUUUUUUGGGCUUUUGUUAUAAUAGAUAAAAUAUAAUCUAGAGGUCAUGGUGAUGGUUCUUCAAUUUUAUAAGAACAAUAUAAGAAGUUAGCAGCCCCGUAAGAUGGAGUUAGUUGCAGCAUAACAGGAAGAUUUUAUCUCAAAGAACUUGCUAGAAAAUAAGAAGACGACUCCUAAGAAAAAGCUUUUAGCUAUUGUAGGAAUUAUGACAAAGUUUGGCCACAAGAACAAUAGAGAUGCAAUCCAUAGGGCAUGGAUGCCAACUAGUAUAAUACCCUUCCUUUUGUAAGUUUUGCUCUUUAUUCUUUGUAUGAUUUACAUAGAGAAUAACCCAAUUGCCACUUAACAGAUUGACAUUUCUGUUAUAAGCAUAUAAAGGAAAAAAAAACAGGAAGCUUGUAGGUUGAACUCUUAUUAACAUGAAAACUUUUAGUGGACUACCAUUUCUCUUCUAUUCUUUUUUCAUUGUUUCGUUUAUUUUCUUAGUUUGCAAUAGUCAUAUUUCAAUAGUUUGCAAACUCCAUAAACCAAUUUGAAAAACCUUGAAGUUAACAGGUGCAAAUUAUGAGAAGCUAAAAUCUUGUUUCUCUAGGAUUUUUUUGAAGUUACUCAAUUGAAUGGAGAACAUAAAACUAUCAAGAGGCCCUGCCCCUACCCCUACCCUGCACCCUCUAUACCCCUGUUUACAGAAAUUUUGAGUUUGUCUUUAAAGUAAUAAGGAAGACAAUAGUUUGUAUAAUAAUGAAACAGGAAGUAAUAUUGUGAUUCAUUGCUGCAAAAAGUAAUAUUGACAUAACUUAUGUGUUAAACUACACUUAAAUGCUUAGCACAAAAGUAUGUUAUUCUUCAUUUGAGAGCAUUAAUUUAAACCUUAUAUGUUAGCAUCACUUUUUCCAUAACUAAUUUUUUCCCCCUUAUCCAAGACAAUGCAUAUCGAGUGAUUGAUUCUUAAGUUAAUAGCCUUGGCACCCACAUGGGGUGAAGUUUGAAUCCAGAAUUUCCCAAUAGUCUUAAUACGCUUCCUCGAGUGUGUUCAAACUUAAGACGUCAAUGGUAAACCACCACUUUACCAAACAAUUUUAAGUUACUAAGUAAUAGGCUAGCAAUGGGAUAUUAAGCUUGAGCAAUUCUUUUAUAAUGUUUAAUGGUUUAAACGUUGACAAUUAAAACACUUACAAAAGCAUGAUGACUUACCCAUUAUUUUUGUACAAAUACUUUAAAAGCAACUCUUGCUACUCAUUUGAAUAAGCCUCGAGUUCAUAUUGGGUGUAUGAAAUCAGGCAAAGUUUUCUCAAAUUUGUGAGUAUAAUCAAAGUUUUUUUUUCUUCUAAAGAUGAGAAAACGAGUUGUUUAUGAUAUUCUACUUUCAUAAAAACUAUGAGAAAACAAUCUGUUAAGCAUUGCCAUCAUGGAAGAUAUUGAACCUAAAGUCCAAAAGAUGUAUGAAAGCACAACCAAAGAAAUCGAGGACUGAUCUACACCUUCUCCUAAUCGAGAGAGGAGUGUGAGGUCAUGUGUCAUGGUGAGAUGUGUGGGAUAAAAGAAUGUAAUGAUCAAGCUCUAGUAAGAUAGAAAACACGAAAGUAUCAAAGGUGAAAUGUUUGAGUAAGAAAUGAAAGGUAGGCAGACAUUCGAAAUCAUCCAAGUAUGCCAAGAAGACUAAACCUAAGGUGUCAAUAGCUCCAUAAUCCAUCAAAAGCAGCAAUCAUAAACAAAAAGUCAAGUCUCGAUGUCAAAACAUCUACCAAUCAAUAUCAUCAACAUCCCAAUCAAUCUACUGAAGACUAGGAAGAGAGGGAACUGCAUGUGUAAAAUGUGUAGGCAGGGGAUUGGUGGUCACACUUGGUCCAAACAAGUUGACCAACCUUGAAUCAAUCAAGUCCUUUAUCACAUGAUGGAGCGCCACACAACACUCAGCAUCAUGCCCUUGAAUAUGAUGAUAUAAGCAAUACUCAUGUAAGCAAAAAUGAGGAAGAAUAGGAUACGGCAAAGGGCGUGGUGCCAAAGAAACAAUCACACCAGCGUCUCUGAGUUUUUCAAAAGCUCUAGUCAAAGUCAUGCUCAAUGGAGUGAACUGUAUCGUGAGCCUUGGUGCAUAUGGUCUAGGUAAUAGGGGAGUAGCUCGGAUGUGGUGGCCGUGAUUGCAUGCUAGUCCGAGCAAUGUAAGGCUGCUAAACAUAAAUUGACUGAUACGAUGUUGUGGAUGAGAGAAAUGAGCUCUAAUUGUAGGAGGCCUAUAAAGCGAGUGAUAUGCAAGCCUUUGAUGCUGAUAGCUAAUGGUGUCAACCUCUCCAGACCUACUAGAUAAUCUAACCGGCUUCUUUCCCUUAUUGUUAGGGGAAGGAGCAGUAUUUGUCCAUAAUCCUAGAGCAAUGGCCUCCUCAACACUGAGAGCUGCAUGAACUAGACUCUUAAGAUCCUGAAAUGGAAUGCCCACAAGGCGUCUAACAAACCUUGGCUAUAGGUUCCGAAGAACCAUAUCAAUCUGAUCCCGCUUCUUAGGUCAGUUUAUCAUACCUGCCACAUUUGCCCUCCAACAAUUGACAAAUGAGGAAAUAGACUCGUCUAACCUCUGUCUGGUGGCCUCCAACUCUCGUCUAGAUACAUCAAUGUCAGCACUAAAAGCAAACUGAGUCAAAAAAUCAUGAGCCACAUCCUCUUAGGUGCGAAGUCUCGAAGGCUUAACUAAGGCAAACCAUCUCUAAGCUACUUUACUAAGUGACAAAGGGAAAAAAACCACUAAUUGUGCAUCAUCUAUCCCCUGUGCUCUCAUGACUGUGUUGUAUAGUCUCAAACGGAUCUUGGGACAACCAAUCCCACUAUAACGUUCAAUGUUUAGCAUGCAAAACUUGGUAGGCAAGCUAGCCGUCGGUAUGCCAUCCUUAUCAUCCCAAGUCAAACCUCCAUCCUGUAAUCUAAUCUACCUCAUCUUGGACUCAAGCCUCUCAACCUUGGCCUCAUGCUCGGCCAAUCUAGUAUCAUCAGUAGUAGUAACAAUGGAAGGCGACACUGUGGUAACAUGUGGUGGAGCAGUCUCACAAUGAUUUGAUAGAUGGAAUGAAACGUCAUGUGAAGUCCCAGGUGGAAGAACCUGUGUUGUCUAAGAUGCAUAGGAAACUGUCUCAUCAGUGCUGAUGCCGACUAGAUGAUGAUCUUGGCGAGAACUCUCAAUCUGAUCCAAACGUCUACUAACCCUUGCCAUGAACUCCUAAAUAGAAGCAAGUGUAGAAGCUAGCUCGUCUGACAUCUCAACUAAACUGUUUGAACUUUGAUGUGAAUCUGCUCUGAUCAAUUGACCUCCAAUUCUCCUCCAAGAAUGUGAGUCCAAACUCAACCAACUCCUAAAUUGACUCCCUACAAUGCAAACGAAAUGGAUGGACACAAGAUAGAACCCUAAAAGACAACCAUACAACAUGUAAACACAUGAUCCUGAGGUGGCAAUCCGAAAUCUGGAUGUAUGAUGAGAACUCUGGAGUCAUAAAGGUGUCCACUAUGAGAUGGCUACAAUUGUGACUAGAGAAUUCCUAUCAAUAAUCCAAUAUGAAAGAGGUGUGAGAAACACAAUAUCACAAGAUUGAUGCUCCAUCUAUAACCACAUAUCCUUAACUUAACCUUGAACUUGAGCUCCAUAAAGAGAAAAAAAAAAUACGGUGAUCAAGGCGAAUCUCUGGAAAAAAUGUGACUGUGAAAACAUGUUUUUCACCUUUCCGUAAUGAAAAUGUGAGCAUCGAGUUGAAAAUUGAAUCAAUGAUCAAACAAAGAAUGAGAUAUUGGGCUCGUGAUAGGUGUACAGUGUAAAAAGAUGAUCAUGAUCAACAAACAUAUCCCAAAGCAUCCAACAAGCGACAACAAAAAGAAAGGAUGUGUCAAGCUAAGAAAUAAAUAUGAAAGCCCUAGGGAGAAAACAAGCUAAACUCAAUGAGCGACAAAAAGAAACCAAAACUAUACAGCAAUGGGUGGUCCAACUGAUACUCAAACUUGCAUUGAUCUCUAAGCACUCUCAACUAAAGACCAAAAGAGGGAGUAUUGGAUCCGAACUGUAACUAAAGAGGCUCUAAAAGUUCUUAGAUGCACCCACGUGUAGGGAAAGGAAUCCUAAUUGAAGGAUCUAAGGCUUUACUUAUAAGGUCAAUGUGGCUCUAAAAAGAAGAAAUAUAGGCUUUCAAGGGUCCCUAGUAGAAGCGAUCAUAUCCUUUGGCAGUAUGCAACCCUUUGUAUGCCUCCAAAGAGACAGGGCGCUUCCAUGUAAGGUGGUCAUUACCUCCACACAUGCACUACCUCGCAGCUCAGAGAACUCCUAUGGUGAAGGCUCUCCUAAUGACUGACGUAUCUCACAACUCUGAUCACUCAUCGACAACCUAAGGUGCAUAGUGAGUGGCGUGGGUGCAUCCAAAAAUCCUAUGAAACUAAAAGAAAACACACUGGACACACAAAUAUCCUGAAAUCUAGCUCUAAGCUAUACAAGUCUUCAAAGGUCAUACUCUAAUCAACAUUGUUAGCAGAUCGAAGGGUUGGCUGCGUCCAUCAACUCCCCUUAUGUUCGCCGUGGGCGCUUGGGUGAAUGCAUUAUAAGGGUAGGGUAUGCGUCUUUCCUACAAACAAUUGCUUUUAGGAGAGUUGGUAGCGUCUGAGGUCCUACAAGUGGUAUCAGAGCCAAGGUCACGGGUUCGAACCCUAGGGGUGUCGUUGAGGGGGAGAUUGUUGGCAGAUCGGAGGGUUGGCCGCGUCCAUCAACUCCCCUUGUGUUUGCCGUGGGCGCUUGGGUGAAUGCACUAUAAGGCUAGGGUAUGCACCUUUUCUACAAGCAAUUGCUUUUAGGAGAGUUGGUAGUGCCUGAGGUCCUACAAACAUCAAUGUGUCGACCACCUCCAAAAUGCUCCCAAACAUAGAUAUAACCCAUCGCUAGACCCUACUCCUAACCACUAGCUCAGUCAAAGAACAAACAAAGCAACAAGUCUCAUAUUGAAUACAAGAUCAAGGAAAACAAGGUCAACCAAGACUAGGGACUUGGAGACAAGAGGAUAGGUGUGUGUCCCACAUAGACAAGCAACUCAUGCAAUCACACAGAAUGAGAGAAGUUAUACAACAGAUAGUCAUGCAAAACACAUGUAUAUCAUCCAAAUCUACACACAACCUAAGCAAGAAAUAUGAUAAUCAAGAUAAUAACUAGCAAGAAUAGCAUGCUCCAAGAUGAUCAAGAUAAUAUACAAGCAAGAGAGCCAACACUAAGAUAAACAAGACAUACAACAAUGUGAAUAUACAUGUCAAAGUGAGCAAGAAAAUCAUGGCAAGAGUAGAUUCAAUCAAUAUCAUCAGCAUGCCAAUGUCGCAAAUGGAUAUAGCAAUCAAACAUAGAAAGUCACCACAUCAAAAUCCUCAAUGUGCUAUGAUCACUCAAGCAUAGAGAAGCACAAAGGGAGGGUAUCCAUCAACCGAAUAAUCAAAUGCCACAUUUGCCUUAACUUGAAUUCAAGUUCGACCCUCAAAAAUUCCCUAGUGGAGUCGCCAUUUUGUGUACCCCACAUUUCUAGCACGAUGCUUUCCCACUCGAUGAUGCGACUCGCUUUUUAUUUAUUCAAUGAAAAUAUGAUUUUUAGAAAAAAAAAACUUGGAGUCGUCACUUAUUUUUGUUUUAUUUUUUUUAAGGAAAAAUAAAAUAAGAAAGAAAACCCUAAGUGUGACUCCUUAUUUGGAAAAGACGGUCUGUGAAAAACCAAAUCUAGGUUCGAGGGUUAGAUUUCCUAGUGGGAAGGUACGGUGGUGAGACGUAACACCCCUCUAAGCCCUAUAAUAAGGUCUCUACUAAUAAGGUGAGACAGAUGUGACAAUUGAUAAGGAAAUCAAUGGAUACCAAUGAAAUGAUCAAAUAAUAAAACGAAUCAUGCAUAAGAAUAAGUGGGAGUAAGAUCGUACCUUAGCAGCAAGUAAUAGUGCGCUAUCAUGGAGACAAAGUUAGCUCAAGUAUAAUAUUAUCACAUGCAUAUCAAAGAACAAGACAAAGAUCAAACAAUAUUCAUUAAGCAUAACUGUUGACAAUCAAAAGAGAAAACUUAUAUGUAGGGCCCCCACUAAAGCCCAAUUUAUUUUGUUAUGAAUUAAUUAUCAUAAAUUCCACUAUUUUGGAAUUAUGAAAAUUUAUUCAUUUUUAUAUUUAAAAUUUUGAAAAUGAGAGCUUUGAAAAUUAAACUUGAAAUUGGAAUUUUGAAAAUUUAUUUGAAAAUGAAAGUUUUGAAAAUUAAAUUUUAAAAAUUGGAAUUUUGAAGAAUUAUUCAAAAAUUAAAUUUAAGAUGAAAAUUGGAAUUUUUGAAAAUUAUUUGAAAAUGAAAGUUUUGAAAAUUAAAAUUUAAAAUUGGAAAUUUGAAGAAUUAUUCGAAAAUGAAAGUUUUGAAAAUUAAAUUUGAGAUGAAAAUUGGGAUUUUGGAAAAUUAUUUGAAAAUGGAAGUUUUGAAAAUUAAAUUUUAAAAUUGGAAUUUUGAAGAAUUAUUUGAAAAUGAAAGUUUUGAAAAUUAAACUUGGAAAUUGGAAUUUUGGAAAAUUAUUCGAGGAAGUUUUGAAAAUUAGAUUUGGAAAUUGGAAUUAAAAAAAAAAUUAUUUGAGAAUGAAAUUUUUGAAAAUUGGAAUUUUGAAAAAACAACAUUUCAAGAUUAAAGUUUGAGAUUAAAUUUUUGUUGGUUUGUAGCCACACAAUUUCAAAGUCCACUAGUGUGUUACAAUUGGACACAAAAUCCCACAACCUUAAUCUUGAAUCUGACUGCACUCUGAAGAUUUAAUAAUAGCACCAAAAUGACUUCUGCAACUAAUGAUAGCACUAACAAUGAUGGUCGACAGCCAAACUGCAACUAUUGCCCCACCUCCAUAGAUAAAAAUUGUGGAUUUGUUUUUUAGUGCAUCCCACAUUUCCAUCAAAUCCGAGAAUGUCCUGCAUCAACUGGACCAGAUUCAUCUAAAGAGGCGUUGAUCUGGAGUGAGGAAAACCUAUUGGAAUCUUCUCGUGAGAGAUCCGUUUGACAUGGAUGACCCGUUUUUGGCAGUAAACUUGAACGACUUUCCCUUCUCGGCCCUUGAAGGUUCCCCGAACGACCUGGACCUCGUCGUCCUUGCGAAUAGGCAUGGAGCGAACGUUGUACUUGCUGCGGAGGUUAGUGGAGAGUGGUGCGCUCAUCAGCACUCGUUGAACACUCGAUGACACCGUGAAGUAAGGGUGUUAGGAAAAAUGCAGCUGGAGGUUGCUCCCAAGAGGAUGUAGUUGCAGAAGAAGAAGACUUUGUGGGUGUGGUAGUGUGAUUAUGUGACUAAGCUUGACUGGCUAUGGAUGGAGAGACCCGUUUUGAGGGUUUCCGGCGAAAUUUAGUGGCGGGUAGUGGAUUCCAAUGAGUAUUGGACUGUGGUGGUGGAUAUGAGAGAGAAAAGAAGUGAUCAAGCUAGCACAAUCACUUGAUAUUUUGGCAUUCUUGGUAGAAUUAACAUAAAUAAAAGGCAUGAUUUUCAAGCAUCAAACUCAACUGAAACAAAGACAAAAUAAAUAGAAGUGGGAAAUAGACUUAACACAUUCAAGCGCCAAAACAAAAAUCCAAAUAUCAACAAGAAACAUGGUAUGACUGUAAAAAAAAAUAGAGAACCUAAGAUGUGAAAUGGUCAAACUUGAGCGAUUCCUCCUGAGCAAAUAUUGUCUAGCUUCCAGCAAGCUGCAAUCUCCCUCAUCUGUUGCUCAUUUUCUCAUCCCUCGCUAUCUCUGUUUUUUCACGUUAUGCCAUUUUCCCUUUAUUUUCCUUCCUCUCCAAGCUUCUACCAACCCCACUCGUUCCAUUGCUCCUUGCUCAGAAGCUGUUAAGAAAAAAAUAAAAAUAAAAAAUAAAAAAAAUCCCCCAUCUCAACCACCACCAUGGCAAGGUGGUGGUGUCCUUGGCCAUGCGUCCCAUGCAUGCAACUCACUUGGAAAGUCGACCACCUACUCCUCCAAGAUGUUGCUAGCUCUUCCUAUUAUGGUAAAAAAAUAAAAAAAAAAGGAAAAAAAACUUUUGGUCCACAAAGGGGUCUACAAUAAUAGAGUGAUCAAGUGUUUAGGUUGUUUAUUUCUUAUUAUUAUAUAAAUAUUGUUAAAUGUUAAAUUGCAUGUUUUUAUUAAUAUUUGAAAGGUUAGACUUAUUUAUAUUUAGAUGUUAAAAAUAUUUAAAAAUUAGUUAUUAUAUUUUUUAAUUUGACUUUAAAAUUAAUAAUAUAAAAAUGGUAAUUUAAUAUAUUUUAAAAUAUACCAAAAUAUCAUAAUUUAUUACUAUAAUAAAAUUUUAUAAUAAUUAAUUAUAUAAUUGGUUGAAAAUUGAUAAUUACAUAAUAAUUAGGAUUUUUAAUUAUACUUGGUAGUUAAUAAAAUGUUAGAAAUUUUCUUAGUUAAAACUUAUUUUUAUGUAACCUAUCUUGGGAUUUAUGAAUAAUAUAGUUGAGAUUAAUUUAUUAAAUUUUUAAUUUUUAAUUUGGGAAAAAUAUUAAAAUCUAAAUUUUAUUUUUUAAAUUAACUGAAAAUGUUUAUUCUAGUGAAUAAUUAGAUGAGUGUAAAUUAGGAAUAUAAGUUCAAGCUCAUGAACUAACUGAACCAAUUUUAACCAAUCCAUUGUAGCCUAAUUAGUUUGGUUUUUCAUUUAAAGACGUUUGGUUCAGCUUGCAAAAUAAAAAUAAAUAAAAAACUUAAAUAAGUGGUAUUUAUUUUUUUUUGUCUAAAGUCUGAAUGGAAUAUUAUUAAGUGUUUAGGUCAUUUAUUUUUUUAUUAAUGCUAAAUAUUUUUAAGUAUUAAAUUGCUUGUUUUUAGUAAUGUAUAAAGGUUUAAACUUAUUUAUUUUUACACAUUAAAAAUAACUAUAAAAUUAGUUAUUAUUAUUAUUAUUUUAAAUUAAUAAUUUAAGAAAUAGUAAUUUAAUAUAUUUACAACUAUCUCAAAAUAUUAUAAUUUAUUACCAUAACAAAAAAUUUAUAAUAAUUAAUUAUGUAAUUUAUACAAAAUUAAUAAUUAGAUAAUUAUUAGGAUUUUUAGUUAUGCUUGGUUGUUAAGAAAAUGUUAAAAAAUUUCUAAGUUAAAUUUUAUUUUUAUAUAAUAUAUUUUCAGAUUUAUGAAUAUUGUUGAGAUUAAUUAUUAAUUUUUUUCUUUUUAAUUUGGGAAAAAUAAGAAAGACUAAAAUUUUAGUUUUCAAAAUUAAUUGGAAUUUUUUUAUUCUAAUGAACAAUUAGAUAAGUGUAAAUUCAAGGACAUGAACGACCCUAAUUUGACUUCAACCAGUCCAAUCUAGUCUAAUUAGUUUGGUUUUCAAUUAAAGAUAUUUGAUUUAGUUUGCAAAACAAAAAAAAAAACACACCAAAAAAACAAAAACAAAAAAUGCUUACGUGUUCAUUUGAAAACAAUGAACCAAUGGGAAGUGAACCUACCUAACCUUGUCUAUUAUAUAUGCUACUUAAUCAAUGUCAUUCGGUUUGAAUUAAGAAAAUUUGUAGUAAAUUUAUUUUUUAGUCUAGAUUUUAUAAUUUUAUUAUUCAAUGAGGAGUAUACAUAAAUUUAUGAAAUUUAGUCUAAUUGAAAUUGGAUGAAUUAUGUAUGAGAUAAAAAUAAUGGCUAUUUGCUAUAGAAUGUUGAUUUUAGUUUUAAACUUUUUAGAUUUAAUAUAAAUUUAUUUUAGAUUAAUUUUUUAUCCAAAUUAAGUAAUUUUAAUAUUGUUUGUUUAAUUAUUAGUAGCAAUUCACUGAGAAUAUUUUAGCUAUAAAUUAUCUUGAUAAAAAAUAGAAUGAAUAAAUAAAGCAAAGCCUAUUGAACGUAUAGUAGGAUUUUUUAUGACAAAUUUACUAAUCUAUGAUACAAUCAUUUAUCACUCACAUUACACAAAAUUGAAAUAAAUUAUUCUUUAAAAAAAAAAAUUAAGAGAUGUGGAAAAUUUUCAAAAAUAAAUUUGGUUUAUUUUGUAUAACGAAUUAAAUUUGAGUACUAUGAUAAAGUUAAUGGUUGAAAGGAGAGAAAAUAACUUUUUUCUAGUAAGAUAAAAGUUAUAAAAAAAAUUACUUUUUCUGUUGAGACAAAAUUGUCUUUAAAAAAUGUUAAAUUAAAAAAAAACUAUAAAAAUAUAUUGAAUCUUAAAACAAGUUACUUUUAGACUUAAAAGUGUUGGAAAUCAAGCCCACGUCGCCUUCCUGCUUGUGCAUGUUCCUCCCCAUAUUUAGCAUCCUCUGUUUACUUCCCUAAAUUAGUGUAAUGUACAACCUUUAUUAUAAUUGAUUUAGGAGUAAUUCUAGCAAGGUAGUUUAUUCACUUUCCAUGUAAGAGUUUAUUCACUUUCCAUGUAACACUUUCCAUGUAAGGGAAAUUCCGUCCGUGAUAGUGUACCAUUCCGGAAUUGUCUCAUAUCUAUAGGAUAUUUAUUUAUGCUUUCUUUCAUUGUAAAAAAAAAAAAAAAAAAGUAUCACAGAAUGAAUUGAGUAUGUGUUCCUCCAUAGUUUGUCUUCAAAUUCUUCAUGGUAUCAGAGCAGGUUUAAUCCUGUCUCAUCGUCUUCAUCUUUAGUCAGUAUUUUUUUUUUCCUACUCAAUUCUAUUCUUCUAGUUUAUGCCUAAAUACGGUCCAGCCUUUGGAAUGGCUACCAACUCAUCAUCCUCUACUUCUGAUAUCAUCAUCUCAUCGUCUUCAUCCUCUCAUCAGAUGGAAACCUCUCAUCUUCCAAUCACAGCCCAUAAACUGAAUGGGCAAAAUUAUUUGCAAUGGUCUCAGUCCAUAUUAAUGUUUAUACGGGGAAAGGAGAAAGAUGACUACAUCACCGGAGCUUCGGCGGCACCAGAAACCACAGCAUCAACCUACAAAAAGUGGAUAGCAGAAAAUAAUAUGGUCAUGUCCUGGCUAGUCAACUCUAUGACCACUGACAUUGGUGAAAAUUUUUUGUCAUUUGAUACUGCCAAAGAAAUCUGGGACAUUGCAAAAGAAACUUUCUCAGACAAGGAAAACACAUCUGAAAUCAUCCAGAUUGAAGGCAUCCUCCACGAUUUGCGUCAAGGUAACCUUACGGUAACUGAAUAUUUCAAUACUCUUACUCGUCUAUGGCGUCAACUUGAUACGUUUGAGGUUCAUAACUGAAAUUGUGUUACAGAUGGUUUGUUGUAUAAAAAGAUUGUCGAAGGGAAACGUGUGUUUAAAUUUUUGUUAGGCUUGAACAAAAAUCUUGAUGAAAUCAGAGGAAGAAUCAUGGGAGUAAAACCUCUACCUAGCCUCAGAAAGGCAUUCUCUGAAGUCCAUCGCGAAGAAAGUCGGAAAAAUCUAAUGAUGGGAUCCCAUCAACAACUGAAUAUGGCAGAAAGCUCGGCUCUUAAGACUCAAUUUGCUCCUUUUGACAACUGUCAAAAAAUUAAAGGAGGUAGACCUUGGUGUGAUCAUUGCAGAAAGCCGGGACACUCAAGAGAAAUUUGCUGGAAGAUUCAUGGAAAGCCAGUAGAUUGGAAGCCACGUCAACCACUUGAGAAAGAAGGACGAGGCAAUCAUGUGGCUACCGAUGAACAAUCGCCACAACCUGAAGCUAGCCCUUUUAAUAAGUAGCAAAUGGAGAUGCUUCAGAAACUACUGUCUCCUCUUUUGUCAGUACAGUCACAAACUGGCUAAUCUUCCAACCAGGUCAUUGGUUCCGGAACCUUGGCUCACAAAGGUAAUUUUUUGAGUGCCUUCACUGCUGGUAAGAAACGUAAAAAACCUUGGAUAGUGGACUCAGGAGCAUCUGAUCAUAUGACGGGAGAUGCGACAAUUUUUGAUACAUAUAGCUCAUGUCCAAAUAAUUUAACAGUCCGAAUAGCAGAUGGUUCACUAUCAAAGGUUGCCGAAACAGGUUCAGUUGUGCUAUCAAGGGAUCUUACUCUCAACUCUGUUCUCCUUGUUCCUAACUUGGACUAUAAUCUAUUGUCAAUUAGUAAACUCACUAAGGAAAAGAGGUGUAUUACUAAUUUUUCCUCUACUCACUGUGAAUUUCAGGAUUUGGAUUCGGGGAAGACGAUUGGCAAUGCUGAGGAAUGCUCUGGACUCUACAUCCUUAAGGAGCGCCACGAUCCACAAGAACAACCUCAAAUGACAGUUGGUAGUAAUUCUUUUUCGGUUUCAUGUCAAAAUAACGAUAAUGCAAUUAGGUUGUGGCACUAUCGCUUAGGUCAUCCAAAUGUUAUGUAUCUCAAGCAUUUAUUUCCUUCAUUAUUUAAUAAAAAUCCACAAUCCUUUGAGUGUGAAAUCUGUCAAUUAUCAAAGCAAGUCCGGUCUCAUUUUCCCAUUCAACCCUAUAAAGAGUCUAGUCCAUUCUCAAUGAUUCAUAGCGAUAUCUGGGGUCCAUCAAGAAUAAAAAAUGUAACUGGUACUAGGUGGUUUGUCUCAUUCAUAGAUGAUCACACUAGAUUAACUUGGGUAUUCCCUCAUGAAAAGAAAAAAUCUGAAACGAGUCAAAUUUCCAAAAAUUUUAAAAAUAUGAUUCAAACCCAAUUCCAGUCAAAAAUAUAAAUUCCAAAAGUCCUGAUAAUGCUAGGGAUUAUUUCCAUUCUAGGAGAAUUUCUAGCACAAGAAGGGAUAGUUCACUUAAGUUCAUGUGUUGAUACCCCACAACAAAACGGAAUCGCUGAAAGGAAAAAUAGGCAUUUGUUAGAGGUGGCUAGAUCACUAAUGUUCUCCAUGAAUGUUCCAAAAUUAUUAUGGGGGCAAGCUGUCCUUACGGCAGCCUACCUCAUCAAUAGGAUGCCGUCUAGGGUACUAAAAUUCCAAACACCUUGUCAAACACUCCUAAAAUCCUUUCCGACUACUCGUCUCAUCUCCACCGUCCCACCCAAAAUUUUCGGGUGCUCUGUCUUUGUUCAUAUCAAUCAACAACAUAGAAGUAAACUUGAUCCUAGGUCACUCAAGUGCAUCUUUCUUGGGUAUUCUUCAAAUCAAAAAGGGUAUAAGUGUUACUCCCCGGUCACAAGAAAAUUCUACAAUUCAAUGGAUGUCACUUUUUUUGAAACUCAGCCUUACUAUCCUAAAAACGAUAUUCAGGGGGAGAAUUCAACUCAGGAAUAUCAAUUUUGGGAUCUUGAGUCAUUCAGUGAGUCACCCAUCACCACUGAAAAUCACAUUCCUCCAGAGUCAUUUAAUCAGCCCGAGUCCAUUGUUGACUUGUGGGAUAAGGACCACAUCCAAGAGGAAACGGAGGAAGGAGCACUUUCUCAACAAACCCAUGAGGCUGAACCGGGUCCUAAUCCAAGCAAACUUCCAGGUAACAACGCUCCUGAUGGUACUGUUGAUUCCGAGUUAGAAAAUGAUAUUCUUAAUAUGCCCAUAGCUUGAAGGAAAGGAGUUAGAUCAUGCACUCAGCAUCCCAUUGGAAAUUUUAUUUCUUAUGAUAAGCUAUCACCUACGUUUCGUGCAUUCACUUCUAGCAUCACAGAGAUACAAGUUCCUCGGAAUAUUCAGGAAGCUUUCAAGUAUCCUAAGUGGAAGGCGGCAGUCGAUGAGGAAGUUCGGGCGUUGGAAAAGAAUGGUACGUGGGAAAUUACUAACCUCCCAAGAGGUAAGAAACCAGUUGGGUGUAAGUGGAUUUUCACAGUAAAAUACAAGGCAGAUGGUAAUGUGGACAGGUAUAAGGCUCGGUUGGUCGCCAAAGGAUUCACCCAAUCCUAUGGCAUUGACUAUCAAGAAACUUUUGCUCCAGUUGCCAAGCUCAAUACUGUUCGUGUACUUUUAUCCUUGGCAGCUAAUCUCGAUUGGUCGCUUCACCAACUUGAUGUGAAGAAUGCCUUCCUCAAUGGUGACUUAGAGGAAGAAGUUUACAUGGACAUUCCUGCUGGACUUGAGAUGACAUCAAAUUUCAACAAGGUUUGCAGACUCCAAAAAUCCUUGUAUGGUCUCAAACAAUCUCCCAGGGCCUGGUUUGAACGGUUCACUAAGGUAGUGAAAGGGUACGGAUUCGUUCAAUGUCACUUCCCAGAAGGGAAGCUGGCAAUUAUCAUUAUAUAUGUGGACGACAUAAUUUUGACAGGUGAUCAUGAAGAGAAAAUUGACUUACUUAAAAAAUUACUGACAAAGGAAUUUGAGAUCAAGGAUCUUGGAAACCUCAAGUACUUUCUCGGAAUGGAGAUUGCUAGGUCAAAGAAAGGUAUAGCAGUCUCACAACGCAAAUACGUUCUGGACUUAUUGAAUGAAACAGGAAUGCUAGGAUGCAAGCCGACAGAAACACCUAUGGAUACAACUAUCAAACUGGAAGAAAGUGAUGGAAGUGCGCCAGUUGAUAAAGGAAGAUAUCAACGUCUUGUGGGGAAACUCAUCUAUCUUUCUCAUACAAGGCCAGACAUCGGCUUCUCCGUUAGUGUGGUAAGUCAAUUCAUGAAUAAUCCAACCGAAAAACGCAUGACUGCUGUGAUCAGAAUAUUGAGGUACCUCAAGAUGACACCGGGAAAGGGUCUCUUCUUUCAAAGAACAACAAAGAAAGAGAUUGAGAUUUUUUCAGAUGCAGAUUGGGCAGGUUCAGUGACUGAUCGGAGAUCAACUUCAGGCUAUUGUUCAUUUGUCUGGGGGAACUUGGUUACAUGGCGAAGCAAGAAACAGUCAGUGGUAGCCCGUAGUAGUGCUGAGGCAGAAUUUCGUGCUAUGGCACAAGGUAUCUGCGAGGGAAUCUGGUUGAACAGGCUGUUAGAAGAAUUACGGGUUCCAUUGAAGCAUCCCAUGGUGUUAUACUGCGACAAUCAAGCUGCCAUCAGUAUCGCUAAGAAUCCGGUUCAUCAUGAUCGAACUAAGCAUGUGGAGAUAGAUCGACACUUUAUCAAGGAAAAGAUUGAAGAAGGAGUUUUCAAAGUCAGCUACACUCCGACAAACUGUCAAACGGCUGACAUUCUCACAAAAGCUCUUGCUCGAGGUAACUUCGAAAAUCUGACAGAAAAACUUGGAAUGAUCAACAUCUACAACGCGGCUUGAGGGGGAGUGUUGGAAAUCAAGCCCACGUCGCCUUCCUGCCUGUGCAUGUUCCUCCCCAUAUUUACCAUCCUCUGUUUACUUCCCUGAAUUAGUGUAAUGUACAGCCUUUAUUAUAAUUGAUUUAGGAGUAAUUCUAGCAAGGUAGUUUAUUCACUUUCCAUGUAAGAGUUUAUUCACUUUCCAUCUAACACUUUCCAUGUAAGGGAAAUUCCGUCCGUGAUAGUGUACCAUUCCGGAAUUGUCUCAUAUCUGUAGGAUAUUUAUUUAUGCUUUCUUUCAUUGUAAAAAAAAAAAAAAAAAAGUAUCACAGAAUGAAUUGAGUCUGUGUUCCUCCAUAGUUUGUCUUCAAAUUCUUCAUAUUUUAGUCUUCAAAUUCUUCAAAAAGUAAAAUAAAUAGAUAAGCAUGAACUCAUAAAAAAAUACAAUCAAAACUUAUUUGUAAAUCUUUCUAUUCAACAAAUUAAAUAAAGCCUAGUUUUAAUAACACUAGCUAGGAUGCCAUAACCAAAUGAGAUAUAGGUGUUGGAAAAGAAAACAUGACUCUUUUUCUACCUAUUGUAUUUAAUUUUAUGUCACAAUCUAUUAAAGAAACUUUGUUUCUUUGAAUUUGCAUAUGGAUAACAAAAAGAAGAUUUAUGAUACUUUCUUGGAUUUAUAACAAUAAAACUAUUUCAAAUGUAUGACAACUUAUGAAGCACUAAUAGAAACUUAUCUCUUGAAUAUAUAACUUCCUUAUAAUUAUAUUACAUGGAAAUUAUGCUUCAAAUAAUAAUGUAAAUUUUAAAUUUUGAAUUUAUUUCUUUAAAGAGCAACUUAAAAGUUCAAUAGUUUAAAUGAAGUCAUUUCUAGAAGAGACUUUCUAUUUUACUUUAGCUAGUUUUGGAUUAGAAAUUUAUAACAUUUUAAUUUAUGCUUUGAUUAUUGUUCUAAAUCUAUUUGAGGUAAAAGUCAAUUAAUUAGAUGUUUGAUUAGUUAAUUAAGGUCAUUCAUGUGUUAAGCUCUAAGGUUUAACAUAUAAAAUGAUAAUAAUACCCUUAGCCUCCAGGUUUGAGGUGUCACAAUAUUAAAUAUGUGAAUAUUCAAGUUUUGAUUUGUACCUGGAGGAGAUAUUAAUUUUAUAUCCAAAAAUUCAAAUUUUCAUAAUUAUUAUUUCUUUCAUCAAUAUGAGAUAUAUAUCAUAUAUCAAAAAAGAGAGUAAUCUCACAAUAGGUACAUGAUAUACUUGAAAAACCAAAACAAAAAAACCUCCAUCUUUUAAAGGACAUUGUGUGUGAAAAUAUUUUAAUAAUAUUAUUAUAGUUUAUAACAAGUUAUUGGACCAACUCAAUUCAUAUUAUUGUAUCCCAUUCUAUAUCAUAAGCCAAUUGUUGGUACACGGCCAAUAAUGCUUUGUUUGACUAGCUUCCUUUGAGAGAACGACGAGUGUACUUGUAACAAAGAGUGUUUGGAUAAUUUUUCUAGGCACCCCCUUCGAAGCUUAAGUUAGUUUACGGAAGAGACAGACAAGAAUUUUUGGGAACUUGUGUUAUACUAGGGUUCUAAGGCACAUGUCUUAAUUUUUGGGAACUGCACACGCUUUGCUUCAUUUUCCCUUGAUACUUUUUCUUCAUUGCAUUCCAAAUAUGUUUGAGGUCCUUUAACUUCAAAGCUUCUAAUUCUACUCUCGGUAUAUCUAUCAACAUGACUCUAGUUGUUGGUUCUACUACAUUAGAUUCCAUAACGUUCUAGUACUCCUUGGAUCUUAGGAAAUUCUCCAUCAACAUGUCUCCAAUGAUCAUAGUGACCAUCGAAGCAUGGGAUAGUUGGUUGCACAAGAUUUUCAAAGGUCAUUGUUCUUCAGUGUUGUUGCUACAAAAAAGAAAACAAGUAAAAUAGAAAAAACUACAGGUACAGACUCUAUCGCACACCCCUUUUCCCUUGACCUAGACUUUUUUUUUUCUUUUCCUUUUAUUAUUUAUCACCCCCUCCUUUUCACAUUUUGAUGCCAUUGUUACAGAAUUACUAAGAAAAGUAAAUAAAGUUGCAAGUAAAAAAAAAAAACACACAACAAAGACAUAUUUUUUGCUAUAGAUUUUCAUUAACGAACAACCUUUAUAUAGACAAUUAAACCAAUGGUAAAAAGUAAAAAAAAUGGCAACAGACCAAGACCACUACCUAAAGUGCUCUAUAAUUAGACACAUAAUACAAUGAGAAAAAACUACUUUGCUAAACAAUACAUCACCACUACUACAUUACACAAUGUGCCAAAAAUAGACUCUCCUAAUAAUCAAGCUCAACAAAAGAUCAUAGUAUUGACCAUGAUACGUACAUACAAUAACCAUAAUACUAUUAAAAGAUCCUAUUGACCAAGACAACAAAUAACUCAAAAACUUAAAUAAAUUAAAUAAUAAUUUCAAUAAUUUGAAGAUUUUUAGUAUUGGCAUUAGGUCAUGGAGGGAGAAAAAGAAUGAUAUCAUGUGUCAAUUUUAUUUAUUUUUUAUGAUUUUUUAAAAAAUUUCAAUGUUUUAUUUUUAAAAAUUGGUGAAAACAACUUCUACUUGUUUUCUAUUUCACUUAUAAACAUUAUGAAUUUUUAAAAAUAGUUUUCUAUUUUAAACAUAAAAAGAAACUCCAAGGAAAGAACUCUUGUUUAAGAAAGGUGGCAAUUUUAAGUUAAAAGUUUAUAUAUAUGUUGAUUGGGUUGGCUCCAGGGUAGACGGAAGAUCGACUAUGGGGUAUUGCACCUUCUUAGGAGGGAAUAUAGUCACUUGGAGAAGUAAGAAACAACCAAUGGUGACUUGUUCUAGUGCAAAGGUAGAGUUUAGGGUAAUAGUGCAAGGAAGAUGCGAACUACUUUGGUUGAAGAUAAUACUCUCAAACUUGCAAGUGAGAGUGAAGAUGCUUUAUUGCGACAAUAAAGCAGCUAUAAAUAGAACACAAAUCUCAAUUCAACAUGACCAGACCAAGCAUGUGGAAAUUGAUAGAUAUUUUAUAAAAGAAAAGCUUGACUCUAGACAAGUUUGUCCUCCAUAUGUUUCAUCCUCUAACCAACUUGCAGAUGUGCUCACAAAAGGAUUAUCAAAUGCAAACUUUCAAUAGAUAAUUAGCAAGCUUGGGAUACGAAAUAUCUUGGCAUCAGUUUGAGGGAGAGUGUUAGAAAAGGAAAUAAUUUGUAGGAAUAGGCAUUUUUCCUAUCAAUUAGCUAUAUAUUUACAAUUGUAUUAUUCCCAUUGAUGUGUUCUGCUAUGUAUAGCAUGUUAGGAUAUUUUUCCUAGUUUAGAGCUCUAUAAGUCAACUAGUGUAUUCUAUAUAUCUUGUAAUAUUUUUUUCAAAGUAAUAUAUCCAUUUUUUAUCACUCUUUCACAAGUCUACACUUUAAAUUACACAUACUUUUAUAAUUUUCUUUUAAUUUCUCUAAAAUUUUUCAUAAAGCAAUUAAAUUUUAAAUCAAACUAUGUUUGAUACAUAAAAUUUAUUAAUUUUUAAAAGUAAUUUGAAACUUAAAAACUAAUUUAAUUAGUACUCGAAAGUUAUGGAACUCAAUAACAUUAGAAAGUCAUAGACCAAAAUUUAUUUAAAAUGACUUUGUUAAUUUCUUCUAUAUAUCAUAUUUUUAUAAAUUUUUUAUCUAGAUAAAUAAACUCCAAAUUGAGCAAGACUUAAUGUGUUAAAUUUAUUAAUGAGUAUAAUAAUUCUUUAUAAAAAAAAGGCAAAGGUUGAAUUUGUUAGAUGAAAAUGAAUUUUGACUGGCAAUUGUCUAGUUGUGUGUCUCGUUGUUCCAUAUAUAGCAGCAUGAGGACAUUAGUGGUUGCCAUAGACUGGUUGCUUUUUUGUGGCAGAGAAAGAGUUUCAAUUUGAGCACCCCUGGAUGAAUGGGGAAACAUGGCCAUCUUCAGGAGCAUAGAACUGUUAUUUGUACGAUGUUUUUGUUUUUAGCUGCCUACUCAAUUCCGAAACUGAAUUUGAAUGACUCCCUUGUAUUUUAGGUAGCAUUUGACAGUUGAAGUCAGUUAUGUUUAAUGGCUCCAUUAUAGUACUAUUGUCAUACAAAUAGAAGGGUGCAAUUCAAUUCUCAUAAGACAUGGAAACACGACUAUAAGAUAUUGGAAAUUGAUUUGAAGGUUCCCUUGGUACAUCCCAGGCACUAUAAAUCCUGUUUUUGUGUUGGGACAUUAAGCCUGCUACGAUUCUUUGAUUAUGCAAUUCACAGCAAUUGUUACUAGCUUCCUACAUAAAAAUGGUUUCUCAAGUAUUCAAUAUCUUGACUAGACAAUCUAAGGCUCUUUCUCACUGUUCUAUAACUCCAUAGAAUUCAAUAUCUUGAUUUGCUCACUCUUCUGGUCAUGUUAUUUGGAAUUUCAUGGCAUUUUCUUUUAUUGAAGUGCACCAUUUUUUUUUAAUUUUUUUUUUUGUAGGUAGCAAAGAGGAGGUAUUUUUUGAUUCGCAACCCUGGUUAGAAUCUGAUUGUGAAAAUUUCUUCAGCAUCAGUGCUCGUAAGAUUAACUUAAAUUUUUCAUGGAAAGAAAUUCAUUUUUUUCCUGGUUAUCUUCAGAGGAGUAUGGUGUGUUUUGCUGAGGGCCACAACUAAAAUAGGCAUUGCAGUAUGGGAAAAUUUCUUGGUUCUAUUUCAUGCAGAUUCAACACUACCCUAUCAUGGCAAUAUAUACUCCAAUGAACCAAAGCAGUUUCAGAGAAACUCCUUGACUUGAUAGAUCUCUUUCUAUGAACAAAACACCCAAUUCCAUGACUGAACCCUCCCCAUCUGAUAAGAAGAAACUGAUUGAGCUCUUCCAAGAGAGCUUUGACGAUGAUCCAUUUGAAGGCGAUCAAGACCUACAAGGAAUAGAAAGUAAUAUGGAAAAUGGAAGGCUGAAAGCCAAGGCUACCAUUUUUUUACUUUCUUCCAAAUAGAGGUUGCAGUAGUGAAAGAACUCCAAAUAGAGGUUACAAACCUGAGAGAGAAAUCCGCUCACUCUGCACAGCGUUGCCUUCCCGGUUUGGUUCGGAGUCUGAGCUUUAGUGAUAGGAAGAGGAGGCUCAGCCCUGCCCACAGUAGCUGUAGAAGGUAAGCCAAGCUUUGCUCUGUAUGUGCUUUCAGGUGAAGUUUUGCUUCAAAAUCAGCAUUACUGAAAGAAUUUGGGGUCUCUAAUUCCCUUGUUCAACUUUAUUUGUCCUUCUUUGGGCAGAGUUGUAAAGUGAUCCAUGAACCAGAUGCCUCGUUUCACUGUUUUAUAGGAACGAAAAAUGAUUGAAUUUGUAUUCAUUAGUCUGCCUCCAUGAUGUUAGAGUCCUGAUCAAUCUAUAAGUUUUGUUGUAAGUUGAUGGGUGCUGCCUCUGAAGAAAUUCUUCAAAGCCCCUUGUAUAAAGAGUCUUGGUUGGUGCUUCCCUGUCUCAUAUAAAAAUCAAUUGGCAUGGGAUCACAAUAUAGACUGAAGACGACUUGACCUCAGUCUUUAGCCUAUAUCGCUUCUGGCCUCUCUGUUUCCUUCCUUUCUGGCCUGAGACAUGCCUCCUAUCGUGCUUUUCCUCCCUGCCUCCUACUUUAUGAAAUAUUUUUCAUUGGUCUACAAUUAACUCAUAUCUCUAUCUAUAUUUCAAUAGAGCUUCUUCCUCGCUAUAAUUACAGUCUUUAUAAGUAACAGAACAUCUAAAAGAAAAAUAAUUACAAACAAAUAUUUCAAACAUACAAUUCUUUAACACUAGUACCAAAUCAAACCUUCAUUCACCAUAUGGAUUCCUCCAUUGUAUUCGAUCUGAAACAAGUAAAUACACGUAAUAAGCUUCAAAUUUCACAAGCUUAUGUUCAAUAUCAUAUAUUUUUGUAUGAUCAACCUAAUAGCAGAUCAAAAGUUUCUCUGUCCAUGACUUCAAUUAACAACAAAAAUAUUCACAAAGAUGAGGAAGUGUUUAUAUCUAAUGGUAUAAGUCAUAGUAAUCAUGAGAGUAUAUCUCUCCAUAAAUUUAGAGACUUCUAACCAAGCAAAUUGUAGUCCUAGCUACUUGCUUGUAUUUUGGCAUUUAAUCUCGGAGAUAUGUAUCCUUACAACUCCAUUGAGAAAAUCACUUUCUACAACUUUAGAGAAUUGAAUCAAUUAUAGAUUUAUAGAUUCCCUAGGACGCUUUGUUUAAGGGUUUAAACUCAGAAAUUGAUUACCUUAUACAUAUAUCAUUCUUUGAUCCUAAUAUAUCAUUCUCUUUAUUGAUAACAUUCAAUGGUCACAAAAAUAAGGACUUCGUUAAAAAAAAUGAAUCUAGUUGUUAGAAAGGAAAAACUUUUACAUGCAUAUAAGUUAUAAGCAUCUAAUUAAUCGGCAUUUAACACCAUCCUAUAAAGAUUAAUUUCAUCAAAAGAAUUCAAGUUCACUUCUAACUUAUCUUCAGUUCAUAAUAUGAUUUGAGUGCUUAAAGCACUACAAUUUUCGUAAACUCUAAAUUCAACAAUACGAUCAUUCAUUUUUUUAUUUUUUUUAUUUUUGUGAAUUUAAACCAUUUUUUCCAAUUAAUUAAGAAAUCAUUUAAUAAAAUUUGAGUAUAUAUAACAAGAUUAAUAGAAUGUGUGAUGAAGAUAGGUUUGCAUUACCUUAUGCAUUGGAAUUCAUCUUCCCUUUGUUUUUUUUUUUUUUUUUUUUUAUGAUUUUGUUAUUUUGAAAUCACGUCACCCUCUGCAAAAUAGAUGAAUUCAUUCUGAUGAUAAUUCACACAAAAAAUUAAAAUAAAUAAAUAAACAAGGAAAAAGAAAGGGAAAAUAUGCAAGAUAACUCACCUCUUCAACCUUGAGCUCCACCAUUUCUUUUCAUCUUCCUUCGGAAACGAGCCACAUUCACUGCAAUAAAGACAUACAUCCUAUCUUUCGCUUCACCAACAAACCGAAAAUAAGCAUGCCUCCAAGACUUUUUUAGAGCCAAAGUGCCACAUACAGCCCAAAAUCCCACCGGGAAGCCCAAUCCCAUGCUUGUGAAGAACCACAAUGUUUCCCACCCAUCGUCAUGAUCUUCCUUCUCAUCUUCCUCAUCUUUGUGAUCUUCAUUAGGAGUGGAGCACUGGGUUGACAAUGGAAGCCCACAAAGUGCCAGGUUACCCUCAUACAUGGAUGGAUCAUUGAAUGUAGGGAAUUGGUUGGUUGUUGGAAUGGGUCCUGACAGGAGGUUAUGCGACAAGUUCAAAUCGCUCAAUGAGGUUAUAGAAGCCAUGCUCAGAGGAAUUGGGCCUGAAAGGCGGUUGCUCGAGAGGUCCAGAGUUUCUAACCCUUGCAUGGCUCCAAUGUCCUCGGGUAUCUUUCCAGUCAAUUGGUUCCGGGACAAAUUCAAGGUACCCAAGGUUGAGAGAUUUUUAAUCCCAUGUGGAAUCUCUCCCCAUAAGUUAUUCCUAGAAAGGUCUAUCAACUUCACAAUUGAAAGUAUCCUCUCAAAUUCCAUUUCUUUUCCCUUCACAACUAGCUCCAUUCCCUCCGUGUAGUAAUAAUCAGUAUAUAGGUAAUCUGGAGAAGGAUCUAAUAAGGUCACAUGAUUCAUAGCACUCAAAUGGCCUAAGCAUGGAGGGAUGGAUCCUGAUAGAUUAUUAAGUGCAAGGUCCAAAAUGCGGAGAUCAGAAAGCCCACAUAGUUGCUCAGGAAUAUUUCCGGUCAGCAUGUUGCCUCGUAAGCGUAGCUGCUUCAGUGAUGACAUUCUUUCUCCGAUCCAUUUGGGUAUCUCACCUGAAAACCUGUUAUUUCCAAGAUCAAGGGAGUACAGACUGCAGUUUUGUAAGCUUGGAGAGAGUUCCCCAGAAAGAUGGUUGUCGCCCAGUUUCAACAAGUAAAUUACAUGGAUUGAACAUAUGGAACUUGGAAUCUCGCCAUACAGUCUGUUCUUGGAUAGAUCAAUGAUGCCAAGCAUUUCCAUAUCUUUCCAAUGAUUGGGAAUCUUUCCAGAUAAAUGGUUAUUUGAGAGAUCAAUAAUCCUCAAAUACUUCAGGUUAGUUAAUGAUGAUGGGAUGGUCCCAUUCAACAAGUUCCCCGAAAUAGUCAGGACUCUCAAACUUGAUAAUUCCCCAAUAUUGGACGGAACUGGACCUGAAAAUAAAUUGUUCCCCAAAACAAGAUAUGUCAAAUUAUACCAAAGUGGGAGUGGACCCUCUAAGCGGUUGAAACUUAAAUCUGCCAUACUCCAUCCAUGCGAUGUGCUGAAGGAUAAGGGACUGGGAGGCUUUCCCCUCAAUUGGUUCCUGGAAAGAUCUAACCACCCAAGCUGUGGAGACAACUUCCAAAGCCAUUCUGGUAUAGUGUCUGAAAUCCCAACAUUAUGGAGGAUUAUUUGGUAAAGUUCCUUCUGAGUUCCGAGCCAGGCAGGGAAUGUUUGAGACAGUAUGCAGUUGCCGAUUCUGAUAACCUUGAGACUGAAAGGAGGAAUCCAGUCACUUGUAAUAUCGAAAACCAGAGAGUUGUUUGUAGCCGGUGAUAAGUAUGAGGAGAAAUAUUCCAGUUUUAUAAGACCCAUGAAGUGAAUUUCGGAUACCCUCCCCUUCCAAGGAUUCCAAUCAAAUGUUAAGGUAAGGAGCUCUUUAAGUUGUCCUAUACUUUCUGGGAUGGUCCCAUUCAUUCCGUUGUGAGAGAGGUCCAAUUCCUCCAACAACAACAGCCUUCCAAUGGAUGCUGGAAUUGAACCCGAGAUUGAGUUGUCACUAAGAUCAAGAUAUCUUAAGUUGUCAAGGUUUCCUAUUGAAUCAGGGAUCAGGCCGCUCAAUUCAUUUUUAGACAAAUCCAGGUAAUUCAAAUAUUUCAAGUCAAGCAAGGAAUCACUUAUCUGGCCAAUUAAACGAGACAAGGGAAAUGCUGCUUCAUCGGAUUGAUAAGGGUUUUUGAGGUCUAGCUUUAUAACAUGUCCUGUCCCAUUAUUGCAAUCCACGCCUUGCCAUUUGCAACAAUCUCCACCAACCCAAGAAGAAAGCCGACCUGAAGGGUCUUCCAGACCACCUUUGAAUUUAAGAAGGGCUUUCCGCUCCAUCUCAAUGCAAACUACGUCCCUAUCACCAUCAGUGGAAUUGAUCACAAGGGCUUCAAGUAAGAAAAAUUUUAGAAAUAAAGGAACCAAAAGAAGGAUAAGAAAUAUGAUGAAGGUUUUCCUGGUCGCCAUUGCUAAUGCUCUACAAAGAUAGAUCACAGCAAAGACAGUAUUUCUUUAUAGGUAGAUACCAUUAGUCUUUUGUUGGAUUUAUUUAAUAGUAAGUCUUCAUAUAAACCAGCUCAAAAAAUUUAAGGAGCAAAGACCUUUCGGCCAUAUAUGGGCCAACCUCGUCUACCGCAUUCAACUAACAUUGCAAGAAAAAUAAUAAUGAAAACACUAGGAAAAUGUGAUUGCUUGUUUGACUCAAAAGCAGAUAGUAAAGUAUCUUGUGCUUCAUCAAGUUAACAGACAAGACUUUAGAUUUAUCGAAGUUUUUGAAUGGAUAGACAUGCUGCAAGUUCAAAUCAUAGCUGGCCCAAUUCAUAAUUAAUUAUACUAAUUACCAAAGCCUUCCAAGUUAAGUUAUUGUCAAAAUAAAAUAAAAUUGUGUAAGAGACUUUUUACUGUAACAUAUGUCAACUACCAAAUCUUUAAAGUUUUAAGUCAUUGUCCAAGGGAGAAAAAAAUCUAAGGAAAAAGUCUUCAUCUUUUUUCUUGUCCACAUGUCAUGGACGAUUUGUUUAAACGAAGAAUCCAGAUGUAUUAUAUAAUAUAUGUAUUAUCAUUAUUUUAUUUUAAUUUGAGAGAUACUUGAGGCAAGUGUAUUAAGAUACUUUCAAACUCAAGUCUUUCCAUGUGUGUGCUUUUACACUUGGUUCGGUGGUCCAAUUAAUGGUCCAAACAAUACUAAUAGACUAACUUCUUCUUUUGUUAUAUCAUUGAUUUACAAUACUAACAAGAAGAUGGAUAUUUAAAAUAAAUAUACAUUCAUGCAUAAGAUAAUAAAUAUGAAAAUAAUAUAGGUAAAAAAUACACUAAGAUAAUAAUUCGAUCAAUAUAAUAAAUAGCCAUUGGAAGCAUAUAAAAUUAACCAAUAAAAUUUUAUUUUUUCAUAUGUAACAUAUUUUUUAAUAAUUAAAUAAUAUAAUAUAAUUAUUUAAUAAAAUUAGAAAUAUUAAAAUCUAUAUAAAUAUAUUAUGAUUUUCUAAUUUUAUUUAUACAAAUAUCACAAGUUAAUUAUAAUUGAACCAUCGUAUUGAUUUUAACAUUUCAUAUUUAUUCAUUUGUUCAUUUUAAAAAUAUUAAUAUAAAUCAUUAAUAUAUAUUUAAUAAUAAUUUGACUUUUGUAACCUAAUCCAAAUAUUUAACAGUAAUUUGACUUUUGUGGAGUAAUCAAAUUUAUUUUGUUAAAAGAAAAUGAUUAAAUCUGAAAUUUAUUUACUUAAUGGUCUAAAGUUAAUUAACCCUUUGAAUUUUCUUUUUUUCUUUUUUUUCUUGUUAAGACAAGCGAAUUGUUUAUUUCUUAGAAAAUUAAAGAGAAAAUGUAAAUAAAAAAUAAAAAAAUUUUAAAAAAAUAAAAAAUUUAAAAUUUAAAAAAAAAUAAAAAAUACUAGAAUCAAUGUAUUAUAUUAUUUUUAUAUUCCUCUUUAUUAAUGAAAAAAAAUUUAUUAAAAUAUGCUGAGGUUAAUUGUUUUUAGUUCCUUUAUUUUAAAUUUUUUACUUUAUUUUCCUUCAAUGUUAUCUUUCCUAGUAAUAUAAAUGUGGAUUUGGGAAGUACAUAUGUCUAUAUAUGCCUAUCUUGUGUAUUUCAAAUUUAGAGCCGAAAUCUAGUCAAAGAGAAACAAUAACCCGAAAUUCAACCCGGUUGGCCAGCCACUGAUGAAAGGUCUCUAAAGAUUGGUGUCUUCUUCGCUUCACAGCGAUGAAACGCAUAGCCGGGGACGAAAUCACCGGCUAUCUAGUUCGGCUUUCAAAUCUCUAGUUUCGGUUCUCAUGCUAGCCAUGUUCGCCACCAUGACAUCGAUUUACGUCAUCUGCUGGUGAGUUCUCACAUUGUUUCGUAUUGUGAAAUGAUUUUCGUUUCUUAGCUGUAAUAUUGCUUCUGGUGUGGUUAAUUUUGUUAAUUUAGGUUUUUGAUUAUAAUUGGUCUAUUUUGUUCAAAAAUAAAUAAAUAAAUAAAUUGUUUUUAUGGAAAUAUGCUAUUAGUAGGCUAUGGCUGGAUUAUGAGAAUAGGGUUUAUUUGAUUAGAGAGCUUGAUAUUGUUAUUCAAUUUUAGCUUCAAAUUUUCUUCCCCACAAUUUUGUUAAUGCAUUUUUUGGGAUUAUUUUGUUAUCAAGAUUAAAUUAUAGAAUUAUAAUGAUACAAAGGGGGUCUUGACAUUGUAUGGAACUGGAAUCAGUCCAUCAUGGUUUAGAUUAAUUAUAUGUUCUAUAGCAUUACAUUGCAAUGCUAAAUAAACUAGUGAUUUGCAUGAGCUCAUGUUUUUUUCUUUUUUUCUUUCUGUUUUCGUCUUUUUUAUUUUUCUUUUAUUGAAACAAUUGGAGUUGAUACUAGCCUAUUUUCAUUUUUUGAAAUUAAUCAUUCAGAGUAAUUGACUAGAUAAUGGGUUUUUCCAUUUUAAUAGUUUUCAGGUGCAAUGAGCCAAUGACACACUGCAAAUUAUAGCAUGCAGGUAAAUAAAUUAUAGCUAUCCUUCCUUUAUGUGGGGUUUUUUUUGGGGCUUUUGUUAUAAUAGACAAAAUAUAAUCUAGAGGUCAUGGUGAUGUUUCUUCAAUUUUAUAGGAACAACAGAAGAAGUUAGCAGCCCUUGAGAUGGAGCUAGUUGUAGCACAACAGGAAGAUUUUAUCUCAAAGAACUUGUCAGAAAAUAAGGAGACUCCUCCUAAGAAAAAGCUUUGUUGUAGGAAUUAUGACAAAGUUUGGCCACAAGAACAAUAGAGAUGCAAUCCGUAGGGGAUGGAUGCCAACUGGUAGAAUACCCUUCUUUUUGUAAGUUUCGCUUUUUAUUCUUUGUAUGAUUUACAUAGAGAAUGACCCAGUUGCCACUUAACACAUUGACAUUUCUGUUAUAAGCAUAUAAGGGAUAAAAACAGGAGGCUUGUAGGCUGAACUCUUAUUAACAUGGAAACUUUUAGUGGACUUCCAUUUCUCUUCUAUUCUUUUUUCAUUGUUUUGUAUAUUUUCUUAGUUUGCAAUAGUCAUCUUUCAAUAGUUUGCAAACUCCAUCAACCAAUUUGAAAAGCCUUGGAGCUAAUAGGGGCAAAUUAUGAGAAGCUAAAAUCUUCUUUCUCUAGGAUUUUUCUGAAGUUGCUCAAUUGAAUGGAGAGCAAAAAACCAUCAAGUGCCCCUGCCCCUGCCCCUGCCCUGCACGUACCCUCUAUACCCCUAUUUACAGAAAUUUUGAGUUUGUCUUUAACGUAAUAAGGGAGACAAUAGUUUGUAUAAUAAUGAAACAGGAAGUAAUAUUGUGAUUCACUGCUGCAAAAAUUAAUAUUGACAUAACUUAUGUGCUAAACUGCACUUAUAUGCUUAGCACAAAAGUAUGUCAUUCUUCAUUUGAGAGCAUUACUUUAAACCUUAUAUGUUAACAUCACUUUUGCCAUAACUAAUCUUUCUUUCUUUCCCUUUAUCCAAGACAAUGCAUAUCAAGUGAUUGAUACUUAAGUUAAUAGCCUUAGCGCACACAUGGGGUGAAGUUUGAAUCCAGAAUUUCCCAAUAGUCUUAAUACGCUUCCUCAGGUGUGUUUCAAACUUAAGACGUCAAUGUUAAACCACCACUUUACCAAAAACUUUUAAGUUACUAAGUAAUAGGCCAGCAAUGGGAUAUUAAGGCAACUAACAGGUAGGUUAAUAGCCUGAGCAAUCAUCUUAUAAUGUUUAAUGGUUCAAAUAUUGACAAUAAAAACACUUACAAAAGCAUGAUGACUUACCCAUCGUUUUCAUACAGAUACUCUGGAAGCAACUCUUGCUACUCAUUUGAAUAAGCCUCGAGUUUAUAUUGGGUGUAUGAAAUCAAGCGAAGUUUUCUCAAAGUUGUGAGUAUAAUCAAAGUUUUUUUUUUCUUCUUCUAAUGAUGAGAAAAUGAGUUGUUUAUGAUAUUCUACUUUCAUAUAUUGUAUUAUCUUUCCGUAUUGUCUGAAUUAUGCAGGAUCCACAAGUAGUAAGAACCAGACUGGUAGAAACUUGGUGAUGGAAAAUCGUGAGUAAUUCUGUAUUGAUUUCAUCUUGUCUCUUAUAUUAAGAUAAGUAACUAUUACUUUCUAGUUCUGUUAACUAGUUAGGAAGUCUCUUAGUAUCUUAGAAUUCAUCUAAUAGGUGAUAGAAGUCCCAAUGAACAACUAGGGCAUUGUCCCAUAGGAGGCUUGCUUGAUAAAGAAUCAAAGUACCGUUUCUGAAGUUUUUUGGGCAUUUAAACAAUUUAUCAUUCCAUCAUAUUCUUGACAUCUGUUACACUUAAUUUGCCUACCCCAUGCACCCAUAUUUAAACCAUCUCAACUCUGACUUGUGUCGAGGUAUCCUGGAGUUGGUAGAGGGACGCCUUCUCGGGAAGUCAGGCUUACAUUGGCUGAAGAUACAUUUAGCAAAUUUAUUUGCUAGUGGAAUGGACAAGUUAUCGUAUGAGGGUUGGGUAGCAUUUACUGAGAAUCAUUUGGAAGAUAUCUUUGAUUCUGUAGACGUACCUUUGGAAGGAAGACGUUGGUGGUUGUCUGCCUAGGAUCCUCUCCAAUGUUCAUGUAUUAAUCUCUCAAAAGCAUUAAGAAGCUCCCUUCCAAAAACUACUAUUUCACACAUGCUUGUCCACCAGGUACUUCAUUCUUAGCAUGAUCAUAUUCAAACUGAGAAAUGUUUACCGAGUGAAAUCAAAUUAAUCCCACCUCCUUCCUACUCCACCCAACCCCACAAUAAAAAGGAAAUCUCAAAACUAGCUUUUAUUGGAAUUCUGUUCUAUGCAUAGGCAUAUCAUUUGUUAUCCUGUGUAUUUUGUAUGAACUCCUCCAAGUAACUAUAUAGCUCUUCUGCAUUUACACAUGGAAAAUGACAGUCACAUGAUUAUACAUACCCUUUAGAGUACCCCAUUUGUUACCCCAUCAUUAGGAGCAGAAAUAAUGGAUCUGCCACUUCUUUCACAGCCCUGUCUUAUGUUUGCGCUAUCCUACUAUAGUACGCUUGAGAGGAUAACAGACAUUUCCUUGAAUUUACUUUUGUUUUCAUAUUAAAUGCUUAGAUUCAGGUCAUUUGUUUGUCCAAAACUUAAUUUAAGAUUGUAUUGUUCUAUCUUUUUCAAGGAUGGCUCAUGCAAUGGCUUACGACACUAUGUUGCCCUUGGAAGGGACAAGGUAUUGGAAUUUUAUGUUUUUGGUUGAUUGUUGUGGAGUUCUGAUUAUGUGAUAUGGAAGCAUGGUUUUUGAUUAGUUAGACAUAGUUUUUCGCUCUUUUUCUGCUUUGAGGCUAAAUUUGUCUCAGCUUUGAUCUUCUCUCUUUUUGAUAGAAAGAAGGAACUUUGUUAAGGAAAGAUGGUAAAAGGAUAAGGAGUUGGAAAUUGAAACCCAAGAAAGAAACCAAACUUUGUUUGAGUUUAGUGCAAUUUAUUUAAUUUGACUUUUCAAGUAAUUUCAAAGUUUGGUUGUUUCAAGAAAGGGGAUUAUCAUUGGUAUUUGGCAAGUUCAAAGGCUAGGGCAGCAGAUCAGUCUCUGAAGACUGAAUUUUAGUUAGAACUUAGUAUUGGAGGAGAUAAUUUUUCUUGUUUAUUGAAGUUUCCUUAUCCUUUGACAGCAGAACUUUGAAUUGGGGAUCAUUAAUUGAUUAUGCAGUUCGGAUACAUAUAUAUAUAUAUAUAUAUAUUUGGAUUAUGCAAUAUUAGAAAUUAAAAUUUUGUUCUGAAAAAUGUAGCAGGACCUCUUCAAUAUUGAAAUGAGAAUUUUAAUCAAAAUAUUUGAAAAAAUAUAUAUUCAAGACUUCAGCUGUGUCCACAUAAUAACCUAUGGCACCGGGCAAGGAAAAGUGGCAUGCAUAUGAAGCCCUAUAGUUGCAAUUGACAAAAGGUCAUGUAUAUAAGUACUAUAUAGUAUUAAAUUUUGUAGAUAUCACACCUUUAUAGCAGCAACUAUCAGCUGUCCCAGCCACAUAUAGAGCUUUUAGUUGAGAAAAAAACAUGAUCGCGGGGAUAGCUUCACAACUUCUACUUGUAUUUUUUUACCAGUGGCUGCAAGUAUAGGAUUUAUUCUGCAUCCCUAUGGCCUUCGCCGCUAUAAACUUACAACACUUGCAACACUUGUAUUGCACAACUCUUUGUCAAUGGUUGUAAAAAAUAGUUUUCUAUUUUUUGAGAAUUGAAAAUAAGAAAAUCUUGUUUGACAAUAAGAAAAUAGUUUUUGUUCUUAAAAAAAAAAAAUGUGUUUUCAAUUGUUUUUUAUGAUUAUUUUUAAAAAAAUAAUAAGAUAAAUAUAAAGAAUAAUUAAAAAUAAAAUGUUACAUACAAAACUUAUUUUUUUGAAAAAUAUUUGAAAGCAAAAAAUACGUUAAAAAUAUUUCAAAUUCUUAAACAAAUUUUUAUCAUAUAAAUAUUAGAGAAUUGUUUUUUAAAACCAUUCUUAAAAACUUUUUUUUUUUUUUAGAACAAUUUUCAAAAUCAUUUCCAAGCUGACUUAUAACCCAUUUGACAGUGAUUUUAGAAAAUAUUUCUAAUAUUUUUAAUACUUAAAAAAUUUUAUCAUUCAAAUGUUAAAAAAAUUAGAAAUAUUUUCUAAACUUACUGUCAAAGACAUUUUUAAAGUAUGUUUGACAAUGCUUUUAAGAAGUGUUUCUAAUCUUUUUAAUACUUGAAAGAUAAAAAAUUUUAAGUGUUAAAACUUAAAAUUAUUAGAAGUCCUUCCUAAAAUCACCACCCAAUAAACUCUAAUUCUCAUUACCAGAGGCUUGUAGGGGCUUUUAUAAUUUACCUCCCAAUCAUGUUAAAUAUGUGGUAACCAUGUUAAGAGAUUUUAGGUUAGCAUUGGCUAGUUUGUGCUUAUAUGUACUUAAUUUUUGUUUUUAAAAAUAGAAAAUGAAGGUAACUUCAAUAUAAAAUAUUAAAACUUUUGGAGACUUAUUAAAAAAAUUUAUAGUGAUUUUUAAAGAUAUAAGAUGAGUUUAUACUUUUGGUAUAAAAUUUUCUAUUUUUAAUAUAAAAAUUAUUAUUACUUUUUGUGAUUAAAAAUAUGUAUAAAAAAAAAGGUCAGUAUAUAAAUAAUAAAAGUUGAAAGAACAUUUUCAAAUGUGGGCUAAGUCUAAUACUUAAUAUUAAAUCAUCUCUCAUUCAAAUAAUAGUCUUUAUAAAUAAUAGAAUAUCCUAAAGAAAUAUGGUUAUGGACAAAUAUUUCAAACAAAUUUCUCAAACACUAGUAUGAAAAGAAACUUUCAUUAACCAUGACGAGCUCCCUGUUUCAAUCUAAAACAUGUAAAUAAGUAUAAUUUACUUUAAUUUAAGCAAGAUUUAGAUUUAUAUUAUGGACCAUAUAGUAAACCUAAGAGAUGAUCACAAGUUUCUUAGUCCAUGACUUCAAUUAAUAGAAAAAAUAUUUAAAAGCUCAAUUUUGUUGGAAUUUUGUUCAAUUCAUUCUAGUUUGAGACUUUUUAUAAUUUCCCAUAACUUACACCCCAUUAAAGAUAUAAGAAUAUUUAGAGUUAACUAGAUAUUAGAUAGCAUAAGUAUAAAGAGUUAUGAAAAGGAUAAUAACUUUUAAUUGAAAAAGAUUUUGGAGAUCGAGUGCUCAAGCACUUGAAUCUAGCUUUCAAGGCUUGGAGCACUCAAAAGUGGGGUUUCCAAAACAUAAGUUUGCAUACAACCCUCAUUAAAAAUAAAAAAAUGAUUGCAUAUAUAUAUAUAUAUAUAUAUCCAUGGUUUAAAUAAAACAUUCCUUAUAUUUACAAUAAGUUUAUUUUAGAGUGUUGUUUUUAUAUUAUAACAAUGUUGUUAGGCCAUAUUUUGCUAAACAAAAUGAAGAGAAAACACAUUAUUUGGAAAAUAUUCUACAACUAGAGGUGAUGAGGUUUACCAUAUUUUUCAAUAAUGUACAAUUAGCUCAAGCACUUGAAGCUUAUACCAAAAAUAUAUUUCAAUCAAUAAUGGACAAAAUUUUUGAAUGGUACUUAGUGAUAAUCAACUACCAAAUUAACAUAAACAUAAAAGUUGAAAGGACAAUUUUAAGGCAUAGAUGACUCAAAAAUAUCAAAAGUAGGUUGAGUAUCCAACCUAAUAUUACAACUUUUCUCACUUAAAUGACAAUUCAUAAAUAACAAACCUACCUGAAGAAAAAUAAUUGUUUGCCAACAUUUCAAAGAUAGAGUUCUCAAAUACUACUAGUACCAAAAGCAAUCUUUAUUACCACCGAGAAUUCAUCAUUGUAUUCAAUCUGAAACAAGUAAAUACACAUGAUUAGCUCCAAUUUAAGCAACAUUUAGAUUUUCAUCAAAGAAUAUAAACAACAUGUUCAAUAUUAUUAUUAUUAUUAUUAUUACUCCAAUUUAAGCAACAUUUAGAUUUUCAUCAAAGAAUAUAAACAACAUGUUCAAUAUUAACAAACUUGGUUAUUGAGACUGUUUAAAUUCCUAUAGUUUUCAUACUUGUGGUAUUAACCAUACUCAAGUGAGUAUAUUUGUCAAUAAAUUUAGAGUUUCAACUAAUAACCUAUAACAAUCUAUAAUCUUAGUUGCUUGCUUGUAUAUUUUUUGGAGUUGAAUCUUAGAAAAAAUUACACAUAUCUUAACCUUCCCUAUGAAAAUCACAUUCUGCAACUUCAAAGAGUUGAACCCAAUUAUAAACUUCCUCAAUCCUCUUUCUAAUGACUCAAACUAGGAGAUUGAUUACCCUAUGCAUUGUAUUUAGGAACUUAAUUGUAGUAAGGGAAGAGAAACAACUUAUAUUCAUAUGCAUAGUUGAAGGGUCUACAAAUAUGUCGCUUACUAUAACAUGAUUCAAACAUUUAAAUGAAUAUACUUUUAACAAAAUCCGAGUCCAACAAGACAACAAUUCAAUUUCUUUUGUUAAUUUAAAACAUUAUUUCCAAUUCAAGAAUUUAAGAAAUCAUAUAAUAAAAUAUAAGUAUAAAAAGAUUAAUAGCUAACAAAUAUGUACCUAAACGGAGAUGGCCUUACACUACAUUGUAAUGAAAUUCAUCUUACCUUCUUUUUGUAUGAUGUUUGUUAUUUUGAAACCUUAUCACCCUCUGCAAAAGAGCUGAAUUCAUUGUGAUGAUAAUCAUAACACACCAAAAAUACAAUGAAAUUAAAAAACAAACAAGGAAGAAAAAAAAAAGGAAAAAGAAUGGGAAGUGAUGUAAGAUAUUUCACCUUUUUAGCCAUGAACUCCAUUUGCUUCCAUCUUCCUUUUCAGACGAGCCACAUUCACUGCAGUGAAGACAUAUAGCCUAUCUCUGGUUUCAUCAAUGAACCGGAAAUAUGCCUGCCUCCAAGACUUCUUUAGAACCAAACUGCCACAUACAGCCCAAAAUCCCACCGGAAAGCCCAAUCCCAUGCUUAUGAAGAACCAUGACAUGUCCCAUUCAUCUUCAUCUUCCUCCUCAUCUUUGUGAUCUUGAUCAUUUAAAGUGGAGCAGUUGGUGGAGCAGUUGGUUGACAAUGGAGGCCCAUAAAGUCCCAGGUUCGCCUCAUAAAUGGAUGGAUCGUUGAAUGUCGAGAACUGGUUGGUUGUUGGAAUUGGUCCUGACAGGCGGUUAUGCGAUAGGUUCAAAUGGUUCAAUGAGGUUAUAGAAGACAUGCUCGGAGGAAUUGGGCCUGACAGGCAAUUGCAUGAGAGGUCAAGAGUUUCUAGCCCUUGCAUGGCUCCAAUCUUCUCAGGUAUCUUUCCAGUCAACUGGUUUCGGGACAAAUUCAAGGUACCCAGGGUCGAGAGAUUUGUGAUCUCUUUUGGGAUCUCUCCCCAAAUGUUAUUACUAGAAAGAUCAAUCAAAUUCACAAUUCGCAGUAUGCUAUCAAAUUCCAUAUCUUGUCCCUUCACAACUAGCUCCAUGCGCUCUGAAUAGGAGACAUGCCCCCUGGUCAUGUCAUCAAAUUCUAUGCCUAAUAAGGUCACAGAACUUAAAGCAGUCAAAUUGCCUAAGCAUUGUGGGAUGGAUCCUGAUAAAUUAUUAAGUGCAAGAUCCAAAAUAUGGAGAUAAGAAAGCCGACACAGUUGUUCAGGAAUAUCUCCUGUCAACAUGUUGCCUCGUAAACGAAGUUGCCCCAAUGAUGACAUUCUUUCUCCAAUCCAUUUGGGUAUCUCGCCCGAAAACCUGUUAUUUCCAAGAUCAAGGGAGUACAACCUUGUGCAGUUUUGUAUGCUUGGAGAGAGUUCCCCAGAAAGAUUGUUGUCACCCAAUUUCAACAAGCUAAGUGAAGAUAUUGAACACAUCGAACUUGGAAUCCCACUUGACAGUUUGUUCUUGGAUAGAUCUAUGGUCCAAAGCUGGUGGAAAUUAUUCCAAUUCAUUGGAAUCUUUCCAGAUAAAUGAUUGUUUGAGAGAUCAAUUACUCCCAAAUCCUUCAGUUUACUAAUUGAUAAAGGAAUGCUGCCAUUUAACAAGUUACCAGAAACAUCAAGGACUUCCAAACUCGAUAAUUCCCCGAUGUUCAAGGGAAUUGGACCUGAAAAUAAAUUGUUUCCCAGAAAGAGCCAUGUCACAUUAAACCAAAGUGGCAAUCGGCCCACCAAGCGGUUGAAGCUUAAAUCCACCACGAAUGCUUCUGGGCUAAAAGAUAAUGAGUUGGGAAGCUUUCCAUACAAUUGGUUUCUAGAAAGAUCUAACCAAAAAAAAUCUAGUUUCCAAAGCCAUUCUGGUAUUGUAUCUGAAAUCCCCACAUUUUUUAGAACUAUUGUGUCAAGUCUCUUUUGAGUUCUAAGCCAGUUGGGGAACUUGGGAGAAACAUAGCAGUUGGAAAUAUCGAUAUUCCAGAGGCUGAAGGGAGGAAUCCAUUCAGGUCUCACGUGAAAACGGAGAGACUGGUUUUUGGGUGAUAAGUGUGAAGAGAAAUAUUCCAGUUUUGUAAGAUUACUGAAAUGAAUUUCAGAUAUUACCCCUUCCCAAGAAUUCCAACCAAGAAACAACUCAGUCAGCUCUCUAAGUUGUCCGAUACUUUCUGGAAUCGUCCCAUUCAUUAGAUUGAAUGACAAGUCAAGUCUCUUCAUGCGCAGCAAGUUUCCAAUCCAUGUUGGAAUUGGACCUGAGAUGGAGUUUUUACUCAGAUAAAGACUCUCUAAGUUGGUAAGGUGUUGAAUUGAAUUGGGGAAGGGACCAACAAAACUAUUAUAGCUCAAGUGUAGGGAUUUUAAAUUCUUAAAGAGCCCUAAUGAAUCUGGCAACUGACCACUGACUUGAUUAUCGCCCAAGUUUAACUCUUCCAAGGAACUAUUAGCGCAUGCUGAUAAACCAUUCACCAAUUCAAUUCCUUCACUUCCAAUAUGAUUGUACGAGAGAUCUAAGGUUACCAAGUUGUGAAGGCUUAGCAAGUUAACAUGGGGAAUCGGACCUUUAAUUGUAGCACCAUUUAAAUAAAGAUCCAUAAGGGUACUGAUGUUAAACAACCAGCCAGGCAAAGUAGUGUUGAAAUUGUUGUAGGAGAGAUCAAUGACCAAAAUAGAAGUCAAAUUAACAAACGGAUUGGAGUACUGAGGGAAAUGACUGAGUUCACAAUUGGACAAAUGUAAUUCUAACAAAAAUGGAAGCAUGUUUGCAGCUUGCAUCCAAUUUGUGGUUGCUUUACUAAGGUUCACAUGCCCCAUAUCAAGGUAUUUUAAAGAAGAAAGACCAGAAAGCCAAUUCAAAUUAUGAACCCUCAUUAAUGGAGCAGAAAAGUUGUAGUAGUAAUCUCCUCCACUAAGGUUAAGAUAACAUAACUGUGAUAAAUUUCCAAGAUGAGGAGGAAUCAUUCCACCAAAUGCUGCAUAGGAGAGAUCAAGGUAUCUCAAUCUUUCAAAUGAGCCCAAGAAAUUUGGAAUUGGAAUUCCUUGAAAAUCAUUAAAACUUAGGUCCAAGUAAUUUAAAUGUUUCAAGUCAAGUAAGGAAUCACUUAUCUCACCACCCAAACGUGAGAAGUCACCACCAGAUUUUAGGUCAACCUUGACAACAUGCCCUGUUUGGUUGUUGCAAUCCACACCUUUCCACUUGCAGCAAUCUGCACCAACCCAGGAAGAAAGCCUACCUGAAGGAUCUUUCAGUCCAUUUUUGAAUUCAAGAAGCGCUUUCCGCUCUACCUCAAUGCAGCCCUUGUUCAUACCACCAUCAAUGGAAUUGAUAAUAGUAGCUUCAGCUAGGAGACGCUCGAGAAACAGAGAAAGGAGAAAAAGAGUAAGAAGUAGAAGGGUGGUUUUCCAACUUGCCAUUUGAUGAAUGCAAAGUUGCAAAGUUAUUAGUGGGUGCUAUAUAAAUAAUUUAGUCAACUAUUUUAAGUCUUUUGGCCGCCAUAAAUAUAGAAGAAAUUAUCAAGUUCAAUCACAAUCGGAUCACAUAUCUCUUCUAUCCCUGAGUAAAUUAAUUCAAGACAUUAAUUACCAAGUGUUUGGUCCAAAGAAAAAAAGAAUUUUUUUUAUUCCUAAUUUACACUCAUCUAAUUAUUAACUAGAAUAAAAAAUUUCAAUUAAUUAAAAAAUUAAAAUUUAGAUUUUAAUAUUUUUCCCAAAUUCAAAAUUCAAAAAUUAAUAAAUUAAUCUCAACUAUGUUAUUCAUAAAUCCCAAGAUAGGUUACAUAAAAAUAAGUUUUAACUAAGAAAAUUUCUAACAUUUUAUUAACUACCAAGUAUAAUUAGAAAUCCUAAUUAUUAUCUAAUUAUCAAUUUUCUACUAAUUAUAUAAUUAAUUAUUAUGCAAUUUUAUUAUGCUAAUAAAUUAUGAUAUUUUGGUAUAUUUUAAAAUAUAUUAAAUUACCAUUUUUAAAUUAUUAAUUUUAAAAUCAAAAUAAAAAAUAUAAUAACUAUUUUUUAGAUAUUUUUAACAUGUAAACAUAAAUAAAUAUAACAUUCCAAACAUUAAUAAAAACAAGCAGUUUAACACUUGACAAUAUUUAUAUAAUAAUAAGAAAUAAGCAACUUAAACACUUAAUCAGUCUACUAUAUUUAAGUCAAAGUUAUGCCUAUUCAAAUUUCAAACAAAAAAUAAUUAAAUACCACCUUACACUUAUUAUGCAUUACUCAAGCCAUUUAUAUAUGUAAUAAAGAAUUUCAAUAUAUAUAAAUUUUCAUGAUAUUUUAUUUUCGUUUGGAGGAGAAAGUUUCAAAUAGCUUUCUUCAAUUAUUUAAAGUUAGUGACCGUCAAUACAAGAAAAUUUUGACACAAAUCUAAAAAGAAAAACAAUUUCCACACAAGUCUAAAAAUGUCUUUUAGGGAAAGUAUUAAAACAUUUUUUGAAUUUCUCCACCUCUUGAUUGUUUUCUUAGACAGUGACUCCAAGGACUUUUGUGACAUGUUGACUGUUGACUGAAACAAAGUCCUUGUCUAUUUGGUGUGAGUUAGGAAAAAAAAAAAAGGGAAGUUGCAUUUUUUUUUAAUGAAAAAAUUUAUUUUUUCUAAAUAAAAAAAUUCUUUUUUUUUUUAAAAUAAAAAAUUUCCUUAUCUAACCAAACCAAUUUUAACCAAUUCAUUGUAGCCUAAUUAGUUCAGUUUUUCAUUUAAAGACGUUUGGUUUAGCUUGCAAAAAAAAAAAAAAAAAAACAAAAACAAAAAACAAAACAAAAAACAAAAACAUGGUUAAAUAAGUGGUAUUUAGUUUUUCUCUAAAAUCUGAAUGGAAUAUUAUUAAGUAUUUAGGUCAUUUUUUUUUAUUAAUGCUAAAUAUUUUUAAGUGUUAAAUUGCUUGUUUUUAGUAAUGUAUAAAGGCUUAAAUUUAUUUAUUUUUACACAUUAAAAAUAACUAUAAAAUUAGUUAUUAUUAUUAUUAUUUUAAAAUUAAUAAUUUAAGAAAUAGUAAUUUAAUAUAUUUACAACUAUCUCAAAAUAUUAUAAUUCAUUACCAUAAAAAUAUAUAUAUAUAAUAAUUAAUUAUGUUAUUUAUAGAAAUUUAAUAAUUAGAUAAUUAUUAGGAUUUUUAGUUAUGCUUGGUUGUUAAGAAAAUGUUAAAAAAUUUCUAAGUUAAAAUUUAUUUUUAUAUAAUAUAUUUUCAGAUUUAUGAAUAUUGUCGAGAUUAAUUAUUAAUUUUUUUCUUUUAAAUUUGGGAAAAAUAAGAAAGACUAAAAUUUUAGUUUUCAAAAUUAAUUGGAUUUUUUUUUAUUUUAAUGAAUAAUUAGAUAAGUGUAAAUUCAAGGACAUGAACGACCCCAAUUUUUUUAUAAUGACUAAUUAUGCAAAGUGUAGAAAAAUAAUAAUUAGAUAAUUAUUAGGAUUUCUAAUUAUGCUUGGUUGUUAAAAAAUUUAUAUGCUAAAACUUAUUUUUAUAUAACUAUCUUCAAAUUUGUGAAUAUUGUUGAAAUUAAUUUAUUAAUUUUUAUUUUUAAUUUGGGAAAAAUGUAAAAAUCUAAAUUUUAUUUUUAAAAUUAAUUGGAUUUUUUUAUUCUAGUUAAUUAUUAAAUGAGGGUAAAUUAGAAAUCUAAGUUCAAGGACAUUAGUGAACCAAACUGACUUCAAACCUAACCAAUCCAAUCUUAUUACUUUUUAUUUCCAUUUAAAGAUGUUUGUUUCUAUUUUUAAAAAAAAAAAUGAUUACAUUGGUUUAGUGUUCAUGAACCAAUCAAAGCUAAACCAACCGAAUUUAUCUAUUAUUUAUCAAAAAAAUAAAAAUAAAAAUAAAAACAAUUACAUUGGUUCAGUAUUCAUUUCAAAACAACGAAUCAAUAGAAACCGAUCUAAUCAAAUCUAUCUAUUAUAUAUUCGACUUAAAAGGUGCAAAAUUUGAAGUUAUUUUUCGACUUCAUAUUUUGCUUCUCAUAAUUUACUAUAAAUUUAUGAAGUUAUUUUUUAGUUGUCAUAUUUUUUAAAAAUAUUUUAUUUUUUCAAAAUAAAUUCACUAAAUAUUAUCUCACAUGCAUUUGUGGUUCACUAAAUUUUUAAUAAUCAAAUUAAUAAAUUUGUAAAAGGAAAAUAUUAUAUUUUCUCCAUUUUGUUCACUUGAUAAACAUAUCUACAAAAAUGUCAAGCGGAUGUUUGAAAUUUACCUCUUUUUUUUAUUGUGUAAUAUUUGGUUGAUUGUAUUUAUAAAGCAUUAUAAAUCUCAAGAAAGUACACAGAGUCCUAAAUUAUUAUGAAUAAAAUAAAAUUAUUAAUUUAAAUUUAGUCUUUAUAUUGAAAAGUUAAAAUAAGUGAAAUGAGUUUGAAGUAGUUUAUAAAAAUAAUUUAUUAACUUUAAAUCUAUGUUAUAUUUUUUUUCUUUUUUUUUUCAUCCAAUUUUUUUUUUUUUUUUUUUUGAUAUUUUUUCCCUUGUAUUUCCCCCAAAUUUUGUCCAAACCAAACAUAAACUUGGAAAAUAUGUCAAACCAAUACUAGUAUUUGAGACUUAGAAAUUUUUUUUAAAGGAUUGGAUCAAGAUUCAAUCACGAUUAGACCACACAUGGCCCUUUUGCCCAUAAUUAAAUUAAUUUAAGAUAUUUUAUUUAUUAAGAUAAUUAUCAAGCUUUUGAAAUAUGAAGUUGUUGUCCAUCCAAAGAAAAAGAAAAAAUAUUUUAUUUAUUUAUUUUGCCUAACACACAUAUAGACUAAGAACUUUUCUUCGAUUAAAAGUCAAGAUGCCACAAAAGUCCUUGAAGUCAUUAUGAACAAUUACCUAGAAAAGAAAUUCAAAUAAUGCUUUAAUGAAUGGUGUAUAUAUUUUCUUUAAAAUGCAUUUUUAGACUCCUACUACAAGUUUUUCUCAUGGGCAAAAACAAAAAAUAAAAAAUAAAGCUUCAUUUUUUUGCCUAACUCACACGCAAUAGAGUAAGGACUUUGUUUCAGUCAAGAGUCAACAUGUCACAAAAGUCGGUGAAGUCAUUGUCUAAAGAAAAUAAUUAUAAAAUAAUAAAUAAUACUUUAAUGUGUGAUGUACAUAUUUUCUCCAAAAGGCAUUUAUAGACUCAUACAAUUUUCUCCUAUGGACCAUUUACCAACUUCAAUUAAUUGAAGAAAGUUACGGGAAUUUAAGUGAUAUGGCCUAUAAAGGAAAAUAAAAUGUCAUGAAAAUUAUUUAAAAUUUUAUAGAUAUUCAAUUUUUUAUUAUUAUUAUAAAGGGUUGGAAAACUGCAUAACAAGUCUAUGCCUUUUGGAAAAAUGUUUAUUAUUAUUACAAAAUAAACAUUUUGUGACGAUUGAUUAUGUAAUAGGUUAACAUUUAUUUUUAUGUAAUGUAUCUUUUGAUUUAUUAAUUUUUAAUUGAAAUUUAUUUUUGUAACGUAUCUUUUGAUUUAUGAAUUUGUAAUUGAAAUUUAAUUUUUAUAUCUGGUGGCAAUGCCAGUCACAAAACAAAAAGGUGAUGAAGACCUUUCGGCUCUUCAUGGGCCAUGUAUCACAAGCGUAUGAGCCAAUCAUGGACCCCAUCGUGUCCUCAACUUUAACCGUGGCUAUAAAUCUAAAUACUGAUGUAGAACCCUAUCUCAAAAUGGUCCAUUCGAUAGGCAUUAGGCACCUACCACAAGAAAAUUAAUGAAAACAAAAAAUGAAGUUUCAUUUUUUUUGCUUAACUCACACGCAAUAGACUAGUGACCUUGUUUUAGUCAAGAGUCAACGUGUCGGAAAAGUCUUUAAAGUCAUUGUCUAAGGAAAAUAAUCACAAAAUAAUAAAUAAUAUUUUAAUAUAAGAUGUAUAUAUUUUCUUCAAAAGGCAUUUCUACACUUCUACAAUUUUCUCGGACCACUUAACAACUUCAAUUAAUUGAAGAAAGUAUUAUUAUUAUUAUUAUUAUUAUUAUUAUUAUAAAGGGUUGAAAAAAUGCAUAACAAGUCUAUGUGGUAUUUAUUUAUUUUUGUCUAAAAUCUAAAUAAACCUAAAUUAUUAUUUUUUUUAUUUUAAUUCUAAAAUUAAUAAUUUAAGAAAUAGUAAUUUAAUAUAUUUACAAAUAUAUCAAAAUUCUUAAUUUAUUACCGUAAUAAAAAAUUUCUAACAAUUAAUUAUGUAAUUAGUAGAAAAUUUAUAAUUAGAUAAUGAUUAGGAUUUUUAUUUAUAUUUGUGUGGACCCCGUAUUUUGGCUCAUAAGCUUCCACUCGAUGGCGAGCUCGGUUUUUACUUGAAAAUGAUUUUAUUUAUUAAGAAAAAUGACUUGGAGUUGCCACUUAUUUUUGUUUUAUUUUUAUAGGGUAAACAAAAUAAAAAAGAAAACUCUAAGUGUAACUUUUUAUUUUCAGAAAAUGUGGUCUGUGAAAAACCGGAUCGGGAGUCAAGUUACUUAUCGGGAAGGUACGGAAAAGACCGUAGCACCCCUCUAAGUUCCUAAAGAUGGAUCUCUAUUAAUGAAAUGAAGCUGACAUGACAAUUGAUAAGAAAAUUGAUGGAUACCUAAAAUGAUCAUGCACAUGCGUAGAGAAUGACCAGAGUGAACGUGGGUGCGUACCUGAGCAACGAUCCACAAUGUGCUAUCAAGAAAGGGGGUUAGUGUACAAUAAUGAUCAUAAAAUAUGGUUCACAUGUCACUAAACAAAAUAUGAAAUCAUCAUAUAUCACAAUUCAAUCAAGUUGAUUUUCAAAAGGAAACAUCCAAUAAUGUUGGGCUCCCACCAAAGCCCGCUUUAUUCUUGCAUGAAUUUAUUCCGUAAAUUCCAUUAUUCGGAAUCACGGGAUUUAAUUCCUACUUAUUUUAAAACAUUUUGAGAAUCAAAGAAAAUUCGAAGAUGGCUUGCCGGAAGGAAAAAUGGCGGCCAAAUUUUAUUGAAAAUGAGAUCUUGGUAACUAAAAAAAAAAAACUAAGAAUAAAAGAAAAAGUGGAGGAGUUGGGAUUAUUUGAAAAACUGAAUUUGAAAAAAUAUUUACAUAAACGAGAUAUGGGGCAAUGAUUUUAAAAUCAAAGAUGAUGAAAAAUAAUAAUAAAAAAGAGGGCACGUGGUCUAAGGCCCAUGUCUAAGGUAACCAUGCAAAAAUACAUAAAUAGGAGAGUUGAUAAGGAAUAACCAUGCGGGAAUGGGUCUUUAGAGUGCUGCUGCAACUGCUACACCAGUAGCUCAUCACCUUCUCGAAAACUCCACCAAUGAUAACAAGAAGUAUAGUCCUAGGAAUCUUUUGAUAAUUGAAGAAAGAACGUGAAUGGCACAGGCUCUGAUUGCUUGCUCAAAACCUAGAAUAAUUGCAACUAUGUGUCAAUUCUUAGCUGCUUCGUUCCCGAACUAACGGAACCUUGCUAUCUCCAAAUGAUGUGAGAGAACAAUCAAAGCCUUAAACUCUUCCUCCAUUUGCACUCAUUUUGGAAUUACAAAGAGACAAAGGCUGAAAUCUGGAGCUGGCAUUGCCAUGAAGGGUCUUUGCCAAAAUCUGAAUAGCGAUUUGGGUACUCAUGCGCUCUGACUCAAGUUGGUAGAGGCGGCGAGGGCAGAGAUUUACAUCCAAGGCAUACAUUUGUGGAGACGCCACUAUUGAGAUAUUAGGAAUGCUUUCCUUAUAUCAUUCUUUCCUUAUAUCAUUUAGUGUUGAGAUAUUAGGAAUGUUUAGAUAUUAGGAAAGUUGAGAUAUUAUGAAUAUUGAGAUAUUAGGAAUAUUGAGAUAUUAGGAAAGUUGAGAUAUUAGGAUAUUAGUUGUUAUUUCCUUAUAUCAUUCUUUCCUUGUAUCAUUCUUUCCCAUUCUUAGAAUGGUGAUUACCCUCUAUAUAUACUCUGUACAUGAACGAAUGAAAGAAUGAAUGAAAAAACUAUCAUUUAUCAAUUUGAAGAUGGUAUUAGAGCCAUGGAACUGAAAUCCUGGAUAUUUUGUCGCUAUGGUAGUCCGACAGCGAUCAACCAUCCUAAGACAAGCCCUAAUAUUGAUAAGUCAACCUUCAAAUGCACUCACUGCAAUAAGACUGGUCCCACUAGUCUGGAUAUCCCACAAUUUCAAAGCAACGACUCUUGGUAUGACCAGGAAAACAAUGAGGAACCGAGGGUUUGAACCAUGGACCUUUAGAUCAUGUUUAGGCUAUCAACACUUUGUUAUUAGUGAUAAUAAUCGUGAUCAACGGAAGAAGGAUUCCAAGAAAACCUCGACUGCAACUAUUGCCGAAAUAAAAACAUAGGCUAAUGUUGCUGAGAAAGCUUCUGCAUUGGUAGCCGCUACUGAUCAUAGUGGUAAGUUUUUAAAUACUUUUACACCUGUUAUUAAUAGUGCAUGGAUAAUUGAUUCUGGUGCUACAGAUCAUAUGACUUUUGAUUUUAGACAAGUUUCACCCCUUAGACCUUCCUCACAAAAAAUUGUUUCCACAACUAAUGGUAACACAACCCCAGUCAUUGGGGAAGGAUCCUUAACUCUUACUGAUACUUUGAAUUUGGAUUCUGUUUUAGUUGUUCCAUAUUUAGAUUACAAUCUUUUGUCAGUUUCUCAAAUCACUGCAGUCUUAUCUUGUAUUGUCAUUUUUUGGUUUGAAUUUUGUGUGAUUAAGGACAUCCAAACAAGACAGACGAUUGGUUGUGGUAUUAAGCGGGGAAAACUCUAUUACUUGGACUUGCAGUCAAAGGAUUCAAAUAAGUUGCAACAAGCUUUAAUGGCAGAUGGAUUUGAGGGGGAGAAGAAAAAGUCUGAAAUUUGGUUGUGGCAUCAACGUCUGGGACAUGCUUCCUUUGGUUAUUUAAAAAAAUUGUUUCCUAAUUUGUUUGCAAAGAGUGAUAUUUCUGGUUUCCGUUGUGAUAUUUGUGAAUUGGCUAAAAGCCAUCGUGCUUCAUUUCCGUUAAUUUUGAAUAAAAGUCCGUUUCAUUUUAUGGUUAUACAUUAUGAUGUUUGGGGCCCAUCCAAAGUCCUAACUUUGAGUGGCUCAUGUUGGUUUGUUACUUUUAUUGAUGAUUGUACCAGAAUGACAUGGUUAUGUGAUUACUACUCAAAAAAUGCUCUUUGAUAGCUUGUAAUAAACUCUUUUAAACACUUUUGAGUAGUAGUUAUUGCAUUUUAAUCCAAUUAACAUGUUAAGGACCCUUGCAAUCAAUUCUAAUCAAAUUAUGUUAAGUUUUGGUGUUUUGAUAGCCUUUUGAUCACCAAAGCAAUCCGAGAUUGAGGAGAGUUAUAUGGAAUCUUGGGAAAAGCAAUUGGAAGCUCAGAAACAUGAAGAACCGAAGCUUUGAAGUCCUUUGCCAUAAGUAAAUCCGGAAUGCAAGGAGAAGAAGUAAAGAGAAUCUGCCAUGAAGCAUAUUCUUGAUGACAGUCGUGUCAGCCACUUUUGGAGCACUUUCUAAAGUCCAAUUGAUGCAUGCUAUAUGUCAUUUCAAAGCUCAGGAAGUCAACAAUCCAAUGCUUCAAAUGAUACACAAUUUGGAGUUGAAACGAAGAAGUUACAGCCACUGCAAGUCAAUCACUCUAAGCUGAAGAAAGCAUUUUGCAAAAGUGUUGCGAAAUCACCCUUUUGUUGCGAAGUGAUUUCGCAGCCUUUUUGUACAGUGUGGUGGAUUUCCUCCUGAAGUUGCCCGAUAUGUGCGACAAGUUGGAAGCUGAGAACCUCAAGAUGAAAGCCAACUUCGCAGCCCUGCGAGAAUAACCUUUUGCUGCGAAGUGAUUUCGCAGCCCUUUUUGUAUUUCUGCGAAAUCUCGCAGACAUCAUUUUCUCUUGCGAAAUGGUCCUUAGUGCGUCCCGAUAUUUGCUACCGACAUUGGGAGAUAUUUUCCAUCAGAUUUUUGUUGUCUAAAUCCCAAAAUUCUCCUUGUAAGCCACCAAUUACAAGAUUCCUUAGCUUUUAAGUUAGUAAAAAGAGUAAAUAUCCAUGUAAUAAUUAGUUUUGUAUUAUGUUCAUAUAUAAAUACCCCUCGAGAGCCUGUUCUCAGGGAGGAGACCUUUUGUAAAGUUUUGGAAAAGCAAGUAAAGUUCAGGUCCUUUGUUUUGCCUUAACUUCUCACUUUGUAUUUUUUUUAUUUCUUACUAAGUUAUGCACUCUCUAAGGAAUUUUUCCCAGAGAAUGAGUAACUAAACCUUUAGUUUCUUAGAGCUAAGGUUGCCGGUGAAGGUUCCAAGUGCAAGAAUGCAAAGCUCUGUGGUUUCAGCCAUGAAUGAAGAGGAAGUGAAAUCCUUUAGUGAUUUCUAUGUUUUUAGUUAACUUAAAACACCUUAGCGUCACCUAGGCCAACACUUGGUAAGGCAAGUGAUCUCCAACCAUGGAGAUGCACUAGUUUACCCCUUGCGAGCCUCUGGGAGGUGACUUUAAGGUAGGAUUUUCUGGAAUUGCCAACACUUGGUAAGCUUUUGGACUCCAAGGAGACAUCCAUUAGUUAUCUCUUGCGAGCCUGAGAAGGGAAGUCCAAGGUUAAAGAUCACCUUGAAUGGUUAAGGCUUAGUGAGAGGUUUGAACCAUUGCAAGUUGCAUCAGUGAGAUAAUUAAAGUUGAAAUCUAAUUAAAGGAUGUAUCUGUACAACACCGAUUAGAGAAUUGACUAUAUGUUGAAUCUCUAACGCGAGGAAAUGAACCAUCUGACCGGAGCUAUGUCUUUUGCAUGAGGAACCACCCCAAUGAACCUGACCCUCUAAGGAAUGUUUUUCUUCCUAAGUUAUUCCCAUUACUUGUUUUGUGAGUUAGUUUGAAUCUAAAUCUUUUCCAAUCAAGGUUUGAGUUUUCUUUCUUAAGCUAACCUUGAAAUGAAACACUACCAAUUCACUUUGAAUUAAUAUCAUUUGUAAUUUGGAAACCCUUCCCAGUGAACGAUCCUAGAGCCGUUAUACUAUAAUAGCUUUUUCUUUGCUACCCUAGUAUAUGGUGUAAUAGGUUAUAAAUUUUGUUGAUUACUCCCUCAAUCAAGGAGCACCAGCUGGACAUGAAUCAGCUGAGACACCAAUUGGGCACGAAUCAUUAUGCUUGAUGAAGACCAAAGAUGAAGUGAACUUGUUGUUUUAAAAUUUUCAUAAAAUGAUUGAAACUCAGUACAAUGCAAAGGUUCGGGUUCUGCGUAGUGAUAAUGGUGGAGAAUAUCAAAGUUCUGAUCUUCAAAAGUAUUUGGAAGGACAUGGCAUCAUUCAUCAGACUACUUGUUCCAAUACACCCCAGCAAAAUGGAGUCACUGAACGAAAAAAUCGGCACUUGUUAAAGGCUGUUCGUGCUUCCUUGAUAGCAGCAAAAACACCGAUAUCUUAUUGGGGAGAAGCAAUCACAUCUGCCGCAUACUUGAUCAAUCGGGUACCUUCUAGCUCAAUUAACUUUCAAACACCUCUCCAAGCUCUUACUAAUGUCGUAGUUGCCCUAACCAUCCCAAAUCUACCUCCUCGUGUUUUUGGUUGCGUGGCAUUUGUGCAUCUACACAAGCACCAACGCACCAAGUUAACUUCCCAUGCAUUGCAAUGUGUGUUUGUUGGAUAUGCAUUGCACAAAAAGGGAUAUCGAUGUUACCAUCCUCCAACUCGACAAAUGUAUAUUACAAUGGAUGUAGUGUUUCAUGAAGAUUCAAUGUAUUUUUCAUCUGAGUCUGAACUUCAGGGGGAGUACCAUAAGGAAAUUCAGACUCUCGAUUAUGAUUAUCAUAUCUCUGAGGAAGAUGAAUCUAGACAAUCUGAACUAGUGAACUAGGAAGCGGGUAAGUUGGAUAUGAGUGGUCAAGUAUUUGGGUCCGAAGAUGUCUUCACUGAAAUACCAAACCAAACGUCGUCUGUUGAGGGUGUUCUUAAUUUGGAACCUGAUCCAUUCAUGAAAUGGUUACUACACCGUCAUAAUAGAGGUAUUCUUAAACCCACAUAUGAACCUGAAUUGUCUACCAAAGUCAAAUAUCCCAUGAGCAACUAUGUGUCUAACCAUCGUUUGUCUGAAUCAAAUAAGUCAUUUGUAAAUCAAUUAUCUACUGUAGCUAUUCCUAACAGUGUGCAUGAAGCCUUAGCUGAUCCAAGGUGGAAAGCAACCAUGAAUGAAGAGAUGAAAUCAUUGCAGAAGAAUGAAACAUGGGAACUCGUAGAAUGUCCACCAGGAAAAAAGCCAGUUGGGUGUCGUUGGAUCUAUACUGUGAAGUACAAGGCAGAUGGUAGUAUUGAACUAUUUAAAGCAAGACUGGUAGUAAAAGGGUACACUCAAACUUAUGGAAUUGACUACACAGAGACAUUUGCACCUGUAACUAAGAUCAACACAGUUCGAGUAUUACUGUCUUUAGCUGCAAACCUAGAUUGGCCAUUACAACAAUUUGAUGUGAAAAAUGCCUUUCUACAUGGUGAGUUAUCUGAAGAAGUAUAUAUGGAUCUUCCACCAGGAUGCAUGGUGUCAGAAAAGCAAUGUCAGAAGGUGUGCAAAUUGAAGAAGUCAUUGUAUGGGUUGAAGCAAUCCCUGAGAGCAUGGUUUGGAAGGUUCACAAAGUCAAUGAGAGCUUUUGGCUAUCGUCAAAGUAAUUCAGAUCACACUUUGUUCCUGAAAAAGCAACAUGGUAAGAUUACGACACUCAUCAUAUAUGUGGAUGACAUGGUAGUUACAGGAAAUGAUCCUGAAGAAAUAAAAGCUCUACAAAAUUAUCUAUCUAUAGAAUUCGAAAUGAAAGAUCUAGGUCAUCUGAAAUACUUUCUUAGGAUUGAAGUUUCUUGAUCAAGUGAAGGAAUUUUUCUGUCUCAAAGAAAGUAUGCUUUAGAUCUUUUACAGGAGACUGGAAUGUCGGGAUGUCAACCUGUUAAUACACCAAUAGAAGAAGGUCUGAAAUUGUGUGUUGAGCCUAAUCAAGUAUCAACCGAUAAGGGAAGAUACUAGAGACUUGUGGGGAGAUUAAUGUACUUAGCUCAUACAAGACCAGAUCUUGCUUAUACAUUGAGUGUAGUGAGUCAAUACAUGCAUAAUCCUGGAGAGCAACAUAUGAAUGCAGUCAUGCGUAUUUUGAGGUAUUUGAAGAAUGCUCCUAGGAAGGGAAUUUUGUUCGCUAAAAAUGUUGAUCAUCAGAGUAUAGAAGUAUAUACUGAUGCUGAUUGGCCGGUGCAGUGGAUGAUAGACGAUCUACAUCUGGUUACUUUACCUUUGUAGGUGAUAAUCUUGUGACAUGGAAAAGUAAGAAGCAGAAUGUCGUCGCUCGUUCAAGUGCAGAAGCGGAAUUUAAAGGUAUGGCUCUAGGACUUUGUGAGGCAUUAUGGCUAAGACUCCUCUUACAGGAUUUAGGUUACCUAUCUAGCCAACCAAUUCGAUUGUUUUGUGACAAUAAAGCCGCAUGUGACAUUGCUCAUAAUCCAGUACAACAUGAUCGUACAAAGCAUGUCGAGGUGGAUAGAUUCUUCAUUAAGGAAAAGUUGGAUGAUAAGAUUAUGGAAUUGCUUAAGAUUUGAUCAGAAGAUCAAUUGGUCGAUAUCCUUACCAAAGCUGUCUCAAGUCAAGUGUUCUCAAAAUUUUUAGACAAGUUGAGCAUGUGUGACAUCUAUGCACCAACUUGAGGGGGAGUGUUGAGAUAUUAGGAAUGCUUUCCUUAUAUCAUUUAGUGUUGAAAUAUUAGGAAUGUUUAGAUAUUUGGAAAGUUGAGAUAUUAUGAAUAUUGAGAUAUUAGGAAUAUUGAGAUAUUAGGAAAGUUGAGAUAUUAGGAUAUUAAUUGUUAUUUCCUUAUAUCAUUCUUUCCUUGUAUCAUUCUUUCCCAUUCUUAGAAUGGUGAUUACCCUCUAUAUAUAUUCUGUACAUGAACGAAUGAAAGAAUGAAUGAAAAAACUACCAUUUAUCAAUUUGAAGAGCCACUUCCUGAAUUGCAUUUACAGCGGACAUAUUGGAUGAAUUGUCUUUAAAAAGAAAAGUAUUUAGGACUGCCACUCUCUUUCAUACAAAAAAUCAUGCGUCCCACAAUAUCAGUGUUUGACACUCCUUCUGUGCACUUGAUCUGCUUGUAGUGACCAGCCCACAUCCUAAAAAAAUCUAGGUAAUCUCUCCAACGAGCUCCGGUGUCAACGAUUUGACAUGUCUCUUCAUGUAAAUGGCUAACUGAUUCUUGUCCAAUACUGAUUGCACUUGAAGCUUAAAUGUAUCAACGAUAUCAGCCACUUCGAUGACUUGAUGCAACCUAGAAGUCCUUCAAGUCAUAACUCACAAACUUGGACAGUUUCUCAUGAAAACAGUCACCUUGUAGCCAACACGAAACUCAAAACACAGUCUCACAAGAACAACUUCAACCAUCGCAUCCAUUCUCUCAUACGGAGAUCCCAAGAGGAAUUUAAAAACGUGCAUCUGUUGGAAUACAUUUGAAGGAAGUAUAUUUCUCGGGGCAUCAAGAGUUGUUACAAAUCUCAUCAUUAAAAUGACUGGAACCUUGACCACCCAUUCACUCAACAUGAGAAUGAAAUCUGAUAACACGGACCCACAACAUCGCUUCAUAUCAUCUAUUAUCACAACCACCGGCUUGUUGUAGCUGCCCGAAUCACUACACCAUGAUGCUAAAAUGGAUACAUCAGCUGCGUCCAAAGCAACCAUUAGAAACUGUCUCAACAAACCUCUGAGACAGCCGCCAAUGCCAUUAUUAGCCAAAAAAUUAAUGUAUGAUAAGUUAGCCACAUGACAUCCAUGAGAUUUUAGAUGCAGACCGAACUCUUCCCAACGUCAUCAAAUCAUCAAUGUAACCCCAUAUUCUAGGUGAAAACCAAACCAGUGAAUAGUUGCCUUAAGAUGGAUGUUCCUCAAAACAUCCUUAAUAGUGGACUCAAUAUUUGGCCAAACAAAAUUGAAGGCUUCCAUUCGUAAGUGCUCAUGGUGAUGAUCAUCCCGUUCUUUAUCCGUGCCAAUUUCCAUUUUCUCGGCAUUUUUGACUGAGAUUGGAGAUGAGUCAAUCUUCUUCCUGAAAUCUAGCUUUGAUCCAACAAGUCUCGAAGUUCAAAGCAAACGCAAAUGCUCAAUUUUUCUCAUUAAAUGCACUCGACGGUGUUCUUAUAACCCAAGUCCCGUAUGCAUGAAUAAUAAGAGCGGAUAGAUAUGAAAGAUAGGGGAUGUAGCCAACGGGAUGGGUGAUGAAGAAAAGUGGGAUAGAUGGGUUAGGUCAAUAAGAGAGAUAAAAAGUUAGGUGUGAUCACGGGUAUGAGAGAAAUGGUAAGCUCAUAUGGGAUGAACUGUGGGUGUCAAUUAUGAUGGGUAUGAACGACAUGUAAUGGCAUGUAAGCGGUUGGAGAAAUGUGUGAUGGACGUUAAUGAGGCCACGUAUGGCCAUGCAACAAUGGAGGGAAUAGGUUUGAGGUGCACUUGGAAAAUGGGUAUGUAAUGUGGUAAAGAGAGAGAAAGUGAAUUCGGUGGUAGUGGGCAUGAGAGGUUCGGUGGAUGUGAGUGAAAGUGUCCAUAGGGGGUGGCCAUGCAUGCAUGAUUCCAAUGCAUGUAGGUAGGUGACUUUGGGAUUCCAAUGGAGAUGAGCACGACACGGGUAUGGUGGUUAUGACGGAGGAUGGUGAGUAAGGGAAUGAGCAUGGAGAUGGAUGUGGUGUAUGAAGGUUAGUGAGAAGUGGGUUAGCGACGGAAACAUGAUUCUAGUGCGUGCAUGAGAGGGAAAUGGGUAUGGUGGAGGAUGCUUGAUUCCUGCAAGCGUGAGUGAAUGAUGGGUAUGGCUAGCACGAAGGACAGAAAGAUGGUGAAACGGAGCGGGUUUGAUGGGUCUCGGGAUGGAUAUGAUAGAUGGUGGAGAAAAUGGGUUAGUGGGGGUGUGAAUUGAUUCGUGCCCAAUUGGUGUCUCAGCUGAUUCGUGUUCAGCUGGUGCUCCUUGAUUGAGAGAGUAAUCAACAAAAUUUAUAACCUAUUACACCAUUUACUAGGGUAGCAAAGACAAAGCUACUAUAGCAUAGUGGCUCUAGGAUCGUUCACUGGGAUGGGUUUUCACUUUGCAAAUGAUAUUAAUUCAAAGCUGAAUUGGUGUCUUUUCAUUUCAAGGUUAGCUUUAAAAGAAAACAUAAAGAUGUUUGAAUGAAAAAGGUUUGGUUUUAAACUAACCAAAAAUAGUAACUGAUUUUACUUACAAAGAAAAAUGUUUCUUGGAGUUUCAGAUCACUAGGCUCAGAUUCCUCAUACAAAAAGGGAGUUUCGGUCACUUGUUUCUUUUCCUCGCAUUAGAUAAUUAACAUAUAGUUCCUUCUCCAACCGGUGUUGUACAGAAACUUCCCAUUAAUGGGUUCAAACACUAAAUCUCUCUCACUGAUGCACCUUGCAAUGACUUGUGCCUCUCACCUAGCAUUUGCCAUUCAAGGUGAUCUUUAACCUUGGACUUUCCUUCAAAAGCUCGCAAUAGAUAACUAAUGGAUGUCUCCUUAGAGUCCAAAAGCUUACCAAGUGUUGGCUAUUCUAGAAAAUCCUACCUUCAAACCACCUACCAAAGGCUCGCAAGGGGUAAACUAGUGAAUCUCCAUGGACGGAGAUCACUUGCCUUACCAAGUGUUGGCCCAGGUGAUUUAAAAGCGUUUUAAGUUAACUAAAAAGAUAGAAAUCAUUAACGAGUCACACUUUCUCUUCAUUAAUAACUAAAACAACAAAACUUCCAAAUUAUGCAUGUGGAAACUUACCCGGAUUUCCUCACUCCAAGAGACGAAGAGCCUAGCCUCUCAUCCUCUGAGGAAAAAUCCUCAGAGUUUGUUUGGCUAGCAAGAAAAUGAAAAUGAAAGAGAAGGAAAAACAGAGCAAGGCUCUGUAUAUUCUAUAUAUUUAUAUAUCUAUCUAUAUGAUGGAUCUCCUGGAACAAGCUCCUCCGAGAGUCCUCCAAGAGUCCCAUUUUUUAGUGUUUACAAGAGAGUUUAUAUAGGAAGGUAAUUUACCCUUCCUUGGAUACUUCUUAGCUAAGGAAUUACAUAAGUGGUUGAAUACAAGGAGAAAAUGGAAAUUUAGACACAAAAAUCUGAAGAAAAAUAUCUCAAAGUUUCGGUCGCAAAUAUCGGGAAGCACUAAGGACCAUUUCGCAGGUGAAAACGAGGUCUGCGAAAUUUCGCAGACGCACAAAAAGGGCUGCGAAAUCACUUCGCAACAAAAGGCUGAUUUCGCAGCGCUACGAAGUUGGCUUUCAACUUGCGGUGUUCGGCUUCCAAUGUGUUGCAACUAUCGGGAAACUUUAGGGGGAAUUCCACAGCACUGUACAAAAAGGCUGCGAAAUCAUCUUGCAACAAAAGGGUGAUUUCGCAACGCUGUGCAAAAUUCUUCCUUCAGCUUAGAGUGAUCGGCUUGCAAUGGCUGUAACUCCUUCAUUUCAACUCUGAAUUGUGUACCGUUUGAAGCAUUGGAUUCUUGACUUCCUGAGCUUUGAAAUGGUAUAUAGAAUGUAGAAAAUGGACUUCAGGAAGUGCUCCAAAAGUGCGAAAGAAGGCUGCAGCUGCUGUCCUCUGUUUUCUUCACUCUAUUUUCCUCUCUCCAGUGCUCUUUCCUUGCAUACUUUGAACGACUAAGGCAAAGGACUAUGAGGCUCCAAAGCUUGGUUCUUCAUGAAUUUGAGCUUCCAAAAGCUUUGCCAUGAACUAUAUACAACUCUCCCUCAUUCUUAAAUUGCUUUGGUGAGCAAAAAGCUAUCAAAAACACCAAAACUUAACACAAUUUGAUUAGAAACGAUUGCAAGGGUCCUUAACAUGUUAAUUGGGUUAAAAAGCAAUAACUACUACUCAAAAGUGUUUAAAAGAGUUAAUUACAAGGUAUGAAAUAGCACUUUUUGAGUAGUAAUCAUGAAUGAAAGGCGCAUGAGGAUACAGUGAGUGCAUAGGAUCAAUGAUAUUAAGCGAUGUGGGUUAGCGAGAAAUGGGUAUGGAGAAGGUAGUGGCUCUCAUGCACGUGGGUGGAUGGAUUUGGGAUGCUAGCAGAUUAGAGGAAGCUUGGGGGGGGGGGGGGGGGGGGGGGNNNNNNNNNNNNNNNNNNNNNNNNNNNNNNNNNNNNNNNNNNNNNNNNNNNNNNNNNNNNNNNNNNNNNNNNNNNNNNNNNNNNNNNNNNNNNNNNNNNNGGGGGGGGGGGGGGCGCAUAUAUGGCGUACUAAAGAUGAGACAAAGGGUCGGCGGAUCUUAUGUGAACCGGAGCAAAGGGGUGCACCCAUGAUUCUGUGGAACCUGGUAGCGGCUAAAACACCGACAGGCUCACCAGCAGGGAAGGGAUGCUCGGAGUUAGUUCUAGUCUUCACUCCAUACUCAAAUUGGAUAGUUGAAUUGCUACAAACAUUCCUCACUGUACCAUCAUAACAGAUAACAACAUCUCGAAGAGUGGCCAUUAAGUUUUUAAACAAAGUUCCUAGUCCAGACAAGCCCCUUGAUGAUCGUACAAUUAUUUCUCGUGGAAAUUGAAUGAACCAUUUCCUCAUAAGGAUCUAAGCCAUGGGAGAAACAGUUUCAUGAAAAGGAUACUUGCUUUUGAAUUAGAUAAGCCAUGCCCUCAACCCAGAUCCUGGAAUAGAACUUACCCUUUUCUGAAGGUUGUAGUCCUAGGAACCCCAUUUGUUGAACUACCUUGUUAAUAGCCGAAUCACUCUUAGAAUCAUUUAAAUUACCCAGUGCAGAUGAAUUCAAAAUUAAAUUAGCAACAAGAACCUUGGUAUGUCUCAAGUGAUUCUCUGCCUGCAACUCUAGCAAUUCAUUAUACUUCGACCUUAAGUUAUACAACAACGAUGAAAUGUCCUCAACCUUUUUUUGGAUAUUCUGUAUGACCUCCCUGGGAUCGGAAGAAUCCUCCAAGCUGACACUGAAACCCUCUGAAAAUAAAUUUUCCAUGAACAAAGGCGGUAAUGAAUCAAAGAACUUCAAGACCUCAUUGGGACCUUCCUCAGAGAAAAUGGAUGUGACAAUUUCAUUUACCAAAGAUUGCAACACAUCUCUAUUAUAAUCAACUUUCAAUAUAACACUUUUGCUAAUCGAGUGCCUCUUUCCAAUACAAUCAAAAUGAGGAGGUAAGGCAGUUUGCAUCUAUGGAAUGGACUUGAGUUUUUCCGUAAGCACCUCGACCCAGAUGACCAGUAUGAAGUGCGACACUCAACAUUUCAAAAAAAAAACUUAAAAGAAAAAAACAUGAGAAGAAAACAGAGCAUGUACACAUAUAUAUAUAAAAAGAAGGCUGCUAAGUCUCGCCCCAUUCCACAGAUGUCAAUGGGAGGGGUUUAGGUGGAACCAAAAGGAAACGUGGUCAUGAUCUCCAAAAAUCAAAUGCAGUGAUGAAUCUACACCCAGAACACUCCAAAACAAAAAAAUAAAAAUAAAAAUGCACAAGUAGUCUUCAAGUGUCAAAGGAAUCCACAAAUGAAAAGAAACAUAGGAGCAUGUACGAAGUGCGACACUCAACAUUUCAAAAAAAAAACUUAAAAGAAAAAAACAUGAGAAGAAAACAGAGCAUGUACACAUAUAUAUAUAAAAAGAAGGCUGCUAAGUCUUGCCCCAUUCCACAGAUGUCAAUGGGAGGGGUUUAGGUGGAACCAAAAGGAAACGUGGGCAUGAUCUCCAAAAAUCAAAUGCAGUGAUGAAUCUACACUCAGAACACUCCAAAACAAAAAAAUAAAAAUAAAAAUGCACAAGUAGUCUUCAAGUGUCAAAGGAAUCCACAAAUGAAAAGAAACAUAGGAGAACUGUUCAAAACGGGAGAAAUAAAACAGACUGAAUCCUCUUUGGCUUGCUCUCCUCUCCUCUCCGUCUCCUUCCCUCCCAGCUAUCCAACUCCACCCCCCCCCCCNNNNNNNNNNNNNNNNNNNNNNNNNNNNNNNNNNNNNNNNNNNNNNNNNNNNNNNNNNNNNNNNNNNNNNNNNNNNNNNNNNNNNNNNNNNNNNNNNNNNUUUAAAGGGGGGGGGUUUGGGGGGAACCAAAAGAAAAGGGGGGGCGGUCCCCCAAAAAAAAAAGGGGGGGGGAAAUCCCCCCCCGGACCCCCCCAAAAAAAAAAAAAAAAAAAAAAAAACCCCAAGGUUUUUUAAAGGGUCAAAGGAACCCCCAAAAAAAAAAAAAAAAAGGGGAAACUUUUAAAAAGGGGAAAAAAAAAAAAGGAGAAAUCCUUUUGGGGUUGUUUUCCUUCCCUUCCCGUUCCCUUCCCCCCCAAUUUUCAAACCCCCCCCCCCCCCCCCCCCCCCCCCCCAAAUAUCUCUCAAAACCCCUGUUUUUGUCUUCCCCAGCAAGCCAUACUACCCACUCCACUAUGCAUUGCUUAGGGAGGAUGUCAUCCUCAACCACCACCAUGGUCGCCUUUGCCACACGUCCAUACAGCUAGUUUCUUCUCCAGAAAGAGGUCCCUUCCACUUCAAAAAAAGAAAAAAGGAAAAAAUUUCUCUCCCGAGUGGUCCCAAAACGAAUGAAAAACCCCUGGUCUUUGAAGAGGUCUACAGUUUGAUUGUUAAGAAACUAUUAGAAGUUUUCUAAGCUAAAACUUAUUUUUAUGUAAUGUAUUUUAUGAUUUAUGAACAUUGUUGAGAUUAAUUUGUUAACUUUUUAUUUUUAAUUUGGGAAAAAAAUAAAUAUUAAUUUUGGAAAUUAAACAAUGGAUAAUAUAAUGAUAGAAUAAUAUUUUUUCCAUUAUGUUUGUUUAAUAGGUAGAUUCACAAAAUAUUUCAGACUUGUAUUUGAGAUUUACCAAUUUUUUCAAAUGAUUGGAUUAAGGUUCAGUCAUGAUUGGAUCAUAUAUAUUAUAUACUAUUCUAUUCAUGAGUAAAUCAAAUGAAUGAUGUAAAUUACCAAGUUCUGCAAACUUCAAGCAUUGCCAAAAGAAAAAAAAAACCAUUUUUUUUAUACGACAUAGACUAAGGACUUUGUAUAAGUCAAUAAUUAAGAUGUCAUCAAAGUCCUUCAAGAAAUGUCCAAGGAAAUUUUAAAAAUCAUGAAAAAAAAAAAGUUAUAAAUGGUGUUUUAAUGUAUUAUAUACAUAUUCUCUUCAAAAGGUAUUUUUAAACUCCUCUUAGAAUUUGCUAUUCCGACAUUCUUUUUUCUUUUUCUUAUCUCAAUUUAAAUAGACUUUAAUUUAACUUAAAUUUAAAUAGUAUGAAAUAUUAAGUGAUUUGUUUUCAAUUUUUUUUUCUUUGACUUAAUUCUUAAAAAAUAUUGUUUUAAUAUUUAAGUCAUUUUAAAGAUCGUUUAUUUGUUUAAUUUAUUAUUUUUUAAGACAAUUUUAUCUUAAUAGAAAAACUAAUUCAUUGUUUUUCUUUUAUCUUAAAUUUUAAAUUAACUUGUUUUAAGACUUAAGUUAGAAUUAAAAUUUUAAAUUUUAAAAAAACAAUAAACCCUUAAACUAUAUUUGUUUAUGAAAUUAAACUAAGAAAAAUAAUUUUUUAAUUAAUGGUUUCAUUGUGGAAAUACAAAUAUAUAUAUAAUAAAAAUAAAUUAAAAUUUUAUACAUUUUAAAAUUAUUUAAUUUAUAUUUAAUAAAAUAAAUAAAUAAAAUAAAUUAAAAAAACAUAUUAACUUCAAUUUUUUUUCCUUCACUUUUUUCUUCCCAUCUAUUUUUGUUCAUUUCUUUCCCUCACUUCUCCCCUCAAAAUUUUAAAUUUAUUUAACCAUUUUAAGUCUUCGUGCCAAUGCUAGUCAUAAACAAACAAUUGAUGAAGACCUUUCAGCCCUUUGUGGAGCAAGUAUCACAAGAAUAUUGAGCCAAUCAUGAACACCAUCCUGUCCUCAACUUCAUCUGUUGCUAUAAAUCUAAAUACUGAUGUAGACCUGUGGACCCCGCAUUUCGGCUCAUGCGUUUCCCACUCGAUGGCGAGCUCGAUUUUGAUUUCGAAAAAUUGAUUUUAUAUUGAUUAAGAAAAAUGACUUGGAGUCGCCACUUAUUUUUGUUUUAUUUUUAAAGGGUAAACAAAAUAAGAAAGAAAAACCCUAAGUGCGACUCCUUGUUUUGGAAAAGGUGGUCUGUGAAAAAUCGGAUUGGGUUCGGGGGUCAGGUUACUCAUCGGGAAGGUACGGUAAAGACCGUAGCACCCCUCUAAGCCCCUAAAGUCGGGUCUCGACUAUUAAAAUGAAACUGACGUGGCAACUGAUGAGUAAAUCAAUGAAUAUCCUGAAUGAGCAUGCACACAUAAGAAUCGAGACAUGCAUAGACAACGGUUAGAGGGAAAAUGGGUACAUACCUGGGCCACGAGCCACCAUGCGCUAUCAUUAGAGAGGGUUAGUACACCAUAUAGAGCACAAAACAUAUCACAUGCAUCACUGAACAGGGAUUAAAAUUGUUCGAAAGAACACUUGAUUUUUGAAAUUCAUUUGAGAAUCGGAAUCUUAGAGAUCAUUUGAAAAUUGGAUUCUUAGGAAUUAGAUGUAAUGAAAUUUUUAAGAGAAGUAAAUGGGUAAGUAUGGAAUAAUGUUACUAAUUAAUCAAAACGAUAUUUGGACGGAUGAAUAGUGAAUAGUGGGAUUUUGAAAAUUAAGUUUGAAAGUCGGAUCUCUGAAUAAUUGGACUCUAAUUAUUGGAAUUUUUAGAAGGAAGAAAUAAGUAAACGUGGAAUUUAUAACAAUGAUAACAAAGGCGACAUUUGGAUGAAUAAAAGAGAAUGGUGGAAUUUUUUAGUCUCAAGGUUAAAUUUGGAGGUCCGGCUUUGAAGAAUUGAAUGUUAAUGAUCGAAAUAAAUAAGUAAAUAAGUAUGGAGUAAUGAUACUGAUGAACCAAAAUAAUGUUUAAACGAAUAAAAAAAAGAGGAUAGUGGAAUUUUUCUAAUUGAGAAUUUGAAUUAGGGCGUUGGAUUUUUUAAGGGACAUGACUUUGACUAAAUAGGUAGGUAUGUGAUUAUAAUACUAAUUAACGAGAAUAACAUUUCGGUGAAUAAAGAUGGAUAGUAGAAUUUUUGGGAUUAAAGUUUUGAUUAAGGCAUGGGGUUUUCGGAAGAUUAGACUUUGAAUGGAUAUGGGAAUAAUGUUUCUAAUUGAUGAAGAUAAAAUUUAGAUGAACUGUAGAAUUUAUAAGAUUGAAAAAUAAGAUUGAAAAAUUGAAUUAAGACAAGAGAUUUUUGAAGAACUAGGUUUUAAAUAAAUAGACGAAUACGUUAUAAUAAUCCUAAUUGAUGGAAAUAAGAUUUAAACGAAUUACUGAGAAACUAAAUUAAGACAGGGGAUUUUGAAGGAUUAGAUUUUAAAUAACUAAAUAAAUGCGGGAUAAUAAUUCGAUUUAUGAAAAUAUGAUUUAAACAAGAAUUAAAUUAAAACUUAGGAUUUUUGAAAGAUUGACAUAGAUAGAUAGGAGAAUAUAGGAUAGUAGUUCUAAUUGAUAAAUAUGAGAUUUAAAAGAGUUUUUGGGGAAUUAAAUUAAAACAUGUGACCUUUUUUAUAGAUUGGGCUUUGAAUAAAUAAUAAAUAAGGGAUAAUGAUUUGAUUUAUGAAAACAUGAUUCAGACAAGAAUUAAAUUAAGACUUAGGAUUUUUGAAGGAUUGACAUAAAUAGAUAGGAGAAUAUAGGAUAGUAGUUCUAAUUGAUGAAUAUGAGAUUUAAAAGAGUAUUUGAGGAAUUAAAUUAAAACAUGGGAUUUUCUUAAUGGAUUAGACUUUAAAUUAAUAAAUGAAUAUAGGAUAUUAAUUCAAAUUAAAGAAAAUAACGUUUAGACAAAUAGUGGGAUUUUAGGAUCGAGAAUUGAAUUAUGACAUUGGAUCCUUUUUUUUUUAAGGGUUGAAUUUUGAAUAAAUAAACUAAUAUAGGAUGAUAAUACUAAUUAACGAAAAUAAUCAGUUAAAACGGGAUAACAAGGACAGUGGAAUUUUUAGGAGUUUGAAAAUUAAGCUAGGACAUUGGAUUUACGAAGGGUUGGAUUUUAAAUUAGUAUAUAAAUAUGGGAUACUAACUCUAAUGGGUGAUAAUGAGAUUUGAACUAAUUAUUGAAGAAUUAAAUUAAGACACAUGAUUUAUUUGGAAGCCUUAGACUUUAAAUAGCUAGACAUAUAUGGUGAUAAUUCUUAAUUGAUGAAAAUGGGAUUUAAAUAGAUUAUUGAAAGAUUAGAUUAGGAUAUGGGGUUUUUCAAGGAUUAGAAUUUAACUUUGAUGACUGAGAUUUUCAAAAGAUGAUAAAUAGAUGCGUACGAAGUAAUAAUAAUAAUUAACAAUCAUAAUGUUUAAACUAGUUAAAUUAGAUGAAAUAAGCUCCAAGAUAAAAAUAUAAUUAACAAUAGUAAUUUGUUCUUUAAUUGCCUUUAAGAUGAGUUAACUAAAUGGGUAAAAAUAAGGUAACAAAUAAAAGGAAAUGAUUUGAUUAAUUAAUUAUGGAAAUUAGAGGCUUUGUUUUAUUUUUAAAAAAAUGAUUAUUUAGGAAUUGGGCAGCCUGGAGGGCUUACUUGUUCACAAACUUGGGCUUGGUGCUCCAACCCAAAUCCAAAGCUACCAUGGGCGGGCUCAAAAACCCAUCCCAAACCCAAGCCCGAAACUCCAUCUUCUUCCUAGCUUACCCCCCUCUAAACGCACACCAUCCUCAGAGGAAGCCUUCAUGGCCAGCAGCAAGGUGGAGAGAGGAGCCGUGGCAGCGGUUCGACGGUAUCCAGAAAGUGUCGUCGUCAUGGUGGCUGAUGCGAGUGCUCACCUAGCCGGAGCGGGUGAUGGCGGUUGGUGAGGCGAGCCAGCGCCUCGCCGACGUGGUGCGCACAGCAAGAAGACGCAGGGAGGGAAGGCCGGCGUGCAUGGAAAGUUGCGAAGCUCUCCGGGCCUCUGGCAGACGUGCCGCCGAUGGAGACGGCGAGGGCGAUGGCGAAUAAUGAGGAGGGAGAUGGCGGAGGCAGCUUGCCUGCUUGGAUCCCACGCGUGCAGAAGAGUGGCUUUGGGAGCCCUUGCGGAAAUGGGUAUGGCGACUAGAGGAAGAAAAGGUGAUGGGGAAGAAAGGUGAGGGUAACGGCCAUGCCGGGAACAUGGGUGCACGGCUAUGGGGCUGCUGAACAAAAGGGACUGUUGGGGAUAUGCAUGGCAGCAGCCUUUCGAGUGCCAGUGACGUCCGCUUGAAGGGCAGGGUUCAAGUAUGGAUCCUUCAAGGCACUCUCGACUUCGGGGUUGGUAUUCUCUCCGACAACGAAAUGUCUGGGCAACUGAUUCCUCAAGUUUGAUGGGUCCAGAACCCUUUUAUCGAUUUAAAUCCAUUGCCUGGCUCCCCUUAGAUGGACAUCAGAAACAGGGGAAGGAGAGGAAACUACAAGAAAAUAAAAAGGAGGGCACCAGCUGACCAAACAACUAAGGCAAACAAACCUAUGUUUCGCGCUUGGAUCCAUGGGCUUCGCUGUAGGUGGGUGGAUCCGGAUGCAUUCCACGGGAGCGAGGACAAAAACAAAACUCUCCCAUGAAGUAUAGUGCAACAGAAACAGAGCCGAGUUGCUCUCAAAUCAUCCCGAGGAAAAUAAACGAGCUAGCCACAAUGAAUUCAUAGACCAAAUGGCGACCAUAAAACUGAACGUAUAACCAAAAAAUCCGUAAACACUAUCCAGAAAAAAGAGGAAUAGGAAUAUGUACCGAUAAAAUGAGUUCAAUGAUUCAUGGAAGACAUACCUUUCCUUUCUUCUCUCUCGGCGGAUCCUCUUGCGGACGUCCUCUGCUGCCCAAAAGUCCUCCUUCCUCCCUUCCCUUUUCUUCUUUUCUCCUCUGUUUUUCUUCUGUUCCUGUCUUCCUCAGCAAGCCAGUCGUAUCCCGUCCAAUCUGCCCCCCGAGAGCCGCCCACUUGAGUCCCCUCUCUGCCCCAAAAACCAGCUCCUGACCAUCAUGUCGAGCCCCGGGAAAAAGGUAGGAAAAGGAAAAGAAAUAAAAUAAAUCCAAAUAAAAAAAUCUCUGCCUCCAGGGGGGUCUACAAGACCCUAUCUGAAAAUGGUCCACUGGAUAGGUACCUCCCACAAGAAAAUUAAUGAAAGCUAGAAAAAUGAAAAAAAUAAAAUAAAAAUUAAAGCUUCAUUUUUAUUUUUUUUUUCCCAACUCACAUGGAAUAUAGACUAAGACUUUGUUUCAGUCAAGAGUCAACAUGUCACAAAAUUCCUGAAGUCAUUGUCUAAGGAAAAUAAUAAAUAAUACUUUAAUGUAUGAUGUAUAUAUUUUCUACAAAAGGCAUUUCUAGACUUCUACAAUUUUCUCCUAUGGACCACUGACCAACUUCAAUUAAUUGAGAAAGUUACGUGAAUGAAGGGACUUCCUACUCCAUGUUAAGUGAUAUGACAUAUAAAGGAAAAUAAAAUAUCAUGAAAAUUAUUAAAAUUUUUAUAUUUAUACAAUUCUUUAUUAUUAUUAUUAUUAUACAUAAAGGGUUGGAAAAAUGCAUAACAUGACUAAGUGGUAGUUUUUUUUUUUUUUUGUCUAAAAUGUAAAUAAAUCUAAAUUAUUAUUUUUUAUUCUAAUUCUAAAAUUAAUAAUUUAAGAAAUAGUAAUUUAAUAUAUUUACAAAUAUAUACAAAAAUUUAAUUUAUUACCAUAAUAAAUAUUUUCUGACAAUUAAUUAUGUAAUUAGUAGAAAAUUUAUAAUUAGAUAAUGAUUAGGAUUUUUAUUCAUGUUUGGUUGUUAAGAAACUAUUAGAAUUUUUCUAAGUUAAAACUUAUUUUUAUGAAAUGUAUUUUCCGAUUUAUGAAUAUUGUUGAGAUUAAUUUCAACAUUUUUUUAUUUUUUAUUUUUUACUCUUCAUAUGGAUAAUAGAAAGUGGAUUUGUGAUGCUUUCUUGGAUUUAUAGCAAUUAAAACUUAUUUCUUGAAUAUACAAUUUAAAAGUUCAAUUGUUAAAAUAAAGUCAUUUCUCAAAGAGAUUUCCUAUUUUACUUUAGUUAGUUUUGGAUUAGAAAUUAUACCUUUUAAUUUAUGCUCUCAUUAUUAUUCUAAAUCUAUUUGAGGUAAAUAUCAACUAGCUAGAUGUUGGAUUUGUUAGAUAAGGUCAUUCAUGUGUUCAGCUCUCAAGUUUGAUAUAUAAAAUCACCAUAGUACCCUUCACCUCUGUGUCAAGGUAUCGUAGUAUUAAACUUUUAAAAAACAUUAUAAACUUGAUGCAUUGGAACGGUAUGAUCAUUAUUGUUGAAUGAAUCUAUCAUUUUUUAUUGAGUGAAUAGCUUAAUUUAGAAUUUUUACGAUUUUUGUUUUAGUUAGAACUUUUAGACAAUAUUUGAUUCCUGAAAACUUGAAGGGAAAAUAUAAGGGAAUAAAAUAGAGAAGAAAAAUAUAAGGAAACAAAAGAUUUAAAAUCACUCAUUUUAACUCAUGUAAAUACUAAAUAAUUUUUAAGGGGUUGCUAUUCGCAACAUCUCUUUUGCUAAUGUAACACUUUUUUGUCAUAUUUUUUUUUUCAUAUAUACCCUUUUUAAUAAAGAACUCUCUCUAACCUCCUCUCAACAUAUUAAACCUAAAUUCUAGUUAAUUAAGGGUACGAAUCACAUACGAAAUACAAUGAAUAACGAAAUUCAAUCAUCUUAUGAUAAUUUUCAGGUAAGAUUUAUAACUUUUAUUUUUUUUAUAAAGAAGUAUAUUGUUUUGACAUUUUUUUAGGCUCUUGAUUACAUACUUUGUUUUAUGAGUCUUUACUUUGCAUACACAAAUAAUUAUUACAUUACUCAUAUUCUUAAUCAAUCUUUAGUUAUAUGCAAUAUUUUUGUUUGGGUUACAAAAAAAAUCAUAUCGAACACAAUAAAAAAAAAUAUUUUUUAAAAAACCAUUCCAAUUAAAUAUUGUUUAUUUUAAAAUUUUAAUAAUAAUAUUUAUUUUAAAAAAUUGAGUUAUGAAUUUCACAUUAAAACAUUGAAUAUAAUAAAAUCAUUUUACAUAAUAUACUUUUGGUGAAAAUAUAAUUUUAUAAUUUAUUAUUUAAAGAAAUUAUUUUGUUUUAAAAUAUAAGAAGAAUAUGAAAAACAAUUGAGUGUGAAAAAUAAAAUAAAUGAAAAGAAAAAAACACAAAGUUUACUUGGGGUGGGAGGUUGAGUAGGUAGAGAUGAAAAGAAAGAUAACAAUAAAAGAAAAAGAAUGCUAAAAUGUAGGGUGGGGGUUGGGAAAAAGAAAAGAAAAAUAAAAAAAGGGUGCAAUUGGGACAUGAGGUUGGGGAGGAGAGAGAGGAGAGGAGAGAGGAGAGAGAGGGGAAAGGAAUAAGGAAGGGUAGUUUAGGAAUGUAAAAUAUCAUAUUAGUAAAAAUGGUGUUGCGAAUAGCAAUUGAGAUUUUUAAAUGUAUAAAUUUUUAACUAAUUUUAAUUAUAUUUAAUUUUUAUUGAUAUUUUCGAUGAUAUAACAAUCCAUAACAUAAUCAUUUUUCCUAUUAUUAUUUUUUCUUUUCUUCGCACUUUCAAGGAAACAAAAAUAAACACCGAGUAAAAUUAUGAUUUUAAAGGUAGCUUGGUUAACAUUGUGUAUACUUUUUGUUGAACUCUUUUCGAAGUGGAAUUUUUGUUAUAAAUUUAUCUAAAUACCUAAAAAAUCUCGUAAGCAACAACAAUUAGGUUUGUGUUACAUCUCAUUUAACAAUUAUUGUAAAGCUAUAAUGACUAGAUGGGGUUAGAUAGUACACAAUUUGAACCUUUGGUUUCAAAAUUUAAUCAAAGAAAAUUCAGUAACCAAAUGUUUAAAAUUUAGGAAUGAUGAUGGACAGGUUUUGAAACUAUUUCAAAUUUUGAUACAACUAUAAAUCUAGAAGAAAUGAAGACCUUUUAGCAUAUAGAAGAAGUUUCACCAAACUAAUAAUUAACAUAUAAAUAAGUAGGAUGAGUGUUUGAGACACUUCUCUUUUUGUUGGAUUCGGUUCUAGUCUGACUCAAGGUUAAUAUAUUUUUAAUUUCCACUUUGUUCAUUUAUGCAUUGAUUCAAAAAAAUAUGUCAUGUACUAAUGUUAAUUCAAGAUACUAAUUACCAAGUUUUUGAAACAUGAAGUCAUGGUCCAAAGAAAACGAUACAAUAUUUUAUUUUUUGUUUCUAUUUCUCCAUUCUUUUGCUUAACUCACACGAAAUAGACUAAGGACUUUGUUUUAGUCAAGCAUCAAGAUGUCACAAUCACAAAGAAAAGAAAUUCAAACAAUGCUUUAAUGCAUGUUGUGUAUAUUUUCUCCAAAAAGCAUUUUAGACUCUUGUUAGAAUUUUCUCCUACGGAUUCUUUACUAACUUUAAUUAAUUGAAGAAAGCUAUACCAAAUUUCCUACUCCAUGUUAAAUAUUAUCGCCUAUAAAGGAAAUAAAAUAUCAUAAAAAUCAUUUAAAAAUUUAUAUAUAUUCAAAUUUUUUAUCAUAUAUAUAAAGGGUUGGAAAAAUGUAUAACAGGUUAAUGUGGUAUUUAUUUUUGAUCUAAAAUUUGAGUAGAUCUAAGUUUGACUUAAAUCUACUUAUAUUAUUAAGUGUUUAGGUUGCUUACUUUUUAUCAAUGUAUAAAUAUUGUUAAGUGUUAAAUUGCUUUCUUUUAUUAAUGUCUAAAGAGUUACACUUAUUUAUUUCUACAUGUUAAAAAUAUCUAUAAAAUUAAUUAUUAUAUUUUUUCUUAUUUUAAUUUUAAAAUUAACCAUUUAAGAGAUAUUAAUUUAAUAUAUUUAUAAAUGUACAAAAAUAUUAUAAUUUAUUAUCAUAAUAAACAUUUUAUAAUGACUAAUUAUGCAAAGUGUAGAAAAAUAACAAUUAGAUAAUUAUUAGGAUUUCUAAUUAUGCUUGGUUGUUAAAAAAUUUCUAUGUUAAAACUUAUUUUUAUGUAACUAUCUUCAAAUUUAUGAAUAUUGUUGAGAUUAAUUUAUUAAUUUUUAUUUUUAAUAUGGGAAAAAUGUAAAAAUCUAAAUUUUAUUUUUAAAAUUAAUUGGAUUUUUUUAUUCAAGCUAAUUACUAAAUGAGGGUAAAUUAGAAAUCUAAGAUCAAGGACAUUAGCCAACCAAACUGACCCAAACCUAACCAAUCCAAUCUUAUUCAUUUCAAAACAAUGAACCAAUAGAAACCGAUUCUAAUCAAACAUAUAUAUUAUAUAUUAGACUUAAAAUAUACAAAAUUUGAAUUUUCAAAAUUUGAAGUUAUUUUUUGAAGAGACUUCAUAUUUUGCUUCUCACAUUUUACUAUAAAUUUAUGAAAUUAUUUUUUAGUUGUCAUAUUUUAAAAAAAAAUAUUUUAUUUUUUCAAAAUAAAUUCACUAAAUAAUGUCUCACAUGUAUUUGUGGUUCACUAAAUUUUUAAUAAUCAAAUUAAUAAAUUUGUAAAAGAAAAAUAUUAUAUUUUCUCCAUUUUUUUCACUUGAUAAACAAAUCUACAAAAAUGUCAAGCGAAUGUUUGAAAUUUACCUCUUUUUUUUUGCUUUUUUUUUUUUUUUUGUAAUCUUUGGUUGAUUGUAUUUUUAAAAGCAUUAUAAAUCCCAAGAAAGAAAUAUUUUUUUCUUUACCAUUAUAGUUCCAUAGUGUUUGAACUUAUCUUUACCAUUUUUUUUUCUUGAUCUAACUACAAGCUUGACUACACAAACUUUGUCAACAAUGAGAAUAAAAGUGAGGAGGGUGAUGAAGUUCUCCCUAUACUCUCCUCCCCCUUUUUAACUUUCCACGUUUUAAUUGUAUAUCCCCCCUCAACAAUAUAGUUUUAAGGUAUGUACACUUUAAUCCUGAUGGACUAAAGGCCCAUAAUUCAUCUCAAUGGGUCAACUAAAAUAUUAUGAGGAAGGUGAAGCCAUGGGCCUCUGCACAAUACAUUAAAUUGAUUAUGGCCCAAAACAAUACCCAUGCACAACCAAAUAUAGUUUACAAUAUACGUAGUCCACAAAAAACAUUUGACAUUAAUAGGUGAAUUUAGGUGAUUAUGCUAGUCCAAGAAACAGUAAAAAAUUUUAUUUGAAAAUUUAUAUAUUUUCAAACUCUUAAUUCCUCUUUAUAAAUGUGGAUAAAGUUAGAGAAGUAAUGAUAAGAAUUAUUAAAAUUUAUUAAUCUUGAAGAGAAGUAUAGAAAAUGGGAAAUUAAUGAGAAUUUUAUUAUUAUCUUUUUUAGUUCCUUUAUUUUAAUUUUUUUUUCUUUAUUUUCCUUCAAUGUUGUCUUCCCUAGUAAUAUAAAUGUGGAUUUGGGAAGUACAUAUGCCGUUAUAUGACCCAAAAAUUAUUGGUUAUAGAAUACUAUAAAUUCCAUAAGAACAUAAUUCACAUACAUUUUGUCUCAAAGUUAAAAUAGUCUUACUAGUUGUUAUAUAUCUAUUGGUGCAGUAGAUUUUGAGCUUGUCUUAAAAGCUCUCGCCUAUUGAUGCCCUUAUCAACUACUUCGCAAACCAAUUUGCCAAACUUGCAACACAAGAUGGUUGGGUGGUCAUCCCGCACAUCUCCUAUGGUCAAGUAAGUGGAUAACAAGAAAAGGAAGUGUUGAGAGUAGAUGGAAAAAUAAAUAUGGGAAUAUGGGUGAGAGAAUAUGAUAGGUGAAGCUUAUUCUCUUUGUUAGAGCUUGAUCGUACCUUUAUAUUUCAUUACCCAAUGAUGUUAAGCUAACUAUUAUGAGGUAAGUAGUUACUGUCAACCCCUUAGCCACUUGACUCUACUAUGGAGGAAAAGACCUCAUAGGUAGGCCUUGCACCCAUGAGAGCCUAGGUGGAAAGCCUGGAGAUUUGGUGGUUCAAACUCCAGGGGCUAAGUGAGGAGGUCGCGGGCGAGCCAGACGCGUACCGCGAGCGGGUCAGAUGCGCAUCGCGAGCGCGCAUUGCGGGCGAGCCAGACAUGCACCACGUGCACACCAUAUGGGCAUCGCACGUGCACCAAACUUAGGUGGUGCAGAUGAAGGUUGAGGAACUUUUGAAAUUUUAAUUUAUAUUUAUUUAUUAUUCCAUUAUGUCUCCUCAGGCAUAUUGAUGUCUCCUCUAGAAACAAUGAAAAUGACCCGUAUUGCUCUUUAAGGGGGGAUAGGUGACUCAAAGGGGGGAGCACCAAGGGAAAGCCUUGACCGCACCAAGGGGCCACCAUGGCACGACCUUGGGCGUGCCUAGGACACAUGGACGGGACUCGAGCAUGCACACAUGGGCUCCACGACAUGUGUAGUAUGCACCCCGUGACCGCAACUGCACGGGGCCUGGUGCGGCCUACCUCCUCCGCGCGCAGGCACGAGGGCACCUAAACCUUGUGCGGUGAGCCAGUUGAGGAAACCAUGGGCACAAUGCCAUGGCUUGAUGAGGCACCAGACAACAACUAACUCACACCCAUGAUGCCUACGCACAGCACAGGGGCGUAAUGCCUUGUGAACCAAGAGGGAUCAGCCAUGAGCACAAUGCCAUGGCUCAUUGCUAUGGAGUUGGACCUGACAAUGGAAGUAAGCAACACGCCCAAGCCAUGGGCACCUAGACAUGGCAUGGGCUCACACAUCAGUGUGGGGAAGGCACACCGAUGCACUAGACACUUGGUCAGCUGGUUGGUGCACGUUGCCUGGUUCAGAAGGUCUUGAUCAAAGACACGCUGGUAGUCACCAAGUCACAAGAGGUACCUUGCGGGGAGGAAACAGCUUGCUAGGGGGACUCUCCAGCAGCUUGGUGAGAAAGGCUUGAGAAGAUGGCAAUACAGCUAGCUAGUGGCAGCUAGCUAGAACAGCAAGUGGCCAAGUCAAGUAGUCAACUACAAUUGACUUGCAAUUGGUUGAGGUGUUGAUGGUUGGUGCAAGUGGGUGGUUCACGAGCAGGCUAUUAUCUGGGUGGUGGGUGGUUAUGCAAGGUAGUUAUGGGCAGUUCUGGCCAGUUGCAUAACCACUAGGUUGGCUCCAACCUUUGAAUUUGGAAAAUUCAAAUAUGUAACUGCAGGCUGAGUCUUUUAAAAGGGUUCCUGCAUCCUUGAAACAGAGAGUCAGAGAUUGGGAUAGGGUUCUUCUCUUAAUGCUUGGGGUGUGAAGCAUUGUACUCUGACUCAGGGGACUAAUUUUAUCUUGUAGAGUGAAUUAAUACAAGUUGGGAAAGGUUUCCUGUAAAUCGUUGGUGUUCCUAUUACUGUGCUUUUACUUUGCUUUUACUCUGUUUUUCUAAAAGCUGGGAAGGAAGGUUGGCUAAGGAAGGGUCCUUAGCACCACACACUCGUGAAAAAUUUAGUGUGAUCUUCAGAGGUGUGACAAUUGGUAUCAGAGCUCACAUCAGAGAUGGUUGGUGGUAGUGCAAUGGACGCCCUGCGGGAAAUGAUGACUCGGAUGGAAGAAGGGUUGGGAGAAUGGCCACGUGAGGAUGACACUGUGGCUUCGUGGGCAGAACACACCGUGGGAGAAAUUCAAGUGCAAAGGAGUCUGUUGGAGACCCAUGACAAUUUCUUUGAGGAGAAACUUGCUGGGUUGAAAUCAGAGAUGCAGUCCCUAAUGGAUGACUUCAAGGGCGCCUUGCAGUCCUAUGGAGAGGACAUUGCAACCCUUAAGAAGGCUAUGUUGUAGGGGUCCUCGUCAGGUUCUGAAGCCCCUUCCAAAGUCUAGGUCCCAGAGCCUAAGGGCUUCAACGGUAACAUGAACGCGAAGGAGUUGGAGAACUUCUUGUGGGACAUGGAACAGUUCUUCAAAGUUGCUCACAUUCCUGAUGGCGAGAAGGUGUCCAUCACUAGUAUGUAUUUGACUGGUGAUGCCAAACUAUGGUGGCGAAACAGGAUGGAAGAUGAUGCAGAGUCUGGAAGGCCCUAAAUCACCACUUGGGAAACUCUGAAGAAAGAAUUGAAGGAUCAGUCUUUCCCACCAACACUGCUUGGGUGGCUAGGGAAACACUGAAAAGGCUCAGACACACCGAAUCUGUGAAGGACUACGUCAAGGAAUUCAGUUUCUUGAUGCUCGACAUAAAGAACAUGUCAUAGGAGGACAAAGUCUUCAAUUUCAUGUCUAGAUUGCAAGGGUGGGCUCAGAUGGAACCUAGGAGACAAGGGGUUCGUGAUCUCCCUGCUGCCAUGGCUAUAACAGAUUGUCUGGUAGACUACAAAAUGGGUGGCGCCAUCUCCACCAUGCAGAGACCCAAGUCAGAAGGCUAAGGCUGAGGGUAAGACUUCUAAGAAGUCUAGGUAGAAGAAACAGAACAAAAAGCCUACUACAGGGGGAAAACCAGUGGAAAAUACCAUAAAGUUUGUGCAACAGACCAUUUAGAUGGCAAGAUGCUUCAUCUGCAAUGGCCCUCAUCGAGCCAGAGACUGCUCUAAAAGAGAGAAACUCUCAACCCUUGUGACUGCAGACGACAAGUGAGAGUUUGACUUAGAGACCCCUCCUAGAGUCAACCCAUUGCAACUCCUGAACAGGAUUAAUGGUGAGACCCCAGUCCAAAAGUCCUUGAUGCAUGUCCAUGCAGUUGUAAAUGGUGUGCAGAUGAAGGCCUUGGUGGACAGUGGUGCCACUCACAACUUCGUGGCCACCAGAGAAGCAACCAGGUUGGGAUUGAAGUUGGAAAAGGAUACCAGUCAGAUCAAGGCAGUCAAUAGUAAAGCCCAGAAGAUCCAAGGUGUAGCCAAGAAUGUCCCCAUGCAAAUUGGUGACUGGAAGGGCACGUGCAACCUACUCUGUGUACCCUUAGAUGACUUUGACUUGAUCCUUGGUGUAGAUUUCCUCUUGAGGGUUAAGGUGGCCUUGAUCCCACAUCUUGGUCGACUGAUGGUGUUAGAAGAAAAGUAGCCUUGCUUCGUGAAGGCCUUAAGGGCAAAGGAUGGUGGCAAAGGUCAGCCUGAGAUGUUGUCUGCCAUCCAAUUGAAGAAGGGAUUGAAGAGGGGUCAGGAGACAUAUGUUACAGCCUUGAUCAAGAUCAAGGAGUGACAGUUUGUGGAAGUCCUUGAUUUAGUGGUCAAAAUCCUUAAGGAGUUCAGAGACGUGAUGUCUGCAGAACUUCCCAAGGAAUUGCCACCCCGACGGCCUAUUGACCACAAGAUUGAACUGCUGCCUGGAACAAAGGCCCCAGCUCAAGCCCCUUACAGGAUGUCUCCUACAGAGUUGUUGGAGUUACGUAAGCAAUUGAAGGAAUUGUUGGAUGCAGGCCUGAUCCAGCCCUCAAGGGCCCCAUAUGGUGCACCAGUGUUGUUCCAGAAUAAGCAUGAUGACUCUCUCUACAUGUAUGUGGAUUAUAGAGCUCUCAACAAGGUGACCAUCAAGAACAAGUACCCGAUCCCCUUGGCUGUUGAGCUGUUUGACAGACUGUCAAAAGCCUUUUACUUCACCAAGUGGACCUGAGAUCGGGCUACUGGCAAGUGCAAAUUGUAGAAAGAGAUGAGGGGAAGACCACCUGUGUAACUCGGUAUGGAUCAUACGAGUUUCUGGUAAUGCCCUUUGGACUGACUAAUGCCCCUACUACAUUCUGCAAUUUGAUGAAUGAUGUUUUGUUUGACUAUUUAGAUGCAUUUGUGGUAGUAUAUCUAGAUGAUAUUGUGGUUUACAAUAAAACCCUAACAGAACAUGAGAGACAUUUGAGAUUGGUGUUCCAGAGAUUGAGGGAGAAUAGGCUUUAUGUGAAGCCAGAGAAAUGUGAGUUUGCUCAGGAGGAGAUCACAUUUCUGGGACACAAGAUCAGUGCAGGCCUGAUCAGGAUGGAUAAAGGCAAGGUGCAAGCUAUUAUGGAGUGGCCAGUCCCUAGCAAAGUGACUGAGUUGCGGUCUUUCCUUAGCUUGGCCAAUUACUACAGAAGGUUCAUUAAGGGAUAUUCAAAGAGGGUGUCUCCCCUUACUGACCUAUUGAAGAAUGACAACCAAUGGGAUUGGAGCAUGCAGUGUCAGAUGGCUUUUGAAGGCUUGAAGGAAGCCAUCUCCACUGAGUCUGUGCUGUGGUUACCAGACUUGGACUUACCCUUUGAAGUCCAAAUAGAUGCCUCAGAUAGAGCUUUAGGUGGAGUCUUGGUGCAAGAAGGGCACCCUGUGGUGUUUGAAAGUAGGAAACUGAACAAUGCUGAGUAGAGGUACUCCACUCACGAGAAGGAGAUGACGACUGUGGUUCACUGCCUGCAAUAGUGGAGGCACUACUUAUUGGGAAGCAUUUUUACAGUGGUCACUGAUAAUGUGGCCAACACCUUCUUCAAAACUCAGAAGAAGCUGAGUCCCAGACAGGCACAAUGGCAGGAGUUCCUGGCCGACUUCAAAUUUGAAUGGCUGCAUCAACCAGGAAGACAUAACACUGUGGUUGAUGCCUUGAGUAGGAAAGAGGUGAUUGCCUACAUCAUGACCCUCUCAAAAGUCAUCUUUGACUUCAAUGAGAAAAUCAAGCAAGCUGUAGAGUAGAAUGCUGCAUAUAGUAGGCUGAAGCAAAAAGUUAAGGAGGGUGUGAUCAAGAGGUAUUGGCUAGAGGGAGACCUCCUUGUGGCAAAAGGAGGAAGAUGGUAUGUUCCUGCAGGCGGCCUAAGAAAGGAGUUAAUGCGGGAAACUCAUGAUGCGAAGUGGACAGGCCAUUUCGGUGAAGAGAGGACUCUGGCACUACUAGCUAGAUCCUACUACUGGCCUAAGAUGGGUGAGAAUGUUCAGGCAUGUGUGAAAUCCUGCCUGGUUUGUUAGAUGGACAAGACUGAGAGGAAGAAGGCUGUAGGGUUGCUGUAGCCCCUCCCCAUUCCAAAAAGACCUUGGGAGAGCAUUUCCAUGAAUUUUAUCACUGGAUUUCCGAAGGUUCGUGAUUUUAAGUCUAUCUUUGUUGUUGUAAAUAGAUUCUCUAAGUAUGUUGUGUUUAUACCUACCCCUGAUGCUUGCCCUGUGGAGGAAGCAGCUAAGUUGUUUUUCAGUAAUGUUGUCAAGCACUUUGGGUUGCCUAGGAACAUAGUCAUUGAUCGGGAUGCACGAUUCACAGGCCGAUUUUGGGUUGAGCUGUUCAAACUCUUGGGUUCAGAGUUGAAGUUUUCUACAACCAACCACUCUCAGACUGAUGGGAAGACCGAGAGGAUAAAUGCCUUGUUGGAAGAAUAUCUCAGGCAUUAUGUGAUAGCAACACAAAAGAAUUGGGUGGAUUUCUUAUAUAUUGCCCAGUUGUGCUAUAAUCUACAAAGGAGCUCAGCAACAAGGAUGAGUCCCUUUGAGCUGGCUAUUGGGGUGCAACCACGGAUGCCUUUGGAGGUGGCUAAGCAAAAAGCAGGAGAAAGUAGUCCUGCAGCUUACAAGAUGGUUUAGUUCCGACAGGAGAUGUUUGAUGAAGCCCGGGACAGUCUAGAGAAGGCAGCUAGACGAAUGAAGAAGUAUACGGAUUGUGAUCGUAGAUCCUUGGAAUUUCAGGUUAGGGACAAGGUCCUCCUGAAAUUGACUCCUCAGAUAUGGAAGAAAAUUAGCAGCAAGACAAGGUAGAGGGGUCUAAUUCCUAAGUAUGAUGGACCAUUCGAGGUGAUAAAACGGGUUGGGCAGGUGGCCUACAUGUUGACGUUGCCUGAGAGGCUCAAGCUUCACCCAACUUUCCAUGUUAGAUUUCUGAAGCCUUACCAUGAGGAUCUGGAUGCAGAGAUGGUGCAGACAAAGCGGGCCCCUCCCUUGGUCAUGAAGUAGUUUGAUCGAGAGAUAGAGAAGAUCUUGGAUCAUAGGACCAUGAGACAUAACAAAAAGAACCGGCGAACUGAUUUCUUGGUUCAGUGGAAAGGAACUUCAGAAGCAUAAGCUACUUGGGAGAGGGAUGUUACCUUGUGGCAAUUUGAGAUGGCGGUCUAGGCAUACUAGCAGACUAAGUCAACGAGGGCAUCGACUUCACAAGCGAGGGUAGGUUUGUCAGCUCCUUAGUCACUUGACUCUACCAUGGAGGAAAAGGCUUCAUGGGUAGGCCUUGCACCCAUGAGAGCCUAGGUAGAAAGCAAUGAAAGCCUGGAGAUUUGGUGGUUCAAACUCCAGGGGCUAAGUGAGGAGGCCGUGGGCGAGUCAAACGCGCACCACGAGCGGGCCAAACGUGCACCGUGCGCGCGCAUUGCGGGCGAGCCAGACAUGCACCGCGUACGCACCAGAUGGGCAUCGUGCGCGCAUUAGACUUAGGUGGUGUAGAUAAAGGCUGAGGGACUUUUGGAAUUUUAAUUUAUAUUUAUUUAUUAUUCCAUUAUGUCUCCUCAAACAUAUUGAUAUCUCUUCCAUAAACAAUGAAAACAGCCCGUAUUUGCCUUUAAGGGGGGGUAGGUGACUCAAAUGGGAGAGCACCAAGGGAAAGCCUUGAUCGCACCAAGGGGGCACCAUGGCACCAAGGUGACUCCUAGAGUCUUCAUAGGGAUGCCUUCUCGGGAAGUUAGGCUUACAUUAGUUGAAGAUACAUUUAGCAAAUUUAUAUGCUGGUGGAGUGGACAAGUUAUCAUAUGAGGGUUAGGUAGCAUUUAUUGAGAAUCAUUUGGAAGAUAUCUUUGAGUCCGCAGAUAAACCUCUGGAAGGAAGAUGUUGGUGAUUGUCUAUCGAGGAUCCUUUUCAAUGCUUGUCAAUGUGUAUUAAUCUAUCGGAUGCAUUAAGAAGCUCCCCUCCAAAGACUACCAUUUCACACAUGCCUGUCCACCAGGUACUUCAUUCUUAGCAUGGUCACAUUCAAACUGAGAAAUGUUUACCGAGUGAAAUCAAAUUAAUCCCACCUCCUCCCUAGUCCACCCAACCCCACAAUAAAAAAGAAAUCUCAAAACUAGCUUUUAUUGGAAUUGUGUUCUAUGCAUAGGCAUAUCAUUUGUUGCCCUGUGUAUUUUGUAUAAACUCCUCCAAGCAUAUAGCUCCUCUGCAUUUACACAUGGAAAAUGACAGUCACAUGAUUGUACAUAUCCUUCAGAGUACCCCAUUUGUUACUCCAUUAUUAGGAGCAAAAAUAAUGGAUUGACCACUUCUUUCAUAGCCCUGUCUUAUGUUUGUGCUAUCCUACUAUAGUACGCUUGAGAGGAUAACAGACAUUUCCCUGACUUUACUUUUGUUUUCAUAUUAAAUGCUUAGAUUCAGGUCAUUUGGUUAUCCAAAACUUAAUCUAUGAUUGUAUUGUUCCAUCUUUUUCAAGGAUGGCUCUUGCAAUGGCUUACAACACCAUGCUGCCCUUGGAAGGGACAAGGUAGUGGAAUUUUCUAUUUUUGGUUGAUUGUUGUGGAAUUCUGAUUAUGUGAUAUGGAAGCAUGGUUUUUGAUUAGUUAGACAGUUUUUCACUUUUUUUUUUGCUUUGAGGCUAAAUGUGUCUCAGCUUUGAUCUUCUCUCUUUUUGAUAGAAAAAAGGAACUUUGUUAAGGAAAUAUGGUAAAAGGAUAAGGAGUUGGAAAUUGAAACCCAAGAAAGAAACCAAACUUUGUUUGAGUUUAGUGCAGUUUAUUUAAUUUGAUUUUUCAAGUAAUUUCAAAGUUUGGUUGUUUCAAGAAAGGGGAUUAUCAUCUGUAUUUGGCGAGUUCAAAGGCUAGGGUAGCAAAUCUGUCUCUAAAGAGUGAAUUUUAGUUAGACCUUAGUAUUGGAGGAGAUAAAUUUUUAUUUAUUUAUUGAAGUUUCCUUGUUCUUUGGCAAUAGAACUUUGUAUUGGGGAUUAUUAUUUGAUUAUGCAGUUUGGAUACAUAUACAUAUUUGGAUUAUGCAAUAUUGGAAAUUCUAAUUUUGUUGCUUCAACUCCCUAUCAAAAAAAAUAAUUUUGUUGCUUCAACUAAAGUUUUAUAUAUGUAAUAGAAAAUAUAUACCGGAAAAAGUGGUACCUCUUCAAUUUUGAAAUGAGAAUUUUAAUUAAAAUAUUUGAAAAUAUAUAUAUUCAAGACUUCAGCUGUGGCGAAAUAUAAGUUGUGUCCACUUAAUCUAUGGCAGCGGAUAAGGAAAAGUGGCAUCCAUAUGAAGCCCUAUAAUUGCAGCUGACAAAAGGUCAUGUCUAUAAUACUAUGUAGUAUUAAAUUCUAUAGAUAUCACACCUUCAUAGCAGCAACUAUCAGCUCUCCCAACCACAUAUAGAGCUUUUAGUUGAGGAAAAAACAUGAGCACAGGGAUAGCUUCACAACUUCUUGUGUUUUUACUGGUGGCUUCAACUAUAGGAUUUAUUUGCAUUCCUAUGGCCUUCGCAGCUAUGAACUUAACUUCUUGUAGUGUGUAACACUCUCGCCUCGUGUAUGAUUGCAUGAACUUGCAACACAUGUGCUGCACAACUCUUUGUUAAUGGUUAUAAAAAAUAGUUUUAAUUUCUAUUUUUGAGAAUUGAAAAUAAGAAAAUCUUGUUUGACAAUAAGAAAAUAGUAAACAAUUUUUUUAUUUUUAAAAACAGAAAAGUUUUUGUUCUUAAAAAAAAUGUUUUAUGAGAACAUAUUUUAGUUGUUUUUAAUUGUUUUCUAGGAUUAUUUUAAAAAUAAUAAUAAUAAGAUUAAUAUGAAGAAUAAUUAAAAAUAAAAUGCUACAUACAAAACUUAUUUUUUUUGAAAAAUAUUUAAAUGUAAAAAAUAAGUUAAAAAUAUUUCAAAUUCUCAAACAAGCUUUAUUUUAUUUUUUUUAGAAUGGUUUUCAAAAUCAUUUUCUAACUAAUUUAAAGUAUACUUGAUAGUGAUUUUAUGAAGCGUUUUUUAAUUUUUUUUUAAUACUUGAAAGAUAAAAAAUUUUAAGUGUUAAAAAGAUUAGAAACCAUCCUAAAAUCACUACUAAAUAGACUCUAAUUCUCCAUUUUAGAGGCUUGUAAGGGCUUUUAUAAUUUGCUUACCAAUCAUGUUAGACAUGUGGUAACCAUGUUAUGAGAUUUUGGGUUAGCAUCGGCUAGUUUGUACUUGUAUGUACUUAAUUUUUGUUUUUAAAAAUAAAAAAUGAAACUAACGUCGAUAUAAAAUAUAAAAACUUUUAGAAACUUACGUUACUUCAAAUUUCAAAUUUUUUUAUAGUGAAUUUUAAAGAUAUAAGGUGAGUUUAUACUUUUGAUAUAAAAAUUUCUAUUUUUUAUAUAAAAAAAUAUUACUAUUUUUUGUUGUAAAAAAAAGUCAAUAUAUAAAUAAUGAAAGUUGAAAGAACAUUUUUAAUGCAUAGAUUAUCUCAAGGGUUCAAAUGUGGGCUAAGUCUAAAACUUAAUAUUAAAUCUUCUCUCAUUCAAAUAAUAGUAUUUAUAAAUAAUAGAAUAUCCUAAAUAAAUAUAGUUAUGGACAAAUAUUUCAAACAGGUUUCUCAAAUAUUAGUAUCAAAAGAAAAUUUCAUUAACCAUAACAAGCUCCCUGUUUCAAUCUAAAACAUGUAAAUAAACAUAAUUAAUUUUAAUUUAACAAGAUUUAGAUUUAUAUUAUGGACAAUAUAGUAAACCUAAAAGAUGAUCAUAAGUUUCUUAGUUCAUGACUUCAACUAAUAGAAAAAAUAUUUACAAGCUCAAUUUUGUUGGAAUUUUAUUCAAUUCAUUCUAGUUUGAGACUUUGUAUAUUUUCCUGUAACUUACCCUCCAUUAAAGAUACAAAAUUAUUUAGAGUUAACUAGAGAUCGGAUAGCACAAGUACAAAGAGUUAUGAAAAGAAUAAUAACUUUUAAUUGAAAAAGAUUUAGGAGAUCGAGUGCUCAAGCACUUGAAUCUAGCUUUCAUGGCUUAGAGCACUCAAGUAUUGCUAGGAAGUACCCAAUAGCAAGCAAUCAAGUGCACUUGCCUCGUGCUUGAGUACUCAAAAGUGGGGUUUCCAAAAAAUAAGUUUGCAUACAACACUCCUUGAGAAAAACAAUGAUCGCAUACAUGUAUAUGAUCCAUGGUUUAAGUAAAACAUUUCUUAUAUUUAUAAUAAAUUUAUUUUAGAAUGUUGUUAUUAUAUUUGUGAAACCAAGGUUUGGUUAAUCUUGAUUUUGAUGAUAACAAAACAAGGUUUAGAACUAAUGACUACAUUUUAAGUGUGAUUAGGCAAGAUGACUUCUAAAGUGGAAAUCCAAAGACAAAUCAAGUCAAGGAGAAAUCAUGAAGAAGAAGACCACCUCAAAGAGAAGAGUUUUUCAAGACCAAAGCUUCUUAAGUCUCUUUGUAAGGUUGUUGGUGCACUAGGAUUUCCAUGCAUUAUUUUCCUUACUUAUGCACCUAAAUCAUCCAAGAGUUAUUUUGUUUUAAAUAUUUUUAAAAUUGGAUGAUUUCAUGUUUUCAACUAAAACCUUGUGUUAAAUGUUGUUUCAAACUUGUUUAAAAGGUUAUAAAUUGGAAAAGUUGGUUGUUGAGCAAAAAACGGCUCAAUUGCCUAAAUCGGGUGAACCGUAUGAACAGUAACCGGUCGACCCCUAGCUCAACCGGUUGAGGGUAUGAACAGUAAUCGGUUGACCCAUGAACGGUACCCGGUCGACCGGUACAAAAUUUUCUCUCUCUUCCAGAAUGCUUGUUCAACCGGUUAAGGUUGAACCCUAACCGGUUGAGGUCCGGUCGAGGUCCGGUCGAGGCCUAACGGUCACCUGCCAACAUUAAAUGCUAACGGCUAGUCAACCAGUCGACCCAUAUCUCAACCGGUCGAACCUCCAACGGCUAGUUUAGCUUUUUUCUUCUAUAAAAAGGCUCCAAUCUUCAUUGUUUCAUGAGCUUAACCUUCCCAAAUCAUUCUUGAUUAUAUUUGAGCCUUGGAAGAGUGUUUUUGAGUGCACCAUUGUUUCAUAACUUGCAUAUCUUUAGUGCACCAUUCAAUCCUAGUUUUUCUUGUAUCAUUUGAGCUUAAAGCUAAUACUAGGAUUUUGUGAGAUCAAUCAUUUGUAAACCUUGAGAGGAAGUUUCAAGAAAGGGAUAUCUCUUGAGAAUUGUAAAGGGUGUUUGGAAGCCAAAAGUCCAAGAGGGUGAAUUGGAACCAUAAUCCAAUUGUAAAGAGAUUGAAACCUUGGUUGAAGCUUCAAGAUAGUGGAACCCUCACUCGGUUAGGAGGUUGAGGAGAGUGGACGUAGGCAAGGAAGUGUCGAACCACUAUAAACUCUCGUGUUUGCACUCUCUCUUCCCUAACUCUUUUAAUUUAUAUGCAAUUGUCUUUAUUUUGCUUAUCAUAUACUUGCAUAUAAAUUGUCUCUUAUUUUUACUUAGUUUAAAUUUGAAAAAGAGACCAUCACCCUAUUCACCCCCCCUCUAGGGUGACUACCAUAGGUUGGAUUAGCCUCAAAUUCCUAACAAUAUUAUACCAAUGUUGUUAGGUCAUAUUUUGUUGAAUCAAAUGAAGAGAAAAUAUAUUAUUUGACAAAUAUUUUACAAUUAGAGGCAAGGUUUGAAAUAUCAGUAAAUACAAAUAUAUUAGUACUUAGAUUUUACGGUUAUAUCGAAAAUAUUGAAUAAAUAUCGGUGAACAUUUUGACAAAAAUAUAGAUCUUGUUUUAAAAUUCAUGAAAAUACUUAAAAAAAACUUUCAAAAAAAUGAUAAAAUAAAGAAUAAUAUAUAUUAAAGUUAUUUUGUAUGCUUAAAUUCUUUUAAUAUAUUCGUAUUUAUUUAUUUUUAAAUUUUAAAAAUACUUUUAUUGAAAGAUGUUUUAUUACAUUUUAAAUAAAAAAUUAAAUUGAUUUAUAUAAAAUAUCCAAAACCAUUACCCGAUAAAGAUGUCUUUUGUGUGGGGAAGUAUUCGUUGCCAUCCAUGCAAAUCAAACCCACCUUUGAUCUUUAUUCACAAUUUCAUAUAUCAUAUAUAUGUCUACUAAACUUAUGUAUGUUUAUAGCUAUAUAUAUAUAUGGGUUUGUACAUGUGGAUGUGUGAAUGAAAAGUUGGAAAAUAGUCUCUAUUGUUCUUUAUCGAAAUGAUAGCUAGGGUUUCUAUUCGUCUCUCAUUCUCUGUAUUGUUUUGUUUCUCUUUCUUGGGGACUUACCUUUGUUUGUGAAUCGGAACCUAUGCUCAAUCAGCUUAAGAAUUACCCAGUAGUUUGUUUGAAUCAGGGGGAGUUUGGGUGGGAGAGUCUUAAGGUUUGUGAUUUGGGGGGUUUUGGUGUUGUGGGAGCUGAUUGGUGUCUGGGUUGGGAGGAAUCUAGGGUUUGUGAUAUGGGGUUUUGGUGUGGUUGAGGUGGGGAGGGAAAGAUUGAAUCUUGGGGAUUGUUUUUGUUGGUGGGGUUUGGAAGAUGGUGGAGAAUCGUGGAUCAGGUGUCGUCUGAUCGCCGCUUUUCUGGUGGCAAGCAACCAUCCGAUUGGAGGGGUGGGGGCUUUUGUAUGGAAACUCGGAGCCCCAAGUGGGCGGAGGCGUCCUCAACAGCCCGUUCUUCUGGACCCACUACCCGGUCAACCAAGCGAUCUCGUAUCUCCUUUUCUUCUUCAAUGAUCCCAAUUUCAUCGAACCCCAACGCCCAUGCUACAGUGAAAAAUUAAUUUUGAGGGGAGUGGAGCUACACUUUGACCGAAGCCAACGUUGACCGAUAGAAAUAUCGGUAAAUUUCCCAACAAAUCGGCAAAAACCGAUAUUUCGGCGACAAUUUCAGAAAAAGAGCAAAAUUCCUUCCAAUUGAUUAUCUGUCCUCAAUAUCGUAUCGAGCUUCACCGAUAACCGAAAUAUCGGAGAAAUUUCGUCGAUAAAAAAGACAUUUCAAUCACUGACUAGAGGUGAUGAACACUGAUGUUAGUAAUUAGGUUUGCCAUAUUUUUCAAUAAUGUACAAUUAGCUCAAUCACUUGAAGCUUAUACCAAAAAUAUAUUUGAAUCAAUAAUGGACAAAAAUUUCUGACUGGUACUUAGUGAUAAUCAACUACCAAAUUAUCAUAAACAUAGAAGUUGAAAGGAUAAUUUUAAGGCACAGAUGACUCUAAAAUAUCAAAACUAGGCUGAGGUGGUGUUUGUUUUUUUACUUAAUUCUAAAUAGAACCUUAAUACUUAAUAGUGUUAAAUAUUAGGUUGUUUGAUUUUGUAAUAUUUUAUUUCUAUUAAGUAUUAAAAAGUAAAGAAAAAUCAAUAUGUUAUUUUUUCCGUUUAGAAAAAACUAUAUAUUUUAGCUUUUUCUAUUUAGUAAAAAGUCUAUAAGUCAUGAAAAAGUAGAAAAACAAACAACCUAAAUUCUGAAAACAAAUUGCUUUCAGCAAAAAACAAACACCAUCUGAGUAUCCAACUUAAUAUUACAACUUUUCUUACUUAAAUGACAGUUUACAAAUAACAAACCUACCUAAAGAAAAAUAAUUGCUUGCCAACAUUUCAAAGAUAAGUUCUCAAACACUCGUGCCAAAGAAAUCUUCAUUACCACUAAGAAUUCAUCAUUGUAUUCAAUCUGAAACAAGUAAAUACACAUAAUUAGCUUCAAUUUAAGCAACAUUUAGAUUUUCAUCAUGGAAUAUAAAUAGCAUGUUCAUUAUAUAAUUAAUUAAUUAAUUAACAACAUAAUAUUAACAAACUUGGUUAUAGAGACUAUUUAAAUUCUUAUAGUUUUCAUACUUAUGGUAUUAACCAUACUCAAAUGAGUAUAUUUGUCAAUAAAUUUAGAGUUUCAACUAACGACCUAUAACAAUCUAUAACCUUAGCUGCUUGUUUGUAUAUUUUUUGGAAUUCAACCUUGGAAAAAAUUUCAUGUAUCUUAAUCUUUCCUAUGAAAAUCGCAUUCUAUAACUUCAAAGAGUUGAACCCAAUUAUAAACUUCCUCAAUCCUCUUUCUAAUGACUCAAACUAAGAAAUUGAUUACCCUAUGCAUUGUAUUUAGGAACUUAAUUGUAGUAAGGAAAGAGAAACAACUUAUAUUCAUAUGCAUGGUUGAAGGGUCUAAAAAUAUGCCCCUUACUAUAACAUGCUUUGAACAUUUAAAGCAAUAUACUUUUAGUAAAAUCUAAGUCCAACAAGACUACAAUUCAAUUUCUUUUGUAAAUUUAAAUCAUUAUUUCCAAUUCAAGAAUUUAAGAAAUCAUAUAAUAAAAUAUAAGUAUAAAAUGAUUAAUAGCUAACAAAUAUGUACCUAAACGGAGAUGACCUUACAUUACAUUGUAAUGAAAUUCAUCUUACCUUCUUUUUGUAUGAUGUUUGUUAUUUUGAAACCUUAUCACCCUCUGCAAAAGAGCUGAAUUCAUUGUGAUGAUAAUCAUAACACACCAAAAAUACAAUGAAAUUAAAAAACAAACAAGGAAGAAAAAAAGAAGGAAAAAGAAUGGGAAGUGAUGUAAGAUAUUUCACCUUUUUAGCCAUGAACUCCAUUUGCUUCCAUCUUCCUUUUCAGACAAGCCGCAUUCACUGCAGUGAAGACAUAUAGCCUAUCUCUGGUUUCAUCAAUGAACCGGAAAUAUGCCUGCCUCCAAGACUUCUUUAGAACCAAACUGCCACAUACAGCCCAAAAUCCCACCGGAAAGCCCAAUCCCAUGCUUAUGAAGAACCAUGACAUGUCCCAUUCAUCUUCAUCUUCCUCCUCAUCUUUGUGAUCUUGAUCAUUUAAAGUGGAGCAGUUGGUGGAGCAGUUGGUUGACAAUGGAGGCCCAUAAAGUCCCAGGUUCGCCUCAUAAAUGGAUGGAUCGUUGAAUGUCGAGAACUGGUUGGUUGUUGGAAUUGGUCCUGACAGGCGGUUAUGCGAUAGGUUCAAAUGGUUCAAUGAGGUUAUAGAAGACAUGCUCGGAGGAAUUGGGCCUGACAGGCAAUUGCAUGAGAGGUCAAGAGUUUCUAGCCCUUGCAUGGCUCCAAUCUUCUCAGGUAUCUUUCCAGUCAACUGGUUUCGGGACAAAUUCAAGGUACCCAGGGUCGAGAGAUUUGUGAUCUCUUUUGGGAUCUCUCCCCAAAUGUUAUUGCUAGAAAGAUCUAUCAACUUCACAAUUGGCAAUAUGCUAUCAAAUUCCAUAUUUUGUCCCUUUACAACUAGCUCCAUGCGCUCCGAAUAGGCGGCACGACCACUGGGGUCGUCAAAAUUUUUGUCUAAUAAGGUCACAAAACUUAAAGCAGUUAAAUUGCCUACGCAUUGUGGGAUGGAUCCUGAUAAAUUGUUCACUGCAAGAUCCAAAAUGUGGAGAUCAGAAAGCCAACACAAUUGCUCAGGAAUAUCUCCUGUCAACAUAUUGCCCCGUAGACGCAGCUGCUCCAGUGUUGGCAUUCUUUCUCCAAUCCAUUUGGGUAUCUCCAAUCCAGUGUAGACAAGCUUGUGCAGUUUUGUAAACUUGGAGCGAGUUCCCCAGUAAGAUUGUUGUCACCCAAUAUCAACUGAGUAAGUGAAGAUUUUGAACACAUCCAACUCGGAAUCCCACCAGACAGUUUGUUCUUGGAUAGAUCUAUGGUCCUAAGCCUGUGCAAAUCAUUCCAAUUCUUUGGAAUCUUUCCAGAUAAAUGAUUGUUUGAGAGAUCAAUUACUUCCAAAUCCUUCAGUUUACUAAUUGAUGAAGGAAUGCUGCCAUUUAACAAGUUACAAGAAACAUCAAGGAUUUCCAAGCUUGAUAAUUCCCCGAUGUUCAAGGGAAUUGGACCUGAAAAUGAAUUGUUUCCCAAAUACAAAGAUCCCACAUUAAGUCGAAGUGGGAGUGGGCCCCCCAAGCGGUUGAAACUUAAAUCCACCAAUGCGUCUUGGCUAAAGGAUGAUGAGUUGGGAAGCGUUCCAUACAAUUGGUUUCUAGAAAGAUCUAACCACGAAAAAUCUUGUUUCCAAAGCAACGCGGCUUCAUUUUUUAACUAAAGCCGCGAUUGGCAACCGCGGCUUUAGUUCAUUUUUAUUUAAAUUUAAAAUUUAAUUAAAAAAUUAUUAAAUUACAAUUUAUGAAUGAAAUUUAAAAAUAUACUUAAAUAAUAAAUUAUUUAUAUUUAAAUUUAAAAUUCUAGUAUUACUUCAACAAACAUAAAUUGAUAAAUAGAAGAUAUUAUAAAUGAAUAUUUUAUUUAUUAAUAAAUUAAUAAUCUUAAAAUAAUAAAUUUAUAUAAUAUAUAAAUAAUAUAUAAAAUUGUAUAAUUUAUUAAUUUAAGAUAUUUAAUUUGUUAAUUUUUAAGAUAUUAAUUUAUUUAUAUUAUGAUAAAUUUAUCUUUAUCGAAAUAAUAGUAUAGUAGUUAAUAACUGAGAUUUCAAUUAUAAUAUUUUUUUUACUUUCAAAUUUAAUUAAAAACUAUUGAAUUACAAUUUAUGAUUGAAAUUUUAAAAAUAUACUUAAAUAAAAAAUUAUUUAUAUUUAAACUUAAAAAUCUAGUAUUAUUUCAACAAACAUAAAUUGAUAAAUAGAAGAUAUUAUAAAUGAAUAUUUGAUUUAUUAAUAAAUUAAUAAUCUUAAAAUAAUAAAUUUAUAUAACAUAUAAAUAAUAUAUAAAAUUGUAUAAUUUAUUAAUUUAAGAUAUUUAAUUUGUUAAUUUUUAAGAUAUUAAUUUAUUUAUAUUAUGAUAAAUUUAUCUUUCUCGAAAUAAUAGUAUAGUAGUUAAUAACUGAGAUUUUAAUUAUAAUAUUUUUUUUACUUUCAAAUUUAAUUAAAAACUAUUAAAUGACAAUUUAUGAUUGAAAUUUUAAAAAUAUACUUAAAUAAAAAAUUAUUUAUAUUUAAACUUAAAAAUCUAGUAUUAUUUCAACAAACAUAAAUUGAUAAAUAAAAGAUAUUAUAAAUGAAUAUUUGAUUUAUUAAUAAAUUAAUAAUCUUAAAAUAAUAAAUUUAUAUAACAUAUAAAUAAUAUAUAAAAUUGUAUAAUUUAUUAAUUUAAGAUAUUUAAUUUGUUAAUUUUUAAGAUAUUAAUUUAUUUGUAUUAUGACAAAUUUAUCUUUAACAAAAUAAUAACAUACUCUUAAGCCGUAGUUGUCAUAUAUAGAUUUUUUUACAAAAUUAGUUAAUGAAAUUAAUUACAAAAAGUCUACUACAAAAUGUAAUUUUUAAUAGUUUAAUUAAAGUCACAAAAAAUAUCCACUAAACAUUAAUAUAGUGGAAAAUAAAAAACAUAUAUAAUCUCACAUGCCUCCACAAAGAGAGAACCUAUGUGUAAUACUCUCUUCCUUUUUGGACGCCCCUCUCUAACUGUAGCAGGUACUGCAUGUGACACAUGAAUAACAUCUGUCUGUGAUGGGGCUAGAGCUGGAAAUGGAGGUGGUGGUGGAGGUAGCAAUCUAGGUCGACGUAAGCCCCGCCUACCCCUCGGAAUGACUGGCGGUAAAUCUAGCUGAGUAGUCCGCCUAUUUGAUUAUAGAAAACCAUCCUAGUGUUGUCAAAUAUCAAGCAAUCAAUUACACACAAAAUGUAAUCACAGCAUUCAAAAGAUCACCAACCAAAUCACAAAUGAAAUUUAAUGUCAAUGAAAGUACGUAUUUUCAUCUUUUGAAUGGCUCAUAAUGAUCAUGAUGAUACAAUAAGUUUCUUGAUGAACUUAACACUAUCAAAGAGUUCUAAGCAGGAUGAAAAAUAAAUAAAAAGUGAAACCAUGACUAGUUAGCAACUUAGCUUACCUCAAGUGAAUCAAGAUGUUCCAAGGUUUCAAUAGUUAUAUUAUUAUCAUCCAUUAUUAAGUAUUUACUUUGACUUUUCCAAUCAAUAUAAAAAACAAACAAUAAAACAACUAUUCCAAUUCCAAAGUUUCAAAUUUCAAACCAACCAACUACCCUUUUGAUUUGAAUAAUUAACAAUUACUAGGGUGGGUCCCCUUUCUUAUUCAAAAGCCAACAAUUAUCUAAUUGAAUUUUUUUUUUUUGAUAAAUAAAGAGAAAUUUUUCUAAUUGAAAUUUGAUAAUUGAUUAAUGAACAUCAUGCAUAACUGUGGUAUUAUGUUGACUUGUUAUGAAAUUAAAUAAUAUUUUUUAACAAAAACAAGAUAUUAAGUAAAUUAGCAAUUGAAAAUAUGAAAAUAAAAAUAAAUAACACUAUAUUUUAUAAAAUUUAUUUAAAAGUGAAGUAUUUAAAUAUGAUAUAUUUAUAAAAAUGACUCUACUACACCUUCAAACUUUAAUUCUUAUAUUCAUUUAUUCAUUUAAAUAUUCAAAUAUAUAAAUAUUUUAUAAAUUUAGUAAUUUACUUAAUAUCAAUAGGAAAAUUUAGUAAUAUUAAUAUAAAUUUAGUAAAUUCAGUUAAUUCCCUAGGAAAAGUGAUAAGCUGAUGUACCAAUACCAAAGCAAGCCCAUAAUAAUAAUUCCACAGGAAAAUUUCAUAAUAAUAAUAUGAUAAAAUUAUUUUUAUUAAUAUCUUUUUUAUUUAAUCUUUAAUUUUAUUAAAAAUUAUAAUAUAUUCUAUUAAGAUGAGAUAAAAUUGUUCUCAUGAUUUGUUUUUUUUUUUUUUAACUCUAUUAAAUCUAAAAAUCAAAAGGCUACCCACUUCUCUCACUCGGGCAUGAAGAACCCCUUUUCUGAAGUUGCCCUCCAGCCGGGAGAAUCCCUAAAAAAGCCCUUCUCUCACUCUGCCACUCUCAAUCCUCGCAGGUACUAAUCUAAUCAUAUUAUUAUUAUUAUUAUUUGCAACCCCCCUUUGAUUCCCAAUAAAAUCCAUGCCCCAUUCGAUUUCCGCGAAAAUUCAUCCUCGUUUGAUUUCCGAGAAAAUCCAUGCAAAACCCCCAAGGAAAACCAAAAAAAUUGCUUUUCUUUUGCUCUCUGUGUUUUUUGGAUCCGUUUUAGGGGUCUCUUUGCUGUUGUGCCAUUGGAUUUAAAUUUCAAGAACCCUAAAUCAAAACUGAGAAACGGGAAAAAUCAAGAAUUUUUUUCUUUCUGUUUUCAUUCUCGUUUCCCACUUUUCUCAGCAUCCAACGGGAAAAAUAAAAAUACUAACAACACAUGAUAAAAAAAAGCUCAGAUCUAAAAAAAAUUAACACUAACCUCAACCUCCAACGUCUCCCUCAGUGGCCCACUGGUGGGGCUAGGAUUUUUAAGGAAAAAUGAGCACGGGCUAGGAAUAGAGAGUAGCUCGGAUGGAAGUUGUAGCUCCAACGUCUCCCUCAGUGGCCCAUUGAUGGGGCUAGGGUUUUUAAUGAAAAAACCACACGCAGAGCACAGGGGAAGAGAGCAACUCGGAUGGAAGUUUGGGAUUGGGAAAGAAAAAAUGCAGCUGAAGUUUGGGAAAGUAAAAAAUAAAAGGAAUAAAAAAUUACUUUGUAUGCGGACUCAAAAUGGUUAUUUUGAACAAUUGUUUGAAAAGUAGGUCAUUCUGAACAUUAUGUUUCAGCGGAAGGCUAUUUUGACCCAUUAUUCUUGGUUGAACCAUGUAGAUCUUAUGUCAAAGGAAAUUGGGCUGUCGGGAAGCCAUCUUCCUCUGUGUUGGUCACCGUGCCUAGAAGUGGAGAUAGUUGAGUCGAUUGUAUCGACCAUGGCCUAAAUGAAGCUGAUCCUACAGCGUGAACCAUUAGUUACAGGGAAGAGCAAUGGCAAAUGGAAAGCAGUACCGUCUUAAUCCACAUGCACAAGAACCAUGCAAGUGUGACCGUCCAUCAUUUCUAUACCAUUAUCUCACAACACCCCCCCCCCCCAUGCAUUUCAUCAUCAUCAUACCCAUGUAGCCUACCUACCAUCCCAUUUCGUUUUUCAUCUACCAUCUACUUCCUACUCGUUUAUCUCUCUACACCACAUAUCUAUGUACCCCAUCUAUCUUUUCAAACCUCUCUCCAAUCAUACCCUAUACCCGCUCUCUUUGCCUCAUUUCUCCUUCCCCAUCUGCAUGUCUAUAUUUCACACCCGUUUACUUUAUCACUCCAUCAUCACAUCUCCUAUACCCAUCGCUUGUAUACGUUCACAUCCAUCCCAUUUCACCAUAUCCAUCUACCCGUAAAUCCCAUUCCAUAAUAGCCAAUUUUCACUCCUUUAUUAUCCUUCAAUACCCACUGUUUGUCCCCCACCGACUUGAUUCCUAUGCUUACCCAGGAGCAUGCAACUACUUUUCUUCACAGCCACCACCAUUGCCAGGCUGCUCAGCAACUGUUGAACAACACUUUCAACGAGGAACUAUCCAGCUACCAGCGAAGCUUUCUCAGAAGCACCAUCAACUCUGGGAAAAUCAAUCAGCACAGAAUGUUUCAAUUGUGGACUGUUAUUAGUCAGUUGCAAUCAGAAUUGGCUGAUUAUAAGAGCCAUUUAUGGAAGUUAGAAGCAGAGGCGUCAUCUGCAAAAGUGACAAGGACAGAGUCUCACUCUCCCUUUCUUUCUCUAUCAAGAAAUCACGGGUUGAGAAGAGGUGAAGCAUGGGAUCAUUGGCGAAGAAGGGUUUGCAGCAGUACCUUUGACAACUUCAGUGUCACCCUUUGAGAACUAAGACCAUUAUAGCGGCUAUGUUGUCAGUUGUCAGUGACAUAGUUUCUCCAAAGCUAUCUGGUAUGCAGAAACUUCAACUGAAGCGUCUUCUUCUCAAAGUGCUUCUUGGAUCUGGUUAUCUUAGGCCCUUCGGACAUUUUCUGCAUACACUAUUGGAUAGGCUUUUUAAAGGGAAGAAAGAUUCAAAGACAGUGGCCAAGAAGGUGGUCCUCGAACAGUUGACUACUUCAACUUGGAACAACUUUGUAUUCAUGAUGGAGAAGUGGUUGGAGUUGUCAGUGAUUAAAAUAAAGGUGUUUUCAAUAAUAAGUGGGCUUGGCACGAAGCAGACAUGAAUAGGGUUGUUGAUGACCUGGUUGCUUUCUCUUCAUCCUACAGUACAAAUGGCUUGGCUUCGCCUAUUGCCGUUUCCUUUUGCUCUCCGUUUGAUACAUUGGAGGCAGACCACCAACCUUUUGGUUAUAUCAUACCAGGAAACGAAGGACCUGGUAAGGUGCUGCAUUCUUCUUCAGCAUCGGCAGAUACAUUGUCAGAGAAGAAAGUUUCUGGAUCUUUGGCAAAUUUACCUGUUAAUGUUGAAGGGAAAUCAGGAGAUCCACUUCCUUACUCCCUCUUGCCACCAAUUAUCAUUCCCAAUAUUAGCUAUAGUUUGAGAUGGUAAUGGUACCCCAUCACCCUCUUCAAUGAGCUCCACCAUCUUAAUUCAGAGGAAGGCAUGAUAGAGAUCUUGAAGGAGAAGGGGAAGGAAUUAUUGGUGCUGCGGGGACUGCUUGCCUUGGAGAUAAUUCUGUAGAGUGCUGUCAAUGGCGAUCUACACUGCGCUGUUAGUGGCUUUCUCAUCGCUAUUUCUGUAACAGCUGGAGUACAAAAGAGGUGGAGAAUGCUAGUAACCAUCAUGAAGCUUUCGAUACAUAUGGCUUUGAAGGAGACUCACCUUCGGGCUAUGCACAGAUGCAGUUGAUGAGCUAUUGGAAUGCAACUCUUGCUUUGCCAAUUGUACUAACUUGCUUGAAACAAAGUGGCGAGCGAGAGAACCACCCUGUUUUAUCAGCUGUCACUGUUUCUGCUGCUCAAAUAAUAAAUCCUUGUCUCCACAUUGAGGCUUUACAAAGUUAUGUGGGACCCUCAUGACAAUAGCUUCCAAAUCGAAAAUCCCAAGAUAUGAGGCACUAAUGCAACAAAAUGCUGCAAUAUCUGAGCGUGGUAAUGCUUUUCUGGAAUGCGACAAUGCUAUUGCUGCCCUUCGAUCUUUAGAAAGUGUCGUCUCAAUUCCACGUGGAACGAAAUGCAUGGAUCACCUCCCAAGUCACGCAGCUAAUGGAGGGGUGGAACUUGUAACUGACAGACAAGAGAAAACUCCUGCCAAAGCAGAAACUGCAGUCCUGUUUGAGGAUCUUCGAGAGCUCGGUAUUCUUAUCAGAAAGGGAGAACUCCAUGGAAACGUCUUCAGAAUAAAGCCACCUAUGUGUUUCUGCAAAGAUGAUGCUGAUUUCCUUGUUGAUGCUUUAGAUUGCAGCGUAUCAAAAUUGUGAGGAUCAAAUCUUCCAAGAGCUGGAGGUGAAGUCUUCACGCCCUUUGGCACCCUUACAUCCCUUCUUUAAUUUCGAAAAUAACUUUUUCUAAAUCCCUCUUUUCAAAUAAUUUUCUAAAUUUAAUUUGUUUUAAAAUAAUUUCAGACUCUUUUAUAUUUCCUCCUUAGCAUUAUUUUUAGGUUCCAAAAAUCCAUUUUUUUUAAUAAAAUUCUGCUACCAUUUUUCUUCAUGGCGAGCAAUUUUCACAUUUUCUCUAUUCUUAGAAGGUUUUGAGAUAAGCAAGGAUUCAAUUUUGUAAUUCCAAAAUAAUGGGGUUAUUGGAAUUAAUUCAUGCAAAAUAAAUGGGCUUUGGUGGGGGCCCCACAUAAGUGACUUUAUAAUUGAUUUAUGGAUUGAUUGAUUUAAUUGUCCCGCAUGAUUGAUUUUAUUCUACUCUAUAACAUGCUCGAAAUUAUUUCUUAAUUGUGCACUAACCUCGCUUUUUGAUAGCAUAUUAUGGCUCGUCGCCCAGGUACGUAUCUAUUACCCUUCUAGUCUUUCUAUAUGCAUGCUCUAACUCUCAUACGUGCAUCAUCGGUCUGGGUAUUCAUUGAUUUACGCAUCAAUUGCCACAUCAGCUUUAUUUUAUUAGUAGAGACCCGACUUUAGGGGCUUAAAAGGGUGUUACGAUCUUUACCGUACCUUCCCGAUAAGUAACCUGACCCCCGAGCCCGAUCCGGUUUCUCACAGACCACCUUUUCCUAAAUAAGGAGUCACAUUUAGGGUUUUUCUUUCUUAUUUUGUUUACCCUUUUAAAAAUAAAAUAAAAAUAAGUGGACUCCAAGUCAUUUUCUAAUAAAUAAUAAAUCAUUUUUUUUUAAUAAAAGUCGAGUUCGCCAUCGAGUGGGAAACACAUGAGCCGAAAUGCGGGGUCCACAGCAAUAUUUUUGUUUGGGUUACAAAAAAAAAUCAUAUUGAACACUAAAAAAAAUAUUUUUUAAAAAACCAUUCCAAUUAAAUAUUGUUUAUUUUAAAAUUUUAAUAAUAAUUUUUAUUUAAAAAAAUUGAGUUAUGAAUUUCACAUUAAAACAUUGAAUAUAAUAAAAUCAUUUUACAUAAUAUACUUUUGGUGAAAAAAAUAAUUUUAUAAUUUAUUAUUUAAAGAAAUUAUUUUGUUUUAAAAUAUAAGAAGAAUAUGAAAAACAAUUGAGUGUGAAAAAUAAAAGAAAUGAAAAGAAAAAAAAAACACAAAGUUUACGUGGGAUGGGAGGUUGAGUAGGUAGAGAUGAAAAGGAAUAUAAAAAUAAAAGAAAAAGAAUGUUAAAAUAUGGGGUGGGGGUUGGGAAAAUGAAAAGAAAAGAAAAGAAAAAUAAAAAAGGGGUGCGGGACGUGAGAUUGGGGAGGACAGAGAGGAGAGGAGAGAGGAGAGAGAGGAGGAAGAAAUAAGGAAAGGUAAUUUAGGAAUGCAAAAUGUCGUAUUAGUAAAAAUGGUGUUACGAAUAGCAAUUGAGAUUUUUAAAUAUAUAAAUUUUUAACUAAUUUUAAUUAUAUUUGAUUUUUAUUGAUAUUUUCGAUGAUAUAACAAUCCAUAACAUAAUCAUUUUUCCUAUUAUUAUUUUUUCUUUUCUUGGCACUUUCAAGGAAACAAAAAUAAACACCGAGUAAAAUUAUGAUUUUAAAGGUAGCUUAGUUAACAUUGUGUGUACUUUUUGUUGAACUCUUUUCGAAGUGGAAUUUUUGUUAUAAAUUUAUCUAAAUACCUAAAAAAUCUUGUAAGCAACAACAAUUAGGUUUCUGUUACAUCUCAUUUAACAAUUAUUGUAAAGCUAUAAUGACUAGAUUGGGUUAGAUAGUUCACAAUUUGAACCUUUGGUUUCAAAAUUUAAUCAAAGAAAAUUUAGUAACCAAAUGUUUAAAAUUUAGGAAUGAUGAUGGACAGGUUUUGAAACUAUUUCAAAUUUUGAUACAACUAUAAAUUUAGAAGAAAUGAAGACCUUUUAGCAUAUAGAAGAAGUUUCACCAAACUAAUAAUUAACAUAUAAAUAAGUAGGAUGAGUGUUUGAGACACUUCUCUUUUUGUUGGAUUCGGUUCUAGUCCGACUCAAGGUUAAUAUAUUUUUAAUUUCCACUUUGUUCAUUUAUGCAUUGAUUCAAAAAAAAUAUGUCAUGUACUAAUGUUAAUUCAAGAUAUUAAUUACCAAGUUUUUGAAACAUGAAGUCAUGGUCCAAAGAAAACGAUACAAUAUUUUAUUUUUUAUUUCUAUUCCUCCAUUCUUUUGCUUAACUCACACGAAAUUUGUUUUAGUCAAGCAUCAAGAUGUCACAAUCAAAAAGAAAAGAAAUUCAAAUGUUGUGUAUAUUUUCUCCAAAAAGCAUUUUAGACUCUUGUUAGAAUUUUCUCCUACGGAUGUUUUACUAACUUUAAUUAAUUGAAGAAAGCUACAUGAAAUUUCCUACUCCAUGUUAAAUAUUAUAGCCUAUAAAGGAAAAUAAAAUAUCAUAAAAAUCAUUUAAAAUUUUAUAUAUAUUCAAAUUUUUUAUUAUAUAUAUAAAGGGUUGGAAAAAUGUAUAACAGGUUAAUGUGGUAUUUAUUUUCGGUCUAAAAUUUGAGUAGAUCUAAGUUUGACUUAAAUCUACUUAUAUUAUUAAGUUUUUUAGGUUGUUUACUUUUUAUCAAUGUAUAAAUAUUGUUAAGUGUUAAAUUGCUUUCUUUUAUUAAUGUCUAAAGAGUUACACUUAUUUAUUUCUACAUGUUAAAAAUAUCUAUAAAAUUAAUUAUUAUAUUUUUUCUUAUUUUAAUUUUAAAAUUAACAAUUUAAGAGAUAUUAAUUUAAUAUAUUUAUAAAUAUAAAAAAAAUUUAUAAUUUAUUAUCAUAAUAAACAUUUUAUAAUGACUAAUAAUGCAAAGUGUAAAAAAAUAACAAUUAGAUAAUUAUUAGGAUUUCUAAUUAUGUUUGGUUGUUAAAAAAUUUCUAUGUUAAAACUUAUUUUUAUGUAACUAUCUUCAAAUUUAUGAAUAUUGUUGAGAUUAAUUUAUUAAUUUUUAUUUUUAAUUUGGAAAAAAUGUAAAAAUCUAAAUUUUAUUUUUUAAAUUAAUUGGAUUUUUCUAGUUAAUUACUAAAUGAAAGUAAAUUAGAAAUCUAAGUUCAAGGACAUUAGCCAACCAAACUGACUUUAAAUCUAACCAAUCCAAUCUUAUUACUUUUUAUUUUCAUUUAAAGAUGUUUGUUUCUAUUAAAAAAGAAAUGAUUACAUUGGUUCAGUGUUCAUGAACCAAUCGAAUCUAUCUAUUAUAUAUAUAUAUAUAUAAAAAAUGAUCACAUUGGUUCGGUAUUCAUUUCAAAACAAUGAAUCAAUAGAAACCGAUUCUAAUCGAACCUAUCUAUUAUAUAUUCGACUUAAAAGAUGCAAAAUUUGAAUUUUCAAAAUUUGAAGUUAUUUUUUGAAGAGACUUCAUAUUUUGCUUCUCAUAAUUUACUAUAAAUUUAUGAAAUUAUUUUUUAGUUGUCAUAUUUUUUAAAAAUAUUUUAUUUUUUCAAAGUAAAUUCACUAAAUAUUGUCUCACAUGUAUUUGUGGUUCACUAAACUUUUAAAAUCAAAUUAAUAAAUUUGUAAAAGAAAAAUAUUAUAUUUUCUCCAUUUUGUUCACUUGAUAAACAAAUCUACAAAAAUGUCAAGCGAAUGUUUGAAAUUUACCUCUUUUUUUUUUUUUUUUGUAAUCUUUGGUUGAUUGUGUUUUUAAAAGCAUUAUAAAUCCCAAGAAAGUAAUAUUUUUUUCUUUACCAUUAUAGUUCCCAUAGUGUUUAAACUUAUCUUUACCAUUUUUUUUCUUCUUGAUCUAACUACAAGCUUGACUGCACAAACUUGGUCAACAAUGAGAAUAAAAGAAUAAAAGUGAGGAGGGUGAUGAAGUUCUCCCUAUACUCUCCUCUCCCUUUUUAACUUUUAUAUCCCCCCUCAACAGUAUAGUUUUAAGGUAUGUACACUUUAAUCCUGAUGGACUAAAGGCCCAUAAUUCAUCUCAAUGGGUCAACUAAAAUAUUAUGAGCAAGGUGAAGCCAUGGGCCUCUGCACAAUACAUAAAUUGAUUAUGGCCCAAAACAAUACCCAUGCACAACCAAAUAUAGUUUACAAUAUACGUAGUCCACAAAAAACAUUUGACAUUAAUAGGUGAAUUUAGGUGAUUAUGCUAGUCCAAUAACAUAAUUUCAACAUAUGAUUACAUUUUACUCUCCCUUUAAUGUUAAAUGACCAAUCAUGAAACAACAAAAAGUUUUAUUUGAAAAUUUAUAUAUUUUUCAAACUCUUGAUUCCCCUUUAUAAAUAAUGUGGAUAAAGUUAGAGAAGUAAUGAAAAUAAUUAUUAAAAUUUACUAAUCUUUAAGAGAAGUAUAGAAAAUGGGAAAUUAAUAAAAAAAUUUAUUAAAAUUUGCUGAGGUUGAUAUUUUUUAGUUCCUUUAAUUUUUUUUACUUUAAUUUCCUUCAAUGUUAUCUUUCCUAGUAAUAUAAAUGAGGAUUUGGGGAGUAUAUAUGCUGUUAUAUGACCCAAAAAUUAUUGGUUAUAGAAUAGUAGAAAUUCCAUAAGAACAAAAUUCACAUACAUUUUAUCUCAAAGUUAAAAUAGUCUUACCAACUGUUAUGUAUCUAAUGGUGCAGUAGAUUUUGAGCUUGUCUAAAAAGCUCUCGCCUAUUGAUGCCCUUAUCAACUACUUGGCAAACCAAUUUGCCAAACUUGCAACACAAGAUGGUUGAGUGGUCAUCCAGCACAUCACCUAUGGUCAAGUCAAUGGAUAACAAGAAAAUGAAGUGUUGAGAGUAGAUGCAAAAAUAAAUAUGGGAAUAUGGGUGAGAGAAUAUGAUAGAUGAUCGAAGCUUAUUCUCUUUGCUAGAGCUUGUUCGGACCUUUAUAGUUCAUUACCCAAUUAUGUUAAGCUAACCUUACCAUGUUAAAAAAUUGGAAAAUAUUAAGGAAUUGAAUUGGUAACUAUUGACUUCCAUCUUGAUUGUUGACUUUGGCAAAAUUAAUUUAGAUUGUUGGACCAAGAUAUAAAGAAAUAAGGUCAAAGUAUAAAUGUAUGAAUAAAUAAAGGUACCAAGUGGUGACCAAGACACCGAUUGGUGAUGUCUUUUCAAUAUCUAUCGGAGAAAAAGUACCUUUCAGUAUUAUGGUAAGAUCCUAAAACCCUUCUGUAUGUCUAGUGAUUGUUCAUUUUCUGGGGCAUCGAAAAGAAUUGUUUCUCCAACUACAUUACUACCAUCAAUGACGAGGCCUAGAUCAACGACCAACUCUGAUUCUCUCUUUUCUUCUCCGAAAUACUCUUGUGUAUUUCAAAUUCGGAGCCGAAAUCUGGUCAAAGAGAAACAUAACCCGAAAUUCAACCCGGUUGGCCAGCCAUUGAUGAAAGGUCUCUAAAGAUUGUAGUCUUCUUCGCUUCACAGUGAUGAAAUGCAUAGCCGGGGACGGAAUCACCUACUAUCUGGUUCGGCUUUCAAAUCUCUAGUUUCGGUUCUCAUGCUAGCCAUGUUCGCCACCAUGGCAUCGAUUUAUGUCACCGGCCCGUGAGUUCUCACACUGUAUCGUAUUGUGAAAUGAUUUUCAUUUCUUAGCUGUAAUAGUGUUUAUAGUGUGGUUAAUUUCGUUAAUUUAGGUUUUUGUUUUGUGAUGCUUUGAUUUUGAUUAUAAUUGGUCUAUGUUUUUCAAAAGAAAAAUUGUUUUUAUGGAAAUCUGUUAUUGGUAGGCUGUGGUUGGAUUCUGAGAAUAAGGUUUAUUUGAUUAAAGAGCUUGAUAUUGUUAUUCAAUUGUAGCUUCAACUUUUCUUCCCCACAGUUUGUUAAUGCAUUUUUUGGGACUGUUUUGUUAUUGAGACUAAAUUAUAGUGAUACAAAGAGGGUCUUGACAUUGAAUGGAACCAGAAUCAGUCCAUCAUGGUAUAUGUUCUAUAGCAUUACAUUACAAUGCCAAAUAAACUGGUGAUGUGCAUAAGCUCUUGCCUUUUUCUUUCUUUUAUUGAAACAAUCAGAGUUGAUACCAGCCGAUUUUCAUUUUUUGAAAUUAAUCAUUCAUAGUAAAAGAGGUAAAUAUCUAUACUUACCAUUUUAAUAGUUUUCAAGUGGAAUCAGCCAAUGACACUGAAAAUUACAGAGUAAUUGGGGUUCUUUUUUUGGGGCUUUUGUUAUAAUAGACAAAAUAUAAUCUAGAGGUCAUGGUGAUGGUUCUUCAAUUUUAUAGGAACAGCAGAAGUUAGCAGCCUUUGAGAUGGAGUUACUUGCAGUACAACAGGAAGAUUUUGUCUCAAAGAACUUGUCAGAAAAGAAGGAACUCCUCCUAAGAAAAAACAUUUAGCUGUUGUAGGAAUUAUAACAAAGUUUGGCCACAAGAACAAUAGAGAUGCAAUCCAUAAGACAUGGAUACCAACUGGUAGAAUACCCUUCUUUUUGUAAGUUUCUCUCUUUACUCUUUCUAUGAUUUACAUAGAGAAUGACCCAGUUGGCACUUAACAAAUUGACAUUUCUGUUAUAAGCAUAUAAGGGAUAAAAACAGGAGGCUUGUAGGCUGAACUCUUGUUAACAUGAAAACUUUUAGGGAACUUCCAUUUGUCUUCUAUUCUUUUUUCAUUGUUUUGUUUAUUUUCUCAGUUUGCAAUAGUCAUCUUUCAAUAGUUUGCAAACUCCAUCAACCAAUUUGAAAAGCCUUAGAGCUAACAAGUGCAAAUUAUGAGAAGCUAAAAUCUUGUUUCUCUAGGAUUUUUCUAAAGUUGCUCAAUUGAAUGGAAAGCAGAAAACCAUCAAGAGGCCCUGCCCUUGCCCCUGCCCUGCACCCUCUAUACUCCUGUUUACAGAAAUUUGGAGUUUGUCUUUAUUGUAAUAAGGGAGACAAUAGUCUGCAUAAUAAUGGAACAAAAAGUAAUAUUGUGAUUCACUGCUUCAAAAAGUAAUUUUGACAUAACUUAUGUGCUAAACUGCACUAAAAUGCUUAGCACAAAAAGUAUGUUAUUCUUCAUUUGAGAGCAUUACAUUGAACAUCAUAUGUUAGCAUCACUUUUGCCAUAACUAAUCUUUCUUUCUUUCUUUCUUUCCCCUUAUCCAAGACAAUGCAUAUUGAGUGAUUGAUACGUAAGUUAAUAGCCUUAGCACCCACAUGGGGUGAAGUUUGAAUCCAAAAUUUCCCAAUAGUCUUAAUACGCUUCCUCGGGUGUGUUCGAACUUAAGACAUCAAUGUUAAACCACCACCUUACCCAAAACCUUUAAGUUGCUCGGUAAUAGGCCAACAAUGGGAUAUUAAGGCGACUAAUAGGUAGGCUAAUAGCCUGAGCAAUUCUCUUAUAAUGUUUAAUGGUUCAAAUGUUGACAAUUAAAACAUUUACAAAAGCAUGAUGACUUAUCCAUCGUUUUCAUACAGAUACUCUAGAAGCAGCUCUUGCUCUACCCAUUUGAAUAAGCCUUGAGUUUAUAUUGGGUGUAUGAAAUCAGGUGAAGUUUUCUCAAAGUUGUGAGUAUAAUCAAAGGGUUUUUUUUUUUUCUUUUCUCUAAUGAUGAGAAAACGAGUUCUUUAUGAUAUUCUAUUUUCACAUAUUGUAUUAUCUUUUCAUAUUGUCUUAAUUAUGUAGGAUCCACAAGUAGUAAGAACUAGACUGGUAGAAAUUUGGUGAUGGAAAAUCAUGAGUAAUUCUGUAUUGAUUUCAUCUUGUCUCUUAUAUUAAGAUAAGUAAUUAUUACUUUCUAGUUCUGUUAACUAGUCAGGAAGUCUCUUAGUAUCUCCGAAUUCAUCUGAUAGGUGAUAGAAGUCCCAAUGAAUAACUAGGGCAUUGUCCCAUAAGAGGCUUGCUUGAUAGAGAGUUAGAGCACCAUUUCUGAAGUUUUUUGGGCAUUUAAACAAUUUAUCAUUCCAUCAUAUUCUUGACAUCUGUUACACUUGAUUUGCCCACCCUAUGCACCCAUAUUUAAACCAUCUCAAACUCUGAUUUGUGUUGAGGUAUCCUGGAGUUUGCAGAGGGACGCCUUCUCGGGAAGUCAGGCUUACAUUGGCUGAAUAUACAUUUAGAAAAUUUAUAUGCUGGUCGACUGGACAAGUUAUCAUACGAGGGUUGGGUAGCAUUUAUUGAGAAUCAUUUAGAAGAUAUAUUUGAUUCCACAGACAGACCUCUGGAAGGAAGACGUUGGUGGUUGUCUGCUGAGGAUCCUUUCCAAUGCUUGGCUGCAUGUAUUAAUCUCUCAGAAGCAUUAAGAAGCUCCUCUCCAUAGACUACUAUUUCACACAUGCCUGUCCACCAGGUACUUCAUUCUCAUCAUGGUCACAUUCAAACUGAGAAAUGUUUACUACCGAGUGAAAUCAAAUUAAUCCCACCUCCCUCNNNNNNNNNNNNNNNNNNNNNNNNNNNNNNNNNNNNNNNNNNNNNNNNNNNNNNNNNNNNNNNNNNNNNNNNNNNNNNNNNNNNNNNNNNNNNNNNNNNNACUAGUUUUUAUUGGAAUUAUGUUUCUAAGCAUAGGCAUAUCAUUUGUUGCUUGUGUAUUUUGUAUAAAAUCCUCCAGGUAACUAUAUAGUUCUUCUGCAUUUACACAUGGAAAAUGACAGUCACAUGAUUGUUCAGACCCUUCAGAGUACCCCAUUUGUUGCGGAGCAGAAAUAAUGGAUCUACCACUUCUUUCAUAGCACUACCUUAUGUUUGCGCUAUCCUAUUGAAGUAGGCUUGAGAGGAUAACAGAUAUUUCCCUGACUUUACUUUUGUUUUCAUAUUAAAUGCUUAGAUUCAGGUCAUUUGUUUGUCCAAAACUUAAUCUGAGAUUGUAUUGUUCUAUCUUUUUCAAGGAUGGCUCGUGCAAUGGCUUACAACACUAUGCUGCCCUUGGAAGGGACAAGGUAGUGGAAUUUUCCGCUUUUGGUUGAUCGUUGUGGAGUUCUAAUUAUGUGAUAUGGAAGCAUGGUUUUUGAUUAGUUAGGCAUAGCUUUUCACUCUUUUUCUGCUUUGAGGCUAAAUUUGUCUCAACUUUGAUCUUCUCUCAUUUUGAUAGGAAAAAAAUGAACUUUGUUAAGGAAAGAUAGUACGAGGAUAAGGAACUAGAAAUUGAAACCCAAGAAAGAAACCAAACUUUGUUUGAGUUUGGUGCAGUUUAUUUAAUUUGAUUUUUUUAAGUCAUCUCAAACUUUGUUUAAUUUUGUUGCUUCAACUAAAGUUUUAUAUAUGUAAUAGAAAAUAUAUACCGGAAAAAGUGGUAGGACCUUUUCAAUUUUGAAAUGAGAAUUUUAAUUAAAAUAUUUGAAAAAAAAAUUUCAAGACUUCAACUGUGGCCAAACAUAAGUUGUGUCAAGAGAAUAAACCUAUGGCAGCAGGCAAGGAAAAGUGGCAUCCAUAUGAAGCCCUAUAGUUGCGGCUGACAAAAGGCCAUGUCUAUAAGUACUAUAUAGUAUUAAAUUAUGUAGAUAUCACACCUUUAUAGCAGCAACUAUCAGCUGUCCCAACCACAUAUGGAGCUUUUAGUUAAGGAAAAAACAUGACAACGGGGAUAGCUUCACAACUUCUACUUGUGUGGGGUGGCUGCAACUAUAGGAUUUAUCUGCAUCCCUAUGGCCUUCGCCGCUAUAAACUUACCUUCUUGUAGUGUGUAGCACUCUUGCCUCGUGUAUGAUUGCAACACAUGUACUGCACAACUCUUUGUUAAUGGUUGUUAAAAAUAGGUUUCUAUUUUUGAAAAUUGAAAAUAAGAAAAUCUUGUUUGACAAUAAGAAAAUAGAAACCAAUUUUUAAAAAAAUAGAAAAUAGGUUUUGUUCUUAAAAAAAAAAAAUGUUUUCAAUUGUUUUCUAGGGUUAUUUUUAAAAAAAUAAUAAGAUAAAUAUGAAGAAUAAUUAAAAAUAAAAUGCUACAUAUAAAACUUACUUUUUUGAAAAAUAUUUGAAAGCAAAAAAUACGUUAAAAGUAUUUCAAAUUUUCAAACAAACAUUUAUCAUAUAAAUCUCAUAGAAUUAUUUUCGAAAACUAUUUUCAAAAAAUAUUUUUUUUUAAUGAUUUUCAAAAUUAUUUUCAAACUAACUUAAAGUAUGUUUGACAGUGAUUUUAUGAAGUAUUUUUAAUCUUUUUAAUAUUUGAAAAAUAAAAAAUUAUAAGCGUUUCCUAAAAUCAUUACCUAAUAAACUCUAAUUCUCUUUACUAGAGGCUUAUACGGGUUUUUAUAUUUUGCCUCCUAACCAUGUUAGAUAGGUGGUAACCAUGUUAUAAGAUUUUGGGCUAGCAUUGGCUAGUCUACACUUGUAUGUACUUAAUUUUUGUUUUUAAACAUAGAAAAUGAAAGUAACUUGGAUAUAAAAUAUAAAAACUUUUAGAGACUUACAUUAUUUCAAAUUUCAAAAUUUUUUAUAGUGAUUUUUAAAGAUAUAAGGUGAGUUUAUACUUUUGGUAAAAAAAAUUUCUAUUUUUUUAUAUAAAAAUUAUUACUACUUUUUGUGAUAAAAAAAUGUAUAAAAAAAUGUCAAUAUACAAAUAAUAAAAGUUGAAAGAACAUUUUCAAUGCAUAGAUUAUCUUAAGGGUUCAAAUGUGGGCUAAGCCUAAAACUUAAUAUUAAAUCUUCUCUCAUUCAAAUAAUAGUCUUUAUAAAUACUAGAAUAUCCUAAAUAGUUAUGGACCAAUAUUUCAAACAAAUUUCUCAAACAUUAGUAUCAAAAGAAACUUUCAUUAACCAUGACGAGCUCCCUAUUUUAAUCUAAAACAUGUAAAUAAACAUAAUUAACUUCAAUCGAAGCAAGAUUUAGAUUUGUAUUAUGGAUAAUAUAAAUCUAAAUAUUUUCUUAAAAGAUGAUCAUAAGUUUCUUAGUCCAUGACUUCAAUUAAUAGAAAAAAUAUUUAUAAGCUCAAUUUUGUUGGAAGACUUUUUAUAUUUUCUGGUAACUUACACUCCAUUAAAGAUUCAAGAUUAUUUAGAGUUAACUACAGAUUGGAUAGCACAAGUAUAAAGUUAUGAAAAGAACAAUAACUUUUAAUUGAAAAAGAUUUUGGAGAUCUAGUGCUCAUGCACUUGAAUCUAGCUUUCAAGGCUUGGAACACUCAAGUAUUGCUUGAGAGUACCCAAUAGCAAGCACUCAAGUAGUGUACUUAUCUCAUACUUGAGCACUCAAAAGAGGGGUUUCCAAAAAAUAAGUUUGCAUACAACACUCAUUAAAAAAAAUGAUUAUAUAUAUAUAUAUAUAUAUAUAUAUAGGGAGAAUUGUGUUUUGGGCCCAGCUGGGCCCAAAAAUUAACAAAUGGUCCAUAUAUGUUACAGAAUUAAUAGAAAGGCUAUGAGAUAUUGAGUGACCUAUAUACCCUUCAAAUUUCCAAGUCAGAUUGCUGUAAAUUAAAAGGGAGAAUUGUGUUAAAUGUGAAAUGCCAUGUCACCUGACUACAAAAAGGGUCACCACCAUCCUACCCCUUUAUCUCUCUUCGUAAACACCAUGAUCAAAGAGGAUGGCCACUGUGAAUGUCCCCCAACCGAUUUCUUCGGCAGGCGAGGGUUGUGAGCAAGUCAAAAAUCAGAAAAGCCUUGCAUCUAUUUUAUCAUCAUCAUCAUUUCAAAAUCCAAAUGACAGUGGGUGUAAAUUAUUUUCUCUCACAUUUUGAUUUGAUCAUAUCCAUCUUGGGUCAUAGGAAUGAAGCAUGAGGUAAGUAAAUUGAAGAAACUUACAAUGAAUAUUUUCGAAAAGAUCUCCUAUUAAAUGGCAUUUCACCUGUUUGAAAAUUCUUCACUUUAUAAUCUGGUUGUUGGCUUUAUAGUGUAGGCAAUAAAUGGGUAUGGUGGAGACGGUGAGCUAUGGGGAUUAGUUAGCGUACUUAUGAUGAAUAGGAAAGUAAAUUGGGUUUCAUUUUCCCCCUUUUCAGUCAGCCAUGACAUUGGGAUGUGGUUAACCUGGCCAUAUGCACUCUUUAAGUUAUAGGUAGGUCAAAUUCCUGCAACUGUACAAGGCAUUUACACCAACUGUACAAGGCAUGUACACCAACUGUACAAGGGUGUGUAUCUUAAGGGAUUUCGAGUGAUUUUUAAGAACUUGCUCAUUUACUUUUUCCAAUCGUGGGGGACAUUCCUCACACUUAUUGGUUGACAACAUACUCAUUGCAUGCAUUUUAUUUGAUAUCUACCAUGUUAAUUCAUUGUUUUAUCUCCCCUACAUUACUUAUGCGUAUGAACGGAAAUGAGGGUUCAUUUUUUCCUCCUUUUCCCUCAUCCACGAGAAUGGAAACAUUGUUGCCCCACCCAUAUGCACUUGUUCGGUUGUCCCUUCGGUGGAUUGCAUAACUGUACAAGCCAUUUACACUAACUGUACAAUCCAAAUGUGUUAACUGUACAAGUGUGUUCAACCCUACCUAUAUUGAAGGAUUUCAACUUUUUUUGAAAACAAUCGUUGCUCAUUUCCUUCUUUUUUUUUACUAGAGGGACAUCCCUCAUAGUCAUUCCUCAUUUCCCUUUGUACACAUUCAAAUGCCUUGUGGUAGCCCACUUAUGUUGCAUAGGAACCUAAAUUGGGUUUCAUUUUCCCCCUUUUCACUCAGCCAUAUCUUUGGAAUGUGGUUAACCCGCCCAUAUGCACUCCUUUAGUUGUAUUUAUGUGGAAUUGCUCCAAGUGUACAAGGCCUUUACACCAAGUGUACAAGGCCAAUGUACUAAAUGUACAAGGGUGUGUAUCUUAAGGUAUUUCAAGUGAUUUUGAAUAACUUAGUCAUCAACAUUUUCCACUCGUUGUGAACAUUCCUCACACAUAUCGGUUGACAACACACUCCUUCCAUGUAUAUUAUUUUAUUUGUACAAUGUUAGUUCAUUGUUUUAGCUCCCCCACAUUACUUAGGCGUAGGAAUCGAAAUGAGGGUUAAGUUUUUCCUCCUUUUCCCUUAUCCAUGGUAAUGGAAACAUUGUUGCCCCACCCAUAUGCACUUGUUCGAUCGUCCAUUUGGUGGAUUGCAUAACUGUACAAGCCAUUUACACUAACUGUACAAUCCAAAAGUGCUAACUGUACAAGUGUGUACAACCCUACCUAUAUUGAAGGAUUUCAAUUUUUUUGAAAAAAAUUCAUUGCUCAUUUCCUUAUUUUUUUGCUAGGGGGGCAUCCCUCACAGUCAUUCCUCAUUUCCCUUUGUACACAUUCAAAUGCCUUGUGGUAGCACACUUAUGUUGCAUAGGAACCUAAAUUGGGUUUCAUUUUCCCCUUUUUCACUCAGCCAUUUCUUUGGAAUGUGGUUAACCCGCCCAUAUGCACUCCUUCAGUUGUAUUUAAGUGGAAUUGCUCCAACUGUACAAGGCCUUUACACCAAGUGUACAAUGGCAAUGUACUAAAUGUACAAGAGUGUAUAAGGGUGUGUAUCUUAAGGUAUUUCAAGUGAUUUUGAAGAACUUAGUCAUCAAUAUUUUCCACUCGUCGUGAACAUUCCUCACACAUAUCGGUUGACAACACACUCCUUCCAUGUAUAUUAUUUUAUUUGUACAAUGUUAGUUCAUUGUUUUAGCUCCCCCACAUUACUUAGGCGUAGGAACCGAAAUGAGGGUUAAGUUUUUCCUCCUUUUCCCUUAUCCACGAUAAUGGAAACAUUGUUGUCCCACCCAUAUGCACUUGUUCGGUUGUCCCUUUGGUGGAUUGCAUAACUGUACAAGCCAUUUACACUAACUGUACAAUCCAAAAGUGCUAAUUGUACAAGUGUGUACAACCCUACCUACAUUGAAGGAUUUCAACUUUUUUUGAAAAAAAUUCAUUGAUGGUGGUGUUUACUUAUUGUUGGUUAGUGUUAUGACAAACAAUUUCUGUCUCCCUCUAUUCGCCUUGUUAUCUUGGGUAACAACACAUAAUUUCAAUAGACCAGUUUGUUGCCUUUAUGAAAAACUCUCAUUUGAUGUUGAUGUGAGGACAAAUAUCUUUGAGGUAUUUAAUUCAACAGCUUCAUGCAAAAUCAGAUAGUUAAUUCACAUUCUAUGGCUUUAGAGGUUUAUUUUCUCUUAAUUUUCAUCCUUCCAAUAUUCUUAAAUUAUGAGUAUGUUCACUUCUUUUGUUUGUAAGACGGAUUUAUGACUCUGCAUCAAUGGAAAAUUAUGUGCACAAUAUGGAGUGACGGAUAAUAGGAGAACUUAAACGAUUACAUGAGGGUGUCGAAUUGCACCUUUUCCUUUUCGUUUUUAGAUGAAGCAAAUAAAUGAUCUUUUAUCCUUGAACUAAUUGUUUUUCCCUUUAUGUGUGCAGGUGGGUUGAUUCUUGAAGUGGGAACUUUGUCACGAUUAAUACAAAUAAUUCAAAAUAAGAGGCUUAACAUCAGAUGAAAGAUGAGAAGAGAAAAACAGAGAAGUCUAGAUGAUCAAGAUAGUUUAUUUUAUAGGAAGCCAAUCUAUGUUAAGAGUUGGAUAAUAAGAUACCAACCUUCUUUUAAGUUUUUACAUUGUAACUAUUUUCAUUAAAUAGUAUCAUAUACGUUUCGGGACAUGUAAUUAUGCAUUUCAUUCCAAUUAAAAUUCCAAUGUAUUGAACUUAAAUUUUGGUUAUUUCGCAGUUUAUCAGCACAUGUUUCUUGUUUUUAAAUUUUGUUUUUCCUCCGUUUAUAUUGGUUGUUGGACAAAUAAUGACUCAUUCUCAUUUCAUGUCGUUCUCCAAGUUUGCUGAAGAAUUUCUUUACUUGAUAAUUUUAUUAAGUCAUUAAAUACAUUAAUCAUGUUUGUUAAGAUAAUUUCAUAGCCCAUAUUUUUAAUAUUAAAUUCAUUUCAUUAAUUAUUUACUAUUUAUAUCUCUAUAUCAUUUUAUAUGUACACCUUCAUAUUUAUUACAUAAUUUUUAUAGUCAAUAUUGUGUAGUACUAUAUGUUUGCAAAACUUUAAUUAUGAAUAUGUAAUAAAACAGUUACUAAUUAAAGAGUAAUAAAGAUAAAUGUCAAACUCAUUUACUUUUUCUAAAAGGGACAUUCCUCAUUUCCCUUCGUACACAUUCAUUGGAUGAGAUAGCGCGCUUAUGAUGAAUAGGAACCUCGAUUUGGUGUCAUUUUUCCCCAACUCGGUGAGCCAUGACAUUGGAACGUGGUUAACCCAGCCAUAUGCACUAGUUAUGUUGUAUCUAGGUUGAAUUUCUGCAACUGUACAAGGCAUUUACACUAAGUGUACAAGGCCAAUGUACUAAAAGUACAAGGGUGUACAAGGGUGUCUAUCUUACUUUUUCCAAACGUGGGGAACAAUCCUCACACAUGCUGCUUGAUAACACACGCAUUGCAUGCAAUUUAAUUGAUGUCUACCAUGUUCAUUCAUCCUAUUAGCUUCCCUAGUAAUGAUGAAUAUGAACCGAAAUUAGGGUAAACUUUUGUGUCAUUUUCCCUAGUCCAUGGUAAUGGAAACAUUGGUUACCUACCCAUAUUCACUUGAAAAUAUGUACCUAUUAGGGAUUUGGUGACUGGACAAGGCAUUUACACUAAGUGUACAAAGCAAAUGUGCUAACUAUACAAGUGUAUACAGGGGUGCCUAUCUUGAAGGAUUUGAAAUGCUUUUGAAAAAAUUGCUUGCUCGUUUAUUUUUUCUAAGAAGGACAUUCCUCAUUUCCCUUCGUACACAUUCAUUGGAUGAGAUAGCGCGUUUAUGAUGAAUAGGAACCUCGAUUUGGUGUCAUUUUUCCCCAACUUGGUGAGCCAUGACAUUGGAACGUGGUUAACAUAGCCAUAUGCACUAGUUAUGUUGUAUCUAGGUUGAAUUUCUGCAACUGUACAAGGCAUUUACACUAAGUGUACAAGGCCAAUGUACUAAAAGUACAAGGGUGUACAAGGGUGUCUAUCUUACUUUUUCCAAACAUGAGGAACAACAACAGCCAACAUACGAACCCAGAGGACUAUACAAAAUUCAUUGUGCUGAAACUUAUGGAAGAACUCACAAAACAUCAUUAUGGGGUUGAGCUGCUUUAGUUCAGGAAUCCCAGCAAGAGAGACAUCUUGCUUUGUAUGAAAAACACGUCCUUCAAUAAUUGUAACAGUUGUAAAUUAUGAAUUAUAGAGGUAACCUGCCUGUAAUCUAAUGAGAAUUGACUUGAUAGAUUAGCUUUUUAACCAAGUACUUAGUGAUGAAAAUGUGUUUUGUGCUUGAACGGUGUCAUUCCCAUUAGUCCAAAAUUUUGGGAUGAUGAUCGCCAUUUUUCGAUGUGUUGAAUGAUUACUUUUAAGGUGUGGAGCUACUGCAUUCUGAGAAUGGUUAAUAAUAAUUUUUAAAAUCAUACAUAAUAACUUCCAAAAUAAAGACUAAUAAUUUUCAAGUGAUUGUGGAUUAUUCUUGAGUUUCCCUUUUCUCUUGUCUGAACUUGCUAGUUCCCAAUACUAAAGUAGGAGUCCAUUGAUAAUUUAAACACAAAUAUUGACUAUAAGUCUCUGAAAAACCUUAUUACUAUAAUCAAUCAAGCCAAUAUCCACCCAACUAACCCAAGGGCAAAGUGGGUUCUUAUUACCAAGCCAUGAGCAAUUUUGCCCACAAAAAAAACCUAGGACAAAAAAGGGAAAAAGCCACACGAAAAAAUGUUUUAUAUAUAUAUAUGAAAAAAAAAAAGAUCUCAAACCACAUGGCAUCCACAUGAUUGAGAAACACCAAUUUAGAAUUUAUUUUGAUAGGGGAUUUACUUUAUAGAAUAUUUUUUUAAAACAAGUUAUUUUUGUUCAAAACCCCCAUGAACAUGCAGUCUGAUGAUGUACAAGGCAUAAGAGUAGAGAAAUGAAAGGAAUGGAUAUUCAUGGCAUAUUUUCUAGUGCAAUUUUCUAAAAGAAUAAUGGCGUAUUUUCUUAUGACUGUAGACAGUUGAUGGAUGAGAUCAAUUAGUCAUAAUUCUACCCUUAUUGCAAGAUCAUUCUUCGCCGAGAUCCUUUUGCUUUCCCUUCGGGGCUUUGGAUUCCUGAAUUGUAAUCCUUUUCCUUCUCCCUUCCAAUUAAGGAAUGCAAGCACGCAACCUGGUUUCACCCACACAUCUUGCCCUCUUAUAUAAAGCCACCACCGAAGGCCUUAUGAACUAAACAGAGAUAUCCAGUUUAAUUUAAGAACUUUGUCAAAUGAAGAAAGUAAUUGCUCUGGCAGAAAUAUCAACUGAUUUAAUUUCUGACAGUCGUACAUCAACCUCCAUAGCAUUACAUCUACUAAAAGGGUUCCUAUUCUAGUUUCACAUGUAGAAUUGCAUUUAUAAUUCAUACACUACAUUCCAACUUCAACCAAACAAAAGCUAAAACAAAAGGCCUAAGCUAGAGCCAUUUGCAUUUCAGCACCCAGAUUGCCUAAGCCUGCAUUGAGGCUGUGUACACCCAAGGUUGCCAGGAUUGAUGAUGAGCCCCUGAUGAAGCCAAGGUUUCCAUCUUCACCAUUGGAACAACCAACAGCAAGUGAUCAGAUAUUCAAUGGCAAAUCGGGUGGGCACGACACUACCAACAGGCACUGCAUGACUUGUGGGCACGUCGUGUGACACUGGCAACAUGUGAUGGCAUGCUCAUGUGCUUCAAUUAAGUUACGGGCUCCGACACUCUGAAACUUUCCCUAAGUCGCUAGAGGCUUUAGACGAAUUUUUCAAGUGAUAUAACUUUCCCUUCGAAACUUUCACCGACUUCUAUUGAACAGCAGAAGCUAAAACGGGCACAUGAAAAUAUUUUGUAUAACACAAAAAAAAAAUACCUUGCGCUUCCAAUAAGUAUAUCCAAACAAGACUUAUGUCACGCAAAUUGUGCGACAUGCAGGAAAAGCUAGAGAGGUAGAUGUCUAAGGUGAAGAGAAGUGAUGAAAAUGUACAACAAACAUGAAGGAUGGUUUAAUUCAAGUCAAUCAGAACCCAGUUGACCCAACUAAGGAAGAGUAUGAUGCAUUCUCAUCACUGGCUGUUGGCCUCUUCUCACCAUCCCUGUUUGAUGCUCCAUUCCCAAUUUUGGGAAGCAGCCCUGUUUCUAGACCAGCCAUAUCAUGCAACUCUAAUCGUCGCUGUUUUGCUUCUUCUAUAUCACCUUCCCAGCAAGUUUCGGAAAUAAUUUCAAGCGCUUUCUCCAUCUUAUCCUCUGUCACAAGCUCUCCAUUUUGCAGGAGGACAAGGUAAAUUUGUUCAGCAGAAGCCUUCCGGAUCUAAGGGAGAUAGCAAAAAACCAAUCCAUCAGCAAAGGACGAUUUAUUAUAUAAUUGAGAGGCAAAAUUUUUAAGGUUUAAAAUUCAGUAAAAGUGAUAAUAUUUUGUGUGCACCACAUACCUUGGGAUAUCUAUGGCCCAGGAAAGUGAGAAGAUGAGAAAAGGCUCAGGUGUUGACGGAUUCUGGAACGGAAGCAAUAUACCCAAGUAUUGCAAUGCCAGCAUAUAACUUGGAGAAAUCCUUUGUCGCUUUCAAUUCCACUGCCAGAGAAUCCAAAACACCAGCAUAGAAGAUUGGAGUAUGGCCCUGGAAAUUGAGAUAUCUUAAAAAUGUGUUGACACCAAAGAAUUAAAACUACUGACAUAUAAUUCCAUAAAGGAAUCAGGAUCAUGCAAAAACCAAUAUUAGCUUAAUCUUUCUGAUUACAAGAAUUUAGUCGGAUAGAAAAUUUUAUUAACAAUUCCAGAAUUGCAUGAAGGGUUCAUUGUUGUCCUGGAACAUCUAACUGUCCUGUCAUUUUCACCUUGUUUCUAUUUUUUGGUCUUGGUAUGGAUUGAAGUAGAACAGAAAAUAAACUAACCAAGUCCAGGGAAUGCAUUCAACCAACAUGGGAAGUCAAAACAAAUAUAAAGUUCUCUUGAAUGAAAUGAUAAAUUUUCCACUAACAUUGCCUGACAAGGGACACCAUUUAUCUGGCAUGCUUUCACAUCUCAAGAAAUUGAGACUUCUGAAUUCAAUAUUCUAGGGAAUCAUGAAUUUAUGAACCAGUCUAUAUGUCAGCACAAAAACUGAGCUGAUAAGAUCUAGAAAAGAAAAAAUAAUGCAAGUGAUCAAAAAACUACUUUGAUUAAAUUAGUAAUUCUUUUGCAUCAGUAAGCCAGAUUUCAAUUUAAUGGCUUGAAAGGUCAGGAUUGUCUGUGUAUUAUAGAAAAAUGCAUAGAAUUGGAGAAACUCUUCUGGUUGGAUGAAAUGAUAGAUCCUAUUACAAAAAAAAUUAAAUUUUAAUAUUUUAAUAAAUGCCUCUACAAUAACCAUUCUUUCAUACAAUUAACAAUGAUGUACCAAUAGAAUCAAACAGAAAUCUUCAAAUUGAUAGCAAUGAACAAAAAAUUGAAUGGGAAAAAAAUUGAAACAUUCUAUCAUCUGUGAAUUAGCAUAGCAAUAAAAGGAGAGUGUCAACUAACCUCCAUGUUCAAUAAUAUCUUUUUGCUGAAAAGAAUCUCAAUGGUCUGAAAUACAGAGGUAAUUUCAUUAAAAAUAAUUCAUCUGAAAGAAGAUAGGGCCUAAAUCUGAGAAAAAAAUAUCUAUAGAAGAGUGGAAGUAGAGGUGUAAACAUGCAAAAGGAAUCAUGGAAACCCAUAUAAAUGCACAAUAUGCAACAGCAAAGUAUAGGCUAUUGAAAUGCAAAAGAUGCAAUAAAUACGAAAACAGAGAGAAUCUAAAAGCUGAAGAUAUAUCUUUCAAAAGCACAUGGGAAGGGCAUGUUUUUGUCUAGGGAUGAACCAUUGCAGAGUCUAGGACCACAAGAUAUAGCAUUCCACUUGGUUGAAUUUCUCAUCAAUCACAUUUUUCUUUCAUCAGUUUCAAUUCUCAAUUUUCGUUAAGAAAUCUAAAUAGUGGAGAAUGGCAACCCUGUACAAGAAACAGCAUAGUGGUGAUUAAAAAGUGCCUUUUGCAUUAGGUGAAAUAUGGAAGUAACCUAUGCCCCAAUGGGUAAGGAGAGAACAACGCAUAGACCCAACCAUGGCUAGAAUAUGGAUGUCUAGAGAUGAGCAUUAAUAUAUUCUUAAGGCUUCGUUUAAAGCAUUAUGAUUUGUAACAGAAGUUCCUUUGUGGUGAUGGGUAAUAGAUUCAAAACCAACAAACUCACUGGCAGAGUAACAUUGAUAAGCAUUGGAAAUAUGUCUAACUGCAAAAUCGAACCCAUAGUGCUAGUUGUUCCAAAUGAAAACACAAACUACUAAAAACAUAAGCUGUGAAAGCAAGAUAUAGCAAGAAAGUGAACUAUAAACAGUCCCCACCAGAAUGCCAGCAAAAUGAUCCUAAAAAUGUAGGUAUAUACUGACUUUAUUUCUGGUUAAUUUUAAUAUGAUAAUGUAUUGGUCUAGUUACUAUAAUGGUAUAGUGGGGGUUCAGUAGAUCUGGGUUCUAUCAGUGCAUGCAUGCACAAAACAACAGAACAGACUUACUUCCAGGGAUCAUCCCCAACAAGAAGUACAUCAUUCUCAUAAUCCACAUACACCAUUUUCCAACUUGAGCCUUUCUCGUCGUUGAGCACAUCUUCAACUCCAAGCAUGCAUUCAAUUGCCUAGCAUAAUUCUUCAUAAUUCUUAAAACUUGCAACAUCAAUUGACCUCCCAACUGAUCCCAUUUUUUGAACCUGCCAUAGCAAAAAAUGCCAUCAAAACCAGAACUCCCUGUUUUCUAAGAAAAAAAUCCACCAAAAAAGAAUGUAAAACAGUUCGUUGGCAAACAUAGAAACGUCAAUGUGUAGCGAAAUGGAGUUUGCAGUGACAUUAUGGUAGUAACAAUAUGUUAAAACUAAACUGGGCACACACUGGAUCAAGGAGGCAUGUAGGAGUGUUGUUGACUUGUUUCAAUAUACUUCAGGUGGUAAUGAUGGGCAUGCCUCAAUCUUUUUGAUGAAAAAGAGACAAUGUAGUCAUUUAAAGAUAUACAAAUUGUUAGUUAAAAAAAAUUUGUAUCAGCAGAAAUAAUACAUGGUACUGUAAAACAUACCACAAGGUGAGUCUACCACAAACCAGUACGCAUGUGGCACACAUAUAGAGACCAGGAAUCAAUAAUAAGUUAAUGUCUAUAUGGAAAUGAGCUCUCAAAUACUACUCUAUCAUGAGACAUUGCAUCUAUGAAUUUACUUGACACAUUGUUCUUAACACAAAUUUUUAUGUUUUAAACAAAAAACAAAAUUUGCCGAUGCUAAAUAUACUGAUCACUUCCAAUCAGGCAAGAAAAUAUUCAACCUCAGAUACUAAGUCACACCAAAGCUUAUGGGGAUCCCAAUCCAUUUAUAUGGAGCCAGGAUUGUGGCUCUACAAUGAUUGGCCAAUGGUUAUUUAGCUGAUGAUUCCUAUACAAUAUCCUAAAUUAAAAAGACCUACAGGAGAAACAAAUUAGAACAAGUGAUCUAGAGUUAUUCAGUAUUGGGGCAGAUUUAGUCCAGCGCCACCCAGAAACCAUGCUUGCACUUUUAACCGACAAAAUAAUUUAUUACAGGACAAAAUAAGGAGAGUUGAUUUCUAUAGUAGGAUUGAUAAGUUACCUUCUCAUUUACCAAUUCAGUGAUGACAGAUGCACAUUGCUGCAAUGACUUAAUCCUUGUCAUGCAGUGAGUUGAUGGUUGCUCUAAAGCAUCUCCUAUAUCCAUGGAUCCUUGUGAAGUCCCAGAAGAUGCCGAGCUAUGACUUUCCAAGCUUCCAGUAUAACAUGUGUUAGUGAUUCCUGCACCAGCAAUUGGCAUUGGUGCACUUGAUUUGGUCUUCAUAUUUACAGAUGUUAGAGGGGCACUCCCUGAUUUGCAUUGUGAAUGACUUGGCUUGGAAGCAAUAGCUGAGGAAGAUGAUACAUCCAUUGGGGGUCCAGAUACAAAAACAUAAUCUUGAUCAACCAACUCCUCCAAUGAAUCCACAACUGUGGAAUCCAUACAAAUAAGAUAAUAAAAAAGAACAUAAAUUUUAGCAACACGUUUUUUUUUAUAAUAGAAUAUUAAAAUGAGCAAUGAAAUAUUAUUGAAAACAUUGGUACCUCUUGAACAACUUCUCAUUGGUCUUUGUUCCAUGGAUUUUAGAGGUUCUUUGACAUUCUCAUUUGAAGGCCUAAGAUUGUCAAUCCUAAAGCCAGUAAUUUCUGGUUUAUGUGAUGUACUGUUGUAUUUAAAAGCAGGAUCCGUGUUGUUCGAAGUGUUAAAUAUUGUUUCCCUUAUAUCAACUUUGUUAUCAAGAGAAAAUCCAUAGGUAGACUUCAUUGAGGACCUCUUCCUCAAAAAUGAUGGGCUCCCUUCAGCACCACUAGAAUCAUCAUCUAGAGGAAAAGACAUACAAUCCUCUUGAGAACUUGCCUCUGUUUUUCUCACAGGAUUGCAUUCAGAAAAAGGAAACCCAUCAUUUAUUCUUGAUGAUCUCCUACUAUUGCAUGCCACGAAGGAUUUUAACAUGAGUAAAUAAUGAAAAUAUCAUAUGCCAAGAUCGAGAAGAGUAAAAAAAAUUUUCUCCUUUACCUUAACGCUUCAUCUGGUUGCUUUUGAGAAAGGAAUAGGUGGUUAAACAACUCUUCAAAUGUUAGUCGUUCCACUGCAUAUACAAGGACAUAGAAGGGUCAAAGAGCUAUUCAACCUCAAUAAGCCUUUAGUUUUAGAACUACAGUGAUUUCUUUUUGGCACAAUCAGAUAUCAUAUAUGUUUCACUUUUGUAUCAUCUUUAGUUGUUUUAGGCUUUUCACUUGGUGCCAUUAAGAAUUCCUAGCAACAAACAGGUUUCCCCAAUAAAACACACACACACACACACACACACACACAUAUAUAUAUAUAUAUAAAUGCUGCCAGUUUCGAGCUAAAUUCUGUGAAAUACCUGGAUUGCGGCGCAGCAAUUUCUGACACAAAUCUUUGCAGUUAGCACUCAAAGCAUUAUUAUCAGGAGGGAAAUGCAAUUCACUAUAUUUAACAAUGUUUUGGAGCAACUGCUCAAGAAACAAGACAAAAGGUUAAUCAAGGAAAAGUUAAGGGCACAAAGAAAGACAAAUUAAACAUAGCUACAGAAUUAUUACUACUUAAAUUAAACACAAAAAGAAUCAAUAAUUAAACCAAGUUGAAAACCCAACCACUACAAAUGAUUAUUUCAGAUGUGCUAAAAAAAAUAAAAAGAAAAAAAAAACCUGUAUAUGAUUGUUUCUUGUAAACGGUGUUCUUCCAGUCACAAGUUGAAAGAUAAUGGCACAAACACUCCAGAGAUCUGCCUGCGUAUUUGGUUGAAGUUAAUAGGAGAAGGUUAUGCGAGAAAAUGGAUGGAUUCUUACAGAUGGAGAAAGUAAAUAUCACCUUUGCGUCAUAUUUCUGAAGUUGCAUUAUCUCUGGCGCCAUGUACAAUGGUGAACCACACAAUGUUUCUGCAAGACCUCUAGGUUGUAGAGAUCUGCCAAAAAAGAAUCGGAACAUAUAAACUUAUUGAAAGGACCUUAACUAUAUAACCCAUUUAGCUGUACUAGAAACUAGAAACGUUAAACAAAAGGAUUUUUAAAAUGAAAGAGAACAGGUUUCAUUUCAAUGAAUAUUUACACCCUUUGAAAUCAGCAAUCUUCAAUACUGAAUUGUUGUCAUUUGUGGAGAGAAGAAGAUUUUGUUCCAAGUAAUACAUAUGCCAAAUGGAAUUAGAUCUUAUGCAAUGCCUCUUUUGCACAGGAUGUACAACAUAAAGAAUACCCAUCACUAAAAUUCCCAUCGUAUUUGCAGAGGAUAUAAAUUUUGAUGGGCAUGCCCUAUAGAAAAUUUAAAAUCAUGACAAAGUCAAACACAAAACAAGAGCCAAUAUAUAUAUUUAUAACUUUUUUAUUAAAAAGAAAAAGUAGACAAGAAAAAAAGCAUGCCUGGGAUUGUAGAAAAUGGUAAAUGGGCUUCGGUUAGCCGCAGCAUGAGAUGUAGCUGCAAGAACUCCAAUAUGCAGGCUAUCAGUGGACAGAACUGAUGAUGGCAAUGAUGUUUGUUGACGGUUUGCACGCCUCACACCAAACAAUAGCUGUGAUUUCUCUUCUCUUGUGAUGACAAUGAAUACAAGAUAAUGAGGUUAGCUAAAAUAUAUUUUUUAGAAUGCAAUAUAUUAUUAAACAAGCAUUAAACAUGUGCCUAUGAAAUAGACUUGAGUGAUUGUCCAAUAUGGAUACAUCAUACAAGGGUCAAAACUUUCAGAUGUCCUAAGAGUUUCUUUCGACAGUUUCAAGGAUGACAAACCACAUUAGAAACUUUCCCAAUAUUGGCACAGGUUGUCACCAAUCUCAUACACAAGAUGUUAAAAACAGAAUAAGGGAAAAAGAAAAAGAAAACCUAAUUAUUGCGUGCCUACAUAAUCAGAACAUCAAACUUGAAUUCUGGUUUCAUAAAAACUUGGAUGCAUAAUAAUCAGUCAACUAAAAUGAAGCCAUUAUUUGACGUCUACCUAGACCACAUCUAUGUGGAACCUAAUCAUACUUAAGCUAGAAAUAACUUUUUAUGAAAAUUUCCAAUGAAUGUUAUAUAGUACCUAGUUUAUGAUCAUCUUCAAACUUAAGCAUGGCGUGUCAUGAUUAUCAAGAAAUAAAGGUUCCCUCACCAUCAGCAAUUUGCUAUCAUUCAAGUUUAAAUACACUUAUGUUAUUAUUCACAGCCAAAUAUCAAUGAUUGGGGUCAAGAAAGGGGAAUAUCUCAUCAUGAUUAACAAAAAUAUUUACCUCGAUGUUGCCUACAUCCCACAUUGGUUGCCUGCAGCUAUUUUGAUCAUCUAACAUAUUUCCAGCCUGCUUGUUACAAUGAAAAGGUGAUAACUCACUGGUUUUUGUUCUCUAUCUUUCAGAACUGUUGGAAAAUGAAUGUUGAAUGUCCUCUGGUUUUCCUUUUUCCUUGCCAGAGCUGCCUUCAAAGUACCAAUCUGAAAUAAUAGUUCAAAGUUUUCAGAAUAAUAAAUAAGAAUUGAGAAGAAUGAUAAAUAAUGAGAGCAUUCAGAACCUGUUCUUUCAGCUCUUUCACAUCUGCACUAUCCUUGUUUACACGAGCAGCAUCAAGUUCUACAGUGGCAAAUCGCUCUGCAAAUUUAACUGUGCUAAUUGUUUCUCCAUCAGCAUCCGGUUCAGGGCUAAUGUGAACAAACAUUAGUGUCUUGGCUUGCCCCCCUAAAGAGAAUUACAAUCCAAAAGCCAUAUUAUAAUUUAAAAAAUAAAAUUAAAGAAAACAGAAUCAAAUAUGAGGUUCAUACUCUGAAAAUGCAUUAGUUUAUUCUUACCAAGUGAGUCUUGAAGAAGUUUUGUUACUUAACUAUUCCUGUAAGGGACAUGUGGACUCUUCUGGGCAAGGGCAGAGAUGACAUCCCCUAAAACAGAGAGAGAUCUGUUAAUAUGCUGUGCCUCCUUUAGUCUAUCUCCAUUGACCUCAAAUUUGUCUACUCUCUCACUGUCGGCCUGAUCAACAAGAUGCAUACAGCCACGAAGAAUAGUUCCUGACAUCAAGUCUCUUCCUGAUUCAUUCUAAUAAUAUUUAAUUCUCUCUAUUUACUUAUUAUGCAAUCACAAUCAACUUAAGUUAAAAAACAAUCAAACUCUGACUAAUCCCAUAAUCCCAGUGUUCAUUUCCGCAUAUGACACCAAAAAAAAAUUUAAAGAACUACAUUUGUCCACCAUAAAUUACAUACAAAUGUUAGCACUUUAUACAGUUUUAUCACAAAUUACAAUCCCCUUUAAUCUCUCCGGACAUGGUCUCGGUGUGCAUUUUGUGCUGAAAGCAACAUACUCCCCAUAAUCUUCAACCUGUAAUGUUUCAAUUUCCCCUGCAUUCAUUCAAGUUGAUAGCAACAAAUCAGCAAAUUAAUUAAUUAGGCUUUUCUAACUAUUUUAACAUUAAUGAGAUAGUCAUAGAUAAUUCCUCCUACGUACCACAUCGAUUGAUUUGGAGAACCCCCCCAUUGACCACAAUUCCAUGAAUUUCAUUACAAAAACUCCGCAAUCGUGCCUACGUCAAUAUAAUUACCAAAACGUUAUUAAGUGUGGAAUUAUAAAUAAGAGAUGAACUUAAAAUAAGUUGCAAUCCUAUACAAUAUCCCGGACUGCAAGGUCAACACUCACUCAUUAGGUUGGAGGGGUACAUCAGGUGUUAUGAAAUUCAAUGUCCUCAAAUCAUAAGGUGAUACCUCUUUUUUGUGGGCAGCCAACCACAAGACAACCUUGGCCUGAAACAUUUAUUAACGCAACAAUUGAAAUUUUUAUGGGAAGACAUACCUAACAAAUUAUUAGUUGUUGCUUGUUACUUUACCAGAUUUUGUUGAACUCCACUCAACAUUGUCUUCUUCCUACCAGGACGAGAAUCUAGCAGUUGGAUUCUCUUGUUUGCUAGGUCAUAUACGUACAAUGUCCAAUGGUUCUUUAUGAGAACCGGUAAGAAGACCUGCACCAAUAGACUGCCAUUAAACAUACAUCUAAAUAUUGUACCUUCAUGCAAUAAAAAUACAAAUCCAAGCAUUAAACAUAGGAAUCCACCUCGUUAACAUUGACAUAUGGAAUAUCCAUCUGAUACAGAUGUGGUUCAAAGUGUCCUAUAACUACCUCCCUCACUAAGUGUUUUGCUUGGGAGUGGAUUAUCAUUUCCUGCAUGUCAAAUAGGGGAUAAUAUCAGGUUUGUCAUUGUAGGUGAUGCUUGGUUCAAGACAAAAAAUAAAGUUAAGCAAGGAUUUAAUGGAAUAGUAAUCAUUACAGCUAUGUAGGGGGAUAGAAACAGUUUCGACUUCGAUUCAUGUUCAUACUGCAACAAUCUACAGUAGGCAUCGACGACCUGAUUUCAUAUAUCAUAAAAGUGUAAGCAACUAAUUAUAUUAGAACCACACUUUCAUUUUCAAACUUAAAAUAAUGCAUAAAGAGGGAUAAGAAGUGAUAUGCACGUCGCUUCCUAUCCACCCAUUCCCUUCGAAGCAGCCCAAAUUACCUCUGGUUAGGAUAGUGUCAUGCAUAGACACUAGUUCCUCAUUGUUACAAACACAUACAAUUUAGUUUUUAUGUUUUCACGAUCAUACAAUGAGAGGAGUGUCAUUGAAGUAUGUUACCUAGCAUCCAAAUCCUCUCCAAAUACCAGUGCAACUGCUUGUUUUAGGUCGAUUUUGAUGGCAGAUUGUUUGGUUUGUGGUUGGGAUAUGUAUGGGGACAACAGGUUUGGAGCCAUUCGACACACUCGACGUUUUCGGACGUUCCUAUUUGUGGGGACAACAUUACCUUCUGGUUGUUCUUCACCAUCUGCAAUACGAGAUUUAGAACUAGUCAGCAAAGGUAUACAUUAUGAUUGGGUACUUGGGUUGUUAACCAUAUGGGUGUUUGCAUAAAUUUUAUCACUUACUGCUUACUACAUUAAUGGGUACACUGGACUGCAACUCAUACUCAGGGGCGACAACGCGAUCUGGUGUGUCUAGCACAUGGUUUGCAGCAUGCGAAGCCAUGUACUCAUCACCAAGAAAUGCAUGGUCAUUGGUUGUGGGAGUGUUGGCUGGUGCAUAGCUAGAGUGACCACCCACAUCUGAAUUUACCCCACUAUGUCUUCGAGUCCCUAACUUAUGCAUAAGGCCACACAUUAUUCUCAGCUGCUGCUGAAUGCCCCGUUGAUAUUGGUCAAUUGCUCGUUCUGCAUCAUGAUAUUGAUGCCAUAUUUCCUAUGACAUGAUAUUGAUGUCAAUUUUUGAGAACAAAAUGUGACAACAACAUAUUUCUUUGUAGUUAAGAAGUAAAAAUAAAUUACAAUGACAAUGAAAUGAACAUUUAUUAAGUUUUUAAAAAAUUAACAACUUACAUCACUAUUUUCAGCAUCAACAUUUGUGUCAUGGUCCACAUUAGUCUCUGGCUCCAUAGUUCUCUCUACGGUUGGAGAUCUCUAGGACGCCUAUAAUUAGCACUGAAGAUUAGUACUUAAAUAAUGAGUGUUAUGCUGGUAAUGACAAUAUAUUUAUGCAUGCAUCACUUACAAAAUCAAUCUCAGCAUGUCCGAAUGCUCCAAACUCCUUUAUCUCAGCGACUAGUCAUCGCUUAAUCAAAUCAUCGGUCCAUGCCAAUGCUGGGGGCACUGUAAUGGGGACUUGGACUGAAGGAAUUUGGAAUUUAAUGACAUAAUGCAGCUGCAUAAUAAAUACAAACAUCAGUAGGCAAAUGUGACUAUGUUGUGCAAUAAAAUUAUAUAACAAAAUGGAAGACAAAGAUUGAAUAAGUUCACUACCUGUAGAAAUAAAACGCAGCCAUGUACCCAAGAGGUGUUAGACUGUUGGUAUUGCCUAAUUCCCUCAAUUAGUUGGUCAAGCACAAACUGGGCCCAAUUAACGUCAUUUCGGAAUCCAUCCUCAUGGAUGGUAUGCCACAAGUUACGGCAACCAUUGAGCCUAGAUGUGGGGGCCAACAAUGUGGCACAUGCGUAGUAAAUGAAUGCUUUACGGAACUCCUCGCCUAUAGGUAAGUUCAGGAGUUUCUCCUCGCAUGCCCGAAUAGUCCCAAAUGGAUGCUCUGAUGAUGUAGAGGUCACCUGCAAAAUCCGCCCUUCUGUUGGGAGGCCGAAAAUGAGGCCAACAUCGGUGGCUGUAACAGGAUAGUGUUUCUGGGCUGAGAACUCUAUCCGUCUAAAUCCAACAUUGAAAUGUUGGAUUAGAAAGAUACAAAUGUUGUGGCGCACCUCUAUGCAGUCUAAGUUUAAGAGACCUCCAAAUUGGAGGUCUCUUAUGGCUUGUAUUUUUUCCUCUGGUAACCGGUUGUAGAGUUUCUUAAAUCUUGCAGCUGAGCAUCGUGUAAACAUUGAUGUGCCCUGCAUGCAAUGUUUGACAACAUGGACAUGUUAGGAAUAGCGACAUUUUUGCAAUUGGUAAUGCAAAAAAUAAGUGAAAAAGUAAAGCUGUCAUUUCUCAAAGUUACAAAGACUUGUCUGCUUGUAUUUAGAAAUAAUAUACAACAGGGUAAGACAUUAGAUGGGGUUGGGUGCUACUGACAGUGAGAUAUCCUGUAAGAAGGAGGAUUGUAAAUUUAUGAAUAAGCCUAUAUAGAAUAGACAAUAACAGUAAAAAUGUACAGAAUAGACUAUAAAAGUACAAAACUAAAUAUGAGAAUACUACAUGAUAUAUAAAAGAAAGAAAUCAAAUCAAUUUAUGGAAAUAAAUUGACUAAUUCUAUUAGAGAAAGAAACCAUCAAAAAAUCAAUGAAUAAUCCUAUUUAAUUCUCAUUUAGAUUGUAAGACAACUUGAUAGAACAAAAAUCCUUGGUAAUGAAUUUGUGAUCUUCAACAACAACUAACAAAUGGAGUGAACAGAAAAUGCUAUGGAAAAGCAGAUUUCUUUCAUUGCCUUAACAUGCUUACAAUAAAAUGCUUGAGAAAGUGGAAAUAAAAGCUCACAAACUGAAAGGCCUUGUAUUCGUAUUCCCUCGCACACACUGGGUUUUGUGUCAGGAAUCAUCUUUACAAUAAUUCUAUUCCCCCAAGUGUUUUCCACUAUAUUGAACAACAUGGUGGCUACUAAGGGUCUUGCAUUCAUGGAUGUGAGCAAGAGAAAAAACUCAAAGAGAUCUCUUUGUUUUCCCUGUUCUUUUCAUUCUUCUGGCUAUUUAAAAGGGGUUUAACCUGCUCCUUUUGAUACUUCUGACAUACACAAAAUCUAGAGGAACUGCUAGAGCAAGCACUAUUAUGUGGUGAAGCAUUACACUAGGUAAGGAAGUUCAUUUUGACUUAAAACUUUUAUAGGUUUUAUAAAAUAUGGUUUGAGGUGACACAACCGAACAUACUUUUAGUAUAUCCAUUAGCAUUAAUCCCAUCCCCAUCACCAUUCCUACCACAACACCUCUCUUUAUCCUUUCCUCUACCCUCCUCCCUCCUCCUAGAGGACAUGGUUUUUGCCUAUCCCCACAGCUAUAUAGCGAAGACCAUUAGAUCCCUAAAGCAUAAUUUUAUAUGGCGUUAGUGAUUCGUGCCCAGUCGGUGUAUCAACUGAUUCGUGUCCAGCUGGUAUCCUUGAUUGCGGGAGUAAUCAACAAAAUUUAUAACCUAUUACACCAUGAACUAGGGUAGCAAAGACAAAGCUACUAAAGCAUAGUGGCUUUAGGAUCGUUCAUUGGGAUGGGUUUUCACUUCACAAUUGAUAUUAAUUCAAAGCUGAAUUGGUGUCUUUUCAUUUCAAGGUUAGCUUUAAAAGAAAACAUAAAGAUGUUUGAAUGAAAAAGGUUUGGUUUUAAACUAACCAAAAAUUAGUAACUGAUUUUACUUACAAGGAAAAGUGUUUCUUGGAGUUUAGAUCACUAGGAUCAGAUUCCUUGAACAAAAAGGGAGUUCCGGUCACUUGUUUAUUUUCCUCGCAUUGGGGAUUUAACAUAUAGUUAUUUCCCAAAUCGGUAUUGUACAGAUGCUUCCCAUUAAUGGGUUCAAACACUAAAUCUCUCUCACUUAUGCACCUUGCAAUGGCUCAUACCUCUCACCUAGCACUUGCCAUUCAAGGUGAUCUUUAACCUUGGAUUAUCCGUCAAAAGCUCACAAGAGAUAACUAAUGGAUGUCUCCUUAGAGUCCAAAAGCUUACCAAGUGUUGGCUAUUCUAGAAAAUCCUACCUUCAAACCACCUCCCAAAGGCUCGCAAGAGAUAAACUAGUGCAUCUCAAUGGAUGGAGAUCACUUGCCUUAUCAAGUGUUGGCCCAGGUGAUUUAAAGGCGUUUUAAGUUAAACUAAAAAGAUAAAAACCAUUAACGGGUCACACUUUCUCUUCAUUAAAAACUAAAACAACAAAACUUCCAAUUUAUGCAUGUGGAAACUUACCCAACUUUCCUUACUCCAAGAGACGAAGAGUCUAGCCUCUCAUCCUCUGAGGAAAAAUCCUCAGAGUUUGAUUGGCUAGAAAGAAAAAGAAUGAGAAAACAAAAGCAGAGCAAGUGCUCUGUAUUUUACUUCCUUGCAAAACUGUACAAAGGAUUGAUCUCUGAGAACAAACUCCUAGGAUCUAUGAUCGAUAAUAUAUUCGAUAUAUUUUUUAUAUAUUUCAUGUAAAGGAAAUUACAAACUAUAUAUAAGGGUUUAUUCACCCUUUUUCCAAACUUAAUAACUAAGGAAUCCUAUAAUUGGUGGGCUACAAGGAGACUUUGGGAAUUUAGACAUAAAAUAUCUAAAGCAAAAUAUCUCAAAAUAUUUAGAGCAAAAUAUCCCAAAGUGUCGGUCGUAAAUAUCUGGAAGCUUCAGGAGAACACCGCAGCACUGUGCAAAAUGGCUGCUCUCCCAUUCGGGUAGGCGGCUAUCAGAUGAUCCGGAUACGUCCGUCCGAAGAAGUUGAAACACUCUCCUUUUCUAUCCGGCGUCAGAAUUCCGGACGUGAACAUUCGGGUGGAAGUGGCGGCAGCCAGGUACAAAUUGGCGGCAGCCGGGUACAAAUUGGCGGUAGCCGAGUCCAAAAUGGCGGCAGCCGGGUGCAAAUCCUAUCCAGAUAUGUGGUCCGGACGCCCUCCGAUGGUGUAUCCGGACGCCCUGUCCAGGUAUACUCCUUACAUGGAUUCCAAAGAACUCUCCUCCAUCUCAGAUUUGCUUUGGUGAUCAAAAAGCUAUCAAAACACCAAAACUUAACAUACUUUGAUUAGAAUUGAUUGCAAGGGUCCUUAACAUGCCAAUUGAGUUAAAAGGUGGUAACUACUACUCAAAAGUGUUUAAAAGAGUUAGUUACAAGCUAUGAAAUAUCACUUUUUGAGUAGUAAUCAUUUAGUGAACCACAUUUUCCAUAUUACCAAAUUGUACACAAAUAUUACCCGACAACUUACAAAACUGAUAUAAUAGUAUUUAAUAAAUAAACGUUGAAUUGUUAAAACUUCAAUAUUAGAGAACUUUCCAACAUAACUUAUACAUGGUAACUAUAAUAAGGGGAGAUGAAAUUUUAUGAAAUUUCAUGCAUAAUAUAUAUAUAUAUAUAUAUAUAUAUACUAACUUAAAAGGUAUCUCAAAAUGAAAAUUUCAUAAAAUGAUUUCAGAUUAUAUAUAAACAAGGGAGUCAUUUGUUCACACCAAUUCUAAUAUGUAAAAUAUCAUAAAAUGAAAUUUUACCCAUUUUGAUACCAACAUGCAUUCUGAUUUAUGUUCUCACAAUACAUUAAAAUUGCAUGACUAUAGAUUAUAAGUUCUUGUGGCACUCUACUAGAGAAGCCAAAACCUCUCAAAUAGUAUGUUGGCAACGGAAGAAUGCAAAAAACAACAAAGAUAAGCAAGUAUGAUGAACCAUACCGAGAGUGGGAGUGAACUGGCAGCAGAACCAUCUAGGUCAUUACCAGCCAUUGUUAAUAUUAUAACUGCAUCAUUGGGCAUAGAAAAGUAGAAUGUUAUGCACAGCUAAACUGACCAACUGAAUAACUAAACAGCAAGUAUAGUACAAUACUAUGAAAGUUCAGCUAAGUGACAAGAAAAAUGCACGCAUCCAAUGAUGUGAGUAGGACAUACUUAAAAUAGGGAAGUGAAAGUAUACAUCAAGUUAAAAGAUACCACAUUGAAAGUGCAAUUUCAAAUUAAAUCAGUAAUGAAAGCAACUCCAAAUAACGAAAAUUAAAAAGUAGUCUUAUAAAAAAAAAAAAGUAGUGCAUCGUGUCUAUAAUAAGGACAAUACAUAACAUCCAAAAGCAACAACCCCAUGACCAUAAAGCAAAUAAUGGAACAAUGAGGGAUCGUACACAAAAUGAAAACCUUACAAGCAAAGAAAUGAACAUGUCACGACAAUGGAUUAUUACAUUUAGACCGAUUGUGACCUAUGCCAUUGCAUCGAGAGCAAUGAAUAGCUCUCUUAUGGCUAAAUUGUGACUCAAUACGCCUUUGUCGGGGUCUUCCUGGAGGACGUCUCACUUGCGGGGGUUGGAGACUAGGAAAUACGUUGCCUUGGCCAUCUUGCAAAGUCCCAGCCUCACAAACUUUAGGCAUGUUGUGUGUUGGUAAUGGUUGAAACUGACCCGAGUAAAUCAAAUGUUGGGUGGAGACUUUAAAACAUGGGUCGAUAUAGUCAUACACAUCGUGUCUCAAUGUGCGGAUCACAGCACAUACAUGUGGACAUGGCAACCUGGACAUUUGCCAUGUUAGACAUGUACACUUAUGUUGCUGCAUAUCCACAACCAAAUAAACAUCUCCAGUAAAAACCUUGAACGUCCCACCCAAAUAGGGCAUCACAGUAAUCGGAGCAGAUCUCGUGAUAUUUGACAUUAGCUUUUCCUCUGUUUUAGGUCCAACCACGCUCUUCCACUUAUCUGUACCACGCAUAUGGGUGUCCAACAUGGCUACAAGCUUAUCCAUGUGCAUCAACAACAACAUAUAAAUUGUUUGGUGUCGUUCCUCUCUUAACCACGCAUUGAAGGACUCUGCAAUAUUAGUUGUCAUUUUAUCCCAAUGUUUUUUAAGGAACUUUGAUAUCGCCCAAUGCUCCGGACUAUUCUCCGCAACCCACCUUGCUAGGUCGCCAUUAAAAUGCACAAGUUUUUCAAACGCCUCAUUGUAGUCUAUAUCCAACCGAGCAUAUGCAAUGUUGUCUAAAAGCAGCAAAACAUCUUCUUUCCCUUUCUUUUCCCUAAUGUUUUGCCUAUUGAAGAAGCUUGAAAAGUUCUCUUUCACAUGUCAAUAACAAUAGGCGUGAUUUUCUACCCCAAACAACUCCGAAACACUACGCAAUAUCCCUUGAUGUCUAUCUGAUAUAAUAAUUACUUCUUGACCAUCUAGGAUCCCCUUCAAUUUCUCCAAGAACCAAUACCAAUCCUCAUAAUUUUCUGAACCAACCACACCCAAGGCUAGAGGGAACAUUCCAUCAUCUGCAUCAUAUGCAAUGGCAGACAAAAGAGCUCCUUUGUAUGGACCACUUAGGUGGCAAGAAUCAAUAGCCAAUAUCGGUCGAUACCCCAUGGUGAACCCUUGAAUUGAAAAUGCAUGGGCAAUGAACAAUUGCUUGAAGUGGCCUUCAUGAGAAGUGUACUCGACAAUAGUUCCAGGGUUAAUUUCCCUUAGCCUAUGGCAUAACCAAGGCAAAAACGCAUAGGACGCACGUGGAGAUCCAUAUAAACGCUCUUUUGCCUUCUCUUUAAGAUGCCAUGCUUGGUUAUAAGUCAAUUGAACUCCAUGAUCACGUUCAAAAUCCUUGCAAAUUUGUCGAGGAAGGUAUUCUGGAGUUGUUCUAAACACGUCUUCAACAACAACAACACCUCUCUUGGAAGAAACCCGCACCUUAGAUGAACACUCAUCUUGAGCUAUAUGAUUAUGAUUAACUUGGUAAGUAUAAACUCGCAAUAUUUCAUUUCCUUCAACAGCAUGAGCUGUUAUCUUCCAAGGACAAUCCUCAACCGAACACUUUACUGACAUAUGAGUAGGUGAAUUUUUCUUGUACUUGUAUUGAAACCUUCCAGCUAAUGACAUUUGGUAUAUUGCAUUCCGAAACUCAUCUUCAUUCUUAAAUGUAUGUCUGGAACCUAAUAUUGCCUCACGAAACCGAUUCGAUUCCAAAGGGGUGUACUCACUAUCUGCACAACGCGAUGCAAAACCUCUUGAUAACAUCAUAGUAUUAGGACUUGCAUCGCAUGAUGCAUUAGACGAAGGAAACGUAGGAUGUGGACCUCUGCAUUUACAUUCAUAACCAAAAUUAGACUACAUAAUGCGUAAAAUUGAUAUUCAUAAAAUUUUAAAUAGACAUCCAAGUGAAAACGCAUUACCCAAGUGCCAACUGUGUAUUCGGUAUAUUUGCCUCUAUGGCUUCCACAUCGGGUGACUCGACUAUGUACACAUUUGCAAAGUCAUCACUGUGGGAAACCACGUUAUCCAAGUCAUCCUCAUCUUCUAAAUCUUGGAUGACUCUAGGGUUAAACUUGAGGGUGUAGUGCAUCCUCCUCACAUGAAGGGAAAUGUCGAAUUUUUCUAAGACCUUGUGAGUGAAUUCUUCAAAUGCCAUUCCUUUAUAAAUGUGAAUACCUUUGCUUCUUCCACCAACAUAUUCCCAAAGGCCAUCAUUUUUUUGGACAAGUUUGCCUCCCACGAAAAUAUAACAGUAUAUUCUAUUUGUGGCAUCCAUCAACCUAUUGAAAUAAAGCACAAAUUUAUAUUGUUGAACAAACAAUAAUGCAUAUUCAAUGUGAUCUUAAAAGUUUUUUCAUCUCACAAUAUACUAUGUUCCCAUAUGAAAAAGUUAUAUUUUAAAAAAUGUAUAUACAAAAAAAUGUAACUUUAAAGUCUUAAAAAAUAAUUUUUGUUGCUCCUUUUGAUUAUUCUAACCAUUGUCAACAGUAAGAUUAUUUUAAGAUAGGCACUAAUAAACAAACAGUGAGUUGAACUAAGAUAUGAAGACCGAGCUUCUCUCUUCUCUUGGACUGAUAAAUACUACCUAACCUAAACAAAACUAAAAAUAAUAAUAAAAAUAAAAAACAAAAAUGAGAAAUGUAAAAUUGGAAUGGAAAUUAAAAGAUUGAAAUUAAUAGAUUAAAACAAAUCAUUAAAUUAAAAACUAAGAAAGGCUAUAAAAGGAAAAAAAAUGAAAGAUUACAACUAAAAACUAUGUUACUUCUACUCCUACUUCUAAAAAAAAAUCUCUAACUUAUUUUCCCUAUCAUUCCCCUUUACUUAUAUAUUCAUAGUUCACAUUUUUAUAAGCAAAAACCUCUCUCUCCAACUACUUUAGUGCUACCCAAUUUGACACUACUACUUACCUAUGCUAAUAAUCUAAUCGUGUCAAUACUUGGAACUUUAAGACAAAACAUCACAACAAUAUCUAGUAAAGUAGGAGGAUUUUGUGUCUGAUUUGACAUAAUACUCCAGAACAUAUAUAUAUAUAUAUAUAUACACCAAAAAUAUUGGAAUUAUGGAACUAUAAGACAUUCAAUAGGAAAUAAUCCCCCACGUUUUAUUAAGCUCUGACCUAUACUUACACUAGGUAGAAAACAAAUUCUCAUUCUCACUCAAACCCUUAGACAAUUUCUAUUGGUACUACUAUAUCAGACAUGCCUACAAACUUAUUCAAAGAGAAUGGAGAUAUUUAAAUAUUAAUUAUAAAGCGUUGCUUUGCAAAAUAAUAUGAAGAGAUAAUAGCCUAAAAAAUGUAACAAAUAUAGAAUUCUCUUCUAAACUAUCAUGUCCUACUUUAGAUGAUUCAUACAAAACCAUAAGCAAUAGUUUAACACAUUUAAGGUUUAAGGGUAAAAAAAACUAAUAGAUAAAAAGAGAUAAAUCUGUUACUUGUGCCUACAUCUCAAGCCAAGGCACCAUAAGAAAACUUUAGGGUUUUUAGGUUUUCCAUUUCCCCUUUCCAUUUUUCCUCUCCUGGUUUCUAGCAACCAAUUAAACAAUUAUAAAUUAUUUUCAAGUAUAUAUGACAAUUUUUCACAAAUAUUUUUUUGAAUUUAAAAUAUACAAAUAGCAUGAAAAAAAAAUCUAAAAAAAAUUACAAAAAUAAAAUCAGAUCGAUUAAGCCAUGAAUCAUGAGUUGCAGGUAAAGUGCAUUUUCUGUAUUCUCAAGGCUUAAAGAAAAAAUUAUGGUUCAAAAUUUUUCCUUCUUUUUCUCAUUAUUUUCUCAGCAUCCGAAUAAUAGUAGCAAACCAAGAAGUCAAUUAUUGAAUGGGAAUAGUAACUUGAACUCCGGAGAUCAAGUUGAACACAGUUUAGAGAUUUGGACUAAGAAAAUUUUAGGUCGAGAUUUAGGCAAUCUACUAACCUCAAAUAUGCAACAAGAGAGACCCAACUGAAAUCCAUACCUUAUUCAAAUUUUCGAGAGAGACGAAUGCGAAAAAAAAUGAAAGAGCCACAGAGAUUGAGAUGCAAGCGAUGGAGGUGCUCGGGAGGAAGAGAAGAAAAAGGCUUCUAGGCUUGAAAUGUUGAAGAGAGACCAAAAUUAGGGCAAAUUUCCAAAAAGCCGCAGAGAUUGAGAUGCAAGCGAUGGAGAAACUCGGGAGGAAGAGAAAAAACGGCUUCUAGGCAGAGAAGAAAACGGCUUCUAGGUAGAGAAGAAAACGACUUCUAGGCAGAGAAGAAAAUGGCUUAUAGGCUUGAAAUGCUGAAGAGAGCAAAAUUAGGGCAAAAUUCCAAAGAGCCGCGGAGAUUGAGAUGCAAGCGAUGGAGGAACUCGGGAUGAAGAGAAGAAAACGGCUUCUAGGCUUGAAAUCUGAAGAGACACCAAAAUUAGGGCAAAAUUCCAACCUGGAUUUUUUUGUUUAUUAUUUUUUUUUCAUAAUCAGCAAAGGUUAUUUUUGGAAUUAAUAAAAGUGCAUAUCCUUCUUUUUAAUUUUGACACUUCCUAUGGGUUUUCAACUUAAAUGGGUCAGUUAGAUGGACCUUCUCUUAAUUUUUGGGCCCAACUGGGCCCAAAACACAAUUCUCCCAUAUAUAUAUCUAUACACACACAUGAUCCAUGGUUUAAAUAAAACAUUUCUUACAUUUACAAUAAUUUUAUUUUAAAGUAUUGUUAUUAUAUUACACCAAUGUUGUUAGGCCAUAUUUUGCUAAACAAAAUGAAAAAGAAAACACAUUAUUUGGCAAAUAUUUUACAACUAGAGGUGAUGAAGACUAAUGUUAGUAAUUAGGUUUGCCAUAUGUUUCAACAAUGUACAAUUAGCUCAAUCACUUGAAGCUUAUACCAAAAAUAUAUUUGAAUAAUAGACAAUUUUUGAAGGGUACAUAGUGAUAAUCAACUACCAAAUUAACAUAAACAUAAAAGUUGAAAGGACAAUUUUAAGGUAUAGAUGACUCUAAAAUAUCAAAAGUAGGUUGAGUAUCCAACUUAAUAUUACAACUUUUCUCACUUAAAUGACAGUUUACAUAUAACAAAACUAUCUAAAGAAAAAUAAUUGUUUGCCAACAUUUCAAAGAUAGAAUUCUCAAACACUAGUACCAAAAGAAAUCUUCAUCACCACUAAGAAUUCAUCAUUGUAUUCAAUCUGAAACAAGUAAAUACACAUAAUUAGCUCCAAUUUAAGCAACAUUUAGAUUUUCAUAAUGGACUAUAAACAACAUGUUCAAUAUUAUUAUUGCAAUUAUUGUUAUUAUUAUUAUUAUUAUAUAAUUAACAACACAAUAUUAACAAACUUGGUUAUAAAGAUUGUUUAAAUUCCUAUAGUUUUCAUACUUGUGGUAUUUAACCAUACUCAAGUGAGUAUAUUUGUCAAUAAAUUUAGAGUUUCCACUAACAACCUAUAACAAUUUAUAAUUUUAGCUGCUUGCUUGUAUAUUUUUUUGGAAUUCAACCUUGGAAAAAAUCACACGAAUCUUAAUCUUCCCUAUGAAAAUCACAUUCUGCAACUUCAAAGAGUUGAACCCAAUUAUAAACUCCCUCCAUCCUCUUUCUAAUGACUCAAACUAGGAGAUUGAUUACCCUAUGCAUUGUAUUUAGGAACUUAAUUGUAGUAAGGGAAGAGAAACAACUUAUAUUCAUAUGUAUAGUUGAAGGGUCUAAAAAUAUGCCUCUUACUAUAACAUGAUUUGAACAUUUAAAGCAAUAUACUUUUAGUAAAUCUAAGUCCAACAAGCCAACAAUUCAAUUUUUUUUUUGUAAAUUUAAAUCAUUAUUUUCAAUUCAAGAAGUUAAGAAAUAAUAUAAUAAAAUAUAAGCAUAAAAAGAUUAAUAGCUAACAAAUAUGUACGUAAACAUGGAUGGCCUUUCAUUACGUUGCAAUGAAAUUCAUCUUACCUUCUUUUUGCAUAAUGUUUAUUAUUUUGAAACCACAUCACCCUCUGCAAAAUAGCUGAAUUCAUUGUGAUGAUAAUCAUAACACACCAAAAAUACAAUGAAAUAAAAUAAAUAAAUAAAUAAAUAAACAAGGAAGAAAAUAAAGGAAAAAGAAUCGUAAGUGAUGUAAGAUAUGUCACCUUUUCAGCCAUGAACUCCAUCUGUUUCCAUCUUCCUUUUCAGACGAGCCACAUUCACUGCAGCGAAGACAUAUAACCUAUCUCUGGUUUCAUCAAUGAACCGGAAAUAAGCCUGCCUCCAAGACUUCUUUAGAGCCAAACUGCCACAUACAGCCCAAAAUCCCACCGGAAAGCCCAAUCCCAUGCUUAUGAAGAACCAUGACAGGUCCCAUUCAUCUUCAUCUUCCUCCUCAUCUGUGUGAUCUUGAUCAUUUAGAGUGGAGCAGUUGGUUGACAAUGGAGGCCCACAAAGUCCCAGGUUCGCCUCAUAAAUGGAUGGAUCAUUGAAUGUCGAGAACUGGUUGGUUGUUGGAAUUGGUCCUGACAGGAGGUUAUGUGAUAGGUUCAAAUGGUUCAAUGAGGUUAUAGAAGACAUGCUUGGAGGAAUUGGACCUGAAAGGCAGUUGCAUGAGAGGUCAAGAGUUUCUAGCCCUUGCAUGGUUCCGAUCUUCUCAGGUAUCUUUCCAAUCAAUUGGUUUUGGGACAAAUUCAAGGUACCCAGGGUCGAGAGAUUUGUGAUCUCUUCUGGGAUCUCUCCCCAAAUGUUAUUGCUAGAAAGAUCAAUCAAAUUCACAAUUGACAGUAUGCUAUCAAAUUCCAUGUCUUGUCCCUUCACAACUAGCUCCAUGCGCUCUGAAUAGGCAAAAUGACUCCCGGGGUUGUCAUCAAAUUCGAUGUCUAAUAAGGUCACAGAACGUAAAGCAGUCAAAUUGCCUAAGCAUUGUGGGAUGGAUCCUGAUAAAUUGUUAAGCGCAAGAUCCAAAAUGUGGAGAUAAGAAAGCCCACACAGUUGUUCAGAAUAUCUCCUAUCAACAUGUUGCCUCGUAAACGAAGUUGCCUCAAUGAUGACAUUUUUUCUCCAAUCCAUUUGGGUGUCUCGCCCGAAAACCUGUUAUUUCCAAGAUCAAGGGAGUGCAGCUCUGUGCAGUUUUGUAAGCUUUGAGAGAGUUUCCCAGAAAGAUUGUUGUCGCCCAAUAUCAAGUUAAAUAAAGAUAUUGAACACAUCGAACUUGGAAUCCCACCUGACAGUUUGUUCUUGGAUAGAUCUAUGGUGUCAAGAUUGUGCAAAUCAUUCCAAUUCUUUGGAAUCCUUCCAGAAAAAUGAUUGCUUGAGAGAUCAAUUUCGUUCAAAUCCUUUAGUUUACUAAUUGAUGAAGGGAUGCUGCCAUUUAACAACUUACCAGAAAUAUCAAGGACUUCCAAACUCGAUAAUUCCCCGAUGUUCAAGGGAAUUGGACCAGAAAAUAAAUUGUUUCCCAGAAAGAGCUCUAUCACAUUAAACCAAAGUGGGAAUCGGCCCACCAAGUGGUUGAAGCUUAAAUCCACCUCGACUGCUUUUCGGCUAAAGGAUAAUGAGUUGGGAAGCUUUCCAUACAAUUGGUUUUUAGAAAGAUCUAACCAUGAAAAAUCUAGUUUCCAAAGCCAUUCUGGUAUUGUAUCUGAAAUCCCCACAUUUUUAAGAACUAUUGUGUUAAGUCUUUUUUGAGUUCUAAGCCAGUUGGGGAACUUGGGAGAUACAUAGCAGUUGGAAAUACGGAUAUACAAGAGGCUGAAAGGAGGAAUCCAUUCAGGUCUCACGUGAAAACGGAGAGACUGGUUUUUGGGUGAUAAGUGUAAAGAGAAAUACUCCAGUUUUGUAAGAUUACUGAAAUGAAUUUCAGAUAUUACCCCUUCCCAAGCAUUCCAAUUAAGAUACAACUCAGUCAGCUCUCUAAGUUGUCCAAUACUUUCUGGAAUCGUCCCAUUCAUUAGAUUGAAUGACAAGCUAAGUCUCUUCAUCCGCAGCAAGUUUCCAAUCCAUGUUGGAAUUGGACCUGAGAUGGAGUUUUUUCUCAGAUAAAGACUCUCUAAGUUGGUAAGGUGUUGAAUUGAAUUGGGGAAGGGACCAACAAAACUAUUAUAGCUCAAGUCCAGGGAUUUUAAAUUCUUAAAGAGCCCUAAUGAAUCUGGCAACUGACCACUGACUUGAUUACCGCCCAAGUUUAACUCUUCCAAGGAAUUAUUAGUGCAUGCUGAUAAUCGAUUCAGGAAUUCAAUUCCUUCACCUCCAAUACUAUUGUAUGAGAGAUCUAAGGUCACCAAGUUGCGAAGGCAUCGUAAGUUAACAUGGGGAAUCGGACCUUUAAUUGUAGCACCAUUUAAAUAAAGAUCUGUAAGGGUACUGAUGUUAAACAACCAGCCAGGCAAAGUAGUGUUGAAAUUGUUUCCGGAGAGAUCAAUGACCAAAGCAGAAGUCAAAUUAACAAACGGAUUGGAGUACUGAGGGAAGUGACUGAGUUCACAAUGGGACAAAUGUAAUUCUAACAAAAAUGGAAGCAUGUUUACAGCUUGCAUGCAAUUUGAGGUUGCUUUACUAAGGUUCACAUUCCCCAGAUCAAGGUAUUUUAAAGAAGAAAGACCAGAAAGCCAAUUUAAAUUAGAAACCCUCAUUUGAUAUUCUCCUCCAUGAAGGUCAAGAUAACGUAACUGUGAUAAAUUUCCAAGAAGAGGAGGAAUCAUUCCACCUUUCAAAUGAGCCCAAGAAAUUUGGGAUUGGAAUUCCUUGAAAAUCAUUAAGACUUAGGUCCAGGUAAGUUAAAUGUUUCAAGUCAAGUAAGGAAUCACUUAUCUCACCACCCAACGGUAAGAAGUCAUGUUGUCUGAGGUCAACCUUGACAACAUUUCCUGUUUGGUUGUUGCAAUCCACACCUCUCCACUUGCAGCAAACAGCACCAACCCAGGAAGAAAGCCUACCUGAAGGAUCUUUCAGACCAUGUUUAAAUUCAGGAAGCGCUUUCCGCUCUACCUCAAUGCAAGCCAUGUUGAGAUCACUGUCAUUAGAAUUGAUUGUAAGAGCUUCAACCAUGAGAAACUUCAAAAACAGAGAAAGCAAAAGAAUAAGGAGUGGAAUGGUGGUUUUCCUACUUGCCAUUGAUGAAUGCAAAGUUGCACAAUUCUGAAUUGAUACCAUAUAAAUAAAUAAGAUUAGAGUCUUGGUCUAAUUUGUUUAACUAUUUCAAGUCUUCAUGCCAUCUAUAAAUAAAUGCAACAAAGACCCUUCAGCCAUAUAUGGCCCAUGUACUCCAUCAUAUCUGCAAUUAAUUUUACAUGUCACUUCUGACCAUAAUUUUAUCCUUCUCUUUCUUCAUAACAUCUUACGGCUAUUGAAACAUGUAUUAUUAAAGAAUCUAGACGGCAAUAAAAGCAUAAUUUAUGCCCAAAAAUACCCACAAAGUAAUGGCAUAUUAUAUGAUUCAAGUGUCUAAAGCUCUAUGCUAUGUAAGUGGAGUAUUAUCUUUUAAAAAUAUUUCUUGAAUGAGCCACCAUCAUCACAAACUUGUUAAAAUAUGAUCACCUUAAAACUUGAAAGUGAUCCAAAUAAUGGAUGUUUUCACUGUUUUUUUUUUUCUCUCUUUCAAAAAUGUGAUUUUUUUUUUUUUUUUGAGAAAUCGUUUCAUUUUUUCUAUCAUGCUAAUCCUUAAAUUAUAUUAAUCAAUGAGCAUUUGGCACACUAAUUCUAUUUACAUUGGAUUCAGUUUCAAUCCUUCUCAAUGUUAAUACAUUUUUAAUUUUGAAAAAUAUAUGAUGCACGAUAAUCUAAACAAAGAAUAAUUUUUUCUCUAUUUUAUUGAUCUAAUAGAUUGAUUUAGAAAAUAUGUUAGGCCAAUACUAGUGUUUCAAAUUUACAAAUUUUUUUAAAGGAUUGGAUCAAGGUUCAAUCACAAUUGGAUCACACAUUUCUCUUGUCCAUGAGUAAAUUAAGCUCACAAUAUUAAUUACCAAGUUUUUGAAAUAUGAAAAUGUAGUCCAAAGAAAAAGAAAAAGAAUCUUCUUUUUAUUCUUUUUUUAUUUUUUAUUUAAAUGGAAAAAGCUUUAUUUAUUUAUUUGCUUUUACAUGGAGUAGACUAAAGAGUAAUGGCUUUGUUUUAGUCAAGAGUCAAGAUAUCACAAAAAUCCUUUAAGUCAUUGUCUAAAGAAAAACAAUCACCAAGAAAAUAAAUUUAAAUAAUAUUUUAAUGUAUGACGUACCUAUUUUAUCUAAAAAAACAUUUUUAGACUCUUGCUAGAGUUUUCUCAUAUGAACCAUUUACUAAGUUUAACAUGGAUUGCGUAGGAAGUAUAAUUAAUUGAAGAAAACUAUAUGAAACUUCCUACUCCAUGUUAAGUAUUAUAUAUGUUGAAAAUAAAAUAGAAAUUUAAGUAAUAUUCUAAUGUAUGAUGUAUAUAAUUUAUCUAAAAAAAUAUUCUGAAACUCCUACCAAAAUUUUCUCAUGUGGACUGUUUACUAAGUCUAAUAUGGAUCAUGUACGAAGAAUAAUUAAUUGAAGGAAACUACAUGAAACUUUCUACUCCAUGUUAAGUAUUAUAUAUGGUGAAAAUAAAAUAUAAAUUUAAAUAAUGUUUUAAUGUAUGAUGUAUAUAUUAAAAAAAAAUUAAAUAAAACAUUUUUUGACUUUUGCUAAAAUUUUCUCAUGCGGACUAUUUACUAAGUCUAAUAUGGAUCAUGUUGAAGAUAAGUACAUGAAACUUCCUACUCCAUGUUAAGCAUUAUAUAUGGUGAAAAUAAAAUAGAAUUUUAAAUAAUGUUUUAACAUAUGAUGUAUGCAUGUAUUAAAAAAAAACAUCUUUUGACUCUUGCCAAAAUUUUCUCUUGUGGACCGUUAACUAAGUCUAAUAUGGAUAGUGUAGGAAGAAUAAUUAAUUGAAGGAAGGUACAUGAAACUUUCUACUCCAUGUUAAGUAUUAUAUAUGGUGAAAAUAAAAUAGAAAUUUAAAUAAUAUUUUAAUGUAUGAUGCAUGUAUUAAAAAUAGAAAAUCAAAAACAUUUUUUGACUUUUGCCAAAAUUUUCUCAUGUCGUUUACUAAGUCUAAUAUGGAUCGUGUAGGAAGAAUAAUUAAUUGAAGGAAGGUACAUGAAACUUCCUAUUUUAAGUAUUAUAUAUGGUGAAAAUAAAAUAAAAUUUUAAAUAAUAUUUUAAUGUAUGAUGUAUGUAUUAAAAAAAAACAUUUUUUGACUUUUGCCAAAAUUUUCUCAUGUGGACCAUUUACAUGGUUUAAUAUGGAUCGUGUAAUAAGAAAAAUCAAUAUUUUCAAAAUCAGAUCGGCCAUUGAAGUAGAAAAGUUACCGAUUCAUGGUUCACUAGUCAAACCGACGGUCGAACCGAUGAUGUCAUAAAUAUAUAAUUUAUAAAUUAUUAAAAUUUAAAAUAAUUAUAAAAAUAAAAAUAAUAAUUUAUAUAUCAUUUUAAAAUUAAAAUUUUAUUUGAAAAUCAAAAAAUUAGUUUCAAAUUAGAAAUUCAAAUUAAAAUCAUAAUUUUAAUUUUAAUUUUGAAAUUUUGAAAUUUAUUUUUAAAUCAAAAAAUUAUUUUAAAAUCAUAAUUUAUUUAAAAUUGUGAUGUUUUGAUUAAUUUAAAUUAAAAUCAUAAGUUUUAAAAAUCAUAAAGUAAAAAAAUAAUAAAUAUAAAAGAAAAUAAAUUAUAAUUAGAUGAGGUAAAUAAAUAAAUAAAUCAAUCUAGAAAGGAAGGGAAGAAAUGGUGGCCCAAAAUGGGAAGAAUGAAGGAUUGGGAGGAGGUGGUUUUCAGAUGGGGGUGGGACUUCUAGUGGGGAAGGGUUUUCGCCGCAAGGGGAUAGGGGGUUUUGCCACUGAGGGAGCGACGUCUAACCGACCAGUGGCCGAUGACAGCAACUCGGUGUCGAUGAUAAUAGGAGGUAGUAGCUAGGGCAACCGUGCGAGAGGGGUUGUUGGGAAGAAAAAAAAAUGAUUGAACCGGAUGAUUCGGAGGGAAUCGUUUGGUUAGUCCAGUUUGUCAAUCAAACUGUCAGUUCAAUCGAUCCAAUUCUGAUUUGACUACCUUCCAACCUAAUAGACCAAACCGAAUAGAAAUUGUUACUGACUGGCGAUCGAACCGAUUAGACCAACCAGUCCGAAUCGAUUUUUAAAAACAUGAGAAUAAUUAAUUGAAGAAAGCUACAUGAAACUUCUUACUCCAUGUUAAGUAUUAUGGUGAAAAUAAAUAUAAAUUUAAAUAAUGUUUUAAGUAUGAUGCAUGUAUUUUAUCUUUAAAAAAAAAAAAAUAGUGUCUUGCAAGAAUUUUCUCUUGUGGAUCAUUUACUAAUUCUAACAUGGAUUGUGUACGAAGUAUAAUUACUUAAGGAAGCAAAAUGAAACUUCAUACUCCACGUUAAGUAUUAUGGCCAAAUAUAUAUAUAUAUAUAUAUCAUGAAAAUUUAUUUUAUUAUAUAUAUAAAGGGCUAGAAAAAUGCAUAUAUAGUGGGUGUCAUUUUUUUUUGUUUAAAAUAUGAAUACACCUGAAUUUGACUUAAUCUAAAUAAAAUUGAAUGUUAUUAAGUGUUUAAAUUAUGUGUUUUUACUAAUAUUUGAAGUAUUAAGCUUAUUUAUUUUUUACAUAUUAAAUAUAUAUAUAUAUAUAUAUAUAUAUAUAUAUAUAUAUAAUUACUAUAUUUUAUUAUUUUAGUUUUAAAAUUAAUAAUAUAAAAACAUUAAUUUAAUAUAUUUUUAAAUAUUCCAAACUAUCAUAAUUUAUCACCAUAAUAAAAAAUUUAUAAUAAUUAAUUAUAUAAUUAGUAGGCAAUUAACAAAUAGAUUUCUAGUUAUGUUUGGUUGUUAAGAAAAUAUUAAAAAAUUUCUAAGUUAAAACUUAUUUUUAUAUAACCUAUCUUUGGAGAAAGAAGGGGUGAAGGUUUUAAUGAAUUUGAAAACUAUAUAUUUAGAUUUUGAUACGUUUUCCUAAAUUCAAAAUUCUGAAAUUAAAAAAUUGACCUAAAAAAUAUUCAUAAAAAUAUUUUUAUUCUAGUGAAUAAUUGGUGAGUGUAAAUUAGGAGUGUAAGUUCAAAUGUAUAACCCACCAAACCAACUUCAAACCUGUCCAAUCUAGUUGGGUUUGUUCAUUUUGGCUUUUCAUAGCAAUUCAUGAGAAUAUUUUUAUUCUAAAUUAUCUUGAUAAACAAUAGAGAAAAUAAAUAAAAACAAAUUUAAGUCAUACUCAUAUUUUUUUAUGACAAAUUUACUAAUUCAUGGUAGAUUAAUUUAUUAUUCUAAUUACACAAUGUUUAAGUAGUUUAAUUUUUUAUUUUAAAAAACAAGAAAUAUCUAAAAAUUUUAAAAAUAAAUUUAGUUUAUUUUGAAGGAGGAAUUAGAUUUGAAUAUUAUAAUAAAUUUAAUAGUUGAAAAAAAUGAAAUUUUAUUUUCUCAAAAAAUUUCACUAUUCCUCUUAAAAUAAAAUUAUCUCUGAAAAGUAAUAACCUAAAAAACAAACCAUCAUAAAAAUAUAUUAAUUAUAUUACAUGGAAGUUAUGUUUUAAAGAAAUAAUAUCAAUAUAAAUUCCAAAUUUUGAAGUUAUUUCUUUAAUAAAUAACUUAAAAGUUUGAUAAUUAAAUUGAAAUUAUCUUUUGAAGAAAUUUCCCAUUUUACUUUUCACAAUUUCCUACAAAGUAAGAAAUUAUUUUUCAAUUAUCAUAUUUUAAAAAAUAUUAUAUUUUGUUCAAAAUCCCCAAGGAAUAGAUCCAUUGAAUAUUAUUUCACACGUGUUUAUUGUUCACCAAAUUUUCAAUUAUCAAAUUAAUUAAUGUAAUGAAAAUUAUUGAAAUAUUACUUCUUGUUUUUUUAAUCUAACAAGUACCUUAUGUGCAUAGAUUAGGGUAUUUUUAUAUACCCAGAAAAAGAACACCUUGUUGGUCCAGUUAAACAGUUCAAAUUGCUUGCCUUUUUUUUGUAGUGUCUAAAAUGAUGGUUGUUUGCAAUUCAGAUGUUGCUUUCGAUUUGUUCUCUGUUGAUGUACAAGACGACUGAAGCAAGUAUGAGACAACUGCAAUGAACUGAACCCAAAAGUAGGUCAUGAGUCAAGUUUUGCAUUUUUAUGUGUGGGGGCAGACCCUUUCUGUCUCUCUCUCUAAUCUCUAUCUCUCUCUUCAAUCCUAAAAUGGACAAAAAAGAAAGGUCCAAAACAUGCUUUCAAUUGAAAAGAAGAAAUCUCUCUCUAUGUCUCUCUAUCUCUCUCUUCAAUCCUAAAAUGGACAAGAAAGAAAGGUCCAAAACAUGACGGCCCUCAAUUGAAAAGAAGAAAAAACAAAGACUCAACUUUUAUAUUGUUUGAAUGCAAUCACACUCGUGGAUUUUCUAAUGUUUUGAUUCUAUUCUAAUCGAGCACUUACCAAUUUUGAUAAUUAAAGAAGACAAAUUUUCCAUUAUUAAAGUUUAGGAGUGAAAGUGUGGACAAUUACCCUGGUUUGAUUCGUUCAAUUUUAAGUAUAAAAUCAAAUCAAAUCAAAUCAGUCUUACAUGCUUUUAUGUAUGAAUGAAGAAUUGAACAAGUUAGUUACCAAAUCUUUAAAGUUUAGUCUUGCCGACAUGAGAGAAAAAACAAAAUUCCUUGUCUUGUCCACAUGUUGUGGACAACUUGUUUGAAUGAGGAAUCCAUAUGUCACCAAUUAAGCUCUAAGGUCACUGUCCCAAGGAAAGGUUCGAGAAAAGAAAAUGAUGAAAAAUUCAAAUGGUGGUUUAAUAUAUAAUAUAUAAUUUAUUAUUAUUAUUACUUUAUUUUAUUUUAAGAUGAGAGGUUCUUCAAGCAAGUGUAUUAGGCCAAUUUCUUCUUUUGUUACAUCAUUUAUUUAUAAAAAAAGAUAGAUAUUUAAAAUAAAAUACAUUCAUAUAAGAUAAUAAAUAUGAAAAUAAUAUAGGAAAAAAAAUACACUAAGAUAAUAAACAACCAUUGGAAGUAAAAUUUUAUUUUGCUUAUAUAUGGUAUAUCUUAUUUAAUAAUAAAUACUAUAAUAUAAUUAUUUAAUAAAUUUAGAAAUAUUAAUAUAUUUAUGUUUUAUUGUUAUAAUAUGGCAAAGAUAGAAACGCAUUUUGAUUAUUUGUAUUUUUUAAUUUUAUGAUGAUUAAAUUAUAAUAUUAUAAUUUGUUUUCUUCUACUUUCGUGAAAUCAAAUAUAGGAAAAGUACUCUUAGACAUUUCAAAGCGAUGAUUGUUGAUUUUAAACAAGAUAAAAAACAUUAAUAGUUUGUCAAAAAUUGUUAUUCGAUUUUCUAUUUGCAACAUGAAGAUCCAAAAAAUUCUUAGUUCCUAUAAUGUUUGAACAUAUCUUUACCAUUUUUUUCUUCUUGAUCUAACAACAAGCUUGACUGCACAAAAGUGAUGAGGGUGAUGUUCUUCCUAUGCUCUCCUCUCCCUUUUUAACUUUUAUAUCCCCCCUCAACAGUAUAGUUUUAAGGUAUAUCACUUUAAUCCUGAUGGACUAAAGGCCCAUAAUUUAUCUCAAUGGGUCAAAGUGAAGCCAUGGGCCUCUUCACAGUACAUUAAAUUGAUUAUGGCCCAAAACAAUACCCAUGCACAACCAAAUAUAGUUUACAAUAUACCUAGUUCACAGUACAUGAAAUCGUUUCUCCAACUACAUUGCUACCAUCACUGACGUCCUCAUCACUAACGAGGCCUAGACUCCGAUUCUCUCUUUUCUUCUCCGAAAUACUCUUGUGUAUUUCAAAUUCGGAGCCAAAAUCUGGUCAAAGAGAAACAACAACCCUAAAUUCAGCCCGAUCGACCAGCUAUUGAUGAGAGGUCUUUAAAGAUUGUAGUCUUCUUCGCUUCACAGUGAAGAAAUGCAUAGUCGGGGACCGAAUCACCGGCUAUCUGGUUCGGCUUUCAGAUCUCAAGUUUCGGUUCUCAUGCUAGCCAUGUUGACACCAUGGCAUGGAUUUACGUCGUCGGCCGGUGAGUUCUGGCACUGUUUCAUGUUGUGAAUUGAUUUUUGUUUCUUAGCUGUAAUAGUGCUUUAUGGUGUGGUUAAUUUCAUUUAUUUAGGUUUUUGUUUUGUGAUGCUUUGAUUUUGAUUAUAAUUGGUCUAUUUUUUUCAAAAAAAAAAAUUGUUUUUGUGGAAAUCUGUUUUCGGUAGGCUACGGCUGGAUUAUGAGAAUGGGGCUUAUUUGAUUAAAGAGCUGGAUAGGAGAACUAGUCAGGUGUUAUCUUUACUUUUAUGUAUUACCAUUUGUUAUUCAAUUGUAGCUUCAAAUUUUCUUCCCCACAGUUUGUUAAUGCAUUUUUUGGGACUAUUUUGUUAUCGAGAUUAAAUUAUAGAAUUAUAAUGAUACAAAGGGGGUCUUGACAUUGUAUGGAACCAGAAUCAGUCCAUCAUGGUUUAAAUUAAUUACAUGUUCUAUAGCAUUACAUUACAAUGCCAAAUAAAUUAGUGAUUUGCAUGAGCUCAUGCCUUUUUCUUUCUUUCUUUCUGUUUUUGUCUUUUUUUUUUCUUUUAUUGAAACUAUUUGAGAUGAUACCAGCCUAUUUUCUUUUUUUGAAAUUAAUCAUUCAGAGUAAUUGACUAGAUAAUGGGUUUUUCCAUUUUAAUGGUUUUUGUGUGCAAUCAGCCAAUGACACACUGAAAAUUAUAGCAUGCAGGUAAAUAACUUAUACCUAUCCUUCCUUUAUGUGGGGUUCUUUUUUUGGGGCUUUUGUUAUAAUAGACAAAAUAUAAUCUAAAGGUCAUGGUGAUGGUUCUUUUAUUUUAUAGGGAACAACACAAGAAGUUAGCAGCCCUUGAGAUGGAGCUAGCGGCAUCACAACAGGAAGAUUUUGCCUCAAAGAACUUGUUAGAAAAUAAGGGGACUCCUCCCAAGAAAAGGCUUUUAGCUGUUGUUGGAAUUAUUACAAAGUUUGGCCACAAGAACAAUAGAGAUGCAAUCUGUAAGGGCAUGGAUGCCAACUGGUAGAAUGCCCUUCUUUUUAUAAGUUUCGCUCUUUAUUCUUUGUAUUAUUUACAUAGAGAAUGACCCAGUUGGCACUUAACACAUUGACAUUUCUGUUAUAAGCAUAUAAGGGAUAAAAAUAGGAGGCUCGUAGGCUGAACUCUUAUUAACAUGAAAACUUUUAGUGAACUGCCAUUUCUCAUCUAUUCUUUUUUCAUUGUCUUGUUUAUUUUCUCAGUUUGCAAUGGUCAUUUUCAAUAGUUUGCAAACUCCAUCAACCAAUUUGAAAAGCCUUGGAGCUAACAAGUACAAAUUAUGAGAAACUAAAAUCUCGUUUCUCUAGGAUUUUUCUAAAGUUGCUCAAAUGAAUGGAAAGCAGAAAACUAUCAAGAAGCCCUACCACUGCCUUGCACCCUCUAUACCCCUAUUUACAAAAAAAUUGGAGUUUGUCUUUAAUGUAAUAAGGGAGACAAUAGUUUGCAUAAUAAUGGAACAUGAUGUAAUAUUGUGAUUCACUACUGCAAAAAAUAAUAUUAACAUAACUUAUGUGCUAAAUUACACUUACAUGCUUGGCACAAAAGUAUGUUAUUCUUCAUUUGAGAACAUUACUUAUGUUAUUCUUCAUUUGAGAACAUUACUUUAAACCUUAUAUGUUAGCAUCACUUUUGCCAUAACUAAUCUUUUUUUCUUUCUCCUUAUCCAAGACAAUGCAUAUCGAGUGAUUGAUACUUAAGUUAAUAGCCUUAGCACCCACAUGAGGUGAAGUUUGAAUCCAGAAUUUCCUAAUAGUCUUAAUACGCUUCCUCAAGCGUGUUCAAACUUAAGACGUCAAUGUUAAACCACCACUUUGCCCAAAACUUUUAAGUUACGCAGUAAUAGGCCAGCAAUGGGAUAUUAAGGCGACUGACAGGUAGGCUAAUAGCUUGAGCAAUUCUCUUAUAAUGUUUAAUGGUUUAAAUGUUGACGAUUAAAACACUUACAAAAGCAUGAUGACUUACCCAUCCUUUUCAUACAGAUACUCUGGAAGCAACUCUUGCUACUCAUUUGAAUAAGCCUCGAGUUUAUAUUGGGUGUAUGAAAUCAGGCGAAGUUUUCUCAAAAGUUGAGUAUAAUCAAAGUUUUUUUUCUCUAUUGAUGAGAAAACGAGUUGUUUAUGAUAUUCUACUUUCAUAUAUUGUAUUAUCUUUUCAUAUUGUCUGAAUUAUGUAGGAUCCACAAGUGGUAAGAACCAGAUUGGUAGAAAUUUGGUGAUGGAAAAUCAUGAGUAUUUCUGUGUUGAUUUCAUCUUGUCUCUUAUAUUAGGAUAAGUAAUUAUUACUUUCUAGUUAUGUUAACUAGUCAAGAAGUCUCUUAGCAUCUCUGAAUUCAUCUGAUAGGUGAUAGAAGUCCCAAUGAACAACUAGGGCAUUGUCCCAUAAGAGGCUUGCUUGAUAGAGAGAAGUUUUUUAGGCAUUCAAACAAUUUAUCAUUCCAUCAUAUUCUUGUCAUCUAUUACACUUAAUUUGCCUACCCUUGCACCCAUAUUUUAACCAUCUCAACUCUAAUUUGUGUCGAGGUAUCCUAGAGUCUGCAUAGGGAUGCCUUCUCGGGAAGUCAGGCUUACAUUGGUUGAAGAUACAUUUAGCAAAUUUAUAUGCUGGUGGAGUGGACAAGUUAUCAUAUGAGGGUUAGGUAGCAUUUACUGAGAAUCAUUUGGAAGAUAUCUUUGAGUCCGCAGAUAAACCUCUGGAAGGAAGACGUUGGUGAUUGUCUGUCGAGGAUCCUUUUCAAUGCUUGGCAGCGUGUAUUAAUCUAUCAAAUGCAUUAAGAAGCUCCCCUCCAGAGACUACCAUUUCACACAUGCCUGUCCACUAGGUACUUCAUUCUUAGCAUGGUCACAUUCAAACUGAGAAAUGUUUACCAAGUGAAAUCAAAUUAAUCCCACCUCCUCCCUAGUCUACCCAAUCCCACAAUAAAAAAGAAAUCUCAAAACUAGCUUUUAUUGGAAUUGUGUUCUAUGCAUAGUCAUAUCAUUUGUUGCCCUAUGUAUUUUGUAUAAACUCCUCCAAGCAUAUAGCUCCUCUGCAUUUACACAUGGAAAAUGACAAUCAUAUGAUUGUACAUAUCCUUCAGAGUACCCCAUUUGUUACCCCAUUAUUAGGAGCAAAAAUAAUGGAUCGACCACUUCUUUCAUAGCCCUGUCUUAUGUUUGUGCUAUCCUGCUAUAGUAUGCUUGAGAGGAUAACAAACAUUUCCCUGACUUUACUUUUGUUUUCAUAUUAAAUGCUUAGAUUCAGGUCAUUUGUUUAUCCAAACUUAAUCUAUGAUUGUAUUGUUCUAUGUUUUUCAAGGAUGGCUCUUGCAAUGGCUUACAACACCAUGCUGCCCUUGGAAGGGACAAGUUAGUGGAAUUUUCUGUUUUUGGUUGAUUGUUGUGGAAUUCUGAUUAUGUGAUAUGGAAGCAUGGUUUUUGAUUAGUUAGACAGUUUUUCACUCUUUUUCUGCUUUGAGGCUAAAUGUGUCUCAGCUUUGAUCUUCUCUCUUUUUGAUAGAAAAAAGGAACUUUGUUAAGGAAAGAUGGUAAAAGGAUGAGGAGUUGGAAAUUGAAACCCAAGAAAGAAACCAAACUUUGUUUGAGUUUAGUGCAGUUUAUUUAAUUUGAUUUUUCAAGUAAUUUCAAAGUUUGGUUGUUUCAAGAAAGGGGAUUAUCAUCGGUAUUUGGCAAGUUCAAAGGCUAGGGCAGCAAAUCAGUCUCUAAAGAGUGAAUUUUAGUUAGACCUUAGUAUUGGAGGAGAUAAAUUAUUAUUUAUUUAUUUAUUUAUUGAAGUUUCCUUGUUCUUUGGCAAUAGAACUUUGUAUUGGGGAUUAUUAUUUGAUUAUGCAGUUUGGAUACAUAUACAUAUUUGGAUUAUGCAAUAUUGGAAAUUAUAAUUUUGUUGCUUCAACUGCCUAUCAAGAAAAAUAAUUUUGUUGCUUCAACUAAAGUUUUAUAUAUGUAAUAGAAAAUAUAUACUGGAAAAAGUGGUAGGACCUCUUCAAUUUUGAAAUGAGAAUUUUAAUUAAAAUAUUUGAAAAAAAAAUAUUCAAGACUUCAGCUCUGGCCAAAUAUAAGUUGUGUCCACUUAAUAACCUAUGGCAGCGGACAAGAAAAAGUGGCAUCCAUAUGAAGCCCUAUAAUUGCGGCUGACAAAAGGUCAUGUCUAUAAUACUAUAUAGUAUUAAAUUCUGUAGAUGUCACACCUUCAUAGCAGCAACUAUCAGCUCUCCCAACCACAUAUAGAGCUUUUAGUUGAGGAAAAAACAUGAGCGCGGGGAUAGCUUCACAACUUCUUGUGUUUUUUACUGGUGGCUGCAACUAUAGGAUUUAUCUGCAUUCCUAUGGCCUUCGCAGCUAUGAACUUAACUUCUUGUAGCGUGUAACACUCUUGCCUCGUGUACGAUUGCAUGAACUUGCAACACAUGUACUGCACAACUCUUUGUUAAUGGUUAUAAAAAAUAUUUUUCUAUUUUUGAGAAUUGAAAAUAAGAAAAUCUUGUUUGACAAUAAGAAAAUAGUAAACAAUUUUUUAUUUUUAAAAACAGAAAAGUUUUUGUUCUUAAAAAAAAAAAAAAAGAUUUUUAUAAGAACAUAUUUUAGUUGUUUUUAAUUGUUUUCUAAGAUUAUUUUUUAAAAAAAUAAUAAGAUAAAUAUGAAGAAUAAUUAAAAAUAAAAUGCUAUCUACAAAACUUUUUUUUAAAAAAAAAUAUUUGAAAGCAAAAAAUAGAUUAAAAAUAUUUCAAAAUUCUCAAACAAGCUUUUAUCAUAUAAAUAUUAGAGAAUUGUUUUUUAAAACUGUUUUCAAAAACUAUUUUUUUUUUUUAGAAUAGUUUUCAAAAUAAUUUCUAAACUAACUUAAAGUACGUUUGACAAUGAUUUUAGGAAACGUUUUUAAUUUUUUUAUAACUUAAAAGAUGAAAAUUUUUUAGUAUUAAUUAUAAAAAUUAGAAGCCUUUCUAAAAUCACUACUAAAUAAACUCUAAUUCUCUCUACUGGAGGCUUGUAGGGGCUUUUAUAAUUUGUCUACCAAUCAUGUUAGACAUGUGGUAACCAUGUUAUGAGAUUUUGGGAUAGCAUCAUCUAGUUUGCACUUGUAUGUAGUUAAUUUUUGUUUUUAAAAAUAAAAAAUGAAACUAACUUCGAUAUAAAAUAUAAUUUUUUUUUAAACUUACGUUACUUCAAAUUUGAAAAUUUAUAGUGAUUUUUAAAGAUAUAAGGUGAGUUUAUACUUUUGAUAUAAAAAUUUCUACUAAAAAAUAUUACUAUUUUUUGUUGUAAAAAAAAUGUAUAAAAAAAAGUCAAUAUAUAAAUAAUAAAAGCUGAAAGAACAUUUUCAAUGCAUAGAUUAUCUUAAGGGUUCAAAUGUGGGCUAAGUCUAAAACUUAAUAUUAAAUCUUCUCUCAUUCAAAUAAUAGUAUUUAUAAAUAAUAGAAUAUCCUAAAUAAAUAUAGUUAUGGACAAAUAUUUCAAACAGAUUUCUCAAAUAUUAAUAUCAAAAGAAAAUUUCAUUAACCAUGACGAGCUCCCUGUUUCAAUCUAAAACAUGUAUAUAAACAUAAUUAACUUUAAUUUAAACAAGAUUUAGAUUUAUAUUAUGGACAAUAUAGUAAACCUAAAAGAUGAUCAUAAGUUUCUUAUUUCAUGACUUCAAUUAAUAGAAAAAAUAUUUACAAGCUCAAUUUUGUUGGAAUUUUAUUCAAUUCAUUCUAGUUUGAGACUUUGUAUAUUUUCUGUAACUUACCCUCCAUUAAAGAUACAAAAUUAUUUAGAGUUAACUAGAGAUUGGAUAGCACAAGUAUAGAGAGUUAUGAAAAGAAUAAUAACUUUUAAUUAAAAAGAUUCAGGAGAUCGAGUGCUCAAGCACUUGAAUAUAGCUUUCAUGGCUUAGAGCACUCAAGUAUUGCUUGGAAGUACCCAAUAACAAGCAAUCAAGUGCACUUACCUCGUGCUUGAGUACUCAAAAGUGGGGUUUCCAAAAAAUAAGUUUGCAUACAACACUCCCUAAGAAAAACAAUGAUUGCAUACAUAUAUAUGAUCCAUGGUUUAAGUAAAACAUUUCUUAUAUUUAUAAUAAGUUUAUUUUAGAGUGUUGUUAUUAUAUUAUACCACUGUUGUUAGGCCAUAUUUUGCUAAAUCAAAUGAAGAGAAAACACAUUAUUUGAUAAAUAUUUUACAAUUAGAGAUAAAGUUUGAAAUCUCAAUAAAUACAAAUAUAUCGGUACUUAGAUUUUAUGGAUAUAUAAAAAAUAUUGAAUAAAUAUCGGUGGAUAUUUUGACAAAAAUAUAGAUCUUGUUUUAAAAUUCAUGAAAAUACUUAAAAAAACUUUAAAAAAAAUGAUAAAAUAAAGAAUAAUACACAUAUUAAAGUUAUUUUGUAUGCUUAAAUUCCUUUAAUAUAUUCGCAUUUAUUUAUUUUUAAAUUUUAAAAAUACUUUUAUUGAAAGAUGUUUUAUCAUAUUUUAAAUAAAAAUUAAAUUGAUUUAUAUAAAAUAUUCAAAACCAUUACCCAAUAAAGACGCCUUUUGUGGGAGAAGUAUUCACCGUCAUCCAUGCAAAUCAAACCCACCUUUGAUCUUUAUUCACAAUUUCAUAUAUUAUAUAUAUGUCUACUAAACUUAUGUAUAUAUAUAUAUGUAUAUAUGGGUUUAUACAUGUGGAUGUGUGAAUGAAAAGUUGGAAAAUAGUCUCUAUUGUUCUUUAUUGAAGAACGAUAGCUAGGGUUUCUAUUCGUCUCUCAUUCUCUGUAUUGUUUUGUUUCUCUUUCUUAGGGACUUACCUUUGUUUGUGAAUCGGAACCUAUGCUCAAUUAGCUUAAGAAUUACCCAGUAGUUUGUUUGAAUCGGGGGGAGUUUGGGUGGGAGAGUCUAAGGUUUGUGAUUUAAGGGGUUUUGGUAUUGUAGGAGCUGAUUGGUGUCUGGGUUGGGAGGAAUCUAGGGUUUGUGAUAUGGGGUUUUGGCGUGGUUGAGGUGGGAAGGGAAAAAUUGAAUCUUGGGGAUUGUUUUUGUUGGUGGGGUUUUGAAGAUGGUGGAGAAUCGUGGAUCAGGUGUGAUCUGAUCGCCGCUUUUCCGAUGGCAAACAACCAUCCGAUUGGAGGGGUGGGGGCUUUUGUAUGGAAACUUGGAGCCCCAAGCAGGCGGAGGCGUCCUCAACGGCCCCUUUUUCUGGACCCACCACCUGGUCGAGCAAGCGAUCUCGUAUCUCCUCUUCUUCUUCUUCAACGAUCCCAAUUUCAUCGAACCCCAACGCCCAUGCUACACUGAAAAAUUAAUUUUGAGGGGAGCGGAGCUACACUUUGACCGAAGCCAGCGUUGACCAACAUAAAUAUCGGGAAAUUUCCCGAAAAAUCGGCAAAAACCGAUAUUUCGGCGAUAAUUUCAGAAAAAGAGCGAAAUUCCUUCCAAUCGAUUAUCCGUCCUCAAUAUCGUAUCGAGCUUCACCGAUAACCGAAAUAUAGGGGAAAUUUCGUCGAUAAAAAAGACAUUUCAAUCACUGACUAGAGGUGAUUAACACUGAUGUUAGUAAUUAGGUUUGCCAUAUUUUUCAAUAAUGUACAAUUAGCUCAAUCACUUGAAGCUUAUACCAAAAAUAUAUUUGAAUCAAUAAUGGACAAAAAUUUCUGACUGGUACUUAGUGAUAAUCAACUACCAAAUUAUCAUAAACAUAGAAGUUGAAAGGAUAAUUUUAAGGCAAAGAUGACUCUAAAAUAUCAAAAGUGGGCUAAGUAUCCAACUUAAUAUUACAACUUUUCUUACUUAAAUGACAAUUCACAAAUAACAAACCUACCUAAAGAAAAAUAAUUGCUUGCCAACAUUUCAAAGAUAAGUUCUCAAACACUCGUACCAAAUAAAUCUUCAUUACCACUAAGAAUUCAUCAUUGUAUUCAAUCUGCAACAAGUAAAUACACAUAGUUAGCUUCAAUUUAAGCAACAUUUAGAUUUUCAUCAUGGAAUAUAAAUAGCAUGUUCAUUAUUAUUAUUAUUAUAUAAUUAAUUAAUUAACAACAUAAUAUUAACAAACUUGGUUAUAGAGACUAUUUAAAUUCUUAUAGUUUUCAUACUUAUGGUAUUAACCAUACUCAAAUGAGUAUAUUUGUCAAUAAAUUUAGAGUUUCAACUAACAACCUAUAACAAUCUAUAACCUUAGCUGCUUGUUUGUAUAUUUUUUGGAAUUCAACUUUGGAAAAAAUUUCAUGUAUCUUAAUCUUUCCUAUGAAAAUCGCAUUCUGUAACUUCAAAGAGUUGAACCCAAUUAUAAACUUCCUCAAUCCUCUUUCUAAUGACUCAACUAAGAAAUUGUAGUAAGGAAAGAGAAACAACUUAUAUUCAUAUGCAUGGUUGAAGGGUCUAAAAAUAUGCCCCUUACUAUAACAUGCUUUGAACAUUUAAAACAAUAUACUUUUAGUAAAAUCUAAGUCCAACAAGACUACAAUUCAAUUUCUUUUGUAAAUUUAAAUCAUUAUUUCCAAUUCAAGAAUUUAAGAAAUCAUAUAAUAAAAUAUAAGUAUAAAAAGAUUAAUAGCUAACAAAUAUGUACCUAAACGGAGAUGACCUUACAUUACAUUGUAAUGAAAUUCAUCUUACCUUCUUUUUGUAUGAUGUUUGUUAUUUUGAAACCUUAUCACCCUCUGCAAAAGAGCUGAAUUCAUUGUGAUGAUAAUCAUAACACACCAAAAAUACAAUGAAAUUAAAAAACAAACAAGGAAGAAAAAAAGAAGGAAAAAGAAUGGGAAGUGAUGUAAGAUAUUUCACCUUUUUAGCCAUGAACUCCAUUUGCUUCCAUCUUCCUUUUCAGACGAGCCACAUUCACUGCAGUGAAGACAUAUAGCCUAUCUCUGGUUUCAUCAAUGAACCGGAAAUAUGCCUGCCUCCAAGACUUCUUUAGAACCAAACUGCCACAUAUAGCCCAAAAUCCCACCGGAAAGCCCAAUCCCAUGCUUAUGAAGAACCAUGACAUGUCCCAUUCAACUUCAUCUUCCUCCUCAUCUUUGUGAUCUUGAUCAUUUAGAGUGGAGCAAUUGGUUGACAAUGGAGGCCCACAAAGUCCCAGGUUCGCCUCAUAAAUGGAUGGAUCGUUGAAUGUCGAGAACUGGUUGGUUGUUGGAAUUGGUCCUGAUAGGCGGUUAUGCGAUAGGUUCAAAUGGUUCAAUGAGGUUAUAGAAGACAUGCUCGGAGGAAUUGGGCCUGACAGGCAGUUGCAUGAGAGGUCAAGAGUUUCUAGCCCUUGCAUGGCUCCAAUCUUCUCAGGUAUCUUUCCA
rnacentral:lncRNA from 1 species